AGCUCCAUGGCAAUCACUUGUUUGGAUAAUAUUGUUUGCCUUUUGAAUUUUUAUUUUCCUUCCAGCCUUCAAACUGGAUUUCCACCCGAGGUUAGACUUGUGCUCCUAGGUGCUGCACUUAAAAGCAACUGUGGGUAAUUCCCCUCUAAGAUACUUUGAGCCGCUUCUCAGAAGCUUCUAUUGGUAGACGAUAUAAGAUAUAAAAAUGAGUAUUAAGGUGAUUUCCCAUUUCUUUUCUAACAAUUCACAUCUAAAAUUCCAAUUGUACAUAGAAGAACAACCAAAAUAAAAAAGAAGAAAACAUAAUCGACAUGUACACUAUUCUGAACAAAAUACUACUUAAAUUAAUAAGAUUUCAUCUCCACCAAAAACAUUUUAUUAGGUUCAAUUCAGCUAUCAAAAACAUUUACCUUAAAAAACAUGAUUAAUUUUAUUGAGAAGCAGUCCCACUUUCAUGACCAUGUUUUUCAUGUCAACAGAGUGUCUACCAAGGGGGUCUCAAACAGCUAGCAACUCCAAAAUGACAUUAGAAGCUUCAAGCUUUGACCAACUCCAUACAAAAGGCUCUCUUCCAACGGUCGACAUUAAAUUUAGGAAAUGUUAGAAAAUGAAGAGAAUAGAGAAAAUCCAAGGGGGUUAAGGAAUUCCAAUUUACUAUCAUUGGGGUUCCUUAGCCAAUCUAGUGGAUUUCGUUCUGAUUCUCUCCUCUUUAUCAUAACUCUCGUUUUUCAAUUCUUCAUCCUCCAAUAAACCCAACUUUCUCUUUUGAGCUUAAAAAAGCAGGUAAAGUCAGGGGGUAUAGCAAAAUAGAAAAUAUCAACAAAAAAUCUACGUAGUAGAAAAUGAAAAUAUGUCACGAUAGACUAAAGUCAAUGCCUUCAGCUGCAAUACAAUUACUAUUUGGAAAUGCAUACUUGAUAAUGCAUGAGUCCAAAAUUUUUGUUAGUGAAUAGUUACCGCGUUAAUGAACUCCAAACCAAUUGUCACGAAAAACAAGAAUUGGCAAUAUGAAAAUAUACGAACAAAAACACAAUUUAUGUGAAAAUUGAAGAAGGAAAAAAUCACUGACAAAGAAGAAAAAAUUCACUAUAUCAAAGGAUAAUUAUAAAAGUUGGAUGAUUUUAAGAUAUUUAAUUAGUCCUAUUUAUAAUAUAGAAACUACAACAAAAAACAGCUUUUGCAGCGGCCAAAAAAUGCGGCAAAAGGUCAUUUACAACGUUUUAGCAUAUAUUGCGGGGUUGAUGUUGCCGUUGAGGGAAGAGAUACAGCCACAUCGAAUAAAGAUGAGAAUAUAUAUCAACUUAUAAGGUUUUAGACUACUUUUCUUAAUAAGAUUGACCUUUUAAGAUGGAACUCAAGUCUUAACAUAGGGCUUGUUUGAGCCACAUUAUUUUCAAAAAAUACAUUUUUCAACAGUGAUUUGACAUCAUUUCAAUCACACAUUUUUCAAUAAAAUAAUAUACAUGCAAAUCUAAAAAUUUUUCUUAUUUUUUAACCAUAUAUUUCCCAUUGAUUUGACAUGAAUAACACAUUUUUCUCUUAGAAUGUGGCUCAAACAUGGGCAUAGUAUCAGAGCCUAUUAAGCUCCAACGAGCGAUUCGAUCCGAUUAAGAAUCAAUAAAUGAGCAAACGGAUUUCAAAAUCAGUUUGCUGAAACGAGCCACCAUCUUGCGAGGGCAUGUCAAGGGAUAUAAUUCCACAUUAAAUAAAGAUGAGAAUAUAGACCAACUUAUAAGGUCUUGAUCCCCUCCUCUUAAUAAGGUUGACCUUUUGAGAUGAAACCCAAGUCUUAACACAUGUAGUACGUAAAAGCCCAAAACUAGCUAACCAAAACGGGAGUGAAUUGGUUAUAGCAACUUUGUCGAAAAAUAAUUCUAAGUGUACAACUAAUACUUAUUUGAAUAUAGCAAUUAAUCAAAUGUUUUUAAAUAUAAAAAAGAGCAAAGACUAUGUUGAAAUCACGAGUAACAAAUAAAAGCAAAAAUAAGUAAAAGGGAAGAGAAGUCAAACGAUAUGAUAUGAAGAUUUGAUCCAAUGCAAUGAUCUACGUCCCUGUUACAAACUCUCUGUUACGAGCAAGACCUUUUUUACUUUAUUGAUUGACUUAUGUGCAAUCUAACCUUCUUACAAUGAUUACAGUGACUUACAAACAACGGGCACGAUCCUUUUACACCGUUGAGAUUUUCGGAACCUCAACUCGACCCACAAAUUUGAAAAUUAAGAGUUUACAAAUAGACACUUCUCUUGUAAUGAAUGAUAUAUUUGGAGUUGAAUACAAUAAGAGAAGAUGGCUAACACUUUAGUAGAUAGCAAUAAUUGAAGCUCAAGUGUUAAAUAAGAAAAACUUUGAUGAAUAGAAUGAUUUUCAAAGGUUGAAUCAAUCAAAAGUUUUUCUAAUAUAAAUGAGUUGAAAAGAUAGAUAUAGCAAAACGAUUGAGUAGUUAAGAUCAAUAAUAUCUCACUUUAAUUCUCACAAAAGUCUAUCUUUGAAUGCAAAAUGAUCUGAUAUUUAUAGUAGCAAAAUUGUCAAAAGUUCUGUCUUACCGGACAAGGCUACCAGACGUCCGCUACCUUAUCGGACGGUCAACUAACCGAUUUUUGUUCAGAAGUCAGAACGUUCAAAUUCUUGACCGUUGGACAAACCUACCAUACCAGAGGUCCGCUAGAAUUACCGGACGCGUCUGCUAGAGCUACCGGAUGCGUCCUCUAGGCCAACUUGUGUCCAGUAGUUAGAAAUUUUCCUUCUUUUAAUGUUUUAAAAAGAUGUAAUCUCAUGAAGGAUGUUUCUAACUUAUUUUUCAAACUUUUUGACAUUUCUUAAAGUGUAUAAUAGGCUCAUGUCUUAAGAAAAAUUCUUUAUGCAAAAAUCGUGUUUGCUGUGUGAAAAAACUUUUCUUGAGUUUCAAAUGACGUAAUUGCCAAAUACUAAAGUGUUUUACCUUAAUAUUUGACAUCAAGGUAUCUAAGUCUAAUUUCUUCUAAUCUCAUCUUUGUUUGACUUGAUGAAGUGCUUAUUGUCUUGAUGUUAACUCAUCUUCUACUUUAUUAAAUUUGCGAAAGCUCCAUAAGCAUCAUUUUGUCUACGUUUGUCAUAACUUCUAUAAUCACUCAAAUACAAUUGUUAAACACAAUUUGUUUGUUAUAAUCAAAAUGAGAAAUCAACCAUAGGUCAACAAUUCCCCCCCCCCCCCCUUUUUAUUAUAACAAACACGAGAUGAUAGAGAUUUAAUAGGUAAGGAAAUAAAUAAGAAAUGAUAGAAAUUUGAUAAGUAAAGAAAUAAUUCCCCCUAUCUUUUAUACAUGUAUUUCCCCUUAUUUACGAAUUCCUAUCAUGCAUCUCAUAUAAUAUUCCUAUCAUUGCAUUACAUCAUCUUUAUCAUUCAUUAUAUCAUCUCAUAUAGUUUUCCCCCUUUUGGCAUACUAAAAAAUGACAAAUAAUGCAUUAUAUUAAAAAAAAUAUAAGUUCAUAACUUCAUAAUCAAAACACAGAAAGUUAGAGUCAUAAAGAGUUCGAGAUUACAAAAAAAAUAUUCAUAAGACAAAUAAAACUAAGGCUCCGGAGGAGGAGGUGGAGGAAAAUAUGCGUAAAAGCGAGCAUAGAAUGCAUUCUGCUGAGCCUGCAUCUCCGCCUGCUGUGCAAGAAUGGCAUACUAUUGAGCCUGUAUCGUGGCAUGCUGUGACUGAACGUGAUGAAGAACACCGGUAAGCCCAUCAGCUGAAGACGUGGAUGAGUCGAGACACCCAGUGAGUAAAUUAUAUCGAUACUCAGUAAAAGUGUACCCACGGGAAGAAGAUGAAGGGGCACUAAUGCGCGGUGGAUGCGAAAGUGAUGAAACAUUUUCGUCGGAUUCCUCUUCUUCUUCAAAGGGUAAUGUAGAAGGAUUCGAGGUAGGGUCGAAUCCUUUGGCGUAAACCACACAUUGGCCUUGAGUUUUAUAAAUUUUCAUACGUUUGAGAGUUUGAAUAUUGAUUGUACCGGCAGGACGAGGUUUGACAACCGCUUCAUCAUCAAGAGAGACAUUGAAGUGUUUGAAGAUUUUUGUUAAAAGCAUUCCAUAGGGUAGAGCUUUGGUAUAACAGGAAGAGUGGAUAAGUUUCAUAAGGCCCAAGGCAAUGGUUGAGAAAUCUAAUUUACGGCAACGAGAAAUGAAUAAAGAAUAAACAAAUAAAAGUAAUUAACCCCAUCUCGAUGCCCUUUCCUAGGUAGAAUAAUGUUAGCGAUGAUAUUUUGCAAUACUUUGUAAGGUAAGGUGAGUUGAUUGGCACAAACUUUUGUAAUGUUUUCAAAAUCUUUUCCCGUCACAUGACGGCAUGCAUUACGCAGGUUAUAACCUUCUAAAGUCGAGUGAGCUUUGUGAACAAAAAUUUAUUUAUCACAUGGUUCAAGCCUAAGUAGGUCUCGAAUGAGAGCUUUAUUAACGGUGACCCUCACAUUUUUAAUUAAGUAGGAACUACUAUCGGGUCGUGGUGUAAUAACCAUUUUUGUGUAAAAAGUUUUCAUGAGUUGAGAGUAAGCAUUUUCUUCUAAUGAACAAAUCGAAAUCCAUCCUACUUUCUCAAAGAAUUCUUCAAUAUGAAAAGCAGGAGCUUCAAUAGUAAAAUUCGCAAAAUCAACAUUUUUACCUAGUAGAAUCGGAUAUUUUUCAAAUGAGCUCAUUGGCACUUCGGGUUCAAAAUCCGUUUCUUCGUCCGAGGAAGAUGUUUAACGCUUUCGUUCCAUAGUCUUUACCCUUUUCCAACUUGCUUUAUUCUUGACAUUGUGUGAAUUGAAGAAUAUAUGGAGAAUUGAGAGUUAGGGCACGAAACUGGGAAAUGUGAAAUUAUGAGAGAAAUUUCAAAUCUUUGAGGAAGGAAAUGGUGUAGAGGAAGUGGGUUAAUAGAUUUGAUGUUUAAAUUGAUGAAUUAGAAGAGUGUAAGGACAAUUUUCGAGUAGAGUAUGGAGGAGGGCUUGAAGAAAGUGAAGAAGGUGGGAAGAAAAUGACCUUGUUCGCGAUUUAAAAAUCUAAAAUUUCAGUGUAUCGGACGUCCGGUAUGACAUGCCAAGUCGUCCGGUAUAAUAGAAAAAAAAUUCUGUCCAUCCGGAUGAAUUACAGGAUCAUCCGUUAUAUUCGUCCGGUAUGUGUCGGACGCAUUCGGUUGACUUGUUUGGAACCUUUUUUUAAUAGAAGAGUAAAUAUAGUUACCUAGCAUCAAUUAUGUACUUCAGUUUUAUUAAUAAUUCCUAAACCUCUACGAAUGUAUGUGAAUCAGUCGAGAGCAAGAUGUUUAGUAAAGAUAUAGGCCAAUUAGUUUUCUGUAUUGACAAAUUCUAAUGCAAUAUCACAUUUUUGAGCAUGAUCUCUAAGAAAAUGAUGUCUAAUCUCAAUGUGUUUCGUUUGUGACUGCAAUAUAGGAUUCUUAAACAAAUUUAUGGCGCUAGUGUUAUCAUACAUAAUAGAUAUGUGGCGAAAAGACAAGUGAUAAUCCUUAAGUAUUUGUUUCAUUCAUAACACUUGUGCAUAACAACUAGCGGCUGAGAUAUAUUCGGCUUUAGUUGUGGAUAAUGCAAUGAAAUUUUGUUUCUUACUAAAACAUGAGACUAGUGCAAAGCCUAAGAAGUUUGUUUAAUUUGCAACCCGAGGAAAAAUUUUAAUUCUCUCAUCAUGCUCAUUUCAAAUUCCUUGCUCAUACUUUUAGAAAAUUCUUCACAAGGCACCAAAGAUAAUAUCAUCCACACGAAUUUGAACAAUAAGUAUGUAAUUCUUAUAACUUUUCACAAAAAGUAUGGUAUCGGCCUUUCCAAUAGAGAAUCCAUUUGAAAUUAGAAAUUUCCUCAAUCGUUCAUACUAAGCUCUAGGAGCUUGUUUUAGGCCACAAAGUUUUUUUCUAAGUUUGUAAACGAUUUGGAUUUUUAUGAUCUUUGAAACCGGGAGGUUGUUCGACAAAAACCUCUUCUUGAAUACAUCCAUUUAAAAAUGUACUUUUGACAUCCAUUUGAUACAAUGUAAAUCCUUUGUAGCAAGCAAAUGCAAGAAGUAUACGAAUGGAUUCUAAUCUAGUUACCGGUGCAAAAGUUUCUUCAACAUCUACACCUUCUUCUUGAUUAUAACCUUGGGCCAUUAAUUUAGCCUUGUUAUGCACAAUGUUUCCAUCUUCAUCCCGUUUAUUUCUAAAUACAUAUUUUGUUCCAAUCACGGUUUGAUUAUUUGGUCUAGCAACUAAAUCCCAAACAUUAUUUCUUUAAAAUUGAUUUAGUUCUUCUUGCAUUGCUAGUACCCAAAAUUCAUCAAACUCGACUUCUUUGAAGUUCUUAGGUUCAAUUUGAGGAAGAAAAGCACAACUUCCGAGAUGAUUUCUAAGAGAGUUUCAAGUAAUAUUACCUUUUGAGAGAUCGCCUAUUAUCAAUUCCUUUGGAUGAGAUGGGACGAACCAUUCGUUUGGUAGUGUAUAGUCUUUUUGAGUUUCGGUUGAUUUUUCUUUGCUUUCUUCAUCAUUUGGCUCAUUUUCUUGGCUUUCAUUUUGAACUCCUUGAUUUUGAUCUUGAAUAUUCAUUCUUUUGAAUGAACUUUCCAAACUUACAUCAUCUUCAAUACCCUUCUCACGAUCAAAAGAGUUAGCUUCAUCAAAUGAAGCAUGUACGGAUUCUUCAACGACUAGAGUUUUUUUGUUAAAUACUCUAUAAGCUUUGCUAAUUGAUGAAUAUCCUUGGAAAAUACCGACAUCGAAUUUCAAGUCGAAUUUUCCCAAAUUAUCUUUAGUAUUCAAAAUAAAACAUUUACAACCAAAAACUUUGAAAUAACUAAUAUUAGGAAUUUUGUUUUUCCAAAGUUUAAAGGAGUUUUAGUUUUAUUUCGACUAACUAAAACUCUAUUUACAGUGUAGCAAGGCGUGUUUACCAUUUCAGCCCAAAGUAUUUUGGUAAAUUGUUUUCGUUUAGUAUGGUUCUAGCCAUUUUUUGCAGUGUGCAACUCUUCUUUUCUACUACACCUUUUUGUUGAGGUGUUCUAGGAGCCAAACAAUUAUAUACAUAUCCAUUUUCAUUACAAAAAGGGAAAAUUGUAGCCGAGGUACCAAACAUUUCGUUUAUUAGCAGAUUUUGCUCAAAUCUUUAGUUUGUGCCACCCACAGUGGCAAACCUUUCAAAAAUAUGCGCCGACGGUUCAAAUGGAUGGAAACCGUUCAUUUGACCGUUAGUUGACUAGAAAAGUCAAAAUUUGACCAAUUUGGACCAAAUUAAAAAGGGCAAAGUGGUACUUUGCAUUUUUUCUUAAUAUUAAUAAUUAAAAUAAUUAAUAAUAACAAUAAAAAAGUAAAAACAAAAUAAAUAAAAAUCAAAGAAAAGAAAGGGAAUACUGUUCAUCUUCAUCUUCAUCUUCACCCCCCACCCCACCCCAUGCCACCACACCCAACCCCGAUUCCAUGGGCGGUCGCCACCACAGUCUCCGGUCAACUUGAACCCUCAAUUCAUUUCUCUCUCCUGCCAUUGUAGCACUAGCUGUCGGGACCCUUUCCCCUCAACAGUGGUGAUUAACGUCAAAUUGGAUGGAGACCUUCUAUCCACUGGAACCAUGCCCAGACUUGCCAUCAAGACACGACAUAGCAGCUUCCACUUUCUCUGCCUCCGACAACUGAUUAAUGGAGUAAAUCCACUCCCCCUAGACACCCCCCAAUUUGGAUUUUCCUCAUAGAAUAUUGUUAUUACGAGUUGGCCUUGUGAAUCCAAUCCGAAUCAUCCUCUCGGUUGUGCCUUUCCCUUUGUAGCAUCAUCUUCUCCAACCAAUUCCAUAUCAAUCCCCAGCUUUCCUUCAUUGUUGAUGUCAUUUGCCUAGGUACAUGCUUUGACACCAAAUGGCAGAACUUCCAAACACACAUAUUUUGCUGCAUUACUGAAUGAAAGUGGCACGAAAAUACAAGUUCGACCGGUUCUCUAGUGGACCUGCCUCUCUCCCCACUUUUCUUUCAAAACGUCAAAAAAAAAGGUCAGUAUGCUACAAUACCCUCCCCAUUUAUUAACAUUCUGGUAGCAAUUGCAUUCUAGAAGAUUUCUAGAUUAUCCCCAUGGAAUCGGGGUUGGGUGUGGCGACGUGGGGUGGGGCAAGGCGGAGUGGGGUGGUGUGAAGAUGAAGAUGAAGAUGAACAAUAUUCCCUUUCUUUUUUUUGAUUUUUAUUUAUUUUGUUUUUACUUUUCUAUUGUUAUUAUUAAUUAUUUUAAUUAUUAAUAUUAAGAAAAAAUGCAAAGUACCACUUUGUCCUUUUUAAUUUGGUCCAAAUUGGUCAAAUUUUGACUUUUAUAGUCAACUAAUGGUCAAGCGGACGGUUUCCAUCCAUUUAAACCACCCGUGUAUAUUUUUGAAAGGUUUUGGACUGUGGGUGACACAAAUUAAAUGUUUGGGCAAAGUCCGCUAAUAAACGAAAGAUUUGGUACCUCUACUGCAAUUUUCCCUUACAAAAAUCAUCAAAAGCAGUAUUAUCAAAUUCUCUACCAUAGUCACUUCUAAUCGAAAUUAUAGAAUAUCCUUUCUCAUUUUGGACUUUCUUACAAAAAUGUUUAAAAGAUUUUAGCACUUCAUCUUUUUGGCUAAAAAAUAUGACCCAAGUGAAUCUAGAAAAAUCAUCAACUAUAACAAAAACAUAAUAUUUUUCCACCUAAAUUUUCGAUUUUAGAUGGUCCAAAAGAUUCACAUGGAGAAGUUGUAAUAGCUUUGUAGUUGAAGAAUGUAUUUUUGAUUUGAAAGAAUUUUUUACUUGUUUACCAAAUUGACAAGCUUCAAAAAUUCUUUCUUUUUCAAAUUUUAAGCUUGGCAAACCUUUAACAAGACAAAUUUUAGAAAUUUUCUAGAGAAGGUCCAUGCUAAGAUAUCCUAUUUUCCUACGCCAAAGCCAUGUAUCUUCUUUCAAACCUAGUAAACAUUUUUCAUCAUUUCUAUGUUCAGUUUAUGAUAUAAACAUCUUUAUUUUGGCUUCCUACAAAAAUUACCUCCUUGGAUAUAAUAUCCUUAAUUAGGCAUUUGGAAGAAUCAAAUUUAAUGUUGUAACCUUUGUCACACAAUUGACUAAUACUUAAUAAAUUAUGUUUGAGGUUAUCUAUCAAUAAUACAUUUUCAAUAGAAGGAGAAGGAUAGUUACCAAUAUUUUCGAUACCAAUAAUUUUUCCUUUGGCAUUAUCUCCAAACGUCAUAUGACCUCCAUCUUUCUUCUUGAAGUUACAUAGUAAUGAUUUGUGUCUGGUCAUGUGCUUUGAACAUCCACUAUCCAAGAACCAUUUUCUUCGAAUUUUUGUUGGUACCUACAAAAAUAAUUUAAAUUUUUGACUUUUGAUAACCAUAUUAAUUUGGGUUCUUGAUAGUUAGUUUUUGUGGAUUCUUGAAUCCACUUAUACUUAUUUUCAAAAUAUAGUCUCUUCUUAACAAGACAGUUAUAUUCAAUAUGUCCAAUCUUAUUGCAAAAACUACAUGUAGUCUUAGAAGUAGAAGUUUUUGAAGAUUUAACAAAUAUGUUUUCAAGAGAUUUUUUCUUUUAAGGAUGGUUUGUAGCCCAAUUCUCCUUUGUUGAAGACACAUUUUUAAUCCCCAAGCAUCAAAUCAAAAAUUUUCUUUUCUUGGGUAAACUUGUGAACGAUUUUUUUUCAAAUCAUCUACCUUUUCUUUAAGAAAAUGAUUUUCUUUGACCAAACAAUCAUAUUUAUCAUUUUCCUUUUGAUUUUCCAAAAGUUUCUUUAUUUCAUCUUUUAAUAAAGAAUUUUUCUUUUUGAGCAUAGAAUGACUUUUGGCAAGUUUUUCAAAAUUUUCAAGUAUUUCAUCAUAACAAGUCGAUAAUUCUUCAAAUGAAAAUUUUUCUAUAGGACUUACCUUUUCCUCAAUAGUAAUGAAGCACAUGUUGGCAAUUUCGUCUUGGCUACUAUUUUCAUUUUGAUCAUCAUUGUCACUAUCAUCCCAUGUAACUUGUAGUGCCUCUUUUUGAAAUUUUUCCUGUUGUUGGGACAUUCGAUUCUUUUGUUCCUGGGUUUGUCACAAUUAUAGCAAAUGAUUUUCUUGUUCUUCUCUUCUCCAUUUUCUUCCUACUUUUGAAAUUUUCAUGUGCUUCGAAAAUUUUUCCAUUUGUUGACAAGAAGAACUAAAUUGUCCAAUUCUUCAUCACUUGAAUUUUCAUUGGACGUACCUUCAUCAAUUGCCGAUUUGAGAGCAAUUCGGCGUUUUGAAGACUCUUUGGAUUCCUCUUUGCUUUUCCUUGUCUUUUCUUUGAUUUCGGCAUUGUUGAUUUCAUAGGUCAUUAGUGUCCCAUAUAGGUCUUUCAAUCGAUAUGUGUUGAUAUCCUUGGUGUUUUCUAUCAACAUUCUCAAUAGGCUCCAAUCUUCCGAUAAUGAACUAAGCAUUUUACUUACAAGUUCACUGUUAGUAAAUUUGUGAUCAAAACCUUUGAAACCAUUUAUAAUAUUGGUAAAGCGAGUAAUCAUAUCAAUAAUAGGUUCAUUUUGUUUCAUGAAGAAAUUUUCAAAUUCCUUAACUAAGAGAUUAAUCUUUGUUUCUUUGACUUUACUAGUGCCGACAUGAGUGACUUCUAAUACAUGCCAAAUAUCAUAUGCGAAGUCACAUGUACUAAUGUGAUUGAACUCAUUUUUGUCUGAUGCACAAUAAAGAAGAUUCUUAGCUUUUGCAUUUAAGGAUAAUUUUCUUUUAUCUUCUUCAUCAUAUUCUUCCCUAGGUUUGGUAAUGACUUGAUCAGGUAGGCCAUCUACCUUAACAGUCUUAGUAGGUUUAUAAGGUCCAUAUUCAAUCACUUCCCAAAUGUUGUAAUCUAUAGAUUGAAUGUAAAUCAUCAUUCUAGCCUUCCAAUAAUUUUAGUAUCUUCCAUAAAAGAAGGGAGGUCGGUUGGUAAAAUCUCCUUCAAGAGAUUGAAACAUUUAGUUAGCCAUUUACUCUAGAUUGUGAAGUCUAAGAAAGUGAAUACCAAUUGACAGCCCAAGACUAGCUAACAAAGACGGGGGGGGGGGGGGGGGUGAAUUGGUUAUAGCAACUUUUUCAAAAAAUAAUUCUAAGUAUACAAUUAAUAGUUACUUGAAUAUAGUAAUUAAUCAAAUGUUCUUAAAUAUAAAAAAGAGCAAAGACUAAGAUGAAAUCACAAGUAAUAAAUAAAAGCAAAGAUAAGUAAAAGGGAAGAGAAGUCAAACAAUAUGAUAUGGAGGUUCGAUCCAAUGCAAUGAUCUACGUCCCCCGUUACCAAGCUCUUCAUCACGAGCAAGGCAUUUCUCACUAUACUGAUUGACUUAUGGUGCAAUCCAACCUUUUCACAAUGCUUCCGAUGAGUUACAAACAAGGUGCACCGAUCCUUUUACACCAUUGAGAUUUUCAAGACCUCAACUCGACCCACAAGUUUGAAAAUUAAGAGUUUACAAAUAGAGACUUCUCUUGUAAUGAAUGAUGUAUUUGGAGUUGAGUACAAUAAGAGAAGAUGACUAACACUUUAGUAGAUAGCAAUAAUUGAAGCUCAAGUGUUAAAUAAAAAAAAACUUUGAUGAAUAGAAUGAUUUUCAAAGGUUGAAUCAAUCAAAAGUUUUUCCAAUGUAAAUGAAUUGAAAAGAUAGAUAUAGAAAAAUGAUUGAGUAGCUAAGAUCAAUAAUAUCUCACUUUAAUGCUUACAAAAAGUCUAUAUUUGAAUGCAAAAUAAUCUGGUAUUUAUAGCAACAAAAUCGUCAAAAAUUUUGUCUUAUCGGACGUGGCUAUUGGACGUCUGCUAGCUUAUCAAACGGUCAACUAACCAUUUUUGUUCAGAAGUCAGAACAUUCAAUUUCUUGACCAUUGGACAAACCUGCCAUACCAGACGCGUCCACCAGAACUACCAGAUGCGUCCUCUAGGCCAACUUGUUCUAAUAGCUAUAAAUUUUCCUUCUUUUAAUGUUUUAAAAAGAUGUAAUCUCAUGAAGGAUGUUUCUAACUUGUUUUUCAAACUUUUUGACAUUUCUUAAAUUGUAUAAUAGGUUCAUGCAUUAAGAAAAACUGUUUAUGCACAAAUCGUGUUUGUUGUGCGAAAAAACUUUUCUUGAGCUUCAAAUGACUUAAUUGUCAAAUACUAAAGCGUUUUACCUUAACAUUUGAGAUCAAGGUAUCUAAUUCUAAUUUCUUCUAAUCUCAUCUUCGUUUGACUUGAUGAAGUGCUCAUUACCUUGAUAUGUAGCCCAGCUUCUACUUUGUUAAAUUUGCGAAAGCUCCAAAAGCAUCCUUUUGUCCACGUUUGUUAUAAUUUCUAUAAUCACUCGAAUACAAUUAUUAAAUAUAAUUUGUUUGUUAUAAUCAAAACGAGAAAUCAACUGUAGGUCAAUAGUAAAUACCCAAGAAAGCAUUUACACUAAUUGUAACUGAAGUGGAUGUGCAUUUACAACAAUAGGAAGGAGAUGCAUUUUGAUAAGAAAACUAUAAUUAAGAAGUAACAACUUACAGUGUCGAUUCAUACUAAUGAGCUGAUAAGAAAAAUAUAAUCAAGAAGUGAUGACUUACAAUAAAAUUGAUAAUAAUCAGAAAAUUCUGUACAGCAGAAUAUGCAUUCUACGUUAGUACAGUGAUUAUAUGCCUCGAAAUGAUUAUGCACUUGUGAAUAAUAAAGAAAAGGUAGCAUUUUAAACACUUCAAUGAUUUCAAAAUCCUCGCACACCUUUCCUGCUUGUGAAAAGAACUCGUAAACAUCUCUCCCAGUGGCCUUAAUUGGCAUCUUCAUAACAAGAAAAGAUAGGAAAUCAAUAGUCAUUGAGCUGAUUUAAAAAUGACUGGUUAUUCCAGACGUAAAUCAAGUGUGCCAAACCUGGUAUGCAAAAAUAGUUCUUUGAUCCCUUUCUGGAUCAACUUCCAGGCUCUACUGCUUCUUUCUCUUCCUUAAAUCUCCAACAUAACCCACUCAUAAAAAUAUGAGUAUAAAUCCAAUAGUAGGAACACAUCAACAUUAAGAUAUAUGAAGCUUUUGUUUGUGUUCUGGAAACUGUACACUACACCAACAAUCACUUUUUGCAACAGGCAAAAAACGUUGUCGUAGAUCUAUUGCAACGUUUAGGCGUCUGUUGUGGAUUUCAACGUUGCCAUAGAGCGAAGAGUUUUGACAAUGUUCAUUGCGCGUUGCGGAAACUUGAUUUUGGCAAUUGCAUUGAACGUUGCAGUCGAAAGAUGUUUUGGCAACGUUCAUUGCACGUUGUCAAAACUCAGUUUUGGCAACGUGCAUUCAAUGUUGCCAAAACACCCUUUUGGCAACAUUCAAUGCGGGUUGCAAAAAUUGAGUUUUGACAACGUGCAAUGAACGUUGCGGCAAUAUUCAAUGCGCGUUGCAAAAACUGAGUUUUGGCAAGAUGCAAUGAACGUUGCGGCAUGCAAUGAACGUAAAACCAACGUGAAAUACAAGUUGCAAAUGAAUUGCACGUUGCUGCAACGUUCAUUGCACAUUGCCAAAACCAACGUGAAAUACAAGUUGCAAAUGAAUUGCACGUUGCUGCAACGUUCAUUGCACAUUGCCAAAACCAACGUGAAAUACAAGUUGCAAAUGAAUUGCACGUUGCUGCAACGUUCAUUGCACAUUGCCAAAACCAACGUGAAAUACAAGUUGCAAAUGAAUUGCACGUUGCUGCAACGUUCAUUGCACAUUGCCAAAACCAACGUGAAAUACAAGUUGCAAAUGAAUUGCACGUUGCUGCAACGUUCAUUGCACAUUGCCAAAACCAACGUGAAAUACAAGUUGCAAAUGAAUUGCACGUUGCUGCAACGUUCAUUGCACAUUGCCAAAACCAACGUGAAUACAAGUUGCAAAUGAGACUUUUGACAACGUUCAAUGAACGUUGCCGUAGGUCGUUUACAAUUUUUUCCCCCCUAUUUGUAUAACAAUUUACCAAAUUAACCACAAAGCAGAUUGAUCAACAAAGCAGCCAUAAACCACAGGUAGAAUUAUUGAACAAUUUACAAUAAUAUUGAUCACUGCACAUAUCAAUAUGACUACCAACCAUACAAUAAUAGCAGCCAUAAACCAGAUUGAUCAACAAAGCAGCCACAUCAUUUUUCAGUCAUAUUAGUGCUUCUGGUUUGUAUAAAACUGGUGAUCAGUUUUUCAUUAGGCAAGAAGUUCGUAAUGAUGGAUCAUCAAUCUGUUACCACAGUUCGUAAAGAUGGCUAUGUUAAAGCUAAAUCAGAAAAAAACAUUUAGGCAUCGAAGACAACAAUUGUAGAACCAAAGGUGUACGUGAGAAAGAAUAAGUAACAUCUUAUUGCCAAUUUCUUCUCCAUUUCCAUUACAAUAGUUCUCGAUAGAAAAGUGCACUUUGAAACAGCUAAUAUAUUCAACAAUUCUCAGCGUCAGCCAUGCUUCCACCAUGCAAAACAAGUCAGCCAAACAUACGACUGAGUUGCUGAACUUAUCCUUCUUGUAUGUGCAAAUGGAACCAACCCUUGGACAACCCUUAUGUUUUUUUCAAAGGUUGUCCUCUUCUUUUCUUCCUCUUGGUUCUCCAUCUGUUGCAAAAUCUUUCACCAUGGAUUCAAGAGAAAUACUUGCAGUUUGCAUCUGCACAGAUGCGUUCCCCAUUGUUGAACUACCUGGUUCAUUAAGAGGACGACGAUAGUCGAAUCAUUUAUUAAAUCAUCGUCCGAAUCAAUCAAUUGGCAUUCAAUAGGUAUCUUUUUCUUCUCCUCUAACGUAUAUAUGCAAAGAAACAGGUAGAAUUUGAGCCCAAUUUACAAAAAGUCAGAGUCCAUUCUAUAUUAUGAGUGCACAACAAUUCAACCUUCUUCAGUACUAACAUUAAAUUUCGAGUGACUUCGGUAAAAGAAAUUUAUGUAAAACCAACACAAAAAUGAAGAGAAGUCCAUGUAAAAGCUAAUAUAUGGUCAGAUGAAAUAACCAAGAGAACGUUUAUGCUAAAAGUAGGAAUUUAUAAUUAAAACUGAACAUUCCCAUUCAAAAAUUCCAAGCCCUCAAAACUAAAACCUAAAAAUGUGAAAAAAGCACUGAAAUCCAAAUCUGUCAAUAUAUUACUUCUUGGCUGUUACUCCCAUCACAUGAAGAAUAUGUUCAAUGAUACAUCAUCUACAUUCUUUCCUUUUAAUUUUUCAUUUGGUAUGCUUCAGUUCUUUGUAGACAAGCUUAUCAAUUCUCUUUGGGAUAUAAAUGCUAAUAAAGGGGACAAGGUGCAAUGCGCAUCAAAGUUCAGGGGAUCUCUUCUACUAUUUUCCCAAAGUAAAAUAUAAUAAAUUUAUCAGGAUAAAAUAAAAAGAAAGUAAGUUUAGGGUCGUAAUCUUUGAUUCGCUAAUUCACACCUAAACUCAGCCAAUCCCACCCUUGAAUUUGCAAGAUCAAACUCCAUCCACAUAUUUUGCUGGUGAUGAUGUCCAAUAAUAUAAGCCUCCACACCCAGCAAAUCUGAGUUCCCAAAUGUGAAACAAUAUAUUGAAUCACUUCCUCUGCUUGCGCCUCCAACUUUGUACAAUAAUAUCUCCCCAGUAACACUCAUUUCCACUCCUCUAAAAAUCAAAUUCACACUUGGCAAUGGAGGUCAAACUCUUCUAUUCUGCUCAAUUCUGUAGCACAAAUCCAUAGACCCUUGAAACACAAAAUUGGGAUCUUCUAAUUUCCUUAAAACACCUCUAGUUUGAUUCAUAAUUGCUGAAUUUGUUUAUGUACGUUGAAAUUGAGAAUUAAAAAGAAACUAGAGGUGAUUAAUCAAAAAAAUUUCUGAACAAUAACAUCAUAGACCAAAACAAGAGCCUGGUAUACCCCCCUCCCCGCCCACCCCCAACACACAUAAAUACGAAUCACAUUCACAGGGAAAAUAUACAAAUUUCAAGAGCAUAUCAAUAAUGAGUACCUGAAGGAACAGAAUUAGAGUGGUUGCAUUUUGAAAAGACGAUAAAGGACUGAAUGCACGAAUAGCAACACAGCUUCCCUGAAUCUUGUCUGGACUCAUUUCGACACUAACAAACGAUCUUGAUUUCUCUCUUAUCCUUUGCCCUAGAGUAUCAUGCUAUUCUUGUGUAUGCAUAUAGUGUGUGUGUGUGUGUGUGAGAGAGAGAGAGAGAGAGAGAGAGAGGUGGGAACAGUUACGUCGUCGUUUCGUCUGUUCGCGGUUCUUCCCCCCUCAUACUGUGAAGAAGACAGAAAAGGGUGAAAAAAAUACUGUAGAGAAACCGACACCCAGACUCGAUCAACACCACUAAUCUUAUAGUGGCCACGCAGAUUGCAGAGCGAGAUAGAGGGGGAAGAAAUUGAGAGUGAGAGUGAGAACGGUGGCGGGGAGAAUGAGAGAGGGGGGGUACUUUUUAAAAUAGCUUGGUCAAACAAUCAAUUUUUCAUUUUGACCAUUUUUUUUGUAUUCACCACAUUGGCCUAUUGUCAUUAAAAAGACAAUUCUACCCUUAUUCAUGUUUAAUAAUUACAAAAGUAUAUCAAUUGUUUAAAAGACAAUAAUACCCUUAAUAGUUUAAAUAAAUUCUGUUACUUCCAUACGUAAAUUUCAAAAUCAGUUUUGGUUUAUCAGUUUCUCCAAUACAGUAAAAAAAAAAUUUUUCCUUCCAUCUGCUAAAAUAUUGAAAUCUCCCAAAAUUAUCAAAGGUUCAAGAAAGAAACAAUACUCACAGUUGGCACUGGAAAUUGGUAAGUGUAAAUACGUAUUUUGAAUUUUGUUUUAGUUAAAUUUACUGUUUGAAUCUAGUCUUUAAACGUUGCGAAAGGGGGUAUUAGCAACAACCACUCAAAGAACGUUGCUAAAUCUUAAUUUUCUCAACCAACGGCAAUAUGCAUUUGCUGAAUGUUGCAAUAAACCUCUUUUAACAACAUACAAUUGGUGAAUGUUGCCAUUUAAAUGUUGUAAAAGGCCAUUUUUCUUGUAGUGGUAGUAAAAACAAAAUCCCAAACCCUUGGUUAUAUUCUCCCCAAGGUUAUGUAUUUCCAGACCCACAAACUUAAAAUUUGCAACCAUCAUAUGAGUGAAUUGCACUUGACAUGGCUAAAACCUAGACCAGGAAAAAUGUUUUUUCAUGAAGUAACAAGAAAUCCAACAUAGUAGAUAAUUUUUCCACAGGUUAUAAAUAGGUUAUAUCAUGAGCAUUAUAGGAGAAAAUGAUCUAGUCAUUUUACCAAGUCCAGCUUGAGACAUUCAUACAGUGGCAAAAAGAUGAAGAUAAGAAUAGUGAAAAACUGUUGAACAAAAAGAUAAUCAGAUCAUUUAUACAUUGAAAAUAAAUGUUGGUAAAAAUCUCCAAAGUCAUGCUCAAUUUUGCAGCUAGGGAACAAUUUUAAGAAACCAAUCUUAUGUUCAUCAUAUUUAAAAGUUAAAAGGACAAAAAAGGAGGUCUACAACUUUUCUCCUUAAAUUCAUGAAGCAUUCUCCAUUAUAAAAUGUGUUAUGAGUUCCAAAACUUUACACGCAAUCUAUUCACAUUUUGUAAUAGUUGGGUCAAUUCCAAAUAGAGACAUUUGCUAUUUAUAAUCCCUGUUCAGAGCAAAGGAAUGCCAACAUCUCAGCUUAUAGGUGAGAAAGUAACCUUAAAUCCAGCUAUGCAAAACAUUUGAAGAUGGAAGAGUACACCAAAUCUUAAAGCCCAAAUAAAGAAACUCAACAGACCUUAUCAAACUCAAUAUGUGGAAAAGCCAUUUUCUUCAAUGAAGAAGCCUUCAAGUGGAUGAAAGACUAAUUACUAUAAAAUAAUUUUUUCUAUUGUCAUAAUAUCAACAUCUAUGCACGACACUGUGGAACCAACUCAAUCAAAUAUAAAUAAAAAAGUUGCUUUAUAUCACUUUUGCAUUAACAAACUAAUAGUAUUAAAACUAAAUUCCAUUACCUUUAUUCACAUAUAUUGAUCCAGGUUGAAGACUAUCAUGUGCUUGUAUGAUGCUCUGCUCAAUGCCAUCAACAAGGGCAUCAAAGGAUUGGCGCACAAAACCAAAGGAUGUUACAAGAUAUACAAAAUAUUGAAGAUAACCCCCUGGGCCGGCAUGGGUAUGAGUGGCACUAAUAGCAACAUUGUUUUUUGUGUAAAGAUUUCCAUACAUGUAAUAGCAACAUCAGCCCAUUAAUCAAAUAUCCACAAUAUUAAAACACUACUAAAACAGGACAAAUUCAUCAUAUUAUUCCUGCAAUUCUAACAAUCGAUUUCUAACAACAAUUGACUCCGUGUAUUUGAUAGAAUCCCUUUAAUUAAUUGAUAACCUCUCUCCAGUUUAAUCAACUCCACAUUAUUAACUCAACUCAUUAUUUGCACGUAAAUUAAAAUUAUUCCUUAAUUAAGGCAUUCAAUAUCUAAAAACUCAAUUAAAUACAAACAAAUAGCAAAAGUAUAUUGCUACCUUUCAAUGUUCACCUUAACAAAGAAAUUAGUAAACGAUAUAAUUGAAGAAAAACCGAAUUUUUGAAUUACUUCUUGCAUUGAAGAAAAAUAAACCUUACCUUAAAUCCUCCUUCAAUCUUGAAUUUGAUUUAAACUCAUGCUUUGUAUUGUGUUUUCUUCCAUAGAAGAGUACAACGUUGCUGUAUAUAGAAUGCCAAUCUUUAACCAAAAUUUUUUCCUUUAUAUAACCCUCGGCUGCCUUGAAGAUUGCCAAAGUACUUUCAGGCUCUCGAACGAAGACGACAAGAGAGUAGAAGAGAGACGAGGCAGGAGAGAAAGAGGCAAUGAGAGGGAAUUAUUAGGGUUGUAUUCAUGUUUGGUUUUCAAUCUUUUCUUUUCUUUUCUUUUCUUUUCUUUUUCAACUAUGUGGAUCGGGUUGGGUCAACCCAUUAAUCGACCCAACCCAACUCGCCUUGUUAGUCCAAAGCCCUAAUCUACAUUAAUGUUGCAAAAUGUUACAACUUUUCUCAACGUUUAUCAAGAUAUUGCAAAAGAGAAACCUUUAUGCAACGUUUGAUCUUUUUGCAACGUCUAUCAAAUGUUGCAGAAGAUACACUUUAUGCAUCGUUUAAUAAACGUUGCAAAAAGUUUAUCUUCCGCAACAUUUAAUAAAUGUUACGAAAAUGUUUCUCUUUUACAACGUUUAAGAACAGUUGCAAAAGAUAAACUUUUUGCAACGUUGAUCAAACGUUGUGAAAUAGGCCUUUCAUAAUGUUUGGUAAAUAUUGCAAAAAUAACAAUUUUCACAACACCAAAUAAAUGUUGCAAAAGGCGAUAUUAGCAAUAUUCACUUAAAAAAUUUACAAAAUCUCAAUUAUUAAUACGAAUGGCAACAUUCAAUUAUUAGAAUAUUUCAAUCGACCCUUUUAGUAACAUUUAAUUAAUGAAUGUUGCCUUCUACAUGUUACAAAAAUACUUUUUUUUUUUUUUUGUACUGAAAAAAGUGUCUAACAUAUGGUGGACUUCUAAUAUAAGAGGCCUAACAAAUAAUGGAGUGUUUGAGAUAGACAGAAAAGCAAAAACUGUCAAAAUCUCGACUAGGGUUUGCACCACGUAACACCACUACUCGAGCGGUAGUCUCGUGGCCAGCAAGUGAUGCAUCCACCACUCAAACACUUAGCGAGCGAUGGAGUUAUUGCAAUUUUUGCUCAAGCACUACUUGUACGAUUUGCGAACGAUUUUCACGCAAUUUCUUCUUCUCAUCCAUCUUUUUUACUUCUUCAAGGCAUGCUACCAAUUUCUAAUAGAGUUCUCAAUAGAAUUUCUAGUAGAAUCUGGGUCACUCUUGAACUCUAGCAAAUCUCCACUUUGAUAUGAAUUCCAAUGCAAGAAAUAAAACUUCACUCUUCAACACAAAAACUCUCCAUCUCUUCCACAAAAGCCCUUAAGGGCAAACUCAACAACAAAUACCAAUUAAGUUCAAGCAAUGCUCAAACUUGACUAUAGGGAAUGACUUGGUUAUCCUAUUAGGAGGAUUAUCUUGGGUACGAACUAUGCAGACACCCAUAUCAAUUUCUUCAUUGAGCUGGACUUUCACCCUUCUUAUCUUUCCCUUAUCCUUGACUUAUAUCAUCAUAUCAUCAAUAUAUAAGGUAGAUAUUUAAAUGAUUCAUCACCAUACUUUUUAAAGUAAACACAGCUAUCAUAACUGCUUCUCUUGAAGUCAUGAGUAAUAAUAAAUGAGUCAAACAUUUUUAUAUCACCGAACAUCUUUAAACUGAUAGCACAACCACCAAUAGUAAAAACAUACCAUGUAAGAGAUGUUCUCUUUUAAAGUUCUCCAACAAAAUCAGAAUCAAUAUAACUUAUUUUUUAUGUAGAAGGUUCUUAAUUGGAAUCAAUACCUUUGGCCACACUCAAAGCAUAAGCAAUCAAAUAAGCUUUAUCGUACUUAUGUGGAGGUCUAAUAUCUUUUCAAGGUCUACUUUUAGCAGUAGAAUAACAUUGUUUAUCUGAGAGGAAAUUAUUUGCAUUUAUAUAUAUGAAAAAUUAACGUUGAAUAACUUAAAUUGAUUCAUGCAAAGUGUUUAGUGAAAAUGAGAAUGUUAAAAAGUGAUAUUAGCUGUCACUUUUAUCGGAAAAUGUUGCAUUAAUGUCAUUCAGAUUCCUUGAAACAAUUAAAUAGAAGCAUGUAGGUGUGUGUUUUUGAAAAUUUAAAUAUGAAAACAAACUCAAACAUUGUUUUAAUUAAAACAUGAUAUGAUGUAAUGAAUUGGAUUGAGUUAAUAUAUGAAAGUCAACUUUGGAUCAAUUCAAGUGAUACAUGCAAGGUGUUGUGAAAAUAAGAGUGAGAAAGGUGACAAUCUCUGUUGCCUCUUUUUUUUUUUUUUUUUUUUUUAAUUGUCGAAAUCUAUCUCAUUUAAAUUCUUUAGGAUCAAUUAAAUAGAUGGAUACAUGUGUGUUUGUGAAAAUUUAAAUAUGAACAUGAAUUGAAACUUUUUUUUGCAUUAAAAAGUGACAUGGUGUAACACUUUAUUUAUAUUUUGCAUAUGAAUUAAUAUGCUAAAUUUUGAAUGUGACAUUAUGUGUCACUUUUUUUACUUUUUUAAAAAUGGUUGCAAUGUAUCUUAUUUGAAUUUUUUAAAAUCAAUUAAAAAGAUGCAUACAUGUGAGAAUUUAAAUAUGAAUAUGAAUUUAAACAUUUCUUUACAUUAAAGGUGACUUGAUGUAACACUUUGUUUAUAUUUUUUUCAUGUGUUAGUUUGUCAAAAAUUAAAAGUGAUAUACUCUGUCACUUUUUUUAAAAAAAUUCUAGCACUAUUAUAUUUUUAAAUAUGUAUAAGAUUAAUGUCAUCAUUUAUUGUGACGGCAAAUGAAAACAAGAUAACAAAUAUAAAAGUGAUAAAAUAAUUGAAAUUGUUGUCCAAUCAAUAGAAUGCACAAAUAACAACUUUGUUAAAACGUAAAUGUACUUUUUUGUUUAAAAAGUAACAUAUCUUGUCACCAUUUUAAGAAGCUAAAAAAGUGAGAAAAAACCGAAAAAGUAAUAAAAUCUGAAAAAGUGAUUUGUAUUACACAUGAAUCCCUAUUUUAUACACUACAGAUAGUAGUGUGUUAAACAACUUUUUUUUUUAGUAUAUUUUGAUACAUAUAUGUAGUGUUUUAUAUUGACACAGCAUAUAAAUUGUUUUGGCAUUUGUAUGUGUCAACAAUGUGUCAAGUGGGAUAAAAGGUGCAAGUGUCGGAGGCAAGAUAAUGUUGAUAAUUUGGAGAUAUAUGAUAUAAAAUUUUACUUCUUAUUUUGCCUUCAAAAAUACCUCAACAUGUUCUAUUUAUGGAUAUCAAGAUGACAUAGGAACUAACAAAGUUUAAAUCAGAUCCAUCAGACAAGAAACUCAAUUCCGCACUGCUGCUGAGUCGUCGGGCUUAUCCACCAAGGGAUUCUGAUAUUGACAGCAAGCUUUGUCUCAUCUUCAUGAGCAGCCACCAAAAGAAGACUUUGCCCCAAAGCAGUCAUUGAUAAAUUCUUCCCCCAAAUCACCAAUAUACUCAUCAAUGGGAAGUUCAAGGUCUAAAGCUCGGGCCCUGUGAUGCUUAGGGUUGGGCCCAUCAUACUCUUUGAACAUAUAUAAGUUUUCCACGCUUGUUGAACGGUCAAACUACUUGGGAGGAAUGAAUAACAUAAUGGAAUACAAUCAAAAUGGAAGUUCUGCCUUCUCAAUGAAGAAGGGGUUUGUCUCUUACAUUUAAUGAAUUCAAGACGACUCCUCAAACUACUCACUAAGCUAUAAAAUUCUAUGAGACACUUGACUAGAGUCGAUAUAUAAGUUACUAUCCCCGUCUCAUAAAGAUAGAUUUGUUUCUAUUUUUACUCAUAAAUAAGAAAAUAUAAUUACCAUAGUUGGAAAUAUAAGUGUGUGUUUGGUUUGUCAUUUUCAGUCUUCAGUUUUCGAAAAUACUCAAAACGUGUUUGGUAUGUUAUUUUCAAAAAUGUGAUUUUGAAAACAAGGAAAAUUUUAUAACAUAAAACUCAAAACGAUGUUUUGAGCGUUUUUUUUGUAAACACUCAAAAAACUCAAAACGAGGAAAAUGAGCUUAAAAUUUCCCAAAUUAAAAUAAUUAAUAAAAUCACUCAAAACUUACGUAAAUACAAAUAACCCCCCCCCCCCCUCUCCUCUUCCUCCCAUACUCCUCCAAAAUGUCUUAAAACUAUUUAUAGAAGAGAAAUACCUCUUCGAAGUCUUCACUUUCCUUUUUUACUUGAAUCGUUUUACAACCAAAAUUGAGUUAUAUGUGUUGAUGGAGCCAUCUGUAUUGAUCUUUGGUUCGAGUAUCCAUUUUUUAACAACUGAAGAUUUCUGUGAAGGUAAAAACAAUAAGCUUCCAUGAACUAUUUUUUAUUGCAUUGAUUUCUUCAUUCAUGGUUUGAAUCUUCUUUUCUUCUUUUGAUGCUUCUUUAUAUGUAAUUGGAUCUUCACUUACAAAGAAUGUAAAGUAUACCAAAUCUGCUUCAUUCACUUCUUCAAAUUCCUCAUAAGUUUUUCUAAAACUUCUUGUCUUUCUUCUAGUCAUCGAUGGUCUAUUUUGAGGAGAUUCAGUUUUUUGACCAACAUCAGGCUGUGAUAAUUGAGAUUUAUUCCCUUCAAAAUGGAGAAUAUGCCAAUUUGAUGAACUUUAAAAAAAUUAACAAAUUAUAAAAAGCUUUCUCAUUAAAACGGACACCUCCAGUAACCCCCCUUCCUUUUUGGUCUUACCCCCCCCCCCCAAACCCCCCCCCCCCCCCCCGUUUUUUCCCCCCUUCCUUUUUGGUCUUUGGAUCGAAAACCUUGUAACCCUUAUUCUUUUCAAAGUAGUCAAUAAAGAUGCAUUUUUCAGAUUUAUCACUAAGUUUAGUGAAGAAUUUGAAAAAUGUGAAAAAGCAUGACAACCAAAUGUUCUCAAGUAAUGUACAUUCCUUCCAUACCAAGCCUCAUCUGUUCUGGAAUUGAUCGAGCUCUUUGUAGGUGAUCUAUCAAUUAAAUAAACAGUCCAUGAAAUUGCCUCAACCAAAAUUCGGACGACAUAUAUUCUUUCUUCAGAAUACAUCUAGCCAUUUCCAUAAUCGUUCUAACUUUUAGUUUGGGAUUACCAUUUUGUUGUGGUGAAUAUUGAGCUGUUAUAACAUUACUUUGGGCACCCUUUAAACUGUAGUCUUUCUUAAAAACUGAAAAUUUAGGUGCCAAAUCGGUCGUACUACAACUUGAAAAUCUUUCUAUUAAAAGUUUCCUUACUGGUGUAAAUUAAAAAUCAAGAUUGAGAGGAAACAAGUUAUUUGAGCCAAACCAAUGUUUGCAACCAGAUGGUGCAAAAGUUAUCAAAAAUGUGAAUAUCAAAACAUUUCUUGAUGAAAUAGCCAAUACUAAAAAAAUUAGUUUGCAACCCAAAUAGUACAUAAUGUACCCCCAAAUAUCUUCUUAACUUGCCCAGGUUUUGUUUUGAAAGCAUUGACUCCAACAUCUGGAAUUUUACAAGACUUAACACCUCCAAUUAUCACUAUCCACGGUUAACUUCUACAAGUUUUAAAAAUAAAUUCUUAUUUGCAGUCAUAUGCCUCUUGGCUCCAUUGUCCAAAUACCAAAUAAUACCAACAUUUUCGUCAGAAGCAAUUUAAUAAAUUUUCUUGAGAAAUUUCAUAUUUAUCUCAUGUGCAAAGCGACUCUCUCUCUCUCUAUUUGGAUAUUUAAUCCAGCAAUCACUCAUUGGAUUGCCAAGUUUACGACGAUGAAAACAUUUAAUAUUGGCUUUGUUAUCUUUUUUGAUGAUAAGAAUCACAUUGUAGCGGAAUAGAUCUUUGAUUGAUGGAUUCCGGGUUCAAUUUCAACUUAUCAUUCAAUGUCAACCAAUUAACCAAUACUCCAAGCCAUAACUUACAUUCACUUAUGGUUGCUUUAUCCCUUUCGCAUCCACAAAGGGACAAGGUUAUGGUGGUGAUUUGUAAGGCCCAAAAGCAAAAAGAAGACAAUAGAAGGCAAAGGCACGAAGAAGAUGGCAAGAAGCAACCUUGAUUUUCUUCUCGACAAAAGGGCAAAACACACACACAGAGCUUCUUGCAUAAUGAGACCAUAUAUAUAAAUUUAGGUUAUAUCAUCAAUUGGGCCAAGACACAAAAAAGCCAUCCUAUAAGUGAAUCUGGGUCAAGGCAACAUUAACAAAAUUAAGUUGUUACUAGCUGCCCAUGUUUUAAUUGAUUAAUUGAUAAUUAUUUCAUUGAUUGGUUGAGGCCUAUCAAAUGUAAUUCGAAACUAUUUAACAUCAUUACCCAGGAUUUAUUGGGUAUCAAAAUCCAAAAAAUCUCCACUUUGAUAUCCAAUAAACUUCCAAGCGAUCAAAGCAUACAUUAAUACUUACAUAAUCAAGAUAACAAAUAAAACUGGAAUCACAAACCUUAUCUCGUGUUUCGGCUACGAAAAACACAUCAUAUGUGCUCCAAGUACUUACCACAGUUAAGGUCACAAACAAAUACCCAAGAAGAAGCAUGUAAUCACAAUGAUUAAAUAAGAACAAAUAAACAUACGAUGACAGUAUAAUAUUGGAUAACACACAGAUUUUUUCAAACAUGUUUACAUAGAGCAAUAGACUAAUACGAAGUUAAUCAAUCAAACAACCAACACAUAUGCAACAAAUGCAUAAAUGACCCUAUGAAAAGAUCUCAUCACACUUAUUCUAUCUCGUUCCCUAUUGCUCACACCUCAAGAAUACAUAUUUCCUCUUAACUCAUGUCUAACUGGUAAAUCAUAAUAGAUCCUAAAUUAUCGGGAUAAUCCUUUAUCACCACAUCACUUCUCUCAAACUACAUGGAUAAUGGAUCUCCAACUAACAGAAUGAUAGAAAUGCAUCUCUCACACUCCACCUGAUUAGAUCCUCUUCACAGAUAAAAGAUUCCAACAUUUAAUCACCUCUUCACUCAUGAUUCAAAUGUCACACUCUGCAUCCCUAGUACAAACCACCAAUAUACCCCUAGACAUCUUUACUUCACCUCACUAAAAGACAUACAACACAAUACUAAUGCAUCUCAACUCACCAUUCAUGGAAACAAUUACACGAAGUAAUAAUAUCACUCUAAUUCAUGCAGUCACACACAAAAAACAAAUUGAAAGUGUAAUAUAUCAACACAACAAACUAAGCAAUCACCCACAUACAGAAAGGAUUACACAUAGGUGCAUGUGUAGUAACUAGAUUUACUCUCAAUAAACCUCACUAGAGUCAUUAUUCGACCAUAUAGCCACAUUCUUCUCACCUCUCAUUUUAUCCUUCUAUUUAUCCUUCUUUUUGGGACAAUCCCUAAUAAAAUGUCCAAACUUAUCAUAGUUGUAACACUACCGACCACUGACUUGUCACUACCCUCAUCACUUAAGUUACUACUUGAAUCAUUAUUGUCUUAUGCUCUACCCAAAUUCAUUUGCUUAAACUUCAUUCUACUCCUAAUCAUAUGUAACUCAUCACUCCUUUUAUCUUCUUUUUUAGCGUUAAUCUCCAUCUUCUUACUCUUAAGAGAAUCUAUGACAUUCUCGGAUAUUAAGGUGUCUCUAUCAUACUUAAUUGCAAUCUCAACUUCUCUAUAUGAAUCAGGUAUUGAAUUAAGCAAAAUAACGACCUUAUAAGUUUUAGACACCUUAUCACGAUUAUCAAUCUUGAACAAGAUUGUUGAAAACAUCUAAAUUGUCAUCAAGAUCAUUUGAAUGAUUCAUUUUAAAAUUGAAAAACCUUUCAAACAAGUACAACUUAUUAAGAAUAAACUUACAUUGUCCUCCAACUUUUGCCAAAGUUCUUUUGUAGAAUCAAGUUUUUCUACCAUUCUCAAAAUAGUGUCAGAUAGGUGAAAAAUACUUGAAGUGUAAGCAAAUUUAUCACAUUCUUCUUUUUGUGCUUCUAUCAAAUUUGUAGGAAAUUUGCAAUAUAUAACUUUUGAAACUUUUUGUUGAACCAAAAUCUCCUUUAUAUUUUGUUGCUAAAUUUAAAAAUCCCCUUUCCCGUUGAAAAUUUCAACUUCUAAAUGCGAACACAUUUUUGAAACAACAAAACAACUAAGUAUACAAAUAAGUCAUACGAAGUAAUCCUAUGACCAUAGUAUACACCGUUUUAAAUUCUCAGGGUUUCGUAAGAUUAGCGAUCUUAGAUCAAGGGAAUAUUCAAAUGGGUCAAGUCUAGGUGUUCUAACAAAAUAAUCAAAUGCAAAAUGAAGGCAUGUCAAUAAAAAAUUCAAAUUCUCACGUAAUGAAGGCAAUUAAACAUAUAAGCAAUUAUUAACUUGCAGUUAAAUCUAACACUUCAAAAUGGAGCAAGUAAUUCCUAAAUUUCUUGCACAAGUAAUGGUUACCCCUUCAUGGUAACCCAAUCCUAAUAUCACCAUACGAUGACGCACUAAUGCUGAAACUUAAAUUGAGAUAAGUCAAUAUACCAGAGUGGACCAAUCUGAGUUCGUAAAUUACGAGAGAUGCAAAUGUAUCACUUUAGGACCACUACUAUUCAUCCUAAAGUCUCCAGCAAGGCAGGGAAAAAUCGAGCAAAAAAGUAAAUCACACUUAGGGGCAAAAUCGUCCAGUUGUCAUUGUAUACCCUGAAAUAGAAAACUAACACCACAAAAUCAUUAGAAAUCAUGUUAGAAAUAUUCUAUCCGAAGAAACCAUUGCCUGAAACUGCCCAUCCCACCAUCACGUACCUUCACUGGUCCCAGGCCUCGGCCACCAUAUGCCGUCGCCAUCGAUCAUAUGCCACCCACAUAGGUGUGCCUUGGUCUGGUGAACACGCUGGUGCCUUGGUCUGCUGAACACGCUGGUUGUCUCCGUUUGUCCAACGGAUAAGUGGUUUUUCGUAAAAGUGUAAAAAUAGUUCCAAAUAGAACUUUUAAAAAAUGAACAGUUUCUGUUUCGAUUUUUCUCGAUUUUGGACCCUUUUUCAGUCGAUUUUUGGCCGAAAAUCCACCACCAAUGUGGCUCUGAUACCAAAUGUAGAGGAAUUGAUCUGCGAUUCAUGGAUUUCAGGCUCAGUUUCAACUUACCAACCAAUCAACCAAUACUCCAACCCACAACUUACAUUCACUUAUGGUUGCUUUCUUCCUUUCUCACUCACAAAUGGACAAGAUUAUGGUGGAGAUUUGCAAGCCACAAAGGCAAAGAGUAGAAUAUAAAAGGCAAAAGGUACGAAGAAGAUGACAAGAAGUAGCUUCUGUUUUCUUCUCAACAAAAGGGCAAAACACACACACGGCUUCUUGCAUAAUGAGACCAUAUUUAGGUUAUAUAAUCAAUUGGGCCAAGACACAAGAGAGCUAUUCUAUAAGUGAAUUUGGGCCAAGGCAAUAUUAACAAAAUUAAGUUGCUACUGGAGGCCCACGUUACUUUCGGGUCGAGUAUAUAAAUUGAUUGAUUGAUAAUUAUUUCACUCAUAUCAGUCGAGACUUAUGAAAUAUAAUUUGAAAUUGUUUAACAUCAUAGAUCGAGAUUUAUUGGGUAUCAAAAUCCAAUACACAUCCUCUUCCUAUUAGAGAAUAGUGGAAGGAUUGUUUCCCUUUUUUUUUUUUUAACUCUUUAUUUUCUUUGCCUCGUCCAUGUUGAUCAUAAGAAUGUCUUCCACCUCAUCUUCCUUGUUCAUGACCUCUUCCACAUCGACGACGAGUACCACAACCUCCUGUAAAUUUGAUUGGGUCUUUACAACUUGAUCAUGGGGAGAAAUAAUUUGAGGACUUCUUUGAAUAAUUCUAAUUUCAUGAGCCUCCAAUCAUUCUUACCAACUCUCCAAAGCCAUUAAUGAGACCUUGUGAUUCUUCAAUCGCCACCACAACUUGAUCAAAUUUACAUAGUGGGCUUCGCAUAAUUUUUUCGACAAUAUAUUGGGCCUUCAUAAUUUCUCCAUUUGAUGUCACCUAAUUCACUACAAAAUUAAUUCUCAUAAGAUUUUCUGACCGUUUUUCAUAGUCUUUUAUAUCCAUCUUCUCAAAUAUCACCCUCAAGGAUUGCAAAUGAACUUUUUUCACUUGAUCUUGGCAGGAAUGAGUUGCCCUCAGAAUUUUCCAAGCCUCUUGGGAACUUUUUGCCUUGAAUAUCCUCUCAUAAACUGGGAUUUAAUUGCAUGAUAUAUUUGGAAAAGUAUUUUUCUAUCUUUUUAUUUCUUGCUCUUCAGACGUAUCUUUGUGCAUUAAAAAAUUGAUUUUUAUUUUCACGUGGUUGUACUUCUUCUUUAGUAAAACUCCAUAAGUCUUAGAGAUUCAAGACAUAACUUCACUGGAGUACUCAAAUAAUCAAAAUUUUCUCCAUUGACUAGAUUUAAUGGAUACAAGACGACUUCUCAAACUACUAGUUGAACAGUAAAAUUCUAUGAGACACUUGACUAGAUCUAAUACAUAACUUAUUCUAGAAAAUGUGAUGAUCGAAUUUGAUUUAUUUCAACAAGGGUUUCUUUUUUAUUUGUUUAUAGUAUUUUUUACAGAGCCAAAUAAUUUCUCAGCCUUCGUUUGAACAUAAAUUUAUGAAUGGUUUAUAAAUUCAAAUAAAGUAUAUAUAUAUAUAUAUANNNNNNNNNNNNNNNNNNNNNNNNNNNNNNNNNNNNNNNNNNNNNNNNNNNNNNNNNNNNNNNNNNNNNNNNNNNNNNNNNNNNNNNNNNNNNNNNNNNNNNNNNNNNNNNNNNNNNNNNNNNNNNNNNNNNNNNNNNNNNNNNNNNNNNNNNNNNNNNNNNNNNNNNNNNNNNNNNNNNNNNNNNNNNNNNNNNNNNNNNNNNNNNNNNNNNNNNNNNNNNNNNNNNNNNNNNNNNNNNNNNNNNNNNNNNNNNNNNNNNNNNNNNNNNNNNNNNNNNNNNNNNAUAUGAUUUCAAAUACUAUAUGUCUUGCAAUUUCUCUUUAUAAACCGUUUAUAAAUUUAAUCAAAAAGAGGCUGACAAGUCCUAGCGCUGUUAAUAUACAGUAAAUUUUUUUUAUUGUGUUUCUUAUACUUUUCAAAUUCAAUUUUAUUCUUUUUGUCAAAAUUACUUUCUUCUUCCACACUUGAUGUUUUUUCUCGACCCCCUGCACUCUCCCCCUAGCGAAAAAUAAAAAGAAGAGAUUAUCUUCAUAAAAAUAAAGAAAAAAGGGUCUCAUAGGAAUUUUUAUUAAACUUCAUCACGUAAUGACUUAUUAUCAAGUUGGGUGCACAGUUUACUCCACUGGUUGGACAAAGGAAGUGAACUCUCGCUUUUAAUACAAAGAUCAUUUUAUAAAAAUGUAAUUUUUAGAACUAUUGAUUGUUAUGCAAAUAAUAAGACAUUUACAAGUUGAAUGAAUAGAUUAUUGGGCAGCUAAUGAGCCCAAUUUGUCUGUAUACAGUUAAAUUAAAAUCUUUAUUGGUGACUAAACUAAAAUAGAACUGGAAAUUUAGUGAUAAAUUUGGAAUAUAAAAUGAGUGACUAAAACGAAAUUUCUUUCAAGUUGAGUGACAAUAAUCUAAGAAAAAUUAGUGCCAUAUGGGAAAGGGCAUUAAAUUUUGUGACAGAAAUGUCACUCCUCACUAAAUUUUUACCAAAUCCAAACUUUUGUCCCAGGUUUAAAAUAAAAAAUUUACCAAUUAAAAUGACUGGGUUCAAAGUUGGUGAUUUCUAGUGUUUUCUACACAUAUUUUAUGUAUUGGACAUUAAAUAAAUUAACAUGAUUUGCAUGUAAAAGAAUGGGUUGAAAACAAAUAUAAAUAAAUAAUAUCUCUCUCUUCAUCAAAAUUUAUUUUUAUAUGAAUUGCUUUCAACUUUAUUUCUUUGCUCGACGUGGCACAUUAAGCAACAUAAAAAUUUCAUGAUGAAAGUCUAAAGUUUGUAAUUUUCAUAAUUAACUGAAGACACUCUACACUUUUUUUUCUAAAAUAAUAAUAAAUAAAAAAAAGACUUGAGCAUGUUUUAUUUUGAAGAGAGUAUGAUUUAAAAAAAAAAUUACUGUAAAAAAUAGUUCAAUCUAUUGGUUCUCCUUCGAUUAAAUCAGCUUUUGAGGAUAAUAAGAAAUAUAAGAGAUUAACAUUCCGAUUGUAUGUGAGAAAUGUACAAAAGUUAUUUCUGGUUGAAGGGACAAUCGAUCACGAUAAGAAAGAAGUUGAGAAUGUCUUUUUUAUUCUUGUAUACUUUCAAAGAAACCUUGUUUGUUUAGUCCCCGUUUGGCCCCCGUUUUUUAGAAAUGAAAAUGAGUGGAAUAGUGUUUUUUUGAAAAAUGAGUGAUUGAAAAAGAAGUAAAAGCUUUCGAUUUACGUGUAAUAUUAUUUUAUGAAAAAUUGUGUGGUUGGAAAUAAAAGUGAGAAAAAUUGAAAUGUAAUGUAAUGAAAUUUAACGAGGGCUUAAUGAAAACAACUAGUCAUUCUGAAAUCCAAAAUUGGGACUUACUUAAAGAGAAAUGACAAAAACUUGGGAGCUUAUUUAUUGUAAAUGGAAUACUCACACACCUACAAAGAAGGAUGAGUCCCAAGUUGGUAUUGUGAAAACAUCAUACAAAUACUCUCUAGUUUCAAGUUGAAAUUUAUUGCUCAUUAUGAGUUGAGUUUUGAUAUUUUAAAGCCAGUUUAUAGUAUCCUUUUGCAUGAAAAUAAUCAAUUUGGUUAUUGUGGUAAACUCUAUUAUGUUUAGGCAUAUUGGCCUGCAAUCGUGCCAUGCAAGUUUUGGAAUAGAAAUUAAUAUAUUAUAUGUGGUACAAGAUGUGAACCUUGGCUCUUAAUCAAUUGAAUUGGCAAAACAAAAUAUGCUUUGGUUUUUUUUUACUUGGGAUCGCAAUAAUGUAUUAUGCAAUAACAGUUUGACUAUUUUAAUAGCGAAAAUGAAACUCUUAACACAUUUUAUUGGGACAAAAGUUAAUGAAUUCUUAAUACAAAUAUUCUCUUUAUGACUUUUUAAGUAUUGUGGUCAUCAUUAUUAUUCGAGGCAAGAUUGUAGUGUUGGUCCCUCACGUAUAGUGCUUCUAACAAUGUAGUUAUCAACCUUAAAAAUAAACAUUUUGAUCCUUAUGUUUAAAUUUUGUUUUUGAUGUUAGUCCAAGCUCAUAAUUUCAAAAAUCUAUUAACACUAGGGACCAAUUUUUUUUCCUUGUUGAUCAAACUAUCACAAGUACUAUAGAUUGGGGACCAAUACUACAAGUUUCCCUAUUUUGGUAAGUUCACACAUUCUUAACAUCAAAAGUACAGAAAAUAGCAGCCAAAAUCCCCACAAUUUUGACUGGUGUUGCACCUUGGUCUAAAAUCUUCAAAUCAUAGCAAUUAAAUCUCCAAUCUUUUAAUUUUAGUAGCAGUUAGGUUCUCAUUGGACAGUUUUACCCUUGCCUUCAAUUAAGAAGCUAAAAUUCUAUUGAAAAGAUUAUAUUUACUCUUUUCUUUAAAUAAACCAAAAAAAAAGGGUAAAUACAAAACAAGAAUGAAAGAAAAAAUAAAAAUGAAAUUACUCUUCUCCCAUCCAUCCAGGCCACACCCGUCAAGAUAACCAAAAAGGGAAACAUAGAUAAUUAGAAUAUAUCCAACAAAAAAAAAAAAAAAAGAAGAAGAAAAGAAACUAGUGAAAACGUUACAAGAAUUAGAUGUUGACCACUCGAUAAUAGGUCAAGGUCACAAUAGUAUAUCAAAUGUCACAAUAUACACAGUAUGGUCACAAUCAUAAAUCGCACAAGGUCACAAUCACCAAACACAAACUGUGAGUCAGAAUUACAAAUUUCGUAUCAAUUACACUUUUUUUAGGUCGCUUUGUAAGUUCUAAUUUUUUUUCAAUUUUUACGUUGACUUUUUUUUUUUAAAUAAAAAAGAACAAAUGUCAAUUGCGUAUAACAAAUUUGUAACACAAUUGCACAAUAAACUCCUCGACCACCAAGCAAAAGGGAUAGCAUGUGGCCUAAGUUUUUUUUUUAGAUUUUUUAAAAUUUUUUUUACCCCCCCCCCCCCCCCCCCACAAGUCAUCAUUGCUGCAAGCAGUGGUUCUAAGCUCGACUGUGGUGGUUGGUCUCCGGUGACGUCAAUUAGAGUUGGUGGUGAUGGCGGCUACUAGAGAGAGAGAAAGAGAGCCCAUAUUUUUUAAUGAGUGGAGGUGGGUUGGGGUGAUGAGAUGGGAUGGGGAUGGGGUGGAGUGCACCUAAAUUUUAAUAGAAAAAUCUUUGCAACCGAUUUUCGAAAUGAAAAGUUAAGAAAAUGGUGUGAGUGUAAUUUUAACCUAAAACUAUUGUCAAUCACUUUGGAAGGGGUUUGUGGAUUUUUUAUUUUAUUUUUUAUUUUUUAUUUUUUAAAUAAGGGUGAAAUUGCAAUUAUAAUUAAGUAUCUGUUUGAUCCUGAUUAUUCAAGAAAAAGGAAUUUUUUGAUUCAAUUUGCUGGAUCCACUAAAGCAUAUAUUAAAUUUGUUAAACCGAGAAAUAAUGACAAUGUUGAAUUCUAUCUCUUUAACCCUUCAACAAGCUGUUGUCCGAUCUCCCAAAUUAUCCCCAAUAUUAAAAAACUCUCUGCUGAUGCCCUUUGUAUGACAAUGCGAAAAGCACUCAGGUGUAGAAUGGUCAAUCAAUCUCCUAAGUCCAUGAAAAAAUUGGACAGCAUGGACUGGAGUUCUUGGAGCAUUUUAGGGGGAAUUUAUUGGAAUUGCCCUUUUUCUGCAUAAUAUUUAAUUAGAAUUUUUCAAAUUCAUAACAUCGCAAUUUGGUAAAAAUCCAAUUCUAAUCCAGACCAAUUAGAUGCUAAAAUUUUAGCGCUUUUCUAAGGAUACAUUGUCCACUAAGGACAUAAGUCUACAGAAAUAAGACUUUGAGGAUAUAAAUACUGUCUUAAAGAAAGGGGACCAAGGUGCAACAUGUGUCAAAGUUUGGGGACCCACACGGCUAUUUUCCCUCAAAUAUGCAAAAUUUUCAAAAGAGAAAUAUCGACCAAACAUGGUGCCCACUACCACGAGAUAAGGAAAAAAAUAAAUAAAUAAAUAAAACAAGUCACAAAAGUAACUAAGUGGUUAGUCCAUUUGUUCAUGGCUAUUUAACAAUUUUUUUCAUAACAAAACAUGGCCAUUCCCAUAUGCUCAUUUUCUAAGCAAACACCACCAAUCCCAACUAUUUCAAUCUCCUCUUAUCCUUGUACAAAUUCACAUCUCAAAGCAAUCAAUUAUGGCUGCCUUCCAGCCUAAAGCCAUUCUUCUUCGAUUUACAGCCUUAAUUUGGUAACAGACGAAGCGUUAACUAUGGCUACUAAGGGUGUGGAUGCUUCUAGAGUGGAAUUGGAGUUUGCGCAGAAAAUGGAAAAGGUUUUUGAUAACAAAAGGAGCGAAAAUGAGGUUGAGAGACAUUGGUGCAAAGGAGUCGCAGAGAGAAGGGAGAGAAGAAGAAAAAGAAGAAGGGACUUGGAAUGUUUGGAGCAUGAGAAAAAUGAAAAACAUGUAUUUUUCAAGGCUGCCAAGAAGCAGUCAUACUUGACACCUAAAGAAGAGGCAAAGUUUUCUUGGUACCGGUAGUUAUACCUCUAAUUCUAAAUUGAUUGAUAUAAGUGGAGUCACUUUGUUUUAGUUAAGUUCUUGGACGAAGUAGUUCAAAUUUGAUAUUUUGCCACUAAGUAUAGACAAGUCAAGCUUUUAUGAAAAAAUGAACGUGCUAUGCACUUAAAGGGCAUGUUAAAUACUAAAUUUAAAUAAAUAAAUAUUUCACCUCAAUUAGAAUUUGAGCAAAAUCUUCAAUACAAUUAAGAAUUCAAUAUGCAACCUGCAAUUCAAGUUAUAGUUUUUGGUUCAGAGAUUAAUUGUGCAUAUAUGUAUAUAUAAUGCAGUUAUUCAAUGUAGAUUAGCUGCUGUUCUUUUUGAUAUACUUUUCCAUUCACCAAAUUUUAAAUUCCAUCUGUUCUACCUUAGGAGUUUAAUUGCCAAACUAUUCAGAUAGAUUAUGGGUUUUCAGGCUUCCGUAUUGCAAUUCUAGCAAAUGCGACUAAAACUUAUUCCCAAUAAAUUUAGGGUUUACUUCAUAAAUCAAAUUUUCUGCCUCUGUUUGGUUCUUUCCUCACAUUGUUUUACAAAAAAAAUAGGAAAAAAGGUUGAACCUGUGAGAAAGAAAAUAGCAGACAUGGGAGAAGAAGAAUUAACCUCAAGUCAAUGGGCUAAGGCUUCAGGAAUCACUCAGCAAAGGCUUGUAUAUAUUUUAUGUUAAGAGAGAGAAUCACAGGAUCGAAUUUGCAGCUGUUAUCAGAGACUUGUUAUUGCAGUCGCUAGAUCUCAUCAAGGAAUAGGGUUGAGCUUCAAAGAUUUAAUUCAGGUCCCUUACAUAAUUUCAAACAUUAACUGCGAUGUUACAAAUUUUAUUGAGUAUUAAAAUGAUUCUACAAUCUUGCAGAAAGGAAGAAUUGGACUAAUUCGAGGGGCUAUAAGAUUUAACACGAAGAGAGGUUGUAAGUUAUCCACAUACGGUUACUAGUGGAUUAGGCAAGCUAUUAGCAGAGCCAUAGCCAGCAAAUCAACGAUAUUCCAAUUGACGGUAAGGCAUACAUCAUUAAGCAGGUCUUACUCUGUUUUCAUGAGUUAAUUCCAAAUAUCAAUUGAUUAAUCUAUUGUUCUAUAUAUGAACAACUUUGAGUUUUAAUGGUGCUUUUGCCAAUUUAAUUGAAUUUUAUGUUAGCCACUAUUGAAUAAGUCCUAAAAUGAGGGAUAAAUGUACAAGAUAUUUAGGCUCGACAUAUUCCAACAUUUCCAGCAAAUGUGAACGUGACAUUACUAGCUACCCAUCCCCACCAAAAAAAUAAACAAAUUCAUAAAUUGAAAAGGAUAAUUCCCGGACGAGUUGUGGAAAUCCCUAAUUUAGUGACUAAAGAGAAUAUGAAAUUUAACAGAAAGCUCACAAUCAGUGAAUGGGUGUUAAGGUUUUCAUGUGCAGGGCAGUAUUAGUGAAUUGGUACCUAAGAUUUGCGAGGCGAACAAUGACUUAAGCCGAAGGCUGCAGAGUAUCCUACAUGUGAUGAGAUUGCAGCAGCCAUUGAUGUGGAUGCUUCAAUUAUCCUUUAGAGUGCAUGUUUAUUCCAUCAGCUAUGAGUAUGCUACAAAAACUUUGUACAAGAGUUUUAAAUGCUGAGUUUCGGCUAUAAAAAAUAAAUAACCCUCCUCCCUCCUAAAUGUGGUGUCAGCUACAUGAAUCAUUUUUCAUCAAUUCGUCCAUUUCAUUGCUAAGAAACUACAUUUUUAACUUUACCCUCAUGUAUUCUACAUCAAUUUAAAUAAAAUCUUGAAAAAGUAGUAGAAAUUUGAUUGAAUUCUUUGUUUUACCAUUUUCUGUAGGACAUCAUACGGGGGCGAAAUGAAACGAAACUAGAGGCAAUGGAGAAGAAAGAGAUGUUGAAAAGAGAAAUACAAAAGCUUCUUAACUAGUUGUGUGAGAGAGGAAAAUGUCUUAAGACUGCACUAUGGCCUUAAUGGCUGCACUCCAUGUUCCUUUGAAAAUUGAAGAGAUAGGAAAUUUAUUUAAACUUUCAAGGGAGAGGAUUCGGCAGAUUAAUAGCACUGCAUUGUCUAAAUUACAAAGGACUAGUGGGAUAAAUGAUCUCAAAUAUUUGAUAUAGCUUUUACUAUAUAUAAAGAAUACAUGCUUACAGUACAUAAAUCAUGGAUUUGUAUAUCCAUUUUCUACAAAAUUAUUGCAAAUUGAAGACACUGUCUUCUGCUCUUUCGAAUUUUUCUUAAGAUUCUGUUGUGAGUAUAUAAUCUAAAUGCAAGUUUGAAUUGGUUAUCUAUUUCAGCUAUCUCAAAUUGAACUUUCAACUCAAAAAACUCCAUUUUGGAUCAAUUCAGUUGUGAUCCUUCUUACAUUCAAAUCUAAACGAGCUUAAUUGAAACUUUUAGUGUUAAAGAGGUACAUAAAUUAAUUUCUUGUAUCAUGAAUUGCAUGUCAUACAUGAUACGGAGGUUCACUUGAACACUCUAUAUGAUCACAUAAAAAUUCAUUUUGGCACACUCUUCUUACUUUAAAUUUUAGUUAUUGUUGGAUCAGAGCCUAAAAUUAAGCCUUAAUUUGGAUUUGCAUAAAGAUCCCGAGAAUAGAGGAAGAACUAAAUAUCAAACACCAGAUUUAGUCUGAAACUAGUCUAUAUCCUCGUUGAGCUUCACCUUAUGAACUCUUAUAACUAAAUUUUUCUGGUUUGAGAUUACAGGGUACAAAGAGGCACAAAAAUCUCAACUCAAGCAUGAUUUUUCCCAAGAACAGCACAUAGAUUACAAUCUCCCACAAAAGGCACUUUCCUACAUGAUCUCAAUAUCCAAGAAGAUAGAGGAUUUUCCUAUUGACUUUUUAUCUCAAAAGCUAAGCCUAGAAAUUUAGAAGUCUUGAACUGAAGUCCAAAAUGCAGAGGCAACACUGCCAGCACAUGCAUCAAAAUUUUGCCUUCCGUCUCCAGGGGAAGCUUGUAGAGAGAAACACAACCAACAUUGUGUAAGUAUUAUGCCCUAGGUCCUUUCAACUUUGGACAUAAAUACUUUUGAUAUAUAAUUAAUGCAAUUUAAUGGCAGAUCUAUUAUUUAAUUAAUUAUCUAUUAAAUAAAUAAUAGAGUCCGUAGAUUCAAAUCUUCAUAAUUUGUUAAUCACAAGGAGUUGUGAUUGUGAGAUACAAAUUACAUCUGAUUGAAUCUUAAAUUGUCCGUGGUCGUAAGUAAUAACGAGAUACGGAUAUCGUUAUUACGGAUAGACCAUCACGUGUGACAUUUCUUACUUGUAAAGUGAGUAAUUGAUCUCACAAGUUAAAGUGUGGUGACACUUAGAUGAAUACGUGGAUGUUUUGUUAUAGAACAAAAUAUUGGAGACCCACCGAGAGAUUCCACGUGGAUAGCUAUCUGAGUGUCAGUGGUUAAUCUCUAACAUUCGGUACUGGAAUUGGCCCUUUGACUUGAGGUCGUCAUGGUACCUUAUAUGAGGACAGUCAUACUUUGGCGGUGUUGGAUGUUGCUCUGCAAAGGGCCGCUAAUACGACAUCGUUCGGGUACGUCAAGAAUCGUAUGAAGGUUGUGAUUGAUCAAUAAAGGAUUCAUCACUCUUAAAUAGUAUGAGAUUAUGAUAUGUGUUUCAUUCAAUUAAGUCGAUGAUGAAAUCCUUGGUCAAGGUAUACUCAUAAGCCGAAAAUGAGUUUUCGACUUAUAUUGACUUAAUAGUGGAGUGAAAGAUAUGAUCGAUAAUUGAGAUUGACACGCUUCCAUAUCUCGUAAUUGAUCGGAUCAUAUUAACGAAGGGAUUAUAGUUUUACGGUAAACGAACGAAUUUGGUUUUGUCAUACCACAUGACAUUUCUCGUCACAUGUAUUGCCCUUAUAUGUCUAGAUGUCAAUCUGGGACGGCGAGUGUGAAUUGACGAUAAAUUAAAAGGAUAAUUUAAUUUAUUAAUUUUGAUUAGAUCAAAGUAAUAUUUCACGUCGUUAGGCAUCGUGAUCGGGAGCCUGAUGGGUCACACACAAAAGAGAAUUGAAAUAUUGCAAUUUGUUAAUUAAUUAAUUUAACAAUCGUUGGAUAAAUUAAUUAAUUGGGUUGGUUAUUUAUAGGCUCGAAUUAAUUAAUUGGAUUAAUUAAUUCACGGACCGGAUUUAAUUAAAUUGAUUAAUUAAAUAUGGACCGGACCGGGCCAGGCCCGUUUAGGCUUAUAUAAAUACAUGACUAGGAUUUUCAAUCCAUAUGGUUUUUCUCAUAAUCAUUCUUGCUAGAACGAAAAGAAAUGCAAAAGAUUUGCAGAAUUCUUCAAAGGUACAAGUUUUAUCACGAUUUUUAUAUAAACACAAAGGGAUUCUCGAUGGGAAUCGAAAUAAUUUUAAUUUUUCGCUGUGCAUGUAUAAAUAGAUUCCCACCAAAUUGAGAAGUUGAAUUUUGGAGCCAAAGGACCGUAAGUGUCAGUUGAGUGUAGCGAUUAUAGAAUAAAAACGCGAUUUUUCCAUUUUGUAUCACAAACAACAUUCUAACAGUUAUCCUACAAGUUUUAGAAAGUAAUGUUAACAUGUUGUGGAAAUUAUAUACCAAGAACUUUGAAUCGUGCAAUUCUGGCUCAGUUUCACAAUACACCAAAUCAAACACAAACCAAUCAAAAGCUCAACCCAAAUUCAAACUUCCCAAUGUGGUUGCCAUCUUUUAAAUUUUUCCCACAAAGGACAAUAUGGUGGAUGUAACUAAUUCCACAAAGUAAGAGAUAAGGAAGGAAGGACUGGUUCAACACUCAUCAAGAACGAAGAAUGGCUGCCUUUCUUUUCUCACAAUACAAUUGCAACUCACAUGGUUCAUACAAAGGAGUUAACAUAUAUAUAGUUUAAGGUUUAAACGCAUGGGCCAAGAAACAACAAAUUGGGCCAAGACUUAACAACACUUUAUUAUUUUCUUCAUUUAUUUGUCUUUGUUCUUGUCAUCGAAUUUUUAAGAAGGAAAGGGUUUCUUAGAGAUUAGCAAGGUGUGCCAACAAGAAAGGUAAAGUGGGCUAAGCAUCUAAAUCCAAUUAAUGAAUGGAUGAUAAGUGUAUUUUAUACAUUUUUUGAGCCUUAAAUUAGUAAUAGUUCGUAGUUUUUUUGAUGAAAUAUAGCCUAAUUUAGUGUAUAAUUUUGUUUCAUGGAUGAAACUCGAUGAAUGAAAAUGAAAUUGUAAAAAAAGAAGAGAACAUUGGUGAGAAGGGAAAGAUCCAAAGUUCGGAGACUAAAUACUCAAAAAUUCUGUCAGACCUCAUGAUGAAGAUUCAAGAAUACUAGCGGUCAAUUGAAUGAAGAAAGAAGUCAAAGUGAUGAAAUAUGAUCAAAAUAUUUUCACAAAUCAACUUUAAAUUACACAAGUAUGUUCCAGAUUUUUAGCCAGAGAUUGAGACACAGUUUUGACAUAGUAAAUUUUCAAUUGGAAAAAGGCUAUCUCUAACAAAGGUGUAGCCAUUUGAAUUUUGUUCCAAUGCACUUAGAAUCGCCUUAAUCCAAUAUCAGAAGAUAACAUUAUAAUAAAAAUACUGAAUGAUGUGCAAAGUUGGAGCAAUAGAGGUGGCGCCGAGGUGCCCACUCUAGGAAAAAAUAAUAGAUCCGUAGCGCGUGCACCGCCAAAUAGGGCUUCCAAGUGCAACUCACCUUUUAAAGGUCUAAUUCAACUAAAACUCUUCCAAGACUUAAAAGAAGACAUAAAUAUAACUCUAAAGAACACUUUUGCGGAGAAUUGGAUGAGGCAAGAGGCAAGAUAUCAAUCAAGAGGGUUAUACGCUUUGAGAAUUAAAGAGAGAAAAUGAGGAAGAAAACAAGAAAUCAAGAAUUAGCGUUUGGAAUCAAAAUUUUGGGAAAGAAGAGGAACUUGGCUCUAGAUUCAUCCAUCUCUCCACGCCUCAUUUUAAAACUCAGUGAUAUAUUCCAAUAUUAUUAUUUGUUUUUCUUCCUACAUUAUGAAUAGCUAAAUUUUUUUGAUAGGGCAAACAAUGAAAUUUAUUAAGAUCCUUUAAUUCAAGUUUCAAGAUCCUAGAUCUUUAAAAGUUCAUGUGCUGAUUUUAUUCAUGGAGUUUAUUGCUUGAAUUCUUUAGCCAAUUAUUCAUUGAUCUUGUGAAUUUAUUAUGAGUCGAGAGGUGAGUUUCAGAUUUAGACCACAUAAUAAAAUCCAGAAACUUGUAUAAAAGUGUAGAGACGGAUUUUCUAAUUAAUGCGGUUGUUACAUGAAUUCUUAGAAAUUAAAUGUGUAUAACUAAGGUAUAUCCUGAUUAACAUAGAAAUAUGGAAUUGACUUAGUUAAAUAUGAUCAAUUUUAACUCGAAAGAGAUUAGUUCAAUAUGUAUAGAAGAAUUCGACUGAUCAUUGCACUAUGUAAUGAAUCUUGAGUAAAGAAUUACAUGUAAUCAAUAAAAGAAAUUGUGAAAGCCUAAUAUCGCCUUCAUAUUUCAAAACCUAAUUUGAUUUUUGUGUGCAUUAAGAUACAUUCAAAUAGUAGUGUAAUUUAGAUCAACAAUCACAAAAUCAUAAAUUAUUUUUGUCAAGCAGAAGCUAUCAAUAAUAAACUAGGAAUAAAUAAUAGUCCUAGUAGGAACGGUUAUUCGAAUUCAAAGGUGCAUUAUAUUACUUGUUCAAUAUCGUACACUUACGAUAUAAAAAAUGCAACAAGUUUUUGGAGCCGUUGUCAGAGACUAUUUACAUUUAAUCUAAAUUUAUUUUGUUUUAACUUUUAUUUGAUAAGAUAAAAAUGUGUUCACCGUAUGUUCCGUUCUCAAGGUGAUGAUCUUGAACCAUUUGAUCUGGAAAUAGAUGUACCUUUGAUGAAAACUCAAAGAACACAAAUAAGAACAAGAAACAUCAUAUGGCAGAAUAGCAAAAUAUUUUGAGACUACCAAUUGGACAAGGAUUUGCUAAAGUAGGGGCACCUCAAAAUCAGUGGCACGAACAAGUUGAGAUCAAUGAAGGAUUAGUGUAGAGAUGUGCUCUAGCUGUUGAUGGCAGUUGGGCAACUGAGAUUAGUGCCUAUAGGAGGCAGGAAUUAGAUGAUAGAGCUUGGAGCUCAAUUUUCCUUCACUUAUAUGACAAUGUGAUAAGAAAAAUUGGAGAAACUACCACAGGUGAAACAUUAUGGGCAAAAUCAAAUAAGUGUUUUCUCUUGAAACAAUUCUAUAACUUUAGGUUUGAUUCCUUCUCUAGACUAGAAGAAAAUAUUGAUAAGUUCACAAAACUGAUUCAAGCCUUAGCUAACUAUGAUGAGAAAUUAUCUUAUUAUCAACAAGUGGUUGCCCUGUUAAAUUCCUUGGGUGACAAAUACCGGGAGAUUAGAAAAUGCCUUGGAGUAUGGCAGAGAGGAUCUCUCUAACAAUAUUUUUCCUUCAAGUUAAACAAUUUAACAAGUGUAGAACUUUUUAAAUGCAAUAUAUAUAUAGAUAGGAUAUACAGGUUUCUUUGAUCCUCAAGUAAUUUAUCGAAUUCAUUUGGAAUAUAAAAUAAACUUUCAUAUGUAGACUGUACCAAAUGUACGGUUUCUUGAGCAAAGGCGUUUGAGAUAUUUUCUCCUUAUUGACCACUAAUGUCCAUCGACCUUGACCUACCGAAGACCUAGCACCCAUUAUCUACCAAACAUCCUUCUCCAUUUCAUAUCCAUUUAUGGUAUUUUAGAUCUAUUCCAUUAAAAAAUAAAUGCUCCUUCACAAUCUUAACAUUUUUCCUCCAUAGUUAUCACAUUUUACACAUAGAAUUCGUAUCAAAUUAGGAUCAUUAGCAUUCUUUGCUGCAAACAUCAACAAAUUUUUUAUCAGUACAUUAUACGAAUACGACAUCCUAUCCAUUGACGUCCGUUGUUUGUCCAUAUUUGAUUAUGAACUAAUAUCACUACUAUAUAAAAAGGGGCAAUGUUUCACUACUUUAGAAAAAACAGUAGAUUCUUCCAUUUUGUCCCACUGUAGCUUUUUUUUAGAGAAAGCAACGACGUCGUUUAUCUUACAUGUUUGAUAUAGUGACUUUGUUGCUUUUCCUCAAUUUGCUCGGCAUGGAGGAUUAUGUCAUAGAGCCCUAUUUACUCUUUCUCCAUUUUUACACGCUACAGUCAUGCCUCUCUAUUUCUCCACACUAAUUCAAGAGCAAAAAUGUGAAUUCCAUAAAUAUAUGAUUGAAAAUAUGUUUAAAGAAAAAUAAACUUUAAAAAAUGAAGACCAAACAUGCUAACAAAUGAAUAUAUUUAUUUUUUGAAAAAUAAGUUUUUAUUACCAUUUCAUUUUUAUCGUAAAAUGAUUCUAAUUUUAAUAUGUUAGAUUGUGCUUCAAAAUUACAUAAUUUAUCAAGUAUAAUUUUUAAAAUUAAUUUUUAUAAAGUAAUAUAUUUUUAUAAUUUUUACGUACGUUGGCUUCCGUAAGCCUCCGGAUUACGGAGGCCAGGCCUCCAUAAAGCCUCCGUAUUAUGGAGGCUUUGCUCCAUAAUACGGAGGCCUUGCAUCCGUAAUUUUUUUUAUUUUUUAAUAUAUACUAAAAUUAUUAUUUUUAAAUGUUGUUGGCAUGAUGCGUGUGAGGAAGAAUAUUUGUCAAUCACCAUAAACAAAAUUUUUCACAAAAUGCAAAAAAAUAAAAAUGCAUAAUAAAUCUUCUUAUUACGCUAAUAAAAUUAUAAUAUUUUUUUUUUACAAAUAACAUAAAAGCUUAUUUUUAUUUUCAACAAAAAAAUACAUUUAAAAAUUAGUAAUUUCAUAACAACUUUUUUAUUUUUAUUUUCGGAAAUACAAUUAUAAAAUAAAAAAUAAUUAAUUUUUUAAUAUAAUAUGUUAUGGAGGCUCAAGUAUGAGCCUCCAUAAUUAUUAACAUUUUGGAGGCGCAUGUUUGAGCUUCCAUUAUGGAGCCUCCGUUAUUACUUUACUAAAAAAAAAAAAAAAUCAUAAAAACAUAUUACUUUAUAAAAAUUAAUUUUAAAAAUUAGAUUUGAUACAUUAUGUAAAUUUGAAGCACAAUCUAACAUAUUAAGAUUAGAAUUAUUUCAUGAUAAAAAUGAAAUGAUAAUAAAAACUCAUUUUUCGAAAAAUAAAUAUAUUUAUUUGUUAAUAAAUAAAAACAUUAUUUUUAUAUAUGUACGUAAAAGAUAUAUAGUAACCAUUUGGAUGACCAAAAAAUAAUAUCAAUCAAAAUGUUUACGAACCGUUUAAAUAAUAAUUAAUUGAGGGGGUUAAUUCAAGAGCAAAAGUGUGAAUUCCAUAAAUAUAUGUAAAAAAAAAUUCGCUUUAAGUUAUUUAAAAGUAAAAAAAAAACUUAUAAUUGUAAAAAUUACUUGUAACUUAACAAUAUAUUAACUUAAAAAUUUGAAGUAAAUAUUUAGAUAUAUUUAAUUUUUAAAAUUAAAUAUUAACUUAUAUGUUAAAUAGAUGAUCUAUAAAUAAAUAUCAUUUAAAUAAAAAAAUAUAUCAAAGGAAUCUCUCCAUAUUUAUUAUGGAAACUUGAUCUCACCAUGAGAUCAAGCCUCCGUAUUACGGAGGAUUGAGACUUCCAAGCAUUAAGACUAAUUUUUUCUUUGAAUUUAUUUCUUAGUAAUAUUUUUAUUUGUUGAUAUUUUUUGCUAUCACUAUUUUAUUUCCAACAAUCACUUUUAUGUAAGAAAUUAUUAACAAAUAAAAAUACAGACAAAAAAUAUUUGUAAAAUGUAAGAAGUUACUUAUGAGUAAAAAAUCUACAAUUUUGAUGCUAAUAAAAAUACAAUAAAUACAAAACUCGUGUGACGCACAUGUCAAGGACUAGUAUUAACAAAAAAAUAAAUGUCACAUUGAUUUCUUUUUUUUUUUUUUUUUUUACAAGGUGUCCAAUUCUUGACUAAUCCUUGGGUCUGUGAUCCGGCCCCUCUUCACACAGUCCGGUUAAUCGCAGGAUGUGCCUCCGACUGGCCAGGGUCCGAGCGCUCCCCACCUGGUCUGACAAAGUGCCAAGCAAGCCAAUCCAAGUUGCACCUUGCCUUCCAAGAAUAAUCCUUGCCUUCCAAGUUCCCACUUGCCUUCCAAGAAUAAAUCCUUGCCUUCCAAAUGUUCCCUUGCCUUCCAAGAAUAAAUCAUUGCCUUCCAAGAGCCCCAUGUUUCGAACUCACGACCUCUGCUCUGCCAGGUUUGACAGCGUCCGUCCUUUGCCAGUGGAGAAGUGCCCUGGGGGGCAAAACUGUGUAGGGUAAACUUUUUAAAGUGCCUGGCCCCACCGCACUGCGGCCCCAUACUCCAGAAACCCCACCUCCGGCCUGGCCCUACGCGUUAGUAUACACCGCUUGGCCCUACACGUAUGGAGGGAUUUUUUGGAGAGGCACAGUACCACCAUGCUGGUAAGAGGACUCGAACACGGAACCUCAGCCAGCAAUGCCAAUGUCCUUACCACUAGAGCAAAUAGACAUCGGCAUGUCACAUUGAUUUCUACUAAUAGCAUAACAUGUAUUAAGUUAUGGACUGCACAUUUUAAGAACAUGAACUAUUUGGAAAUGCUGGAGCCAUUGGAAGAUAACCUUGUAAGAUGACAAUGCAUGAGAGUCGAGGCAAACCCAUGGUAAACCCAACCAACAAACUCAAGCAGACCCACGGCAAAUUAGCCAUGAGCACAGCAACUCCAGAACCACAGAAGAUAAACCCACCGUAAACGCCAGCAAACUCCAUGGGAAGACGAAUCUUGUAAGAUGGCGCGGCAGUAGAAUCUAAGCAAACACACUCAACUGCAAGCCUACAAAAAAACCCACGAGUGGACCAACGGAGAAAUUUAAGUUUAAUGGAUUUAGUGCCAACCCAAAUGAAAGAGGAUGGAGGAUGAAAGAAUGAAAAAAAAAAACAUAGAUAGAAGGGUUUCUUUGUCUUCAAAUUUUGGUGGGAAUCAUUAAAAAAUUGAGAGGAAAUAGAUGAAUUGUGAGACAGAUACAUGAAAUACGGACAGCAUGUUUGACAAUAGCUUUAAUUUUUUUUCCACAAUGGUAUAACAAAAACCGUGGUCCAUGUCGCGGUUAGGCUUUAAUAAAAAUCGUUGUCUAUGAUGGAAUAGCUAUCCACCUUUUACAAAGGUUAUUAAAAUAACUGCUAUGUAUUAGUUUCUAAAAUGCAGAAGUUACAACGAAAACAGUAGUAUUUAAGCUCCUAUUUGACAUCUAUUGAAUCAAAAUUCUUUUUUUUUCUUUACACUCAUUUUCAACCACAUAUUCAUAUAAUAAAAGAUUUUGCACGUAAACUUAAAACUUUUUCUAUUUUUUAACCACACAUUCUUGAAAAAAGACUAUUCCAAAACUUAUUUUCCCAAAAAAAAAAUUUAAUUAAAAGAAUUGGCAGCUUGACACAAGAACUGCCAUUGACACUGCAUUUUCCAGAAAAGAAUAUAUUCAAAUAAAAUGACAUGAUUCCAGUUCCAAUAUAUGAGGCCCCAAUUCGUUGCUACCAAAUGAAGUGAUGUUGACAUAGUUAGGUAGUGGAAUGAAUCCAUGGUGGCAACUUGUUCAUAGAUAGAAUCUCGGCAACGUGGACCUGGGAAAUGUCAGCAAGUCAUUAUGAGGUGAGUUCGUGAUGUGAGAUUAAUAAUCACUACUAAAAACCAUAGUUUCAUGCACGAAUUUUUCGUUCUUGAAACCUCGAUAUCCGUUGCUAUUAUUCUUUAACAAUGAAAGCAGCCGCAAAUCCGUUCCUAAUUUGAGAGUAGCUAAUAGUUACCAAUGGAUCCUACUGUAAGUAAAGAGUAAAAUUUUACCAAUGAAUUUUUCGUUGGUAAAGUGUGAAUCUUUUACCAGCGAAAUUUCUGUUGGUAAAAAUCUUAACCAAUACCACCGACUUUCUGUUUGUAAAUGUCUACCAUUAUAAUUGAUAAAAAUUAAUGUUGUAAAUAGCCGCAUAGGUGUGAGGCAUGAUAAAAAAAAAAUAUUAUUAUUAUUAUUAUUAUUAUUAUUAUUAUUAUUAUUUAUUUAUUUAUUUAAUAAUUCUAAUUUUUUUAACCUUUAGGCAACCGAAAUCCGUAGGUGAAAGGUCCAAAUGUUAAACGAUUACAUGAGAUACGCAAUAUCCGUUGGUAAAAAGAUAUUAUCAUUUCCAAUCUUAGUUGAAUGUGAAUAACUUUUACCAACAGAUAAUCCGUUUUUAAUUACCAACGAAUUGCAUCCGUUGGUAAUAUUCGGUACAUCACCUAUGGAUAUUCCGUAGGUGAAAUAUCUAAAUAUUAAACGGUUACAUGAGGCACAGAAUAUUCGUUGAUAAAGAGAUAUCAUUAUUACCAACGAAAAUUUCGUUGUUAAUUAUCGUAGCUGAAAGUGAAUAACUUUUACCAACAGAUAAUUUGUUUCUAAUUACUAACGGAUUGCAUCCGUUAGUACUUUUCUGUAGGCGAAAAGCUAAAUUUUAGUAGUGUAAUGGAUUCUAGAAAAUUGUUUUGCAUUAGAGAAGAUGAGAUUGGUAGAUAGCAAAAUUGAAUCUGUUACCUGAUGGAAUCUUUUUAGAUAAGGCUGUCGCUGGUUAACGGAUGGAAUGCCCAUCAUUAGAACCUCAGGAGUGUCGAUAAUCUUGGUCCAGUAAUCACCUUUGUACUUCAAACAACAUUUCUUAAUAAGUGAGCAGUCAUCGAUCCAAAGGCUCCAAAGGUUGUCGACCUGGUUGUCCAUAGGCAAUGCCCCGAGAUUUGGGCAUUUUGAGAUGGAUAAAUGUCGAAGAAUGUGAGGUUUUGGAAUCCCUUCGAUAAGAUUUCCAGUCUCGGAAGGUCACUCAAUCACAAUUGAGUUAGAGAUGAAGGAAAAAAAUUGUGUUCCUCAUCAUUGUUUGAGAAGGAAACCAGUCCUGGAUAUCCCCCACUGACCACAAAUUCAUAUAGUGAGGUGAGUUUGUGUAAGUCCCACUCUGUCGGAGGCUUAAGUUUCCUGCAGUUGAUGAUUGCAAGGGAGGUCAGAUUGGAGGGAAUGUUCCCCUGUGGCAAGGGCUCUACUAAUGAAGUACAAUUCUCCACCCACAGGGAUUUAAGAGAUGAUAGUAAUUCCAUCUGGUAGGGUAAGGCCAUUGGACGUUGGCAAUCAGUUACAUGAAGAUGUCUCAAAUUUGAUGUUGGCAAGCCUCCGAGGGGAAAUGCUUCCAGAUCAUCACACGAAUAUGUAUUGAGGAAAAUAAAACUUGAGCAAUUAUGACUAGACCCCAGUAAAUUUGUCAUAUUUAAGUUCCCCCAAUUGAUAAUAAUAGAUCCAAGAGGAGUUCUGCAUUCCUCUAACUCUACCAUCUUCAACAACCAGCAAUUUUGGAUGGCCAAUAUUGUUAGAGGAGAUAUACUCUUAGGCAAUAACUAUAAAGAAUCAAUACUAAGGGAUGUAACAAUAGGAAGAGCACCAAUUUCUUGGAAGGACAAGAGCUGAGGGAACCUUUUUACAACUAGUUUCCGUAGGUUGUCUAGUCGUCGUGAAAUAUUAUCGUUUGGCCACAAGAGUCGCAAGGUCCUCACAGUGAUCAAUUUCUAAAUUUUCAAGUUUAACUCCUCAAAUGCUUUCAAGACUGAAGUUAAUCCAAAAACGUUCUCCAAGGUUAGGGAGGUCAAAUUGUGCAUGCAAUUUAGCACCACCUCAUUACACUUCUACUUUUACUUCGAAAGUAGAUGGAACCAAAAGAAUUGGAAGCUUGACCAAUCUAGGACAUCUUCUUAUGAACAAUUCACACAACUUUGGAAAUUUAACUACCACUUCAUCUUCAAGCGAUAAUCCAUGCCACUCCUCCCAUUCUGGCAUGUCUUCAAAAUGCAGAGUUUUCUAGCGAUUGAAAUGAUAAUUUUUCACUGCAUAAAAUUCAACUCCAACCACUUUUACUCGAUUCAUGCCUUGAAUGCUCAAUUCUCUUAACAAGGGUAGAUGCCCUAAUGUGGCAAACUCAUGCAGUUUUUACAAAAGUUGAUUCUUACUUUUGCUAACUUGGAGAAUGACAAAUCUCCAUUCCAACUCUAUAACUUUGCACCACCAUAAAAAUCAAUUUCAAGACUUGAUAAAUUCUCUUGGGGUUUUAGAGAGUUAGGCACUUCUGCUUCCAGCAUUUCAUUUCGAGAAUUAUCUAAGUUGUUGCUCCAUGCCAACCUUAUUUUGUUAAGACUUGGUUUAUGCAUUAGUCUCGCAUCUAUCACUUCUUGAACAUUCACAACAUUUUGCAAUUCCAUUAUAUAAAUUUCUCCUUGUAGAAGUGAGAGUUUCCCCAAAUCUUUUAAUUUCAACCCACUACUUUUACUGACAAUCAGCUUGGAUAAUGUCUGUAGACUUGAUAGGAUUGAUAAGAUUUUUCUAUCCCUGGCGGUAAUCUGAUUAGUGCGUAACAGUUCCUUAGUAUCAACAAUUGUAAGUUGACAAGAGUGAUCAGGGACUCAGGCAACCGUUUGAGCGAAGUCCUAGUUAAGUUAAGCUAUCGUAAAUGUCUGAGGUUGCUAAUAGCACUUGGAAGCUCAUAUAUUGAAUCCUAACCACUUAAUGAUAGCACUCUUAAGCAGCACAACUUUGGUAAUAGGUCGAGCAAAACUCUUUGGGACAUGAAAUUUUGACCAAAGUACUUGUUCAUGGGUAGUGGCAAAAAAGUUCUUAAACUUCAAAAUUUGUUGACCAGGUAAAAUUUUUGGUGGGACCCAAAGAAAUGGCGAAUGAACGACAAGUCACGGACCUUUGCAGAAAUAUUAUUUUGAAGAUUUUCCUUCAGCUUAUUAUCCAACAUCAAACAUUUAUCUCCAGCGAUGCUAUUAGCUAAAUCAUAAGGAAGUCAUGCAACACAAAACAUGAAGAAUGAUCUCGCUAAUAGUUCAUCAAAACAAUCACUUCCUAAUUCCUAAAUUAACCUCUCUUGGUGUGAAUGAUGCAGAAAACCUUCAGCCAUCCAUAGAUACAACAGCUUGGACUUGUUGAAUUCAUAGUCCAUGGGAAAGAUAGCACAAUAAGCAAAACAUCAUUUCAGUUAUGGAGGAAGAUAUUGGUAACUGAGUUUUAAAGAAGGAAGGAUUUCAUUAUUUUCUCCAUUUAUCCAAAUAUCAUUAUUCAAUACAUCUUCCAAGUCUUUAGGAUUAACUUUUGUCCGAAGGAUUCCUCCAACAGCCUUUACUGCUAGUGGCAAGUUUUUACAUCUUUUCACCAAGUAUUCACCUAUCUCAUAUAGAAAUUGUUGUACAUCAAAAUUCUUUGUUCCUAAUGCAUGAUGAGCUAACAAUGAUAAAGCAUUUUCGUCUGAUAACACAGUCACAUGAUGAACUGAAAUUGACGACAAGAUUUUGGCCACCCUUUGACGUCGACUAGUAACAAUGAUUUUGCUUCUAGGUUUGCCAUAAAGGAAAGGACGGUAGAAUGUCCCAAUCUCCAAAAUUUUCAUUCCAGACAUCAUCUAAAACUAUUAGAAAUCUCUUGUUUAAAAGAUUUUCCUUUAGUUUGACCUGAAGCAUGUUAAAAUCUUCAUAGUCACACCUUCCACCUGAAACUGCCUCAAGAAUGAUUUUUGUUACCCUACAAGCAUCGAAUUCAUCAGAAAUACAAGCCUAUGCCUUCAGAUCAAACUCCUCAUUUACUCUUUCAUCUUUGUAUACUAACUGGACUAGUGUUGUUUUCCCCACGCCUCCUAUGCCCACAACGAGAAUCACAGAUACUGGACUCUCACUUGAUUCAGCCCCCAACAUCUCACUUAUUUUUCCUCUGUCCUCUUCUCUUCCAUGUACAUCAGAUUCAACCACAAGUGAAGUCACAUACUAAUCUUCUUGACUAGAAUUUCAAAUUGGUCAUUAGUAUCUUGUAGUUUGAAGCAAUCCCGCAGUCAAACAAAAAAUCGCUAAAAGAGAAAUCAGUACAGCAUGUGAGGAGAAGCUUCUGUACCUUACUGUUUCUGCUUUCAGUUCCAACUAAUCUUCGCUGCAAAGCUUCAGUGUUCAACUCAUCCACCAAGUCAUCAAGAUCAUAAGCCAAAUUCUCUGAUUCAUUCAGCCAUUCUUUCACAGUUUCAUUUGUUGUUUGCUUGUUUUUGGCAUCACUAAGUAUAGAUGUGAUCAUCAACAAUGUUGUAAGCCCUUCUUUCAUGUGGGCAUCAAUUCCUAUGCGACAUAGAAAUUUUAGAAGCUCACCAGAGGCUAGCUUAUCAAGCAAAACUGUGACAAAUGGACCAAGAAAGACUUUGACCACAACAAUUUUUAUAUUUUUUUCUAAGAAAGGAUUAGAGAGGUGAAAGCAAGAGAGGUCUUCUUAAUCACUUGAGUAGAAAGUUAUUGCCACUGCUCUGGCUAUCAUUAUACAACUUGAUAAAAUUAAUUAAAGCAUAUUGAUGAUAGGUGGAGCCAAUUCAAAUGCACGAUCAUGGAUGGAAGAAUUCAUAACUAAAGUUUGGACAAAUAUAGCUUAAUUUUCUUUAAUAUACCCAAAGAAUAUAAUAUUCUUCGGUCAGCUUAGGUAACGUUGCUGGAUUAGUUGGCAAUAGUUUUAUUUAUCUAUCUAUUUUCUCUGUUAACAUCACUUUUUUUUCAUGUUUUUAUACUCCAACAAAAUGGUUGACACCUUAAAAAUAAUAAUGUUAAGCACUGGUGUCAACAUAUUUAUAAGAAACUGAUGCCGAAAUUUGAGAUAUUGAGAGUCUAUAUGAACAUUAAUUUAUCAUUAUUACAAAUUGUUAUAUUCAGACACUGCAACACUGAAUCAGCAGUUCUUGGAUACUUUGGUCCAAUCUAAGGCAUAAUUCCUGUAACAGAUUUGACCACACUAUUAUAGCCUAAUUAUAUUUUAAUCUAGCUCAAUUAUGGGAUAUUCUUUCCAUCAAUUUCAUUGUAAUUAAGCUGUAAAUAUUCUUGAUUGAUUUUAAAGCACCUUGUACAUCUAUAUAAAUAGACAUACUCAUCAUCACUAAGAGCAGUGUGGUGAUUUAUUCUUCAAAGAUUUUCAUGGUAUCGGAGCCAUUCUUGGAUUAACAUCCAUUGAUCCUUCAAUCUCAUCAUGGCUGUCGAAUCCACACUCCUCUUUCAACACCAUGAUCCACAUGGUAACAAUUAAACUUUCCUCCUCAAACUACCUCCUGUGGAAAAACCAACUGCUCCCUCUUCUUGAGAGUCAAGCACUACUCGGUCAUGUAGAUGGAACCCUUGACCCUCCACCAAGAUUUGACCCACCCACCUCCCAAACACCGAACACCAAAUACUUAGAUUGGAAAACAACAGAUCAGAAGCUUCUCAGCCUUCUUCUGUCCUCCCUCACCAAGGAGGCCAUGGCUGAGGUCGUCAACCUCUCCACCUCACGCGAGUCUAGGUUGCCUUGGAAAACACCUUCAGCCACCACUCCAAAGCUCGCGAGAUUCGCCUCAAAGAUGAUCUCCAAUUGAUGAGGUACUCGUGCCUUUAAGGCACUUUGCGACUAGCUACAUGCCGUUGGACGACCAGUUGAUGAGACGGACAAAGUCCAUUGGUUUCUUCGAAUUCUUGGUGCUGAUUUCUUGUCAUUCUCAAUUGCAUAGAUGGCAGUCACUCCUCUUCCCUACUUCAGUGACCUCGUGUCCAAAGUUGAAAGGUUUGAAUUGUUCCAAAAAUCUCUUGAAUCUACAAGUCCACCUACAGCAGCGUUCACUGCCACGAAUCGCACUGUUAAUCAUGUGAGGGCCAGCUCUCACGCACCAAUCCCGGACGCAACAACAAUCAAGCCUGCUCUAAUCGUGGCAACAGAUGAAACUUCUCUGGCCAAUAACGUCACCCCCUGCGAUAUCAGGUUUGUCGGACCAAAGGACACUACGCUGACCGUUGUGACCAAAGGUAUUCUCGACUAGAAAACUCUGCUCAUCUCGUCAAGGCAUUCAAUAAAUCAUGCUCUAUAUCUGAAAAUGAGGCCUCAGAUCGGUAUUUGGACAUUGGGGCUUGGGCCCACAUGAGUACCAAUCCAUCUAUUUUGGAUCGCUCAAGUAAUUACAUUGGUAAGGAUUGUGUAAUUGUAGGAAAUGGUGCUUCCCUACCUAUAAGACACACUGGUACUGUCUCUCCCAAUCAAAAUCUUCAUUUACUUGAUGUUUUAGUUGUCCCUCAUUUAACUAAAAAUCUUGUAUCCAUUAGUAAAUUAACUUCUGAUUUUCCUUUGUCUGUCACUUUCACUAAUAAUUCUUUUACUGUUCAGAAUUGUCAUACGGGAGAGGGGGUGGCAACCGGUAAACGAGAUGGUGGAUUAUAUGUACUGGAGCGUGGAAACCCCACCUUUAUUUUUGUUCUUAGUAAUAGCAUGCAUUGUAUGAUUUAUGGCAUGCUCGCCUUGGACAUGUGAAUCAUUCCAUUAUUUCUCUUUUAAAUAAAAAAGGUCAUCUUUAUUUUACAUCUUUAUUGCCUUCUCCAACACUUUGUAGCACAUGUCAGAUUGCAAAAAAAUCAUCGUUUGCCUUAUUCCAUAAUGGAUAAUGAUCAUCUAAUGUGUUGGAUUUAAUUCAUUAUCACAUAUGGGGCCCAUCCCCCGUUAAAUCCACUUCAGAUUUUGUAUACUAUGUUGUAUUUGUCGGUGAUUUUUCUCGUUUCACUUGGCUAUACCCUUUGCUUUCAAAAUCUAAUUUUUACAAUAUUUUUCUUCAAUUUCAAAAAUUUGUUGGAAAAUCAGCAUUCUGCAAGCAUAAAACUUUUCAAAGUGAUGGUGGCAGAGAAUUUACUAGCAAUCGUCUCCGGUCAUACCUUCAUAACUCUGGCAUCCAUCAUCAACGAUCUUGCUCAUACACACCUACUCAAAUGGUCGUGCCAAAAGGAAACGUCGUCAUGUGACUAAGAGUGGCCUUGCUUUUCUUUUUCACUCUCAUCUUUCUCCACGCUUUUGGGUUGACGCCUUUAGCACUGCAGUCUUCAUCAUCAGUCGCUUGCCCACACCACUUCUUGGAAGUAAGUCCCCUUUUGAGCUUCUUUAUGGUUUACCUCCAAAUAAUGAAAAUUUCCAUCCCUUUCGUUGUCGUGUUUAUCCUUGUUUGCGAGAUUUCAUGUCUGACAAAUUUUCCCCUCACAGCAUCCCAUGCAUUUUUUGGGAUAUAGUCCAGCCUGUAAAGGGUUUCGUUGCCUCGAUUCCACAACGUCUAGACUAUACAUCACUCGACAUGCACAGUUUGAUAAAUAUCACUUUCCUUCUUUAGAAACAUCUCAUGCUCAACCUAUUUCAUCUCUCCAAUUUUCCAAUUUUUGGGAGCCCAGCUCAUCCCAUGCAAAACCAUCUCCCCUUGACCAUCAUUCUCCUUCCAUUACUACAUCUAGAUCUGACUUGUGUAUUAUUUGUACUGAUCUAGUCGACGAGUAUGUGCGGGUAACUGACUCUAAUGCAAGUUCUACUUUGGUUCUUGAUUGAUUUGUAAGCACCUUUUACAUCUAUAUAAAUAGACAUAAUCACUAUUACUAAGAGCGAUGUGGUGAUUUAUUCUUCAAAGAUUUUCAUGGUAUCAGAGCCAUUCUUGGAUUAACAUCCAUUAUCCUUAAAUCUCAUCACGGCUGUCGAAUCCACACUCUUCUCUUUCAACACCAUAUUCCACAUGGUAACAGUUAAACUCUCCUCCUCAAACUACCUCCUGUGGGAAAGCCAACUGCUCUCUUUUCUUGAGAGUCAAGCACUACUCGGUCAUGUAGAUGGAACCCUUGAGCCUCCACCAAGAUUUGACCCACCCACCUCCCAAACACGAACACAAAUACUUAUAGUCACACGGCAUGUUGAGUGUGUGAAAAGUUAUUCAAUGAUAUAAACUCGAUUUUCGAUAAAAAUGUAAAAUUAAAAAAGUAUAACACUAUUUUCGAACUUUUCCGCUCACUGAGCUAUCAACUCAUAUAUUUUUCCGUAACUUUCCUACAGGUAGCAAUUGAUUUUUUUUAGUUGGAAGAGCCUAAUGAUUUUGGAAUGAGAGCCACGCGACAUAUUAAGUGUUAUAACUCAUAUUGAUGAAGCACGAAGUAAAUAAUUUUGACCCAUCGCAUUAUCUUUUACACAUGCAUUUGAUUUUGGUGCAUUUUUGAAGAAACUCAUAGUCAACCUUAGUGAGAGAUUUGACAUCUAGUCGGCAUCUAUCAUUGGCGCACGUCACGUCGGCUCCACUUGGAUGAUUCAGGAUGGGUCGUAUCAUUUGCUCUUCUUGUCUUCUCUUUGCCUUUGUGGCUUGCAAAAUAGCACCAUAUUAUUGUCCCUUUGUGGGUGAGAAAAGGAAAUGCAACCAUAAGUGGAUUGCAGUUGUGGGUUUGAAGUUUUCAAUUGGAUGGUUGAUAUAUUGAUUGGUAAGUUUAAUUUAAGCCUAGAAUCCAUUGAUUGAAGAUCGAAAUGUCAGCAAUGAUGGGCCAUCAGCCUCCUUUGUACUUCAAACACUGUUUCAUAAUAAUUGUGUAGUCUUUGAUAUCAAGUCGUUCAACACUGUCAAUUUGGUCAUUCAGAGGAAAGGCUGCAAGAUCUGGGCAGUUCUGGAUAAGUAGAAGAUGAAGAGAGGUGUAAAAGGAUUCAUUAGAAUGGGAAAAUUGUGUUGUAUUGAAUUAAGGGAUGUUAUGUAUAAAAUAGUUACAGUAAAGUAAGCAUUGAUACUUGUUCACGAAAUUAUUCUUUCGAUUUCUAUACGAAAGUGUACGGUUCGUGACAAGUAAUACAGUGGAAAAUUGAGUUCGAAUAUCGUCCCACAAAGAUUGAUUUAGUUCAAUGUUAUUUAUUCUAGACUUAACUGAAACUAAAUUUUGACAAGUGAUUUUAUAACUUAAUUACUCCCUGACCUAAGCUAAUUAUGCAGGCAAUGAACAAAAUGCAGAUUGAUGUUUGAAUGAACUAAAAUGCUAUUAAAUGUUGAGAACUCAAUUUAAUGUAUUCAGAGAUUGUAUAGCGCACCAAGAUCACGAAUUCUAAAGUAAUGUUCAAUUCAACCCUAAUUUCACAAAUUGACAACAAGAUGAAAUUUUGAAGAAUCAAUGCUUCUAAAUCUAUCCAACACUCUCUAUCGCGUAAUGUUAAACCUACUCCCAUAUACCACCUGCCUAUAUCUCUAUGAUGAGUGCAAAUAUACAAGAAUGCAUGUAGUUUUGUAAGCACUUAAAGAUUCACGCAGCAUAACGGUAUAUCUCUAACGGGAAAAUUUCAUAGUGAAGUACAUAAAAAUAGUACUUGACAAGGACUAGACAGUAAAGACAUAUCUAAAUACAUUUAAGCAGUGCAACCGGUAGAAAAAAAUAACGUUCAAACUUUAUUUAAGGUGCGAUCUACACAUAUUCAUGUGCAAUCAAACACGUACGAGAAUUCGGUUAUAAAUAAAUGUCUAUUGCAAUAAACUUAAAAGAAAUAAAAUUACGUGCUAAAUUUCUAGAUAUUUGUCCAGCAAGACGGGGCACAACCACUUAAUUGAAUCACCACGUUCCGACACGACCCGAUCUAACCUGUGAGAUGUAGGGAAAAGGGUGAGUACAUGGGAUACUCAGUAGGAUAUAAAAAUUUAUGGUGCGAUCCCGUAUAAUAAUUUUAAAACAUGCAUCAGAAUAUCAUAUCGUCUCAUAUCUUUAAAUUCGGCAAGAACUCAUAUCAUAUCAUAUCAUAUUGUUGUAUCGGAGUGGCCAUAUCAUUCACAUCAUAGCAUAUCAUAUUAUAACUUUAACUUUCAUGAGUAUAAAAUUCAUUAGCAUGAAAAAAUAUUUAAACAGGAAUAAAAAAAAUACUGCACCUUAAUAUCCUACCUUAUUAGAUCGUUUUAAUUUUUGGAUGACAAAACCAAAGAAAUCACGCUCCAAAAAUCCUUCUCGCUGCUUCAAGAAUUUAUAUUGUUUGAAAUUGACUUCCUAUUUUAAAUUGCAAUACCAUAAGUAUAAGUAUCUAUAAUUUUUUUUUAAGGUAUAAAGUAAUAUUCAUUUUACACUACAUAAAUAUGAAGUCUGUAAUUUACCUGAUUUUAACACUAUUCUUUCUCUACAACCAUGUGCUUGUACAUAUGUCUUCUUUUGAUAUACAUCUAUAAAUAUAUCCCACAUGAUCUAGUCUAACAAAGUGGGUGUGUAGUUGGGGAUAUAUGUAGUAGUAGGAUAGGAGUAUAGAUAAAUUUCGGAAACGAAAUUUUUGAAAUAAAAUAAUUGACCAAAUCUUGUCAACCAACUUUAUCACUCAACAAGCAAUACCUCUCUCACACGUGGCCAACAAAUUGAAACAAGAAUAAAUAAAGUUUCUUUCUCUCUCUUCUUUUCUUUCUCUCUCUCACGUGGUCCUAUCUCCCUCUCUUCUUUUAUAUAUAUAAUAAUAAUAAUAAUAAUUAUUAUUAUUAUUAUUAUUAUUAUUAUUAUUUGGAUAAAAAAAUAUUCAAUCAUAAUCUACCAAGAAUCUUCUCUAUUCAUGUGACUUGAGCAAGGGAGACUUAAAUUCAUUAAAUAAUAAAUUUAAAUAUAAUUUUAAAGCUAUAUCUUUCAACCUUGAUAACUUGAGCUCCACUUAUCAAAAUUAACUUUUUCUCGAGUCUAACAUGAAUGAUUAAUUAUGAUCUAUCCAACGAGCCCAAUGUUUAUAUACUUAUUAUCGCUUCGUCAUUAUCUACAUUUAAGCCAAAUAAAAUUGAAAUUUACUUUAUAUAUACUUUAGUCCCUAAACUUUCAAAACAUUAAAAUAUAGUGUACAAAAAAAAUUAAAUUCCUUCCAAUGAAAUUUCGGGACAUUACAUUGGAACAUUCCUACCGAUCGUUUUGGCGUACAUUUCAUAUGGUUAAGGGAGAUCGUAUAUGCUUAAGAGUGCACCUAAUUUUUUCCAACUGGAUUUUUAUGAAUUUUAUCCCAUCUUCACAAUUAAAUUAAAAAUGUGAUAAACACAGCAGAUAUAAAGUAAAAUACCACCAAAAGUGGGAUGAAGUGUCGAGCUAAUUUAUAAAUUACUACUAUAUUGAUUGUUGCAAUAUCAAAUGUAAAAGUGCAGAUUUUAUUUUCAAAAUUAAAUUCUCGGAUAAUGCUCAUUAAAGUAUUACAAAAUUUAGAUGAUCAUGAGAUAAUUUAGUUAUUUUAAAAGCAAUAUAUUUUUUAUGUAGUACCCACUAUUUAUCUAUUUAGCGUGUAGUAGCAGCUAUGUAAUCUUUAUGAUUAUUAUUGGACCACAUGUUAUAUGUAAAUGAUAAAAGAUAUAAAUGAUUAAACACCAGUAUCUUUACUUAAAUCACUUAUUAUUCAAUCUUUCUUUUUAUUUUAUAAAAUAAUAGAAUCCAAAUGAAGAGUGUUUCUGUAGUAGGAUUUUACCUAGUUGGAGAUAUAAGUGAACACUUUUCACUAUACUAAGCUAUUCACCACUAGCUAAGAAUAAUGUCAAACAUUCGUUCAUUGCCUCUUGUAAAUUGACAUGACCCAUCCCGUAUCAGUCUAAUGGACUAGGAAUGUGAUGUGUGCCGACGAUAGAUGUUGACUAGAGGCUAGAUCCACCACCAAGGCUGACUAUGACUUACUACAAAAUGUCCGCCAAAAUCAAAUAUUUAUGCAAAAUAUAAUGCAAUGGGUCCCAAAAAAAAUAAUUAUUUCAUGUUUUACCAAAAUGAAUCAUAUAACUCAAUAUGUCAUGUGGCUCUAAUUCUAAUGCCACCAGCGUCCUCAAGCUAACAGGGACAAUACUACCUGUAAGAAAAAUUUGGAAAAAAUAGGAAUUUAUAACUCAAUGAAUGGAAGAGUUUGAAAAUAAUUAUACUUUCUCACUUAAACAUUUUUCUCAUAUGUAGACAUCAAGUUCAUAUCGUUUAGUAAUUCACACGAUAACCUCAUACAAUUAUACCAAAAAAGAGACAUUCUCAUAACUCUGUAAAUAUCAUCUCAUCACAUCACAUAUGAUCCGCCAAAAAUGUGCUCUCUAACUAAAAUCUAAAAAAAAAACCCCGAGAUCUCAUCACAUUACAUGUGAUCCGCAAAAAAUGUACCCUCUAAAUAAUCUGAAAUCCGUCACUCGGGCUAAGAACUUUCACCAUGGGUCUUUGGCCCUCUCCGUGAACGAAAGUUGGUCUCAAGACCUCUGGUAGUCAUCCGUGAACUAGAAGAAGUAUAUAAUCACUGGUACUUUUUUGAUCGAUCUCAAUAUUACAUCUCAUAUUCCAAAUCACAAACUUUAGCAUAUACAAUCUUUGAAAUUCCACAUGUAUCAUGGUAAAAGAAACUUUUAUGGUAAUCAUAUAAUUGAGCAAAUAAUUCACAUAACUUAAUAAUAUACUUAAUUUAUAAUACCUUGAAAUUAUUUAAGUUUUUCCACUCACAGAUCUAUGGAUAGAAAUUUGAUUAAAUUAAAGAACCUUUCUAAACUUUCACAUCCCUACCUGAAAUAACGUAUAAUUUCUUAAAACUUAACAAUUAUAGUAAUGCAAAUCCACCACUUAACAUCUCAACUUCUAUACUUACUCUUAUAUCUCCAAUUCCCCAACUUUUCUUCUCUUUAAUAAUUUAUCAACUAAUCACCAUACACUAUCAAAUUCAUUACACCACUCACACUUCCUUAAAAUCACUACCUUUAUACAUAUACAACAGCUGUACAUAUUUAGUCCAAUACAUAGACUUCAAAAUUUGUCAUAUAAAUUCAUUCAAAACUUUAAAAAUCUAGAAAUCCAAGGUUUGACAAAACAGCACUAAAAUUCCAGAAUAUAGAAAUCUAGCACCAAUUUCUAUAUAUUGAAAUCUGGCAUCGAAACCAUUGACAUUUUUGGGUAGAAUUUCAGAAUUAACACUUGUACUAUAAUAGCUUGAAAAUUGCUUUAAAAUAAUGGAGAAUUCAAAUCUCAAAUCCUUAAUUUGAGUGUUUAGCAUCAUAUAAUCACAAGAAACUCAAAGAAUAUAUCUUUCAUCUCACAACCCAUUUCCAAAAUUCUACUUUCUUCAACUUCAAUUUUCAAAUAAAUAUUUCCUUGCUAUAUUCUUAAUUAAAACCUUGAAUACACAUCAAUAACACCUAAUUCUUGCUAACUUCAAAGUUUUAGAGAUAAGUUUCAUAGACCCUAAAGGAGAUAAUUUCACAUUCUUAUACUUACCUCUCUAAAUUAAGGGGAGAAAAUGAGAAAUUGAGAACCUAGCCUUGUAAAAUUGGAACCUAUCCCUUCCUUCUUUUUCUUUUUCUCUUCCAUUUUCUUCCUUUUCCUUCCGUGGUUUUGUUCUUUGCUUCUCCAUUCGGUUUUUCUCCCCCAAAAUGACAAAAAAGAGAUCAAUUAUCCUUUAAGUUAAUGGAUAACCAUUAUAAAAUUGCAACUAAAGUCCCCAUCCUUCAUAUAAUAUACCAUUUACUCCUUUUAUUCCAAUAAAUAGAAAACAUAUCCCUAAUAUAUAUAUAUAUAUAUAUAUAUAUAUAUAUACACACACACACUUUUGGCCCUUAAGUACUUGUUAUUAGAAAUUAAGCCCCAUAAAAAUUAUUUGUUCAACUUAAGUCCUUAUUGAUUUUGACUUUGACCAAUUACUUUGCUUGACUUUGACUAAAAAUGGGUGUCACUUUGACCAAAAAUGAGUGGGGUGUAAUAAUCUUAUCCCUUUCAAAGAAUUUCGUUUUCUCGAAACUCAAUCCACUAGAAUUCGAACAUAUUAUAAAAUAAAGAAAAAAUAAUGAAUGAUUUCUCCAAGAACCUUGAAUGAGGCCCAAAGUUUAUUCUUUCCUUAUUAUACAUCGAAUAACUUUCCUAAGAACCAAUAUAUGAUAUUCUCAACUUUUCAUUUUACAUUUCUCAUUUCUUCUUCUCUAUAAAUAUUCACUCCCUACAAUAACAAUAUACAUAUUCCACUUAUCUUCUUCUCUUCUAAUUUUCCAUUUCACUUUUCAAUUAUGCUCAUAUACAACACACAACUUACUACUGCAGUUUUCAAUUCCUCAUUCUUUUCUUUCCAUGCCUCAAAAUUUCAUUGUCAAUUUAAUUCUUUCAAGCACCACAACUAUAUGUAGAGAGAAUCCAAAAUUUUGUACAACUCCAAAUAUACUUACCCGUACUAAAGUAAGAAACUUGAGCUCACCAAUUUCUUAAAUAAAGAAAGAAAAACACAACACUUAGACUUUAUCUCUGUUCGCUUCUAUUUUUUAUUUAUUUUUGGGCCAUCUUGACUUCUUAACUUGUUUACCAUAACUAGCAUUCCAUCUUCCUUGUAGUACAAUGUGAAGAUAUGUCCUUAGUGACUUCAUGUAAUGUAUCCACAAAAUUUUGUGUGCUUAAAUGACAUGCUCAAAACUACCAUCAUAUCCAACAGAACAUUAUUUCACCUUCUAGGCUCUAAAGUACCAUAACAUGUCAUACCUGAAACUUUUAUCAAUUUUAUAUGAUGGAAUGAGAUAUUCUACUCAUGAAAUUCAACAUAUAACUGACAAGAUAGUCAUCCCAAAUGAAUCACAAAUAACUCUUAAAAGUAAGCCAUAUUUAUAGUUUAACACGUCGUCCUCGAUAACUUAUAAAUCAACAAAAUAAACCCAAUGUUGGAUACAGGGAAAUCAAUUCACAUUUUAAUAAGAUUAUAUUAUAACAAAUUCUGUUUACGCAAGACUGUCAUAUCUUUUGUUUAUCACUAUUCAAAAUGCCUCUCAUAAUAAAAUAACCUUGUUAAGUGAAUAUCAUCGUACCAUUCCAUAUGACCACAAAAUUUAAUCAUGUCUCAUCUCAGUUGAACGAAAUGAUUCGUCGUACUUAUCUUGUUGACCCUUACUAACUGAAAAUAAUCGUACCCAUAUUUAACAAUCGAAUAUCAAUUACACUGUAUACCCAAUUCACAAACUUAAUGGAUAUCCACACAUCUCUCUUUAUUGUUUUCUUUCCUUUCUCAUUCAGGACACAUACUUAUAUAGAACCCAAUACCAUUUCUUCUCUGCUACCCUUAAAUUUAUGCUACUAUUGCAUAUAACCGGUACCAAGUGGUUUAACACUAAUUCCUACUCUUUUCUUUCUAUUUUCGUUUAGUUCGACCACACGUUCCCAAAUAUAUAUUCCUAUCAAAAUUUUAUUUCCUUGAACGGAACUCUUAAUCUUUUCCUCUAAUUUUUUUCCACCAUUUUCCUUAACUGCUAUACAUAAUUCCACUUCACACUAAAUUUCAUAUUCUCUUCAAAAAAUCAUUUUCUAUCUCCUUGACCCCCAAGUUUCUACGCCAAUAAGUAACCCAUCGAGUCAAUUUUUUUUCCCUUCUCCAACCUCAUUUAUCACUAAUCUUUCUCACUUUGUAACCUAUCAUAAAAUUGGUCAAGGCAGUCAUAAUCCCAUCCUAGAUUUUUCUCGAAGUACACAUCAAUGAUAAUCUCCUCAAUGCGUAAUAUACAUAAUAAAACAUUGUAUUUUAUUGAUUAACAUUCAAUAUAAUAUUUUCAUUUUAUCCUCCACAAAAUUCUUAUCAUAUAGCAUAAAUAUACACCAACAUGCUUCCAACUCUCAUCCCAAAGAAAUGACCACAAUUCACCACAAUUUCGAUAGCGCUAAUGAUCAUCUAGCUGCCCAACAUAAUAAAAACCCCUCGCUGAUUAUCACCAAUUACACAUAUUAUAUCAUUUCGUUGUAUUAUUGUGCAAACUAUAACUAAAGAUUUUCCUAUGUAUACAUAAAAAUCAUGGUAAUUUUACAAAUAUAUUGAUACUUAAAUGAUUGUACCAUCUAUCACUUUGAAAUGCCUAUACAUAAACAACCUGUAAAAUGAUCAAAAUUUGUUCAACUCUUAAUAUGUUACACAUGCCAUUGUUCCAACCCAACAACUAAUAACAUUUCCAAUCAUCAGAUCAUUGCAAGUACCAUACUAGUCAUUUCUGGAUUUGUUAAAAAUAUUUUUCCAUCAUUUUCAAUUCCAUACAUUCGAGUUUGAGAGUCGUUGAUUUCCGUCACCACGACAUAUGACCAUACAUACUGAAUAUGCAUGAUAUGCCAAUGCAAGAACUAUGAAAACUUUCAAAACUUUAUAAACCAUGCACUAAUACCACUCUGACACGGCCCGUCCCGAAUUAGCCUAAUGGACUAAGAACGUGACGUAGGCCAAUGAUAGAUGCUGACUAGAUGCCAAAUUCACCACCAAGGUUGACUAUAACUUACUACAAAAUAUUUGCCAAAAUCAAAUAUUUAUGAAAAAUAUAAUGCGAUGGGUCCAAAAUAAUUAUUUCAUGUUUUACCAAAAUAAAUCGUAUCACUCAAUAUGUCCUGUGGCUCUAAUUCUAAAACCACUAGGCUCUUCAAUCUAUCAGGGACCAAUACUACUUGUAACAAAAAUCAUGGAAAAAUAUGAGUUUAUAGCUCAGUGAGUGGAAGAGUUUGAAAAUAAUUAUACUUUCUCAUUUAAAAAAUUUUCUCAUACGUAGACAUGAAGUUCAUAUUGUUUAGUAAUUCACACGAUAAUCUCAUACAAUUAUAGCAAAAAAUGAGACAUUCACAUAAUUCUAUAAAUAUCAUCUCAUCACAUCACAUGUGAUCCACAAAAAAUGUACCCUCAGAAAAAUCUGAAAUCCACCACUCGGGCUAAGAACUUUCACAAUGGGCCUUUCGCCCUCUCUGUAAAUGAAAGCCAGUCUCAGACCUCUGGUGAUCAUUUCUAGAAAACGGCCAAAGCCCCUCUAUGAACUAGAAGAAGUAUAUAAUCACUAGUACUUUUCUAGUCAAUCUAAAUAUUACGUCUCAUAUUCCAAUUCACAAAUGUACCAUAUACAAUCUUCGAAAUUCCACAUGUAUCAUAGUAAAAGAAACUUACAUGGUAAUCAUAUAAUUGAGCAAAUAAUUCACAUAACUUAAUAAUAUACUUAAUUUAUAAUACUUUGAAAUUAUUUAAGUUUCUCCACUCACAGAUAUAUGGAUAGAAAUUUGAUUAAAUUGAAGAGCGUUUCCAAGGUUCCAUGUCCCUACUUGAAAUAACAGUAUAAUUUCUCGAAUCAAAACCUAACAAUUAAAUUAAUACAAAUCCACCACUUAACUUCUGAACUUCUAUAAUGACUUAUCAACCAAUCACCAUACACUAUCAAAACCAUUAAAAAACUCAUACUUAAAAUUUACCUUAAACAUAUACAACUGUUGUACAUAGUUAGUCCAAUACGUAGACUUCAAUAUUUGUCGUAUAAAUUCAUUCAAAUCUUUAAAAAUCUGGAAAUCCAAGGUUUGACAAAACAACACUAAAAUUUUAGAAUAUAGAAAUCUAGCACCAAUUCUUGUAUAUUGAAACCGGCAUCGAAACCAUUGAAAGAAAAUGCACUUUUCUGGGUAGAAUUUCAGAAUUAACACCUGUACUAUAAUAGCUCGAAAAUUGGUUUUAAAACAAUGAAGAAUUCCAAUCUCAAAUCCUUAAUUUGAGUGUUUAGUAUCAUAUAAUCUCAAGAAACUCUACGAAUAUAUCUUUUAUCUCACAACCCAUUUCCAAAAUUCUACUUUUUCCAACUCCAAUUUUCAAAUAAACAUUUCCUUGCUAUAUUCUUAUUUAAAACCUUGAAUACACAUCAAUGACACCUAAUUCUUGCUAACUUCAAAGUUCUAGAGAUAAGUUCCAUAUACCUUAAAGGAGAUAAUUUCACAUUCUUAUACUUACCUCUCUAAAUUAAAGGGAGAAAAUGAGAAAUUGGGAACCUAACCUUAUAAAAUUGGAACCUAUCCCUUCCUUCCUUCCUUUUUUUUUUCUCUUCCAUUUCUUCUUUUUCCUUACAUCAUUUCGUUCUUUGCUUCUCCAUUCAGUUUUUCUACACCAAAAUAACAAAAAAGCGAUCACAUAUCCUUUAAGUUAGCAGAUAACCAUUAUAAAACUGCAACUAAAGUCCCCAUCCUUCAUACAAUAUACCAUUUACUCCUUUAAUUCUACUAAAUAGAAAACGAAUCCCUAAAUCUCCAUAUAGCCCUUAAGUACUUGUAAUUACAAACUAAGCCCCAUAAAAUUAUUUGCUCAACUUAAGUCCUUAUUGACUCUAACUUCGACCAAUUACUUUGCUUGACUUUGACUAAAAAUGAGUUUCACUUUGAGUAAAAAUGCGUGGAAUGUAACAUAAAUAGACCAAGUUGUUAGGGCUAGAACUAAAACUUGAGCUACCAGAAAUUUUAGAAAUAAUAAUACUAAAGAUUGUAUGAUAAAAGAGCUAAUACGAAAUUGUAAAAAUUAAAUUGUAGAUUCAAAAUGUGUCGUCAUGUGACCAUUUGGGCCAAUGGUCGUUUUUGAGAUGACCAUUUGGACAGCCCCACACGGUCAUCGACUAUCCACUAGCCACGGACUAAAGGGAGAAUGUAAUUCCAUCCUCUUUGGUAAGGACUUGAUAUAUCGUCAAUUCAUCAUAUAAAUAUAUCAAAUUGGGAAUAGGGAGUUAUAAAUUAUUUAGGAUCAGCGUGUACCCUAAGUGACAUUACCUAGUUCCUUUAUCAACACCUUUCCUGUAGGUGGAAAAUCUUUAUCGAAAGCAGCUAGUCCUUCAAACAUAAUCACCCUAUAUUUGUGAAAUAUGUUUAUCAAAUUCGAAGAUCCUUCUACUUCAUAGUGAAAUUAAUUUGAAUUAUAUAUUCAAAAUUACUACUCAUUAUUAUAUAUUUCUUGGUCCUUGCCACUUUCUUUCUAAAGAGCUACUACUUCUUGAAAAUCAAAUUAACAAUCAACAAAUUCCUCUCAAUGGGCAAGGAUUUUACUCCUAAACUCUCCGAUUUUGAUAUUCAAACUGGGAUAAGAGGUGAAAUGGCUAUUUGUUAUGGAGAUAUUAGAAUUCACUUGACAUUCUCUUCUUAUGUGAGAGUAUUUAUAAAUUUCCUUCACAACUUUGAUGACAUUUAAGUCAUUCUAGAAAAUAAUAGGUGAUGUUAUUUAUGGCCGACUUAUAACUGGUUUUAUUACGUAUUCACGUGUUAUUCAUUAUCUUACAUGUCUUAUGUUCAUUGACUUAAAAAUCAUACUUUAAAUACUUAUGCACGUGUGUUCAAUAAUGGUUUGCGCCAAUCUGUUUCUAAUCGCAAGAUAAUUUUUAUUGAUUAAACAAAUAGUUCCCGAAGUCCAAUUUUAUUAUUCAUAUUAAAUAUAGGCCUUGUUGUAUUUCAUUGUUUAACUGCAAAGUAUAGGUGGUAUUACUUAAGCAUUUUUCUCUUUCUUUUCUACGACUGACAUGUGCCAUGUUAAGAUGAUGUGUUAUGUUGUAGUCAUUUUAUUCGUGAGCCAGUGGGCCUGUUUUGCGUGUUUCCAGAUUAGUGGUAUGUGUGCAUUUUAGAUUCUGUGUAGAUUAUGCAUGAUCUCACUCGUUCAUUUUGAAUUUUAGUCAACCACCUAUUAUAGUAUUCGGUUAUGAUUGUCCAAAAUAAUCUAAAUGGCUCCGAUUGUUAUAAGCAUAAUUCAAUGGCUUAUGCCUUUUACAAAACUGAUAAAUAUCUUGUUUUUUUUAUGAUUAGAUCUCUUGCUAUCUUUCGUCUUUCUUCAAAACCCUUCUUUAUUUAUGUGUUGACUCUCAUUUACUGAUAUCUUCCCAAAGUGAUUCUCACAAAAAUUCUUAUGAUUCUGAAAGUUCUAAACUUAGGGAUGUUCCUCUAGUGCUUCUUCCUCUUCUAUAGAAGUGUUGUAUACUGAGGUGCUAUCUUACUCUGUAGUCACCUAUUCUGGUUCUUGCAUUAACCUAACAUUUUAGACAAAUGGACAUUAUUGACCUAUGGUUGAGGUACGUGGUGAGGCACCCUAACCUUCAAAUGAACCAGUUAGUCUUAAUGAGAAUGAUGAGGAGAUUUUUGAAGCCUUGAAAAUUUUUACUGAUUGUACUAAGCAGAAUUUGAAUAAAAUUUGGGACUGAUUUAAUGUCCUUGAUGAUUUAGAAUUACUAUGUACUGAGUAAUUACAUAGUGCAGACCGUUCCCCUUGUGAUUGUAUAGAUAUUCAUAAAUAUUCAAUAGAUAUGGGGCUUAGAGUUCAUUUUUACCACUUUUUCCACAAUGUUCUUUUAUUUCUUUAAUAUUGCUCCUAUAUAACUUGCUUCAAAUAGGUGGGCCCAAAUGGUUAGAUUUUUUUAUUAUGGGGGUGCAUGAGUUUAGAGGGAAAGUUUUCACCAAAUGUAUUUUCAUUAUUUAUCAUUUAAUGCAAGCGAAAAAAAAAAACCUCAAAAGGGGCAUUAUUACCCUUCUCUUCAUUCUCCUAAGAUAUGCACAAAACUUUUCUUCAUUCGAUGCAACUGGAGGUUUCAACUGACCUUGGGCCGUUAGUUGUUACGCCUCGAAUCUAUGGCACAUACAGUUAAGUGUUGUUUCGUUGUUUGUCUUUGUUGCUUUAACAUUGAUAUUAUUUUACUGUUUUGCGUAGGUACAUGUAAACUAUUAGGGGCCCUUUGUAGUCAAACUGCUGACGAUCUUCAUGCCUUAGUAGCACAUAUUCUUAGUUUGAGUUCUGAGUUUCAUGAAGCCAAAAGAUUGUUCCAUCGUUUCAACUUAAAUUUUUACAAUAUUGGCAUUCAAACUAUUACGGGUGAGUUUAUGCAUUAGGCUUUUCGUCUUUUAUUCUAUUUCUUAAUCGUCACGCAAUUUUUAAUUCUUUUUUUGAUUUUAUAGUGUGAUUUGAUUUUAAUGCAACUCCUUUCAUGGCCUCCUAGCGCCAGAAGAUUUCAACACCUCCUCUGUCCUAGGACUUCUUCAAAGGGUCUGAGAGGGCUAGUACUGUUCCUUCACUUACUUUAAUCAUUUAUUGAAAAAGUUAGCAGAAACACUUACCCGACAAAAAGGAAAAAAAAUAAUCCACUCAUAUCCAAUGUGAGCUGCGGUAUUACACCACGACCAUUAAAUAUAUUAUGAAAUUGGCAUUGUUGGUUGAUAGUUUGGACAAGAAAGCUUAGUCCUCCGAGAAUUGAUGUGACACUCUUCAAAGGAAAUUAGAAGACUUCGAGAAAGAGAAGGGUAAGUAUAAAAAAGUGUGUGUAAAAAAAUGUGUAAAACUGUUGAGACUUAAGCUAACAAAGAGGCUACUUUAUUAGCCGACCUUUGUGGGGUGGAAUUUAUUCACUGUAUGUCCUUGGCAGAAUAAGUCUCGCCAUUGGUUAGAAUUUCACUAUCGACGAAAAGCGGCUCAUGUUCCAUCCUUCUUGUGCUUUCAUCAGAGUUUUCAUUUGUGUGACAACGGACGGAGAGAGAAGUGGUUUUUUCAACCGCAGUUUGCUAAAAGAGGGAGAUUUUUGUGGUGAAGAACUUCUAACUUGGGCACUGGAUCCCAAAUGCGGUUCGUCUUCUACUCGAACAGUGAAGGCAUUGAUUGAGGUUGAGGAUUUCGCCCUAACAGCCGAUGAAUUAAAAUUUGUUGCAGGUCAGUUCAGACGACUUCACAGCAGACAGGUUCAACACACCUUCCGGUUCUAUUCACAGCAGUGGAGGACUUGGGCCGCAUGCUUUAUCCAAGCAGCCUGGAGGCGGCACUGCAAAAGGAAACUUCUGGAGCUUCAUAGGAAGGAUGAAGCAGCCGAAGAGUUAGCUAGGGCCAGCACAAAAGCCGGAGGAGGCUCAUAUAGCAUUGGUGUGACGUUCUUGGCAACAAGAUUUGCAGCAAAUGCUUUCAGGGGACUACACAGAAAUCGGAAUCUUAGGAGUGCUCGGGAAUUGGUGAAACUCCAAAAGCCACCGGAGCCCGACUUUACUGCCGAUGCAGAUUGAUUUGUCUUCGAACUUGUAAGUUGAUUAAAUGACUCUUCAACGCGAGAAUGUUAUGGUCAAUAAGUUUUUUAAUUAUAAAAGUUGAAUAAAUUAAAAGGCAAUAGCUCUAUUAAAAAAAUGAUAAUUAUGUUGGUGUAAAUUUUUAUCUUUUCAAAUUAAUUUCUUUUUUCUUUUACAUUUUCACUCUAAUUUCUGUGAUAUUUUAUUUAAUUUCAUCACAUUUGCACAAUAAAAUACUAUAAAGAUAUUAAAUGAUUCACCAUAUGAAAAAAUAAAAAUUAAAUGUACCCAAAUUUAUCGUUAAUGGGUGCUUUUGUCUAUCUAUAAUAAUUAAUUAGAAAAUUAACUUAAUUUUGUCAAUUGUUCUGGCAUAUAAAAUUUAUUUAAUUAUUAUAAACAGUUCGACAUUCCAACCCUUGAUCCUUUUGCUUUUUCGGGUCAACAUCCUAGCCGAAUUUCAAGACAUUGAUAAAAAUACAGCGAUGCUAAUUUAAUUACUCAACAAUAAUUUCUAAUAAUUCUAUAAUUAGAUAAUUUUUGAGUUUUCAAAAAAGAAACAAUUGAAAAUUAAUAGUAGAGAGCCCUCUUUGUGGCAAAUGGGCCCAAGAAUUUAGGUCUUAGAAAUUGCUCCAUAAGAAUUGAGAAAACUUUUUAUAAAGCCCAACUUUUAACGUCUAAGCUUGUCUAUGCUCACAUUAGACUGUUAAAAGAGGCCAACUUUUUUUACACCUUGUCCUUACGUGGGACAGUUUGAAAACACCUCAUGUCUAGGUGGCACCACUUAACGCCUUAUACAACUCAAUUACCCAUUUAAGCGGGAAGACUUUGGCCCAAGACUAACUGGGAUUAUUUGUUCAUAUGCUUUCCCAAGUUCUUGAUAAGUUAUUCUUACUGGCAUGUACAUUUUUCAACCAACCCUUUAGCAUCAAAAACUUAUUUUCCUAUAAGGAUUUUAAAGCAUAUCGUUCUUGUUUUCUACCAUUAGUAUCGUAUUAACUACUAGAGCCCUUGGGAAUGCUUAGUGCUAAGGUGGCAUUUGUGCACAGUCACGUGGUUAUUCUUGAUAAUUGUUAUUCCUUUUACAGUUUCAAAUUUUAUGCAUAGACGAUAAAUGGGGAGACGAUAGAAAUCAGAUCAACAAAUUCCUCACACCUAGCAGCAUUUCACGUCUUAAUCUCACUAGUUCUGAUGCUCAAACCAAAGCAAGAUGAGAAAUGACUAUUUAGGAGGGAGAUAUUUAAAUUUGCGUGGUUUACUUCUCUUUCGUGGCGAUAUUUGUCAAUUUCUAUCUUGGCUUUGGGACAAUUAUGUUAUUUAGAAAAAAAUGAUAGGUGAUAGCCUUUUAUUGGCUAUCUUGUAACUAAUUCUAUUUCGGAAUUAUGUUUUAUUCAUUUAGCUUACAGUGUCUUUCGUUUAUUGAUUGCGCUAUUUUCCUCGCGUAUCACUUCUGGUUCCUAGGUAGGGAAUGGGCUUGCAUAAUUGAUAAUUGAUUCCUUGAUUCAAAAAGUAAUUCUCAAAGUCCGAUUUUAUUAUUAAUAUUAAAUCUAGGACUUGUUGUGGUCUUUUUAAUUGGAAACUUAUCGAUAACAUUUAUUGGCGCAUAUUUCUCUUUAUUUGUUGUGGGCUGACAUGGGCUAUCUUAAGGAGAUGUUUUACGAUUUGCAGGAAUUUUUGCUUGUGACUAUAGGGCCUAUUUGUACCUUUCCAGUUAGUAACAUGCAUGCAUUCAAUGCUCAUGUUAGUUACGUGCAAUAGUGUCCAUUCCUUUUGAGUUUGUUUGAGUAUAGAGCCUAGGUGCUUACACUCUACUAAAACCUAUAAAUAUAUUAUUCAUCUUUGCAUGUUCCUUUCUUACUUCUUUUUCAUUGCUUUUCGCUUACUAUGCCAUGUAUCCUCUCUUUUAUGAUUCUAUCUUUUGUCUUCUUGUAUCUUUCCUAAAACUUUUCUUAGGUACACAUUCCACUUUCUGUUGAAAAAAAAAUAAGUUAUGAAACUUUCAAAUUAUACAUUAAAAAUUUCGGUUUUAGUUUCUAAUUUUUCAGUUUUGUUUUUAAUUUUAGAUUCAAUACAAAAUUUAAUCCUAUUAUUAUAUUUGUAACAUAUGUUGAAUUCUAUUAAUUUUCAUAGUGAGAUGGUUGAAUUCUUCUACGAUAAAAAGGGGUGGAUUUCACAUUCUUUGACACAACAAAAUCAAACACAAAAAUACUCGCUACUCUAUUUCAUACUACUCUCUUGUCAUUUUAUCUUCUUCUAUAAACUUUUGGCAAUUGAUAAGGGCUCGUUCUUUCUCUACUUGUGGUCACGCUCAUAGAAGGAGAAUUGGCAGCAAGCUAUAAGGGUUUUAUCUUGGUGCUGUGCAGAGCUGAAAGUACCCGUACAAAGGGGAGGCCACACCACUUUAGGAUAGCGAUUAUCGUGACUCUCUUAAGCCAGCUUUUCUAACUCUAGUCUCAUAUUUACUUUAUUUGAUUCAUGCUUAUAAUUGAUAGUACAAUGUACAAAUCACAUUAAUUUUUACAACGAUCCAAAGUCGUGUGUGUGGUUUGUGUGAUAAUAAUACUUGGUAGUUGCUAACGUACUCAUUAUUAUUAUGCUUCAAUUUUUUGAUUCUAUUAAAUUUUAGAACCUUUUAUAAUUUUCAUUUCAAAACUUACUACAUAAAUUUUCAUUUUGGAAGCUCAUAGAAAUUUUAUAGAUAAGUAAUGCACUCUUCAAAAUUGCGUCAAUAUUUUUAAUUUUAAGCACUUAUUUCAUUUUGAUAACUUAGUGGCAAAUUUUAAAACUCAUAUUAUUUACUUGAUUGAUUGACUUGAACAUAAAAUUAAUCGUUACUAUGUCAAUUUAAACUUCAAUAUUCAUUUAAUUUGUUAUAUUGUUACUUGGAAUAUUUGAAUUAAAAUUGUUUAGGACUUAGUUGAAAUUUUUUUAUUAUUGGUGUUAUAUAUAUAUAUAUAUAUAUAUAUAUAUAGACUUCUCUUUGCCUUAGUAAUUUAUAGUGUAAGAAUGACAUCUCGUGAAGAUACUAAUCAUGCUAAACCGGAAAACUUUGAUGGAAAAAAUUUUAAAAGAUGGAAAAAAAAUUGAAUAUUGGUUGACCAUUUUAGGGUUAAUUUCUGCUAUAAAAGAAUAUAAUGAAGGUAGAGAAUCUACCUCUUGGUAUAACCCAGAACAUAUUGAAUUUCAUUGUCAUAAUCGAAUUUUAAGUACUCUUUCUGAUAGACUUUUUGAUAUUUAUCAAAAUAUCAAGAAUGCUAAAGAGCUUUGGAAAACAUUAGAGGAAGAAUAUGAAAUUGAUGAUACUGGAGUUGAUAGAUUUAACACGUCAACCUUUAACAAAUAUGUUAUGGUGGACGAAAAAUCUAUAAACGAACAAAUCCAUCAAUUUCAAAAUUUACUACGACACGUAGAAGAAAAAGGGUCAAGUUUUAGUGAGGACUAUAAGGUUUCAUGCCUUAUAGAUAAACUUCCGCCUUCUUGGUCGGACUUUGCUAAAAGUCUUAGACAUAAGCAACGGAUUUUAACAUCAAACCAAGUAUUCAAUUCCUUGAGAAUAGAAGAACAUCAUAGAAAUCGUAUCAACAAAGCUGAUGAAUCACAUGCCAAGGCAAACUUGGUAGAAAAUUCAAAAAACAAUACUAGCUCCUCAAAGCAAUUUAAGACUCGAGGUAUAAAUUUAAGAAAAACUUGCACCGUUAUAGGAAAAAUUUCCAACCUAAGAAUAACUACACUAAGAAUAACAAAGGUAAAGAGAACAAUGAGUAAGGGCCAUGUUAUGUAUGUGGAAGAACCAACCAUAUUGCUCGAGAUUGCUACUACAAAAAGACUAAGGAGUACAAGCUUAAGGACAAAUUUCAAAAGGAUCAAGUAAACAUGUUGAAGGAUGGUGGACAUUCCAUUAGGUGUGAAUCAUCAACAUUUUUGUCAAUUUUACUUAUAAUAGUAAUGAAUGGUGAUUAGAUUCUGGAGCAAAUAUUCAUGUUUUUUUUUAUAAGAAUUUGUUUAAAUCUUAUCAGACUUCAAGUGGAGGAAGCAUAACUUUGGGAAAUGACUCCAUCGCUCUUGUAUUGGGAUUUGGAAGUGUUGAGCUUAAGAUGACCUCUGGGAAAAGUUUAAUUUUAGAUCAAGUUCGCCAUAUUCCAGAAGUUAGAAGAAAUUUAUUUGGUAGAUCACUUUUAGUUCAACAAGGUUUUAAACUUGUAAUGGAGUCAAAUAAGAUUGUUAUAACAAAAAAUAAUAUUUUUGUUGGGAAAAGUUAUAUUAGUGAUGGAUUGUUUAAAUUGGAUAUUAUUGAAAAUCUUUAUCAUGAUUCUUCCAUGGUUCUUACUAAGGAAGUUAGUCAAUUGUGGCAUAAACGAUUAGGUCCUGCUGGUAAUAUGAAGAUCAAGAAACUUAUGGAUCUAAACUUGAUUCCAAAAUCUCAAAUUGGUAAUGAUAAGUGUGAAGUUUGUGUACAAGCCAAACAAAGUAAGAGACCUUUUAAAUCUGUUAGAAGGGACACAAACCUUUUAGAAUUGAUUCAUAGUGAUGUUUGUGAUUCUAAUAGAUUGACAACAAGAGUCGGUAAUAAAUAUUUUGUAACAUAUAUAGAUGACUAUUCUAAGUAUUGCUAUAUUUAUUUGUUGAAAGAGAAGGAUGAAAUCUAUGAUAAGUUCAAAAUCUAUAAAGCGGAGGUCGAAAAUCUAUUAGAACAUAAGAUCAAAAUUUUGAGGUCCGAUAGAGGAGGAGAAUAUACUAGGAAUAAUCUUAAGGAUUAUUGUGAGGAUAAUGGUAUAAUACAAGAGUGACACCUCCUUAUUCACUACAAUCCAAUGGUACUGCAGAAAGGAAAAAUCGAACUUUAAUGGAUAUGGUAAAUGCUAUGCUCAUAAGCUUCGAAGCACCUGAAGACUUAUGGGGUAAAGUUGUCCUAACUUCUUGUUACAUAUUGAAUCCAGUAACUGUUAAAGACAAUAUUAAAAUUUCAUAUGAGCUAUGGAAAAAGAGAUCUCCUAUGUUAGAUUUCUAUAAGUGUGGGGGUGCUUGGCAAAGGUAAUUAUACCUAAUCCUACAAGAAAGAAAAUAGGACCAAAAACUAUAGAUGUUGUUUUCAUAGGAUAUGCUCAAAAUAGCAGUGCAAAUAGGGUCUUGAUUAUAAAUUCUGAAGUAAGUGACAUUAAAAAUAAUACUAGCAUUGAAGCUAGAGAUGCUACUUAUUUUGAAGAUGUUUUCCCAUUUAACACUACAAUUUCAAGUGAACCCUCGACUUCUAACAAAAUGGUUUUAAAUAAUACUCCAUCUAGUUCAUCUUUAGAAGAUAAAGUUGAACAUGAACUUAGGAGGAGUAAAAGGACUAUGAGAGAGAAAUCAUUUCGAGAAGAAUUCUUUACAUAUUUAGUUGAAGGUGAACAAGAAACAUAUAAAGAUGCUAUGGUCUCUACUGAUACACCUUUUUGGAAAGAAGCCAUCAAUGAUGAGUCCGAGUCAAUUAUACAAAAUAGUAAUUGGGUCUUAUGUGAUUUACCUCAAGGAAGUAAGACAAUUGGAUGUGAGUGAGUAUUUAAAAAGUUGAAAUCUGAUGGAAGUAUAGAUAAAUAUAAAGCUAGGUUAGUAGUUAAAGGAUUCACCCAAAAAGGAGUUGAUUAUUUUGAUAUGUAUUCUCCUGUUGCUAGAAUAACUACUAUUAGAAUAAGGAAUUAAUGCAGAGAUUUUCUCAAAGUAACCUUCAGCACUGCAAUAGACUGAGUAACCAAGCAGUGCAUUCCCUGGCGCGACACGCAUGGUCCCUCGAAGACAUUUUCCUCUCUGGUAGCAUAGUGUUCCUUUAUUCAUUGAAAAUGUAAUUUUCAUUGAUAAACACUAUUGUACCCUUUCUUAAGGCUUAUUGCCUUUAUGAAUGAAAUAUUUUCCCAUCAAAAAAAGAAAAAAAAGAAUGGUGAUUUAAAUGAAGAAAUAUAUAUGGAACAACUAGAAGGAUUUAAAGUCAAAGGACAAGAACAUAGAGUAUGUAAAUUAAUGAAGUAAUUAUAUGGACUAAAGUAAGCUCCUAAUUAGUGGCAUGAGAAGUUCAAUAGAGUUAUACUAAGUUAUGGAUUUAAAAAUAAUAUACAUGACAAGUGUGUAUAUUGUAAAGAAGAUAACAAUGAGCAUGUGAUACUUUUUUUAUAUGUAGAUGACAUUAAUAUUUGGGACAAAUUUAAGAUUUGUUAAUGAAGUGAAGAGUUAUUUGUAUAAGAAUUUUGAAAUGAAAGAUUCAGAAGAAGCUCAUAUAAUUUUGGGAAUGAAGUUAAGGAAACUUUCUGAAGGAAUUUCACUAAAUUAAUCUAAUGCUAUUAAAAAGAUGUUGGAAAAGUUUGAACGUUAUGUCAAUAAACAAGUUUCCACUCCAUAUAAUUCAAAUGUACACUUGAAGAAGAAUUUUGGUGAACUAGUUUCUCAAUUUGAGUAUUCUCAAAUUAUUGGAUUUUUAUUGUACAUAGCAAACAUGACAAGACUUGGUAUAACCUUUGCUAUUGGGAGACUUAGUAGAUAUACUAACAAUCCAAGUAAAGAACAUUGAAACGCUCUGGAGAAAGUACUUAAAUAUCUCCGAAGUAUAUUAGAUUGUUCUAUAAACUAUAAAAACUUUCCAAAUGUUAUUGAAUGAUAUAACGACGCAAAUUGGAUAACUGAUAAUGUAGAUAUUAAGUCUACCAUUGGAUGUAUAUUUAUGCAAGGUGGUGGGGGCCAUAUCUUGGGGUUCAACAAGACAAACGAUUAUUUCUAGGAGUACUUUAGAGUCAGAGUUAAUAGCAUUAGAUACAACAUGUACUAAUAUGGAGUGGCUUAGAGAUUUAUUAUUAGAUAUACCAUUAAUAAAUUAGCCAAUCCCAGCUAUUUCAAUACAUUGUGACUGUAAAGCAGUCGUAGAGCCUGUAAAUUAAUCUCACUUAAAUAAGAAGAUGAAUAAGCUUAUUCAAGCAAGACUUAAGUCAGUUAAGCCUUACUUAAGAGAAAUGUGAUUUCUCUCAAUUUCAUGAGAUCUGAAAAGAAUUUAUCAGAUAAUUUAACCAACGCUUUACCCAAAAAGGGUGUUAAUGAAUCAUCGAAAGGGAGGGGCUUAAGCCCAUAAGAGAGUCAUCUUCGAGAGCAACCCAACCUCUGUGGUAGGAACAACCCGCCCUACUUGACUCGUAAUAGCACUAUAUUUUGUGAUCAUCCCUAUGGUGAUAGUGCUAUGCUUAUGAUGUUAGGAAGGGUUUAACCCUGAAUGAGUGUCGAAGCGAGAAUUCUCGCAAGGUUUAGGUCACAUGCACCCUUGGAGGACUCACCUAUGUAAGAGUUGUCAUGAGGUUGUGACUAUAGGAUUGGGCUAUUCCCUAGAGACUCUUACUAGAAUCAAGAUAAGAGGGCAUGGCCAUUAAUAGCACUACCCGAUAUAAAAUUGAGCCUAAAUUGAUACCAUGUGUGGAGCAAUUGAAGUUUGGUUAAAGGGACAUAAUUCAAGCCUUAGUCCAUUAUGGCUCCCUCAAAUGAAAAUUGUUAUUACUAAGUGAGGUUCAAGUCCAAAAGACACCUACACUUAUUACACAGUAUAAUAUUGCCACUAUAUACAUAUAUAAUUAUUUUGAAAGUUUUAAAACUUGUGAGGGAUUGUUGAAAAAAAAAGUUAUAAAACUUUCAAAUUAAAUAUUAAAAGUUUCAGUUUUAUUUUUUUUAAUUUUUCAGUUUUGUGUUUAAUUUUAGAUUCAAUACAAAAUUUAAUCCCAAUAUUAUAUUUGUAACAUAUGUUGAAUUUUAUUAAUUUUCAUAGUGAGAUGGUUGAAUUCUUCUACUAUAAAAAGGGGUGGAUUUCACAUUCUUUCACACAAUAAAAUCAAACAUAAAAAUACUCACAACUCUAUUUCAUACUACUCUUCUCAUACUACUCUCAUAUCAUUUUAUCUUCUUCUAUAAACUUUUGGCAAUUGAUAAGGGCUUGUUCUUUCUCUCCCUGUGAUCGUGCCCAUAGAAGGAGAAUCGACUGCGAACUAUAAGGGUUUUAUCUUGGAGUCGUGCAGUACCGAAAGUACCCAUGUGAAGAGGAGGCCACACAAGUUUAGGACAGUGAUUAUCGUGACUCUUUUAGGCCAGCUUUUCUAAUUCUAUUCUCAUAUUUAUUUUAUUUGAUUCAUGCUUAUAGUGGAUAGUACAUUGCACAAAUCACAUUACUUUUUACAACACUUUCAUCUUGCUCUUGUGAUCAUUUUUCGUUACAAUGUCUUCCGAAAGCGACUCCCAAAAUAUGUCACAUUAUAUAAGGUAGAAAGCUCAAAACCUCAGAAUAUCUCCUCUAAAGUGCCUUUCUUUCUGAGAAAUUUCAGUGUAUUGAGGCAUUGCUUCAUUCUGUAACUAAUCUACCCAAUUCUAGGGCUAACCCAAAACUUAGUUCUCAACUUACGAUCGAUGAGGUUUGUGAGCCUUUGAGUGAUUCAGAUGGCAUUAAUGUUAGCAGCAAGAAGGUUUUUGAAGCCUCAGAAAUAUUUACUAGUUACUGAGAAAGGAUUGGAUGAAAUUCGGACUACUUUAAUAUCCUUGACAUAGAAUUGCUAUGUCCUGGGUAAUUUCAAAGAGCAGAUUGCCCUCCUCAUGAUUGUAUAGCUUUUCAUGAGCAUUCGAUAGAUAUGGGGCUUAGAGUCCACUUUCAUUAUUUCAUUCGUGAUAUUCUUUCUUCUUUUAUUAUAGCUCCUAGCUUAUCCCAAAUAGAUGGGCCCAUAUGUUGGGACGUUUUUGUUAUAAAAAUGUUGCGGAUUUAGAGGUAGAGCUUUCAUAGGAUGUAUUUCGAUCUAUUUACCAUCCUUAAAGUUAGGAAACAAAGCGAACCCACAAGGGGUAUUACUAUCUUUCCCUUCACUCUUCUAUGUCUUGCUCGGGACUUGUAAUUACUUCCAAUAAAGUGCAUAAUUGGAGGGAAAGUUUUUUCCUUUAUUCGUAGCAAUUGGAGGUUUCAACCCAAUGACCCUCAUCCUUUUGUGAUUAUGCCUAGUGUUUUGGCGAAUAUAUUAUUGUUUUUUCUUCGUACAUUAUUUACUUUUUAACAUGAUGUUUUUUUGUUUGGCAAUGCUCAUAUAGGUAAGUAGCUAGCUCUUCUUUUUUUGUUGAGCUCUCAACAAACUUCAUGCUUUAAUAGCAACUGUUCUUAGUUUAAGUUUCAAGGCUCACAAAACCAAGAAACUACUCCAACCAUCCAAUAAAAAUUUCACUACGUUGGUAUCCAGACGAUUAUGAGUAAGUUUAUGCACUAGCUUUCUUAUUUCAAAACUUUCCUACUUUCAAAUAAUAUCAGAUAAUUAUUUUUCUUUUUUAGUGUGAAUUGACUUUAGUGUAACUCCUUUGGCGGCCCCCCAAGAAUAGAAAACAUCUACAACUCUCCUUCCUAAUAAAUCGGUUCGUCAAAGCUCUGGGAAGGUCUAAAAUUAUGCUUUCGUGGGUGGUUGAGGAUUCAACCAAGCAUCCUUCGUCAGUCUUCCGUGGCCUCAGGAUCCUUUCCUAAGGAAUCCGUGCCUUCUACUCUGUUGACUUAGUUAGGGAUUCCAAAGGGAAAAGGAAAAUAUCGGAUGGGUCUGACCAAUUACAGAACCCAAAGUAUCCCAUUUUUCUAGAAGGUUUACCUCAUUUUCUAAAUCUUUAUUCAUCCAUUGCUGCAACAAAGUAUUAGAUGCAGGAGGUUUAUCGGUGCUUUCUCCUUUAUUUCUCAGGCAACGAGAUUUAUGUAUGCUUGUUUUAAUCAAUAUUUGAAAAGUUACGAAAGAGGUUAACCCUACUCAAAGAGGAAAAAUGAUUCACGCCCACCUUAUGCAAGCUACUAUCUUGCAUGAAAAAUAGAAGUUUGAAUAUAAUGGUUGUGUUUUGCAUGCGGAUGGCUUGGAUAAAAUGAUCGAUUCUUUGGAAAAGAUGUGAGGGACUCUCCAGAAGAAACUAGGGAAGAUCAUAAUGGAGCGAGUUGAACAUUAACAAAUUGGUAAAGGUGUUGAAGUUAUUACUAUGUAAGAACAAGGAAACGUGACAUUUCACGCCUUAGAGAGAAGUUCUAAUUGACAAGUUUGAGCAUUAUGUUACUUCUAGGGAACUUGAUAGUGUAAGGAAUGGCAUAACCUCGCUCAACAAUCAAUUGGAGAACAAUAAGACAAAAUUAGCCAUUGUAGACUCCAGCCUUUCUAAAGUGAUUGCUCGGGAGGCAAAACUGUUGAGGAUGCUAUAUAGUUAUUGAUAUAAUUAGAAGCAUUCAUCGUGAUGGAAUAUAAACUUUUUGGAGGCUUAUGAAAAUGAUGUUGAAGACACCGUAUCUUCUGAGGUCAUCUGUCGGCUUCUAAAGAUCAGGGUACUUCAUCCUUUUCUGUUGACCUUUCUCACACUAUGGAUUUUCAAGCUAUUGGGGUUGCGGCUAUUAUUGGGCCAAUUGAUACUUCUACUCUCACUCCUAUUCCACAUUAUGAAGUAAUUGUGUCAUUAGGGAUGACGGUCGAGUUAACCAAGACGUUCCAACUUUUGAGAAUCUUCAGUUCUUGGUUAAUUUAGAAACAUAGCUAGCAUUUGUCUCAUCUUUUUGCAAUAGUGAAAUUUCCUUGCUUUUGCAUAAAAUCGAUCAUUUGGCAAUUCAUUAAUGGAAUGUCAUUUCUCAUUUGUAUAAAUUGAUCAUUUGGCAAUCUAUUUAGCCUCAUAUUGCUUUACUCAUUUGAUAUUUAGUUACACUUCUUGUAGUUGCAUUUAAGACAAUUGUAUAUCAACAAUACAAAUAAAAAAAAUUCAUUUAUCAUUCUUUACAGUGAAGGAAAAAUUAUUAUUGUUUUGUUCUUGCUAUGGCUUUUAUUACAUCAAUACUACGCACGCGAUUACAUGUUGUGAUUUCAAUUUUGGAUGACGGCAGGUGUGAUUUCACCCUUGAUGAUAAGGUUUUUUAGGGUGAAAAUCAGUCAUGGCAUUUCUUUGGCUCUACCUUUAGUCAAAAUUUCAUUUAGUGAAGCAUUAUGCCUUUGAUUUCAACUUCACAUUGGAUAGAAAGAGGCUCUGCUUUCAUUUAAAAAUGGCAGAAUAAGCCUCACCUUGUUUACGAUACUCAUUCAUGUGACCUUGCUUAAGGUAAAGCAUUGUUUUGAUUGCUUCGUCAUUUAUGCAUUCACGAGUACUUGCAAAAUUAUCUUUAUUGGCAAGUAUGUUUUUCAAUUUACCCUUCACAGUAUCAGAUUCUUGCUUUCCUAAACAAGGCUUUUUAAGCAUAUAAUCCAUUCUUUCAAUAAUUUCGUUUUCUUUCUCUUUUUUAUUACCAUGAUGAUUUGUUCCUUUGGAAUUAAACAAGGCUAUUUAAGCAUGUUUUUCUUUCUUUCAAUAAUUUCAUUUUCUUUCCUUACUUUAUUACAAGGAUGAUUUGUUCUUUUGGAACUAAAUACUCUCCAUUGAAAUCAUAUAUGUAAAGUCUCGAAAAUUUUCACAUGCUAGAAUUUAUUUAUUUUAUUUAUUAUAUUUUAGAUUUGAAAGGUUGAAGGACUAAAAUGAUGAAUAUAUUAAAUUCAAUUUUAAUAGGGUCAAAUAUUUAGAUAUUGAUAGAGUAAUGAUAAAUAAAACAACAAUCUUGUUGAUAUGAUCCAGGAGUCGAGCCCGACGAAGGCAAGUGCGAGACGAGACCCGUUGAUAGUCGAUGACGGACCAAUGACGCGAUCAAGGGCAAAGCAAGUGAAACAAACGAUGGGAUUGCUCGCUCAAGAAACCAUUGAUGGAACUAUGUUCGGGACUCGAAAUGGAGCAACUUUCAUGUUCAGGUCGAAGGCCGAAUCAACUUAGAUCAAUUUGUUAUCAAGCGACGAAAGUGGAGGCUGAAGACAACACCAUGCGGCCGCACAGGCAAAACCACAUGCGGCCGCACACAUGCAUAUCGAAAACCAAAAGUCCAAUUCCAGUUGAACCAUGCGACCGCAUGGAUUUACACCAUGCAACCGCACAAGCCAAAAAAUUGGCGAAUUUUCUAUUUUUGGUCAAAUUUCCUAGUUUCGAUAGAAUUUUUAUGAAAUCAAAUUAUUACCAUAAUUUGAUGGUUUUGGACGUUUUUAUUCAUUAGUAUAAAUAAGAGAUUACUUUUCAUUGUAACAACUUUUGAACUUCUGAUAUUGCUUAAUAUUAUAGAGAGAGAAUUGUUCUUUCAAUUUAUUGUUCUUCUUGAACAAUCUUGGAACUUAUCAAGAAUCAACUUCUUGUGGCGUUCUGAUCAAUCGGAUUGUGGGUUUUUUCAAUUGUAAUCAAGGGGUUUUAGGUUCUUCGCUAGUCUAGGGUUUCUUGGUUCAAUUCUUGGGGUUCAAGAUCCAAAAUCGGGUUAGUAUUGGCGUUCUUGGGUUCCACAUCAAUCUCGUGUGGGUUUCGUAGUUUCCAUUACUACGGGGUUCGCAUCAGUUGGUAUCAAAGCUUUGGCUCCAAUUUAAUCAAGUUAUAUCCUUUGUUUUCUACUUUUUUUCAAUUCCUUGUGUUCUUGUGUCCAAAAGGUUUUCUUGAUUCUUUGAUCCAAAAGUUUCAUAAAAAAUCUUCAAAUUCCGUUUCUGGGCUCAAUUUUCGCCCAAAUCAGUUUUCGUUUUCUUUGUUGGUUUUGUUAUUGAUUUUCGGAUCUUAAAAAAAAAUAUUGUUCAUCCGUACAGUACUGUUCAUCCGUACAGUAAAAAAAACUUGUUAAAUAUUAUUGAUCCGUCAAAUACCAACUUUUAUUAUUCAUUAUUGCUUCUAAAUUACUUGGACACAUUGGAACACUCCAUUCCUUCAUUCAAAUCAAGUUUUAAAAGUUUUCUUUGAGUCCUUUGUUAUAAUUAUUGAGUCACAUUCGGUUUGGGAAAUUCUACAUGAAUUGAUUGAUUGAUUGAGUUCAUUGAUUGUUCCUAGAAACAAUUGUUGAAAGAACUGAGUGGUAAAAGGCAGAGAGGUGAGCUUAAUAAAGGGUAAAAGCCCUUGUGUGUGUUUCGAGUGACUUUUGGUGAGGCAGUAAAAUAAAAUUUUAGUGUUAGGAUGUCAGAAAGGGCGGAAUCAAACUCAAGCCGACAAGGCAAUAAUAGGAAUGCAUCGGAGGAUUUAGAGCAAAGGUUUGAGAGGGCGUUUGGAGAUGUGAGAGAUAGGUUGGAGAAGCAGGAGGCUUGGAUGAAUAGAUUAGAUACAUCGGUGGCUAAUCUUAGUCGGGGGCAACGAGUGGAUGUAUCCAAUGCCAGAGGACCGGAUAGAUGGGAGCCUAGGAGGGAAAGGCGAGAGGAGUAUGGAUAUGGGAGUGACAUGGGCGAAGAUGAAUUUUACGGUGUUGAGAUGGGAAGGAUGAGGAAUAGAGGCGAUAGGUUCGACAGACGGGGUCGGAAUGAUCGCGGAAAGGAGUUGGAUGGAAACUUGGGAAAUAUAAAAAUGACAGUUCUUUCAUUCAAAGGAAGGAGUGAUCCCGAGGCAUACCUGGAGUGGGAAAGGAAGGUUGAAAUGAUCUUCGAGUGUUAUAACUACUCGGAAGAGAAAAAGGUGAAAUUAGCAGUUUUGGAGUUCAGUGACUAUGUAAUUUCAUGGUGGGAUCAAGUGAUUACUUCACAACGUAGGAGUGGGGAAAGACCAAUCAGCACUUGGGAGGAAUUUAAGUCAUUGAUGAGAAAGAGGUUUGUUCCUAGCCACUAUUACCAAGAGAUCCAUCAAAAACUGCAAGGUCUAUAUCAAGGGUCAAAAAGUGUAGAGGACUAUCAUAAGGAGAUGAAAAUACUCAUGAUUAGGGCCAAUGUGGUGGAGGAUCGGGAGGCAACCAUGGCACGAUUCUUGAAUGGGUUGAAUAGGGAAAUUGCCAAUGUAGUGGAGUUGCAACAUUAUGUGGAGUUGGAAGAUAUGUUGCAUGUGGCUAUGAAGGUAGAGAGACAAUUGAAGAGGAAAGAGGCAGUUAGGCAUUCGUUAGGAACUUCGAGUGUUAAUCCAUCUUGGAAGAUAGGGUGGAACAAAAACAACAACAAAGGUGAUAAAGUUGUACCUAAAGGUAGGAAUGAGUGGCAGAAAGGAAAAGAAGAAAGUGCUAGCAAAACAGCAUCCAAAACAGAUUCACAACCAUCAAGGAACCGAGACAUCAAGUGUUUUAGAUGCUUAGGGUCAGGGCACAUUGCUUCUCAAUGCCCAAAUAAAUGGGUAACGAUUUUGUUGGAUAAUGGAGAUGUGGUGAGUGAAAGUGAAGGAGAGUUUGAGGACAUGUCUGCAUUUGAGGACGUUGAAGAAGAAGAAAAAUUGGAGUUUGCUGUUGGGGAAUCGUUGGUGUCAAGAAGAGCUCUUAACACUCAAGUCAAAGUGGAUGAUUUGGAGCAGCAGCGAGAAAAUAUAUUCCAUACACGUUGUUACGUCAACGAUAAGGUAUUUAGUAUGAUUAUUGAUGGUGGGAGUUGCACGAAUAUAGCUAUUACAACUUUAGUUGAGAAAUUAGGACAAGCAUUGUUAAGACACUCUAGGCCUUAUAAGUUGCAAUGGUUGAAUGAAAGUGGGGAAGUUAGGGUGAAUAAAAGAGUUUUAAUUAAUUUCUCAAUUGGGAGUUAUAGUGACGAAGUAGUAUGUGAUGUGGUGCCUAUGCAUGUGGGUCAUAUCUUUUUAGGAAGAUCAUGGCAAUAUGAUAGAAGGGUCACACAUGAUGGAUAUAGGAAUCGUUAUAACUUUGUCAAGGAUGGGAAGACUAUUACUCUUGUGCCAUUAACACCGGCACAAGUGUAUGGAGAUCAUAUCAAACUGAAAAGUGAGGAAGACGAGAGAAUAAGAGAGUCGGGAAAAAGGAGAGGCAAUAGUGAAACCAUCACUAAGAGAGAAAAUAGUGAGGUGGCUGAGAGUGGAGAAAAGAGAGAGAGCCACAUGAGUGGAGAGAAAGAGUCAGUUGAGAGGAGAGAAAAAGAGUCAACUGAGCGGAGAGAAAAGCCAAAGGUUAACUUCUAUGCAAAAGAGAGUGAGUUGAAAAAGGCUAUGAGCGAUAAUAGGCAAAUGAUAUUGUUAGUGUACAAGGAGUCCCUCCUCAAUUUCGAGGAUUCUAACACAUCCCUCCCUAGUUUGGUCAAGUCUUUAUUGCAGGAAUUCGACAAUGUGUUUCCUGAGGAGAUGCCAAGUGGAUUGUCACCAAUCAGAGGCAUCGAGCACCAGAUUGACUUUGUACCCAGAGCUGUCAUACCGAAUCGACCAGCUUACCGAAGCAAUCUCGAGGAGAUGAAGGAGCUUCAAAAGCAAGUGGAGGAGUUGAUGAGCAAAGGUUAUGUCAGGGAGAGCAUGAGCCCAUGUGCUGUACAUGUUUUGCUGGUGCCUAAGAAGGACGAGACUUGGAGAAUGUGCGUGGAUUGCCGAGUUAUCAACAAUAUCACGGUAAAGUAUCGUCACCCAAUACCUAGGUUAGAUGAUAUGCUUGAUGAGUUGCAUGGUGCUUGCAUUUUUAGUAAGAUUGAUCUUAAGAGUGGGUAUCAUCAAAUUUGCAUGCGAGAGGGUGAUGAAUGAAAAACGGUGUUUAAGACUAAGUAUGGAUUGUAUGAAUGGUUAGUUAUGCCGUUUGGACUCACUAAUACACCGAGCACUUUUAUGCGUUUAAUGAACCAUGUUUUGCGUGCUUUUAUUGGGAAAUUUGUUGUAGUUUAUUUUGAUGACAUCUUAAUCUAUAGCAAAAACCUAGAUGAGCAUUUAGAACAUUUAAAUUGUGUGCUUGUUGUGUUGCGAAAUAAACAACUAUAUGCUAAUUUCAAAAAGUGCACAUUUUGCAUGAAUAGAGUUAUUUUCCUAGGAUUUGUGGUUGGUGCUAACGGGGUGGAAGUCGAUGAAGAAAAGAUAAAAGCUAUAAAGGAAUGGCCGACACCUAAAACUAUAACUGAAGUUAGGAGUUUUCAUGGAUUGGCUAGUUUUUAUAGGCGAUUUGUAAGAGAUUUUUAGCACCAUCACCACACCGUUGACUGAAAUAGUAAAGAAGAGUGUAGGUUUCCAUUGGGGAGAAUCUCAAGAAAUUGAAUUUAACACAAUUAAGGAUAAUCUAUGUAAAACACCUGUUUUAGCACUACCAAAUUUUGAUAAAACAUUCGAGGUUGAGUGUGAUGCAUCAGGAAUAGGUAUAGGAGCAGUGUUAAUGCAGGAAAGGAGACCUAUUGCUUACUUUGGCAAAAAGUUGAGUGGGGCAGCAUUGAAUUAUCCGACAUAUGACAAGGAGUUGUAUUCACUUGUUCGAGCAUUGGAGACUCGGCAGCACUACUUAUGGCCAAAGGAAUUCGUGAUACACAUCGAUCAUGAAUCUUUAAAGCAUUUGCGAGGUCAAGGUAAGUUGAACAAAAGACAUGCGAGAUGGGUGGAGUUUAUCGAGACAUUUCCCUAUGUCAUCAAGUACAAACAAGGUAAUGAAAUUAUAGUUGCUGAUACGUGUCUCGAAGGUACGUGCUUUUAAAUUCAUUAAGUACUAAACUACUUGGUUUCGAACAUAUUAAGGGCAUGUAUGAAUCUAAUUGUGAUUUUUCUUGUAUUUAUGCUUCAUGUGACAAAGGUGCAUUUGAUAAAUUCUAUAGGCAUGAAGGAUAUUUGUUUAGGGAAGAUAAGUUGUACAUUCCUAAUUGUUCUUUGCAUGAAUUAUUGGUAAGGGAAGCACAUGGAGGUGGUUUAAUGGGACACUUCGGGGUUCAAAAGACUUUAGACAUGUUAGGGGAACAUUUUUAUUGGCCUAAAAUGCGACAUGAUGUAGAACAAAUAUGUGGAAAGUGCAUAACUUGUAAAAAGGCUAAGUCUAAGGUCCAAUCCCAUGGUUUGUAUACUCCUUUCCCUGUACCUAGUGAACCUUGGGUAGACAUAUCUAUGGACUUUGUGUUAGGUUUGCCUAGGUCAAAAAGGGGUCGGGAUUCAAUAUUUGUAGUCGUCGAUAGGUUUAGUAAGAUGGCGCACUUCAUACCAUGUCAUAAAACUGACGAUGCUACUAAUACUAUGGACUUAUUCUUUAGGAAAAUAGUACGUUUACAUGGAGUACCUAAAAGUCUAGUGUCUGAUAGGGAAGUGAAGUUUUUGAGUCAUUUUUGGCGUGUUCUGUGGAGUAAGUUAGGAACUAAGUUAUUAUUUUCUACAACUUGUCACCCACAAACAGAUGGAUAAACUGAGGUAGUUAAUCGAACUAUGACUCAACUACUUAGGAUAGUGAUCAAUAAAAAUCGAAAAUCAUGGGAAGAGUGUUUACCGUUUAUAGAGUUUGCAUAUAAUCGAGCUACACAUUUUACUACUUCGUUUUCUCCUUUUGAAAUUGUUUAUGGUUUUAAUCCACUAACACCUAUGGAUUUAAUGCCUUUGCCUGUGCAUGAACGAGGUAGCUUGGAUGGGAAACGAAAAGCCGAGAUGGUGAAAACACUCCAUGAAAAGGUCAGGAUGCAGAUCGAAGAGAAAGGAAAGCUGAUUGCAUCAAAAGCAAAUAAAGGAAGAAGACGCGUUACAUUUGAACCUGGAGAUUGGGUCUGGGUGCAUUUCAGAAAAGAGCGUUUUCCAGAACAGAGGAAGUCAAAAUUGUAACCACGAGGCGAUGGACCGUUUCAAAUCAUCGAGAGGAUCAAUGAUAAUGCAUACAAAGUGGAUUUACUUGGUGAGUAUAAUGUUUCAGCUACUUUUAAUGUAUCUGAUCUCUCUCUGUUUGAUGUAGGUUCAGAUUCGAGGAUGAAUCCUUUUGAAGAGGGAGGGGAUGAUAUGAUCCAGGAGUCGAGCCCGACGAAGGCAAGUGCGAGACGAGACCCGUUGAUAGUCGAUGGCGGACCAAUAACGCGAUCAAGGGAAAAGUAAGUGAAACAAGUGAUGGGAUUGCUCGUUCAAGAAACCAUUGAUGGAACCACGUUCAGGACUCGAAAUGGAGCAACUUUUAUGUUCGGGUCGAAGGCCGAAUCAACUUGGAUCAAUUUGUUAUCAAGCGACGAAAGCGGAGGCUGAAGACAACACCAUGCGGCCACACAGGCAAAACCACAUGCAGCCGCACACAUGUAUACCGAAAACCAAAAGUCCAAUUCCAGUUGAACCAUGCGACCGCAUGGAUUUACACCAUGCGGCCGCACAAGCCAAAAAAUUGGCGAAUUUUCUAUUUUUGGCCGAAUUUUCUAGUUUCGAUAGAAUUCUUAUGAAAUCAAAUUAUUACCAUAAUUUGAUGGGUUUGGACGUUUUUAUUCAUUAGUAUAAAUAUGAGAUUACUUUUCAUUGUAACAACUUUUGAACUUUUGACUAUUGCUUAAUAUUAUAGAGAGAGAAUUGUUCUUUCAAUUUAUUGUUCUUCUUGAACAAUUUUGAAACUUAUCAAGAAUUAACUUCUUGUGGCGUUCUAAUCUAUCGGAUUGUGGGUUCUUUCAAUUGUAAUCAAGGGGUUUUAGGUUCUUCGCUAAUCUAGGAUUUCUUGGUUCAAUUCUUGGGAUUCAAGAUCCAAAACGGGGUUAGUAUUGGCAUUCUUGGGUUCCGCAUCAAUCUCGUUGUGGGUUUCGUAGUUUCCAUUGUUAUGGGGUUCGCAUCACUUGUACUCGUUGGAUAGCCCAUAAUUAAUUACGUAUAUUAGUCUCGAGAAAAAGUUUAUUUGGACAUGUUAGAUUCAAGAUGUGGCCCCUUUGUAGAAGUUAUCAUUAAUUAGAAAUUCAUUUGGAUUGUGUAUUAAAUUCUUUGAUGAUAGGUACACAUGUAGAGUGCCAAACAAAUCCAAACUUGUCUUCUAUUUUGAAUAGAAAUCUUAUUUUAAUCAAAGUACAAGAAUCUUACCUUUGAUUUGACUACUCUCAAUAGGAGACCUUAUUUACCCAAAUUCUUAUCCAAUAUCUUGUUGGCACGGCUCUAACUUCUAAAUCCUAACAAACUCUAGUAGACUAGGUUGUAAGGGUGUAGAUAUAUAUAGGUAUCAACUUGGAAACUAAUGACACAAAAUUUUUUAUACAUACAUAAGAGAGAGGUUGUGGGAAAUCAAGAAGCAAAUUACAUACAUUUAACCCUUGCUUGAGCCCCUUUCUUUGCAUAAGAAUGAAUUUUUGAAUAGUGUAUUGAUGAGAAAUGUGUGGUUAAAAAAUAAAAAAAAAUUUAAAUUUGCCUCUAAUAUUAUUUUAUUAAAGAAUGUGUGACUGAAAUAAUGUCAAAAUAUAGUUUAAGAAUGUAUUUUUUUUAAAAGAAUAGGGCUCAAACAAGGGAUCAAUAUUACUAUCCAGCAUACUCGCACAUCUACUUAUUCAACGCAUUGGUUUGAGAAAAGAUUUGGAACCGGGAAUUAAGAUCUUCAACGGUUUAAGGUAGGAUAUCGAGGUGUAGUGUAUUAUAUGCCGUUUAAUUUUUUUUUUCAUGUUGAUGAAUUAUUGUACUCAUGAAAGCUAAAAUAUGGUAUGAUAUUAUAUGGCCAUUUCGGUACAAAUGAUAUGAUAUGAUAUGAGCUCUUACCGAUUUUUAAAGAUAUGAGACGAUAUAAUUUUCUAAUAAAUGUUUUAAAAUUUUUAUUUCAAAUUGCACCAUUAAUUUUUAUGUCCUACUGAGUAUUUCCAUGUACUCACCAUUUUUCCUACUCCUCACAGAUUAGAAUUGGUCAUUGGUUAGCUGGCAAUGAAGUGCAGUCGUGGUGUCAAGAUUUAUGAAACUCAAUAAAAAUAAAUCCAGAGUAACAUGAUCAGAGAUUUUAUUUUUAGCGUUAAUUUAGUUUUUAUUUUCAUGUGAAACUUGUUAUUUAGGAUUCGGAUCGUGUUUCAUAGAUAUUUAUUUAUUUUAUUGAUUGAACUAAAAAAAUUUCUAGUUGGGAUGGUUUGAAUGACUUAUUUAAUUGGAAUGAGAGUUUUAGUAACUAUCUAAAUUGUUAAAAUUUGGGUCGUUACAAUAUAAGAUUUCAGCUAUGGGUACCUUGGGACAAUGGAAAAAUAUUUUCGAACGGACUAUUUACGAAGUUUACCUUCAAAAUAUAGUUGAGGCCAUCCCAAGCUCUUAAGGCUCAUUUCCCCGACACAUCACGGUUGGGGAUAUAUGAUUCCCUUCGUCAUUACUAUACAUAAUUGAAAAAAUCUAGGUUUCAGGAUUUCCUUUGAUCUAGAAGUUUUCAAAUGCGGGCUUUCUAGAUAUUUGGGAGCCUGUUCUGCACAUGUUCUUCGUACCUUCUUCUGUAUAAGGGACCUUCAUGAUAAUAUUGAUUUCUCUCACCGAAGGUUGGGGGAUCACAACGUUGAUCAACGCUUGCGAUGUCUUUGCAUGCCUUCGUUUCACUCCCUUUAUUCCAUCCCUUUACUGGACACGCUGGCCUUUGACUCUCAGGUGACACAUUCUCCUUCUUAUUUCAUAACCUUGCCAUUUUAAACAUUUUGAAGCAUUUGUCCUAUCAUGGCCUAGAUGUGAUGGAUUUUGCGAAAUUGUGCCUCCUGCCUUUCUGGGAAAAGAUAUACUUUCCUUAUACCCUGUGAGAAUGUUAUAGAGAAUGCGCAAAUUCAGCUCCUAGUCCAAUCCAAAUGCAAAUGACGAAUCUUUUGAAUUUUUUGGUAUGAUUUUGCUUGUUCUUCCUUCAACUCUCGAGAAUGUCUUCUCCCUUGAUCUCAUUAUAUAUUAGAACUAUUAAUUGGUGGAAUGUGUAUGGAUACCUUUUGCUGCACUUGGUAGAAGGAAGUUUUAUUUAACAAGCCAUUUUUUUCUGGGAUGGCCUCAUUGGUGACUAUUUCAACUUUGAAUUGUGCGAAAUGACUCCCGAAGAAUUCUUCUUCUCUUAGUUUCACACCAUUAACUCUUAUCAUUAGUGUCUGUCUCAUUUUUAGGCCCGCUCAUUUUUGUAGUGGCCAACUCUUAGUUGAGUCUAAUGGUAAUUGGCAUAUCAAAUUUUCCUACUUAUCAUCUUUCUCUGCGGUGGAUUGGUCUUCAGAUUUUCCAUACAUGUAGUUAUUAUAAGAAUUGCCCAAGCUUCUCGCUCUCCGAUUUCUCCAACGACUACGUUGGUUAUAUUUCCAAUCAUGACAGUUUACCUUGUCUGCAAGUCUCUUCAGGGCGGAUUUGUUAAUCUACUGUUCUCUUCACUUUUUAGAUGCAAUGUCACAAGUUUGCAGUGACUGUAAAUUGCUACUUUUCUUAGGAAAAAAAAUUAGUAACAGGCUUUAUUUCUCCUUAGCCGAAUUCAUCUUGUCAACUUCCCAUUGUGUUCUCAUACUUUGCAUAUAAAUAUGCAAUUUUUGCUGCUAGCGUCUUGAGGCUCUCCACAGUUUCAUGCAUAUCCUUUCCUAUAUGCAUUCUCUUCUAUUGGCAAUUGUAUUGGAUAGAAGAAACACUGGAAUGAAAUCCUACUGGUGUUUCAUCCCGCUUUCGCUUCAAAUUGGUAUCAUUGUUGGCUGGCUUACCACUGGAUUUUCUCUUUUAACUUCCAACACCUUUUUUUCUUCCAAAUCUAUCUCCAUUUAGCUCAUCUCUAUAGUUCCCAAGGUAUUCUCAAAUCCAAUAGCUAUUUUCAUAAUUUACUUUGCUCAAGUUUCCCACAGAUGGUGCCAAUUGGGCAUAGAAAUAAGAUCAAUAAGUUCCUCUCUCCUGGUUAGGAUUUUCAUCUCCUAAAAUCACUGGUUCUCAUGCUCGAAUUAGAAUAAGAAGAAAAAUAGCUAUUUGAUCUUAUAUGGUUUUUCCUCUUAGGUGGAGAUUAUAGAUUUCCUUCUGGUUUCAGGCCAAUUAAGUUAUUUAGGAAAAAUGAUUAGUGGCAGACUUUUAUUAUCUUGCUUAUAGCUAAUACUUCAUAUUUUAUUAUUUAGCUUACAUGUCUUAGUUUACUGGCUGUGAAGCCAUGCUUUAAAUACUAGUCGAUGUAUGCCUUAGUAACGAUUUUUAUCCAGCCUGGAUAAGGAAUGGAUCACCUAUACUCUAAGUGAGUUUUCUAUGUUUUUUUUUUCUUUUUUUUUGUUUCUCUCCCAUAUCGUUUAUUGUUCACAAAUAGGGGAUGGGUUCACAGGAUUGAUUCCCCUAGGAUCCCAUUUUAAGCGAACCUACAAUUCAUGAUCAAAAAAUCCAUCCUUUGAAAUGUAGCUACCUCUUCACCCAAUCCAUUCAUCAAGUAUUCUGUCUUCUUAUGACCAAACUAUCUCGGUGAAACAAUAUAAGAGUUCAGCUAUGGGUAACAAGAUCAAAAUCACUUGUAAACAUAAUAUUUACAAAGCUACCAUUAUCCACCAAUACACGGUUAAGGUCGUUACGAUCUAUUACAGCUCGUACUACAAAUAAAUCACAAUGGGGAUAUGUGAUAUUACAGCUCGUACUACAAAUGAAUCACAAUGGGGAUAUGUGAUUCUCUGUUUAUCAUCACUAUUAAAUGUAAUUGGAAGAGAUGUCAUUUAGGAUAAUCUCACAUCCAGAAAUUUUCCAACGUGUACUUUUUAGCUGCUCAAGUAUAGUUUCUUGAUUCAUUCAUCAUUUUUCGUGGAUAUAGGGUCCCUUAGGUAUAGUAUAGAUCUCUCACUAGAGGUCAGUAGUGCAAGACAUUUACUAAUGCUCACAAUGAAUCUACAUAUGUUUGCCUACCUUCUCUACCUUGCUUUCUGGUACCUAGGUAAGGAAGAUUUUGACUUUUAGAAGCUUCACGUCUCCCUACUUGUUGGCUUUGCAGAUUCACCACCUUAAGUAUUUCAAAGCACUCAUUUGUAUCAUGGUCCUUAGUGCGAUGAAUUUUGCAAAGCAUUACGUUUUAAUUUUCAGGAGAUAGAUGUACUUCGCUACUUGGAGAGAUUGCGUCCACUUUGCCCCUGACCUCAUUGAAAUGUAAAUACUAUUACUUCAUAAGUCUGGAUGCAUAUGUCUUGCCUUUUCCUUUAAGAUCUCGACCUUGUUUAAUCGUCUUCCAGUUUUCAAUAGUGUCUACUGUGUAGAUCUCGUUUUGUAUUAGAUUUACUAGUUAGUGAUGGGAGGUUGGAUUUUUAUUGUAGACAUUUUGCCACAUGGAAGUUUCCUUUAACAAACCAUUCCACAAAGCACCCCUAGCCAUUUUAUCUGAUAUGUUCUGAUAAACGAUCAACUCUAAAGCAUGCGAAAUAGCUUUCCAGGCACUCUUUCCUCCUGCCUCGUAUCAUUCAUCCUCGUGGAUGGUGCUUAUACCAUCUUACUUCUAGUGAACACCCUUAGAAAUGCUUGCUUCAAGUGUGGCCAACUUCUGAUUGAGCCUAAUGGAAGCUUGCUAAACCACCAUGUAGCAUGUCCACCCAAUGUCAAAUGAAAGCCUUGAUACUUAAGUGUGGGGCUCGCCUUCUUCAGCUUCAUUUUAUCUUAUACUCGCUCAGGUAGUACAAUAUAUACAUUUUUCCUACUUGAUAGAUGAAAUUGUCCGAAAUUGGAUAUUUCUUAUUUCUUUUGAAAAUGGCAAGUGCUCAUCAUCAUUAUCGAGCUGAUAUCAUCUUGUAGGUCAAUCUUCACAUUCAUCACACAUUAUGAGUAUUACGUAAAGUCUUGAUCAAGCUUUCUGCUCUUCAACCUUUACAACCAUAUUGCUAGUUAUACUUUCGAUCGUGAUAGUUCACCUCAUCUGCAAGCCCCUCUAGAAUAGACUUAUUCAUAUGCCACUCUUUCCAUUUCUUUCUUGGCAUACUAUCGUUGGUUUUUGAUAUCUACAGGUUGCUACUAUUUCUGUAGAAUGAGCUAUUAACAAGCUCCAUUUCAUUCUCACCAAAUUCACUUAGGAAACUCGCCCUCAGAUUUCAAACUUUACACGUAAAGAUGCAUUCUCCACUAUACUGUCUUAAGGCUUUUAACCACUUCUUGUAUAGUUUUUGUCACUUUGAUUUAGUAUCACAUUUCAUCGGAUCAUUGCUGUGAUCUUCUACAUCCACUUCCAGCAAUUUCAUUUAUUUUGAAUUUACUUCCAUUUUUUGCUCAUUAAAAUUUGAAAUAAUGGAGGCCAAAUCAGAGCUUAGUAUGAGUUUCCAUUUAUAGUGGUGAAUGGUAGCUUGAAAAUUUUGCAAGGCUAGUGAGAAUUUGAAGAAAUCUAAGGAUUCGAAUAUUUGUAUUGAAUUAUUCUUGAUAUGCUUUGUAAAUGCUCAAUGGAUGAGUAGCGUUUAGAAGAACGUGAACAUGGGGACCUAUUAGUGAGUAAACAUUGUUAUGUUGAUUCUUUAAUUUUUUGAAAGUUUUGUUUAAGUUUCUUUGAGUUAAAACGUUGAUUUGGGAGAGCUAAAAACCCUAUUUUCUAUAUGGUUAUGGUUUUGAAAUCGAAACCUUUGUUUUUCUGUUUUGAAAAAUCUUGGAACAUCUCAAUCUAAAUUUAUUUGUUGAAAUUAACUUAUUUUCAAAAUCUAUGUGGCUUGAUCUAUUUUCUAUUCAACCUUUGAUUGGUUUUCUUAAAAGUUGUUUGGUGACUCACUUCAAUCGAUUUUUAGUAAAUUUGUUCGAGUUUCUGUGAUUCUUAGUGAUUCAUCCUAUUUCUGGCUAAGUUGUGGUAACUCAUUCUUGACUUGGUGAAUCUUGGUGACUCGUGCUUGACUCUGAUGAUUCUUAGUGAUCCACUUCUAUUUCUGGUUGAGUUGUGGUAGUUCAUUCUUAGCUCAGCGAUUCUUGGUGACUCAUUCAUUUUCUUUCCUGUGUUGUGAUAACUCAUCCUAUUUUUGAAUGAUUCUGGUGAUCUCAUUCUAGUUUGUGUUGACUCUUGGUGAUUUAAUUAGUUUCUUGAUUAAGUGAUGGUGACUUACUGUAUCAACAGUUGAUUCUUGGUUAUUCAAUUAGCUAUUUGAAAUUUGUCCAGUCCAUUCUUGGUAGUCUUGUAUACUAUGCAAUUUUUGGAACCUAGGAUUUCAAGUUGGUACAAUCUAAUACCAUUAUUUGAAAUAAUAUUCAGUUUUUGUGACAUUAUUAAAGUAAUAAACUUCUUUGGUGUUUUCCUUUGUCCAAGAUCUCUUGUAAGGAUCUAGAAAUUAGAGAGAACACUAUAUCAAAUGGGUUUUCAAUCCUUAAACUUCAUUCGAUCUGCAUUUUCCUUUGUAUUCGGUAAUUUGUGAUUUUAUGUUGAUUUUUGAUAUUGUUGUCAUACUUGAUUCUGUAUAUAGAGUAUACAGCUAUAAAUUUUCAUGAUUUGUGAAAAAAACUGUUUAUUUGUACAAAAAGUUUUCUUAUAAAAUUUAUAGUACAUAUACUUCAUAAAUUUAGCCUAAGUUUAAUAUGCACAGCUGUGUGUCAUCAUUUUGUAUUUUUGCCCUUGAUUGCUGAAUUAUGUUCUCCACAAAAGUUUAAAGUAGAUUUAUGGAAUGGUACUAGAGACUUUAGUCUUUGGCUCCAAAAGAUGAGAGCUAUGUUGUUAUAACAAAGGGGUACUUUUGCCUUGGAUGGUUCUUAAGCAACCGAAAUUAGUGCCUUUAGGCUUCAACAAGAAGGAACACCGAUGAAUAGGCACUUUAUUCUGCACUGUUGAGUGUCAUCAUUUUGUAUUUUUGACCGUGAUUGUUGAAUUGUGUUCUUCACAGAAGUUUGAAGUAGAUUUAUGGAAUGGUACCAUAGACUUUAGUCUUUGGGGCCAAAAGAUGGGAUUUAUGUUGUUACAACAGAGGGGUAUUGUUGCCUUGGAUGGUUCUUAGGCAACAGAAAUUAGUGCCUUUAGGCUUCAACAAGAUGGAACACCAACGAUUAGGUACUUUAUUCUGGUUGUUCUUUUAAUAUGUGUCAUGUUAAAGAAUGGAUCGCUUGUUAAUGUGAAUGGUGGGCUAGUACAAAUGAAAAAUGACAUGAGUUGUAAGAUUAAGGGAAUUAGAAAAAUAAAUCUAUUAUUGAGCUCUUGUUUGAUCUCCAUUAUUUUCAAAAUAUAUUUUUUUUUCUCAUCUUUGCAACCACACAUUUUUCAAUAAAAUAAUAUUAUACGAAAACAAAAAAUUACACGAAAACAAAAAACUUUUGGGUUAUUUAUAACAACACAUUCCCCAUCAAUAAAGUAUUCCAAAAUCCAUUCUCAAUAAAAAAUGGGACUCAAACAAGCUCUGAAUAAUAAUCAUAUUCUAGAAUUAAAAGAGGCUAGAUGUUAUCCUGAACUACAAAGAAAUCUAGUUCUCUAGGAGAAUUAGAUGAUGAAUAUGAUAUAAUGAUUCAUAAAAAGCUUUCCUAAAAUCUUCUUAAAUUCCCAAGAAGUUAUUUCUACACCUAAGAUUAUUGAAAUCUACAUUGCGUAGGCUAUGCCUUUAGUAUGCAACAAUGCUGCAAUCAUGGGUGUAAAAUAUGAUCAAUCACUUAUGUGGUACAAAAGAUAAGGCUAUUUAAGUGAUAAGAGGCUUCAAAUUUUAAACCUGGUUCUUCAAUCGAUUGUCCUGCAAUAAUACCUACAGCUUCUCCUAAUUCAGACUGGGCAGCUUCUCACUGUGCCUGGUCAAAGCGCGCUUCUCAGCUGGUUCUCUAAACACAUUUCCAAGGGGAUAGGAGCUUUUGGAAAAAAUAAAAUAAAAUAAAACAGCUUAAAUUUCAUGAAAAGUUCAUUUCAGGAAAACAAAGUAGAAUAUUAUUUAUGAGUGGUAUUUGUAGAUUCACUUCUGCUCUUGAAUAUUUAGAUGUUGAUCUUUGAGGACCAACUAUUUAAAUACCCUCAAUGGGUUCAUGUUAUAUCUACUAAUUGUAGAUAAUUUUAAAGAAAGAUAUUUACUUUUUGUUAAAAGCUAAAUCUAAUACUUUUCAAAGCUCUAAGAAAAAAAGAUUUCGAUGGAAAAACAUACAAAUAGAAAAAUUAAAGCACUUAGAACAAACUAUAUAUAGAAUUCAAGCUCACUUCAGGUUGCUGCUGUGUUUAUAAAAAUUAUAUAAUAUGGUGAAAAGAAAUCUAACUUUUUCUUUGUGGAAAACGGUAGCAUAAUUGAAUAUAUAUAGGACAAGUGUCCUAUAGAAAGUGGGAGUCCAAUUUACCCAAAAUUUUUAUCCAAUUCAAAUAAAACAACCCAUUUUAAUUCAAUCUCAACAAGCCCACACGACUACCCACUUCCACAAAACAAACAAUAGUAAUGAAUAACAUUUAUUGGCAACUUCUUUAAACUUUAAUAACUUAUUCUUCGCUUAUCCGAAUUAACUUUUUCUCGAACCCAAUAUACAUGAUUAAUUACGAGUUAUCCAACAAUCCCCAAAUUGAUAUACUAAAUAUCGCUAUAAUGAAAUCUAAUUAUUUGGCCAAAAUAAAAUUGAGUUUAAUAAAUUGCACUUUAGCCCAUCAAAUUUCAAAAUAUAAAAAUAUAGAAUAUAGGAUAAAUAAAAUUUUCUAUACAUUCUCUCCUCCUUAUAAGAAUUUCUUCCUCGAAAUUUUAUUUGUCUAAUCGAGGAGUUCUAGAUACUUGUUCUUAAACUCCACAACAGAAAAAAAUAAUAUCAUCCAUGUCAAUCUAUUAUUGUCAACAUAUCAUGCUUAUAUUCUUAUUAUGGUGACAAAAUGUACUUUAUGCUCGCAUAUACCAGUAAAAGAAUCAUGUUUUACUUAAGAUAUAAUUUAGCGAGAGAAAUGUGCCUGUCAUCAAAUCUAUAAGGAGGCAAAUAGAAAAAUGUAAAGUUGCACAAAAGAUUUAUUUCCUUACCUCAUUAUAUACCUUAGAAUCAUCGCAGCGUGGUAAAUUAGUGGUUGUUGAGUGCCAAGGUUUUUCAACUUAUACAGGUUUUAAUUAAUCGAGUAAUUCACACAUAACUGAAUUCAAUCAACUUCAUUUACAUACAUACAUAAAGUCAUAUCUAAACUAGGGAUGGAAACAGAGCGGAUAUGGGACGAGUCGGCCAUUCCCACCCUUGUCCCGUAGAGUAUUUUUGUUAUCUUCCCCUAUACCCGUACCCUUACUCAUACCUGGUUAAAGUGGGAUGGGGCAGGGUCGAGGGGGUACAAGUACUCUACCCCAUUUAUCACCUCAUUUAUUUUUUCUUUUUAUUUUUUUAUUUUUUUUGCUUUUAUUUUCUAUGUCCUUAGUUAGUAAAUAGUAUUACUUUUUUACCAAUUUGUUAAAAACAACAUAUGUUCUCUUUAAUAAUAAUGAUAAAUCUAUUAUUUUUGUUUGAUAAAAACUUAAUUUGGAAUUAAUAUUAAACGGGGUGGAUAAUGGGACGAGGACUAUGUUUCCCUUCCCUUUCCCAUACCCGCUUCGGGGCAAUGACCCUCGCCCCAUACCCAUCUCAUGUACCCGGUUAGGCUGGUGUUACUCGCCCCAUUUGGGACGGGGCCCCACGAGUAUUGGAUUGAAUUGAUUUUUUGCCAUCCCUAAUCUAAACCUCUAUAGAAUUUCGCAUAAGGUCAAAUGAACAAAUCCCGAACAAUACAACAUUUAUACUUUUUUUUAUACGAAAUGACAUAAACAAUUAAGUUAUAAAGAAUAUUCCCACCACAUAUGGAUUUAUAUAUAAAACUUUUAGAGGGUUUUUGACAUCCAAUUUUAAGGAAAAAUGAAUUUUAGAAUAAUAGAUUGAUGAAAAAUGUGUAGAAGAAAAGUUUUUGAUUUACGUAUAAUAUUAUUUUAAUGAAGAAUGUGUGGUUGAAAAGAGAGAGAUGCAUUUUGAGAAAAAUGUGAAUCAAAUGGGUAUUUAUUAUUAUUAUUAUUAUUAUUGCUACUACUACAACAUGAGGAUUACAUCGUAAUUUCAGCAACAAGAAAAAUAUAACAUACUAGUGCCUGGACGAUUAUGAAAUUUCAUGAAUUAAAAAAGCUAGUAACUAAUAUAUUUAAUGAUCAUUGUGGUUAAACAUAAAACUUUCUAUUCUAAGGAAAUCAUUUCAGUUUAUAUAUAUAUAUAUAUAUAUAUAUAUAUAUAUAUAUAUAUAUAUAUAAACCAUUUAAACANNNNNNNNNNNNNNNNNNNNNNNNNNNNNNNNNNNNNNNNNNNNNNNNNNNNNNNNNNNNNNNNNNNNNNNNNNNNNNNNNNNNNNNNNNNNNNNNNNNNNNNNNNNNNNNNNNNNNNNNNNNNNNNNNNNNNNNNNNNNNNNNNNNNNNNNNNNNNNNNNNNNNNUGAACAGUGUGUGACUAUUCACGUCAGAAUAAAUUUUUUCCCUUCUUUACACCAUUCGUUUUAUUCCUUUUUUUUUCCUUUUUUUUAAUCUCAUGUUUAUGAAUAUACAUGUGGGUCUACAGAAAGUUAAACCUAAGCUAUGAUACCAAACUAUAACAACCCAAAUUUUAAAGAUUUAAAUCGUCAUUAAAAAUUUCAUUUCCAUAGUUAAAUAAAUUUAUCAGACAUCCCAACAUGAAAAUUUACGUUCCACAAAUAAUAAAUAAAACAUAUAGGAAACAUAAUCAAUUGAAAUAUGUCACAAUCCUAAAUAACAUACUAGUGCAUGGAAAUAAAACUAAAAUAACGCUGAAAAAUAAAGAUCCCUAGUCAUGCUACUCUGGAUUAUUUUUAUUAGAUUCCAUAAUUUUUGGCAUUACGACUAAAGUCUAUUGCCCGCCAACCAAUGACCCAUUCUAACCUGUAAAGGGUAGGGAAAAAGGUUGAGUAUAUGAGAAUAAUCAGUAGGACACAAAAAUAAUGGUGCAAUUCCGAAUAAAAAUAUUUAAAACAUGUACCAAAAAUAUCAUACCGUCAUCAUAUUUUUAUAAACCGGUAAAAGCUCAAUAUGUAUCAUAUCUUUCGUACUGGAUGACCAUAACAUACAUAUCAUAUCAUAUUUUUAAACUUUCAUAAACAUAAUAAUUCAACAACAUGAAAAUAAACAAUUUAAACGGGACAAAACAACUGCACCUCAUUAGAUCAAAUGAAUUUUUGGAAAAAAAACAAAACCAAAAUUACGUUCCAAUUUUAUUUUCAGCCUGCUGUUGUGUUUAUAAAAAUUAUAUAGCAUGGUGAAAGGAAAUCUGACUUUUUCAUAGAAAGUGGAAGUCCAAUUUACCCUAAAUUUUUAUCCAAUUCAAAUAAAACAACUCAUUUUAAUUCAAUUUCAACAACCUCACAUGGCUACCCACUUCCAUAAAACAAACAAUAGUAAUAAAAUAAUAUUUAUUGUCAACUUCUUUAGAUUCUAAUAACUUAGGUUUCGCUUAUCCGAAUUAACUUUUUCUCGAGCCCAAUAUACAUGAUUAAUUACGAGCUAUCCAACGAGCCCCAUAUUGAUAUACUAAAUAUUGCUCUAACAAAGUCUAAAUAUUUGACCAAAAUAAAGUUGAGUUUAAUAUAUUGCACUUUAGCCCAUCAACUUUCAAAAUAUUAACACAAUCAUGAAUGGAAGAAAAGUCAUAACUGAAGUUUGGACAAAUAUGGCUUAAAUUUCUUUAAUAUACCCACAGAAUAUAAUAUUCUUCGGUCAACUUAGGUAAAGUUGUUGGAUUAGUUGGUAAUAGCCUUUUUCCCCCCUUCUCUGUUAACAUCAUUUUCUUUCAUGUUUAUAUACUCCAACAAAAUGGUGUACUGUGUUAAAAAUAAUAAUGUUAAGCACUGGUGUUAACAUAUUCAUAAGAAAUUGAUGCUGAAACUUGAGAUAUUGAGAGGCUAUAUGAACAUAAAUUUAUCGUUAUAAUUAUUCAGACAAAUUGUUAAAUUAAGCAGUUCUGGAAUAAAAUAGAAGUCAAUGUAUUCUACAAAAUUUCAUUAUGAGGAAUUUGUCUAGGACGGAAGACAAUUAAAAUACGCAUCUUUUUUCUAAUAUAUGAACAAGUGCCUCUUUUGUCUACAUCGAAUGUAUCAUUACCCUUAAUCUUAUCCAGUCCACCAUGUCCAGACUAGUGAUUUCCUGCAACUUUCCAUUCUUUACCAUUUGCAAAUGAGUUCAAUUACAUCUCUCAAUUUUGGCUUCAUCUCUUUACCAAAUUCAGCACAUUCUUCCAACAGCAUCACCAUUCCAGUUGCCUAUAUUGACUAACCUUCCCAUCCUUUGACAUUAAUAUCAGUAUUAUGAUAUCCCUUCCUUAAAACCUCACACAUAUUAUACACACAUUAGUUUGCACUGAAAAAGAAAAGAAAAGUAAAGAAAACGAUUAGCCACACAGAAUUGUCUAUAUACUGACUACAGCAGCUGAGCAGGUCAACAAUGGUGUUCCAUCACAAAUAUCUAGUGGCAUAUCAAAAAACUAUAACUAAAAUAUGCAUGGUAUUAUAUUUUUGUCUAUGGCUUGAAGGCAUCGAAAAAAAUAUUUCAGCUUACCUUUAGAGCCGGUCCUGUGAUUGUCAGGGCCUGAGGUGAAUUUCAUAAAUUAGGCCCUCCGACGAAAUUGACAUAAAUGCAAAAUUCAACGGUAUAUCAUGCGACUUAUUGUUAACUUAAAACUAACAUUAAAACAGCCACCAAAUACAUUAUAGAAAAGAUUUAUAUUAUAAUUUAACAAAAUCAACCAUGUUUCAAACAAUUAGUUAAAUAACCAAUCAUAUAAGCCGACCAGACCGCAAUUAUAUAAGCCAACAAGGCUUCAAACAUUUCCAAUAUCUUCAAUAACAAGUUAAAGCAAGCCAUUGCUUACGUGAAAAGUGGAAUUUCAAUGAAAAUUGUGAAAUUACGCCUUUGACAAUUCCAUCGUCACAGCUCAGAAGCCUGAAAUAAAAAUUUAAAUAAAAUCAAAGAUUUUAAUCAUAGAGUGACGGAAAUUGUUCCAAGCGUGGAAGUACAAACUAAGAAAUCAGCAUAAUUGACUAAAGAUUUAUACACUGCUUUAACUUACACAUUAUCAAAUUUAAGUCAUUAUGAUACUUUAACUUACAUAUUAUCAAAUUUAAGUAAAAUUAAAUUUAGGGCAUUGUCUCAUUGUAAGAAGUUAUCUAAAUAAAUUGAUUCAAUUCCUUCAAUUAAUACCGUAAUAGAUCUACAUUUGAUUUGACAAUCAUACAUUUAUAGAAGAAAUUCAUAAAUGUGUCUUAACAUGCUUAAUGCCUUAGGUAAAACGAUGGAUAAAAUAUGGUUUGAAGUGAAGUAACAGAUCAUGGUGUCCAAGUGGUAAAUGGUAAUCAUGCCAAAAUACAGACAAUUAGAUGAAUUAUAUACAAUCCUGCCUAAUUCGCUAGUUUCUCAGAAGAGAAGACAGUGCACUUUUAUUAGUUUAUAUUUGAGUAUUUGACAUUUUGACCCUUCAUUUUCCUUCCCAGACAGAAUCUUGAUUUUCGUGUACCAUAGGAACCAAAUGAAAUCACCACUAAAAACCUAAAAUCUAUGAAAUUAUACAAAUCUAACAAUCACAUAUAUAUAAUAAAGACAACCCUGUUGAUAAAAUUUAUCAAAUCAAUGGAAAAAGUUUAGAACCGAAUCGAAAAAUCAAGAGAACUAGAGUUACUACUUACUAAUACUAGACAAGGAGUUGCUGCCUUAUUGGGGCGGCGGAGCCUGUAGGCAAACGAUGGCGUACGGGUGGAGGUGGACUAGCGGUGGCGGAGUGAGUAUGAGUUGAGUGACUAGAGUCGCAGAGACGAGAUGAGGCGAUGAUUACGAACACUGAGCAAGCCUUGGGAUUGAAUAAUUUCAAUCCACAUUUGGGAAUUUUGGGAUUGAAUUUUGGGUAAAUGGAUUGAAUUGGAUAUAUAAAUGGAUUGUGGGUUGUUGUUUGAAAUUGGGUCUAGGUGGUCCACUUCUCUUCUAGGCUUGUUUUGAAAAAAUAAAAAAAUAAUAAUAAAAAUAAAUUAAUUUCUGGGCAAAAUUAGGCCCCUUACAGUCUUGGGCCUGAGGUGGAGGCCUCAUUGCCUCUCCUCAGGAUCGGGCCUGCUUACCUUCUCAAUUACAACUUCGCAACAAAAUUGCAUAUCAAGCCCUUGUUUUCUAGAGAUUUUUUUAGAAUAGAUUUUGUGAAAAUUGAUUUUUUUGAAAGAAUGUGUGGUUAAAAAGUAAAUAAAGAUAUGAAUUCAAGCGUAAAAUUAUUUUAUUGAGAGAAUCUAUAGUUGAUGUUGGAAAUUAAACUUGAUUCAUGAAUGAUGAAAAAAAUUAAAUUUUAUACAUGAAUUAAUUUAUUUAAUAUUCAUGCAUUUAUUUAAAUCAUGUAUCCAAAUGGUUCUUUUUAUCCUACUAUUCAUAGUAUGUAGGAAAAGUCAUUAAUUAGUCUAUUAAUUUCGUACAAUGUAUUUGGGAUCCUUUGUACCUACAAAAAGCCUUGUGCUUGAGACAUUUUAUUGAGCGAAGCCAUAAAAUACAAAUAUUUUUGAGAAUUCUCUGAAUUUUUCUCUCUAGUCUUUCAUCCCAUAAUUUUUUAUUUCCAACAAAGUGGUAUCAGAGCCAUUUCAAAGAUGAAUAUUUCAUUUCCUUUUGUUGUUCCCAAACUAACAAAUGAAAAUUAUGAACAUCGGAGCAUACGCAUAAAGGCAUUGCUCGGCUCACAAGAGGCAUGGGAAGUUGUAGAGAAAGGUUAUGAUGAACCAGAGAAUGAAGGAGCUUUAAGUCAAGCUCAAAGGAAUGCCUUGCAAAAGUACUGUAAGUUAGAUCAACACGCUCUCUCUAUUAUUCACAUGGGGUUAAAUGAAGCCAUGUUUGAAAAAGUUGCAUCUUAACAAAAGCUAAGGAAGCUUGGGAGAUUCUUGAGACCAAUUUCAAGAGAAUUGAAAAAUUGACGAAGGUUCGCCUUCAAAUCCUUUGUGGAGAGUUCAAAUCUCUGCACAUGAAAGAGUCUAAAUUUGUCUUUGACUAUUUCACUAGAAUGUCCUCCAUUGUCAAUCAUAUAAAGUAGUACGGGGAGAAUAUCGAAGAAAGUCGUGUUAUCUAGAAAAUUCUUAGAUCGCUUGACUUAAAACUUGAGUUUGUAAGUAUUGCCAUUGAAGAGUCUAAUGACUUGGAUACCAUGACCAUUGAUCAACUCAUGGAGUCCUUGCAAGCAUAUGAACAAAGAUUAAAGAAGAAAGGAGAAUCGGUAGCUCAAGUUCUCCAAACGAAUGUCUCCUUGGGAGGUCAACAGAAAGAGCAAGGACGAUCUCAAGGAAAAAGUCAAAUUCAUGGUCGAGGUCAUGGUCGUGGUCGUGCAGAAAAUUAUGAUCGUGGUAAUGAAAGAAAUGAUCAAUCGAGAGGAUGAGGGCAUUGGAACUAUGGCUUCAAGAGAGGUGGCGGAAGAACAUAUGACAAGUCCAAUGUUCAAUGUUACACUUGUCAUAAAUAUAGUCACUGUGCUUCGGAAUGUAGGAGUGACACCACCAAUAAUGAAGAAAGGGUGAAUUAUGUUGAAGCAAAGGAAGAUGAAGAACUGUUGUUGUUGUUGGCAACCAAAGAAGAAAAGAAUAAACAAUCGUGGUACCUUGACAGCGGUGCCGCUAAUCACAUGAGUGUCAACAAGGAGUUAUUCUCAACAAUAAAUGAGUCGGUAAAAGGCAACAUUAAUUUUGGAGAUGAAACUAAAGUUCCAAUAAAAGGCAAAGGUGAUGUUCUUAUUCGUGCUAAAAAUGGAAGUCAUAUUUUGAUAUCUCAAGUUUAUUAUGUAGCCACUUUGAAGUCUAAUAUUUUGACUUUGGGACAAUUACUUAAGAAUGGCAAUGACAUUCACUUGAAGAAUCAUUGCCAUACUUUGAGAGAUGUUUCUCAUGAUUGCAAAGGUGCCAAUGGAGAAAAAUAGAAUGUUUUUAUUCAAUGUUAAUGUUGACCAUCCAAGGUGUCCAAAAGCUUGUGUUGAAGACAAUUCUUGGCUUUGGCACUUAAGAUUUGGUCAUUUGAAUUUUGGUGGCUUGAAGACCUUGACGAAUAAAGAAAUGGUGAAUAGGAUGCCAAAAACUAAUCAUCCCAAUCAACUUUAUGAAGGAUGCCUCGUUGGCAAGCAACCUAGAAGAAGGUUUCCAAAGGAAUCCACCUCAAGAGCAACAAAGCCACUCCAACUUGUUCAUGCGGAUGUGUGUGGGCCAAUCAAACUACCCUCUCAUGGUAAAGCAAAUUAUUUCUUACUAUUUAUUGAUGAUUUUUCUCUCAAGGCCUAGGUUUAUUUUUUGAACAAAAGAUGAAGUUUUUUAAGCAUUCAAAAAAUUCAAAGCCCUUGUUGAAAAUGAGAGUGGGAUCUCAAUCAAAGCAUUAAGGACGGAUCGAGGGUGUGAAUUUACUUCCAAGGAGUUUAACAAUUUUUGUGAUACCAAUAGAAUCCGGCAUUUCUUUACAGUUCCAAGAUCACUGCAACAAAAUGGCGCGGAGCGAAAGAAUAGAACCAUCCUCAACAUGGUUCGUAGUAUGCUCAAGAGCAACAGUAUGGAGAAGGAGUUUUAGGCCGAGGCUGUUGCAUGUGCUCUGUAUUUGUCUAAUCUUUCCCCGUCGAGGAGUGUUCAAGACAUGACUUCACAAGAAACUUGGAGUGGUAAGAAACCUAGUGUUUCUCAUUUACGUGUUUUUGGUUGUAUUGCCUAUAUUCAUGUGCUAGAUGAGAGGAGAUUAAAACUUGAUGAGAAAAGUGAGAAGUUUGUUAUCAUCGGUUCUGAUGAAAACUCUAAAGGCUACAAGUUUUACAAUUCUUGCAAUGGAAAGAUUGUUGAUAGGAAUGUAAAAUGUUAUAUUUUUCAUUCCUUUACCUUAUGCUUUUAUGAUUAAUUAACAUCUAAAUGUACUAAGUACCCUUAUAUUUUAAUUUAAGUUACAAAUGGAUAAUGAUGGCAUAAAUUAGAAGAAAAGAGAGAAAAAUGACUACAGUGAAAGAAAUCAAAAGUUGAAGGACUAAAAUGCAAUUAUUCAAAAGUUGAACCGAAAGGCGAAAUGAAUGAGUGAAAGAUUUGAAGGUCAAUUGAUGGAAGACUCAAAGUGUUGGAAGAAGAAAAAGAAGCCAAGAAAAGAGAAGAUAAAAGUUCAGGGAUCAAAGUGCAACAACUGAAAUUAUUUUAUAUUGCACGCGCGCACGGGCUUAAAGUGGUGAGCGCACAAGACCUCAUUCUUGCAUACCAAUAACAAAACAACAAAGUGACGUGUACAAUGAAAUAUAUGGCGUGCGAGCAUGACCUAAAAUUUCUAUGACGUGUCAGUUUCGUGAUUCUGAUGAAAUUCUAUAUGGAAACAAUAUUUUUUGACAUCAUAUAUAUACCUAAAGAUGCCAAAACGAAGGGAACCUCCUUUUUUACCUAAAAAUCUUAUAUUCUACGUAUAUUUGGAGGCGAAGAAUGGACCAUAAACUUUUUUCUCUUCUUGCUUAAGUAUUAUUGAUGUAUUGCUAAACUUCAUCUCUUAGUUGAAGGAUAUUGAAGCCUAGGAACGAUUCAAACAGUGGGAUCUAAAUAAACUUCAUUGUUUUCAUUCAUAUAUUAUGUAUUGAGUAUUCUUCUAUGCAUAAUUUUAUGGUUGUUAUAUUUGAAUUCGAAGAGGCCUAUUAGAUAUUCAUGUAUCACAAUCUAUUGCUUGUUUAAAGAACAAAUACGUAAUUGUUUGAUAUCUUUGACAUUAUGAAGCAACUAGAAUUUGAUUAAUCGCUGCUUUAGAGAUUAUUAAAUUCAAGGAAGAAUUUUUUACUAGAUUAAACAUAACAGCUUGUGAUUGUGUUGUUUAGUUUUAUCGAUUUCUCUAGUGUCCAAUGCUAUUAUUGAAUUAAAUCUUAAAAUGCUUGUCUUGGGGUUGUUUGAUAAUAAGGGUUGAUUGGAUCUCUUGCUUUCCGAUUAAUUACAAUUAAGGAGAAAUAGGAAAAAUAAAUUCCAGCGAUGAAUGCAAAAAUAUGAAUUGAUAAUCAUUCAUUGAUCCAUGAUCAAUUUGAAAUUCCUACGGUGGAUAUUGACGUAGACCAAGGUUCGUUCUAUUGAUUUAAUCCAGUUUAUUAAAUUGUAUUGCUUUUAGUUAGAGCUGAUUUCAUCACAAACAAAACCCUUGUUAUUGUUAACAUUGCAUCAAAUUAGACUAAUCACUCUUUGUGGGAAUGGUCCUUACUUUCACUAUUAAAUACGUUAUUUGAAAGUGUAGUUUUUAUUAUUUUUGAGUGCUUGGGACAGCACGCAAAAUUUUGGCAUCAUUGCUGGGGAGUGAAUUAGUUCAUUUUUGUUCUUUUUCUUUGUUUCAUUAGUUUUUGUUUAAAAAAAUUGUUUAUUUUAUUAUUUUGCUUAGUUUAGUUUAGGUUAGUUUUUUCUUUUUUUUUUCUUUUUUGCUUCCUUGAUUGUUUAUGCUCAUAACUCGAUCCUCUAACCAAUGUGAUUUGCAGUACGAUCCAAAAAUAGAAAGAACUUUGCGUAGGUUGAGGAUUGGCAUGGCUAGGAAUCAAACCUUGAAAGAGCUUGCAGUUCCGGAUUUGCAUCAACAACCCAUAUGCAUAACUUUCCCUAAUUUAGAUGCUAAUACUACUUUUGAAUUAAAAUCCGGAAUAAUACAUCUAUUGCCCACCUUUCAUGGUCUUGCAGGUGAAGAUCCCUAUAAACAUUUGAAGGAAUUCCACGUGGUUUUCACAGGCAUGAAACCUACGAGGGUAACUGAAGAGCAAAUUAAACUGAGAGUCUUUUCCGUUUUCUAUGAAGGAUUCAGCUAAGGACUGGAUCUACUAUCUACCAUCUGGAAGUGUCUCAACAUGGGAGGAAAUGAAGAAGAUGUUCUUAGAAAAAUAUUUUCCAGCUUCAAGGGCAGCAAAUAUUAGAAAAGAAAUUUGUGAAGUGAGGCAGGACAACAGAAAAUCUCUACACGAAUAUUGGAAGCGUUUCAAGAAACUGUGUGCAAGUUGCCUCCAUCAUCAAAUCAAUAAACAGCCUCUCAUCCAAUAUUUCUAUGAAGGCCUUCUACCCACGAAACGAAGUAUGGUUGAUGUUGCAAGUGGAGGAGUGUUGGUGGAUAAAACUCCUGAGGGUGUGAGGAAUUUGAUUGCAAACAUGGCAGCCAACUCUCAACAAUUUUGCACUAGACUCAACGCUCCUUCUAGACAUGCUAAUGAGGUAAAUGUUUCAUCUCUUGAACAACAACUUGCAAGUCUAACUUCUCUUGUUCGUCAAAUGGCUGUAGGUAAUAUGCAAACGGCGAAGGCAUGUGGAAUUUGCUCGGUGGUAGGACAUGCAACUAACAUGUGCCCAACUCUCCAAGAAGAUAAACAAGUUAAUGCAGUAGACAACUUUCUUCGACAACCACAAAGGAAUUAUAAUCCUUACUCAAACACCUACAAUCCAGGAUAGAGGGAUCAUCCUAAUCUUAGCUAUGAAAAUCAACAAGUGAAUCAACCUCAUUUUCAGCAAUACAAGCAGCCAUAUACUUCUAGACAAAAAUAGGACCAAACUUCAAGUUCAGGUAUGCUUUUAGAAAAUAUUGUUAGUCUCUUGCUAUUAACACUUUGCAAUUCCAAUAGGAAACAAUGGCAAGUAUUAAAAGCUUGAAAAAUCAAAAGGGUCAAAUGGCAACCACAAUCAAUAGGCUGGAAGCAUAAGGUUCGAGAAAUUACCCUCUCAAACAAUGGUCAAUCCAAGGAAAAAUGUAAGUGCAAUCUUGUUGAGGAGUGGUAAGGAAGUUGAAAUUCCAAGGGCAACCCCUGUAUCAUUGGAGUACGAAAAGGAGAAAGAUGUCAUUGAAGAGAAGAGUGUUCCCAAUGAUAAUGGUGUACCUUAGCGUAAGUUUCCACCUCUUUCUAAUUAUAAAUCGGUACCCCCUUUCCCUCUGGCUUUAGUAGGAUAUAGGAAAGAUAAAUGAGGUCAUGAGCUUUAUGAUACUUUUGGUAGAUGCGAGAUAAAUAUUCCACUUAUAGAUGCUAUUAAACAAAUACCUCGUUAUGCUAAAUUUUUGAAACAUUUGUGCAGGAGUAAGAGGAAACAAAAACUCAAGGAUGUGAAAAGAUAAACGUUAGGGAGAAUGCCUUUGCAAUUAUUCAAAGAAAAAUCCCCAUGAAGUACACAGACCCAGGUAUGUUUACUAUCCCUUGUAUGAUAGGCGACACUAACUUUGAAAAAGCCAUGAUAGAUUCAGGAGCUUCUAUUAAUGUCAUGCCAUAUUCUAUAUACGCUUAUUUGAAACUUGGACCUUUAAAUGAUAUUGGUGUUGUGAUCCAACUAGCUGAUAAAUCUAAUGCCUAUCCUAAGGGUUUAGUUGAGGAUAUUCUUGUGAAAGUUAAUGAUUUGAUUUUUCCCAUUGAUUUUUAUGUGCUUGAUAUGGGUAAUCAAACUAUCCCCAUUUUGCUUGGAAGACCAUUCUUAAGGUCAUCCAAAACUAAGAUAGAUGUUCAUGAUGGCACACUUACUAUGGAAUUUGAUGAUAAAAUUGCUAAAUUCAAUAUUUACGAUUCCAUAAAAUGCCCUAAUGAUGACAAUCAUAUUUACUCUAUUAAAGUGAUUGAUCAUUUAGAACAUAAAAUUUUAGAACCUAAUGAAAACAAUGCAGUGAAAGUUGCCAUUGAUAAGCAUAUUGAGGAGGUAGAUCAGGAGUUACCCCCGAAUACUGCCUUAUAGGAAACCAUUGCAGCAUUGAAUGCUUCUCCAAAGUCAGGUAAAAGUUUGCAUAGUGUUCUGUUAUUUUCUAGCAAGAGACAUUUCUAUGUAGGUUUCCAAAUGGUGGAGGUGAGAACAUGGGGCCUUGGAAAUCCAAUUGAUGUCGGUUGAAGAAGGAAGAAUAAGUCUAGCUAAAGACAAUAAACAAAGGCCCUGCUUGGGAGGCAACCCAAGGGGAGUUCGUUCCCUUAUCUUUUUAUUUUCAUCUUUUUACAUUCUUAUGUUUGGUUAAUACUAUCCUUUUCUUUGCAUUUUACCUUACAUUGGGGACAAUGUAAGUUUUAAGUGUGGGGGAGGGAAUUUAGGUUGAGUCUAAAAUUUUCAGUUCGUAUUUUUGUGUUUAUUUUUUAUUUUUUUGAUAAAACUUCGACAUAAGAGGGAGAAAACAAAGUGGUUUUGAACGAUUUUAGUUAUGUAUGCUAUUUACUAGAUUUAAUUAAGCUUCUGAAGAAUUUAUAACAUGAUUGAACAAGUAAUCUCCCAACUUAGAGUUAAUUAGUGUGGUUAUUUUCUUUGAAGAUGGUAGUAACUAGAUUUUAUAGACAAAAAAUCGGUGAAAUUUUGAGCUUUUAGACUAACACAUCCAUAUCAGUCUCACUAUUUUUCUUUCAUGAGUAAUAUUCUUCCAUGGACUUAUUUCUCUAGAACUUGCCUUGAUUCUCUUCAAGAUCCAUUGAUACAUGCAUGCAUGAACAUGAUUUAAGCCAUUUUCAUUGCAUAAAUUAGUCACCUUGGCGAAAUAGCCUACCUAGCAACUAAUUUUACCUUUUGUUAAGCCCCUUUGAGCCUUAUAGCCUUUUUCUUUUGUAAACCCACGUUACAAGCUUUAAAUCCAAAAAAAUAAUAUCUUUACCCAAGCCAUAGAGCUAGUGAGGUAUUGUUCUUCAUUUUGAUACAUGGGAGUGCGAAAGAAAUAAGUGUGGGGGUGUCUAAAAUUUUAGUAGGAUUAUGAUGGUGGAAUGGGACAUGUUCUCAAUUACAAUUCAUAAGUUCCAAUAGUAGUGCAAUAUUUUGAGUUAAAAAAUAAAAAAAUAAAAAAAGGAUGAAAAAGAUGAAAGAGAAAAAAGUGAUGGAAGAAAUAGUUUUCAACGUUACACAAUUAUUUUAUAUUCAUGAUUCUUCCUAAUAUAUUACAAAAAGAGAUUGGGUUGUGUGAAAUAGGUGCAAAGAAGUUGUGAGUGGAGAGAUUGAUCUUAUACUUUUUAUGUAUACGUUUGAGCUGAGUUAAUUCAUCUUUACUCCACUAGUUCAAUGGCUAUUGAGUCACUUACCCAAAUAUUUCCCACCUGGACCCUAAGCCAUGUUACAAUCCAUAGAAAAGACCUUAUGAUUUGUGUAAUGCAUGUGAUCUAAUUGGUGGAGAAUGAGAAGAUAUACAAGCAUAUGGUAGAUCAUGUCCAUUGGAAUGAACUUGAGUGAAACAUUUCCCAUUAAACACAUGAGAGUUGAAUGCUUAUAUUCUAUGAGGGUUUACAAGUUUGGUCCACUCCAUCUUCAUAUGAAAGCACUUGCUAGUUGAUUAUGAGCUGUGUGAGCAUGCUUGUUCAUGAUGUGUUAUGUGUUUUAAAGAGUUUGAUUGUUCUAUGUUGAUUGCAUUACAAUUUUGAUAUUUUUGGGAAAAAUAAAAUUUGAGUUUACUUGAGGACAAACAAAAGCUAAGUGUGGGAGAAUUUGAUAGGAAUGUAAAAUGUCAUAUUUUUCAAUCCUUUACCUUAUGCUUUUGUGAUUAAUUAACGUCUAAAUGUACUGAGUAUCCUCAUAUUUUGAUUUAGGUUGCAAAAGGAUAAUGAUGACAUAAAUUAGAAGAAAAGAGCGAAAAAUGACUAAAGUGGAAGGAAUCAAAAGUUGAAGGACUAAAAUGUAAUUAUCCAAAAGUUGAACCGGAAGGCGAAACAAAUGAGUGAAAGAUUUGAAGAUCAAUUGUUGGAAGACUCAAAAUGUUGGAAGAAGGAAAAGAAGGAAAAGAAGCCAAGAAAAGAGAACAUGAAAGUUCAGGGAUCAAGUGUAACAAUUGAAAUUAUUUUAUACUGCGCACGCACGGGACCUCAUUCUUGCAUACCAAGAACAAAACAAUAGAGUGGCGCAUGCAAUGAAAUAUAUGGUGCACGAGCACGGGCUAAAAUUUCUGUGGCAGGACAGUUUCCUUAUUCUGAUAAAAUUUUACAUGGAAACAAUAUUUUUUGACAUCAUAUAUAUACCUGAAGAUGCCAGGGCGAAGGGAACCUCCUUUUUGACCUAAAAAUAUUAUAUUCUACGUAUAUUUGGAGGCGAAGGACGGACCUAAACUUUUCUCUCUUUUUGGUUAAGGAUUAUUAAUGUAUUGCUAAACUUCAUCUCUUGGUCGAAGGAUAUUGAAGCCUAGGAACAAUUCUAACUGUGAGAUCCAAAUAAAUUUCAUUGUUUUCAUUCAUAUUUUAUGUAUUGAGUAUUCUUUUAUACAUAAUUUUAUGGUUGUUAUAUUUGAAUUCUAAGAGGCCUAUUAGAUAUCCAUGUAUCACAAUCUAUUGCUUGUUUAAAGAUCAAAUACGUAAUUGUUUGAUAUCUUUGACAUUAUGAAGCAACUAGAAUUUGAUUAAUCACUGCUUUAGAGAUUAUUAAAUUCUAGAUAAAGGAUAUUUGACCAGAUUAAACAUAAACGCUUGUGAUUGUGUUGUUUAGUUUCAUCGAUUUCUCUAGUUUCCAAUGCUAUUAUUGAAUUAAAUCUUAAAGUGCUUGUCGAAUUAAAUCUUAAAGUGCUUGUCUUGGGGUUGUUUGAUAUUAAGGGUUGAUUGGAUCGCUUGUUUUCUGGUUAAUUACAAUUAAGGAGAAAUAGGGAAAAUAAAUUACAGCGAUGAAUGCAAAAAUAUGAAUUGAUAAUCAUUCAUAGAUCCAUGAUCAGUUUGAAAUUCCUACGAUAGAUAUUGACUUAGGCCAAGGUUCAUUCUAUUGAUAUGAUCCAAUUUGUUAAAUUGCAUUGCUUUUAAUUUGAAUUGAUUUCAUCACAAACAAAACCCCCGUUAUUGUUAACAUUAUAUAAAAUUAGACUAAUCACUCUUCGUGGGAACGAUCCUUACUUCCACUACUAUAUACAUUUUUUGGAAGUGUAUGUUUUAUUAUUUUUGGAUGCCUGUGACAGCAUGCCAAUUGUGAUUAAUAUAGGAUGCGAAAUUCGACGAAGGAAGUUCGUGGGAUCGGAAUGUUCCGAAAAAUGAAGAAUAUGUGAUUUUUCCUUUCCAGGAAGGAGACUCUAGCGAAAAUGCAAGUGAAGAUGCCACUCCACCGUAUUCUCCUGCUUCUCAAUCCCCUCAUGAUAUUCCUUCCAAAAGAUCGAUUUGUAUUAGAAAUCUUGCAGAGAUUUAUGAAGAAACUAAAAUUGUUGAUAAUCCAUCUUUGUUUUGUCUCUUCGUUGACACCGAGCCAUUGAACUUUGAAGAGGCAAUGGAAGACAAGAAAUGGAGGCAUGAAAUGGAUGAGGAUAUCCGAGCAGUAAAAAAGAAAAAUACAUGGGAGCUAGCCUCUCUUCCAGAAGGGUAAAAAGCAAUUGGCAUGAAAUAGGUAUACAAAGUAAAGAAAACUACUCGAGGAGAAGUGGAGAAACACAAGGCAAGACUUACCGCCAAAGGCUAUAGCCAAAAGAAUGGCAUUGACUAUGAUGAGGUCUUUGCCCCCGUUGCUCGCUUGGAAACCAUUCGAUUAAUCAUUUCCUUGGUAGCUCAAAAUAAGUGGAAAAUUUAUCAAAUGGAUGUCAAGUCUGCUUUCUUGAAUGGAUACAUUGAAGAAGAAGUGUACGUUCAACAACCAUUGGGUUAUGCUGUCAAGGAACAUGAAGAUAAAGUUUUGAAGUUGAAAAAGACAUUGUAUGGCUUGAAGCAAGCACCUAGAGCAUGGUAUAGCCGAAUUGACAAGUAAUUUCAAGAUCAUGGAUUCAUCAAAUGUCCACAUGAGUAUGCUCUUUAUGUUAAAAAGGAUGCAUUUGGAGGAUUUACGAUUGUGUACUUGUACAUUGAUGACUUGAUCUUUACCGACAACAAUGAAAACAUGUUUGAUGAAUUUAAGAGAAUGAUGGCUAAAGAAUUUGAGAUGACUAACAUUGGACUCAUGUCAUACUAUCUUGGAAUUGAGGUAAAACAAAAUGGAGAUGACAUUUUUAUUUUUCAAGAAUCUUAUGCAAAGAAAGUUCUUGAAAGAUUCAAAAUGCAAAAUUGCAGUCCAGUGAGUACUCCCAUAGGGUGGAACAAAGAUGUCAAAAUAUGAUGAGAACAUGAAAGUGGAUCCAUCUCUCUAUAGAUAGCUUGUUGGAAGUUUGAGAUAUUUGACUUGUAUAAGACCCGAUAUUCUUUAUGGUGUUGGUCUUGUUAGCCGUUAUCUGGUGGCAUCAACUUUAACUCACUUGGAGAUUGUUGAAAGGAUACUUCGCUACAUUAAAGGUACCCUUGAUUAUGGCUUAGCUUAUUCUUCUUCUACAAAUUUUAAGCUUCAUGGUUAGAGUAAUAGUGAUUGGGGUAGUGUUAUUAAUGAUUGAAAAAGCACCAUUGGAUUUUUGUUUUUCAUGGGUAACGCUGCUUUCACUUGGUGUUCAAAGAAGCAGCCCAUUGUGACCCUUUCUACUUGUGAAGCUGAAUAUGUUUCCGCUGCAUCGUGUGUUUGUCAUGCCAUUUGGCUACGAAAAUUAUUGGAGAUGCUUCAUUUGCCUCAAAAUGAAGCUAUACCAAUUUAUGUUGAUAACAAGUCAGCUAUCGCUUUGGAUAAAAAUCCUUUGUUCCAUGAUCGAAGCAAGCAUAUAGAUUCGAGAUUUCACUUCAUUAAAAAGUGUAUUAAGAACAAAGAAAUUGAGCUUGCUUAUGUGAAGACCAAUGAUCAAGUAGCAGACAUUUUCACCAAACCAUUGAAGAAUGAUGAUUUUGCAAGAUUGCGUACUUGGAUUGGAGUUAUCAAGAGGGAAUCAAGUUUAAGAAGGGGUGUUGGAAAUUAAACUUGAUUCAUGAAUGAUGAAAAAAAAUUAAAUUUGAUACAUGAAUUAGUUUAUUUAAUAUUCAUGCAUUUAUUUAAAUCAUGUAUCCAAAUGGUUCUUUCUAUCCUAUUAUUCACAGUAUGUAGGAAAAGUCAUUAAUUAGUCUAUUAAUUUCAUACAAUGUAUUUGGGAUCCUUUGUACCUAUAAAAGGCCUUGUGCUCGAGACAUUUUAUCGACCCAAGCCAUAGAAUACAAAUAUUUUUGAGAAUUCUCUGAAUUUUUCUCUCUAGUCUUUCAUCUCAUAAUUUUUUAUUUCCAACAGAUGAGUCUAUUAGUUCAAUUCCUCUCUCUUCUUUUUUACUAAUGCCCUCAAGUAUUUGAAUUUCCAUCGAACACUUGGUGGACCUUUAUCAGGCAUUAUAUUUCAAUGCUUGUGAAGCUUUCUCAACCAGAAACUUGUUUCUCUCCCUUACCCUCAUUCAUUGACACUCUUAAUUUCAUAAAAUGACUUUAUCUAUAAACUUGAUUAAAACUACAUUUAUAAGCGCAUGGGCAAUAUAAAAUCAUACAUAAUGAGGUAAAAAAUGGUUCUAAAGCCACAAAUAUAGGAUGGUUUUACAGAAUGCCGGGAUUAUUAAAAUUAUAUUAUCAAAAUGAGUUUCACUAAUAUUGGCUCUCAAUGCUAUUCCAGCAAUGAAUAAAUGAGCUAACUAAACAUCUAUUUUUCUUAAUGCUAAUAUGAAAUGUAUACAUCAAGAUAAUGCUCAAUUGUAAGUAAUAUGAUAUUACAUGCUCAAUUAAAAGAUUGAUCUCUGUUCACCUCCUGAGCAAAAGAGAAAGAAGAUGCCAAAGAAGUCUCUCAAAAUAUCUAUUACACAAAGUAGACACAGAAUAGAGAGAGACACACACACACACAAACACUUGUUUCUAUACCUUUUUCAUUGGUGUGAGUGAUAUGAACAACGAAUAGUAGAGACCUUGAAGAGGGAGUGAGAUUACUAGUAUUGGGAAAGUAAAUUAGAUUUUUAUUUUGAAAUUUAAAUUUAAAUGUUUUAAAAAUAAACUAUAUGGGCAGGGGGCGGGACACCCUCUACCCAUCCCCCCAACCCUUCCCCCCGAAAAUCUAACUUUGAACUCGACCAGUCAACAAGAUGAGGAACGAAAUUUUUAUCUUUUUGUAUCAAAGGCCUACAGGUUUUGGGUGGAUCGAGAUUUUUGCCAUCCCUAAUGGAGUCAACCAUGAUAAACUAUAAUGAGAACCAAUUAAAUGAAAUGAAAGGAUAACAUUUGAUGGAAAUAGAUAAUUUGAAACUCACUUUUUGAUGCUAUUUAUCUUAAUUUAAAAGAUAAAAAAAAUUUAAUGAAAUUUUUUUUGCAUCAAUUAAUCGUUUUGACAAGAAAAAUGUACACUUUAUAUCUGUUCGUAUAUUCUAAAUACACAAAAUAAUAGUUAAUAAAAAAAAAUGUAUCAUCAUAACGAAUGGGUCAACUCGUGGGUUUUUUUAAAUGAUGCAUGCCUAGUCUUUUCCUAUUUAAACCUCUCAUUCACAUUCACAUGCACAUGCUACCACUCACCAUUAUUUUCCCAUCCAAAUAAUACAUACAUAUGCACGCAUGUAGCCAAGGUGGAAACUGUAGAGGAAUCAAGCAAUUUUAUUAUGGGUUCCAUAUGGUACAAUAUGAUUAUGAUUAUGUUAAGAGGACGCCGCACAAGAGAAUUCUUACCACCUAUGCUCGGUAUAAUUCUUUUGUCUCCAUUAUGUUGAUUAUGAUUAUUAUGUUCCUUUAAGUUAUACACGAUAAUAAUUCAUGGCACACUUAUUGAGAUUUUAUAAAUCUCACUCAAUGGGUUAGGAUUAAUAAAUUAUUUUGUGUUUGAAACACAACUUUAAAUUUCUAAUUUAGAUGUUAUGUUUGAAAUAUUUUCUUUAUUUAUUUCUUCACAAUUAGAUGAUAAAAUCACAAUUUAUUUACUUAUUGAACAAAAAAAUUAUUUCGUGUCCUUAUCUAAGUUCUUAUGAAAGAAUUUGAGUUUUUAUUUAGUGAUACUAAAAUAGUUAAGGAUUCAGGCCGUCACAGUUAGUAUCAGAGCUAAGAGUUAUUAAAUCGGUCCUGUAGACUUAACAAAUAUUUUCAACAUUUCAAGCUUUAUGAAUUUUCUGUUAAAAAAAAUUUACUGAAGCUAUUACAUUUUUUUCAUUUCCAAAUUUCCUUGAAAUUUGUGAAAUGAGCAAGAAUCUCUCCCUCAUUCCUCUCAUAAAUACAACAUUCUAUAUAAACAUGCAUUCACACUACACAUUACCCUAUAUUUGGUCGAUCAAGAAUAUGACAAAAAGCAUAUAUCAAGAAUUAUCUAUACAAGGGUUUGGCCAAGCAUUCAACCCUUCUUUAAAGCAAAAACAUGUGGGACUUUGUCUUUAUACUAAGUUUGCUACAAGGUCCUAGAAGCUGGAUUAACCCUCAAAUGAGCCCCAAAAUUUUCAAUUUUGAUAAUUAAUCCCGAAAAUUCGGGUACGAGUAUUAUAUGUUGUUCAUGAAUGGGACAGAUCAAAAUCUAAGAAUAGCGAUAAAAUUUGCAAUUACUACAAGAAAAUGGCACAUCAAAUCUGAUUGCUAUAAAUUGGAGAACUUUUAGUGGUGAAGGUGGAGUUAUGACGAUUAGCAAAGGUGUCAAGUUACGAUGAAGAGACAAAAAAGGUCUGAGCAAUUGUAUGGCUUGUAGAUAAUUACAGUUGCUGCAUCUAUCACUAGUAAAUUGAAGAAAAUAUAUAUUAGACCUCCACAGAGGUUCAAUGAGACUGAUUUGGUUGCUUAUGAUUUGAUAAGAGUCAAAAGUAUUGAAUCUAGCAAAGAACCUUCUACUUAUUCAAAGGGAGCAAGUUGUGAUUUUAUUACUUGUGAGCAAAGUUGGUAUAGACGAUCUUGUUGAUAUGAUGAUGAAGUCACUUCCUAUAUCUAAGUUUGAUCAUUGCUUGAAUUUGAUUGAUAUUUAUGUUGAGUUUGCCAUAGGGACUUUUGUAGAAGAGGUGGAGAGUUUUGUUGGAGAAUUUUUGUUGAAGAGUUAUUAUUUUAGUUUUUUGUAUUGGAAUUUGUCUUAAAGUCAAAAUUUUUAAUAAGAGUGAAGUUCUAUUUCUUGCAAUGGAAUUUGUGUGAAAGUGAAAAUUGUUAGAGUUUGGGUAUGACCCGAAUUCUAUUGGGAAUUGAUAGUAUGCCUUGAAGAAGUUAAGGAUAGACAAGGAGUCUUAUUUGCAUGGAGAUCGCUCGUUGGCUGCUAUCAACCAUUUGAGAGCACCUUUACCACUCGCUGAACAUGAGGCCACCGCUCAAGUUGUGGUGUUAUCCUGUGCAAUUAGGGUUUGCAAUUUUAUAAUUUUUCUCUCUUAUUCCAACUCAAACUCUCCAUUAUUUGUAGGUAUAUUAUAUUAGGACCCCAUCUUAUAUUAGUCUCUUCUCAGUAUUAUACGCAUGAGUGAACUUCUUGCAAAAAAAUCAUCCAAACAAUCCUAUGCAAUUUGUAAUCUUCCAUAAUUGAUGUUAUUGAAUUCUCUUCCUCUGUCCGUAAUUUUGUUUAAAAUAAAAAUAAAAAAUGGAUUUUUACGUAAAUCUUGUGUUAUUAUUCUUAUAUUUUCAUAUUGCAUAUUCCUGCUUUAUUUCUAACAGCAUGUUUGUUAAACUUCAUCGCCUAAAGACUUAUAUAAAGUUGGGUGCAGAGUUUACUCCAUUAGUUGGACAAAGUAUAUUAUAUUAGGACAAAGUAGACAAAAAUCAUUUUAUGAAAAUGCUACUUUUAGAACUAUUGAGUGUUAUGCAAAUAAUAAGACCUUUACAAAUUGAAUGAAUAGAUUAUUGAGAAACUUAUGAGCCCAAUUUGUCUAUAUACAGUUAAAUUAAAAUCUUUAUUGAUGUCUAAACUAAAAUAAGACAGGAAAUUUAGUGAUGAGUUUGGAAUAUAAAAAAGUGACUAGAACGAAAUUUCUUUCAAAGUCGAGUGACUUCUAGUGUCUUAGUGCCAUGGCAUUAAAUUUUAUGAUAGAAACGUCACUCCUCACUAAAUUAUUACCAAAUCAAAAUUUUAUCCAAGGUUUAUGAUAAAAAAGUUAUUAAAAUUGAUUUUGUUCAUAGUCGGUGAUUGUGUUCUCUACACAUAUUCUAUGUGUUGGACAUUAAAUAAAUCAACUAAAGACACGCUACUCUCUCUCUCUCUCUCUCUCUCUCUCUCUCUCUCUCUCUCUCUCUCUCUCUCUCUCUCUAAGACUUAGCAUGUUUUUAUUUUGAAGAGAAUAUGAUUUUAAAAAAAAAAUUAAUGUAAAAAAUAGUUUAAUCUAGUUGUUCUCCUCUUGAUUAAAUUGGCUUUUGAGAAUAAUAAGAAAUAUAAGAGAAACUCAGAUUGUAUGUUGGAAAGAAAAGAAAAAAAACAUAUUUUUGGUUGAAACGACAAUCAAUCACAAUAGGAAAGAAGUCGGGAUUAUUUUUUUAAUUCUUGUAUUCUUUACAAGAAGCCUUAUUUGUGUGUUAGUGAAACAGCCAUUCAUUCCAAAAUUUAAAAUCGAGACUUAUUUAAAGAUGAAUGAUUAAAGUUUGGGAGCUUAGUGUCAAUGGAUCCUCCACAUGCCUAUAAAGAAGGAUGAGUCCAUCCUCCACAAGCAUGGCACAGUGGUAAAGAAUGAGGGUUCCAUGUAGAGCAUCAAAGGUUUAAAUCAUAGCGACAGUUAAAAGGCAACAUUUAUAUUGGAAGGCCGAGGUUCCGUUGAAACAAAGUCAUGUUGCGCUCUAUCAACCCUCCGAGUGUCCUGUCCACACAUCAUAAAUGGGGGUCUACAAGGAGAAGAAUUGCUUCCCCAAAUAUCACGUCCAAGUGUGUAUAACUAUGAUUGCAUCCGACUUACUGGGUUGAUGAACAAGAGGAGAAGGCCGCUCCUAGAGAUUAGUUGGGCGAAAAUUGAACACAUGAAUCAUAAAAAAAUAAUAAUAAUAAUAAAUAAAUAAAUAAAUAAUGGAGGAGGAUGAGUCCAAUGUUGGCAUUGUGAAAGAUUCUUCAAUAGUAUACUUUUCUUGACUUAAAUUUUGGUAUUUUCAAAACGACCCAUACAUUGUUUAUGUUGCUUCCAUUAGCCAACAUCAUACAAAUACUAGCUAGUUUUCAAUCUAAACUUCUUGUUUCAAGUUGAAAUUUAUUAUUCAUUAUGAGUUAAACUUCCAUAUUUUUGAAGCAUGAUAAUAAUCCAUUCAGUCGUGUGAUCAUACUCUAUUAUAUUUAGGCAUAUUGGCUUGUAGAGGCGGAUUUGGGGAUGGCCAGCCCAUUUCAAAAUUUCCCCUUAUCUAAUUUUAAAUCCAAUCUUGGCUCCAUCCCCAUUGGAUUGCAAUGGUUCCAAACAAGUUAAAGGGUAGCAAUUAAUAUAUUUCUUGUAGUACUUGGGAUCGUUAUCAUAGUAUUACAUUGUUUUCAUGUAUUUUAUGACAACAAAUUUUCUAGUGUAUAAGUUAAAGUGUAACAGUUAACACAUUCUAUUGAAAGAAAAAAUAAAUUCUUAAUGCAAAUAUUCUCUUUAUGAAUUUUUAAGUAUUGUAGUGUUGUCAUUAUUAUUCAGGAAAAUGAACGUGUCGAUCCAAGUGUUUUAAUUUAUUUGUUGCUGUUAGACCCAACUCAUAAUUUCAAAAAAUCUAUUAGCAGUAGGGAUAAACUUUUUCCUUCUUAAAGGUUGUAGAUCAAACUACCACAAGCACCAUAGAUUGGGAAUGAAUACUACAAUUUUCCCUAUUUUGGCAAGUCCAUGCAUAUUACAUUCUUAACAACACUAGUCGCUGUCACGUGCGUUGCACGAAUUUUGUAUAUAUCAUAUUUUUAUUAGCGUAUGAAUUUUAGUUUUUUGGAAAGUUUUUGAAGUAAUAUCUAAAAAUAUUUUCAUGAUAUAAGAAAAUGAUUGCAAAUUAUUUUUACAAUUGCAACAGUAUUGUGUUAUCUAAAAAAAUAUGCUUGUAUAUUUCAUACUUAAAUAAGAAAUAUACGAAGUUAUACAAACUAUUUUGCCUGUAUUCUUUAAUAGUGUUGAUAUGAUUGAAUUAAAUGUGAAUAUUAUAUUUCUAAAUUUUGUGUAAUACAAUAUUGAAAAAUUGAAGAUUGAGCAUAAAAUUAUAAAUCGACUUGCAUAUUCAUAUGCGUUUUAUAUUUUGUCCUUUAUAUAUUUUAAUAUUUAUUUUAUGCUUAUGUUGAAAAAAUAAAAAUCUGAAAUUCUUUUUUCUGACAUUCGGUUUGGUAAGUGAAUGUAUGGUGUUCUGCAAUCUCGGUAUUUGUUAGUGCAAAAAUCAGUAUAUACGGUAAGCUGCAAUACGGUAGGUAGCAUAUACAGUAAGUUGCCUACAAAUACGGUAGACAGCAUCUACGGUAUUGAAAUUUAUUGUAAUGGACGAAACCGGAUUCAUUCAUACCGUAUAUGCACUUUAUAUAUCAUAUAUGCAACAUACCGUAUUAACGUAUACCGUAUUUGCAGCUUACCAUAUAUGCAGCAUACCGUAUUUGUAUCAGACCGUAUUCAUAGCAUACUAUAUUUGCAUCAAACCGUAUUUACAGCACACCGUAUUUACAGCAUACCGUAUUUGCACAUAUUGUCUUUAGAUUUCGUAUUUAGCAGAUAUUGAUUUUUGUAAUUCAAUAUAGUUUUCUUUUUUAUAAUUUUAUUUCGGGGAAUUUAAAAAAAAAGGUGAUUAUAAAAUUGCUAAUUUUUAAAUGUGUUUUUUGUUGAAGAAAAAAAUAAUUUUUUUAUGCUAUCUGUAAAAAAAAAAAAUUAUUGUAAUUUUAUUAUCGUAAUAAGAAGAUUUAUUACGAUUAUUUAAAAAAAAAUUCACAACAUAAUAAAUUCAUACUUUUAACCCGUUGACUGCAAAAGUCUUUUGUGUAUCAAUAAAACAUUUCCCAUUCAAACAAUAAUGCCAAAUUUUUUGGCAUCAUGCUUUCAUUUUCUUAAUUUCACAAAUUUUACUUUUUUCGUUUUUGUCUUCUUCAUUUUUUUAGAUUCUUUUGUUGUUAGCAAUGAUUAUUUCUUUGAGAUUUUUUUGUAUUAUAUUGAAAUUAAACUUAUUCUUGUAAUUAUAUUUUUUUUAUUAGAUUUAAUGCAUAUUUUUAACAAAUAAAAUAACAAACUAAACAAAUAUUAGGUUACAUGAUUAAAUUUUAAAAAAAAUAAAAAGUCGCUGCAUGACCGCACAGAUUAUAUUAUAGCAUAUACAGUAAGUUAUAUGUUGUAAUAUGCAUAUUGCUGUAAUAUAAUAAAAAAAAUUUGUACAGCUAUAAUUUCUCAUUAUAUUAUGCUAAACAUUGUAUUAUAACAUAUACGUAUAGUAUGUUAUAUCUUAACUAUAACAUAUAGUAUUAUAGCAUACCGUAUUUGCACAUAUUGUCUUUAGACUAAUCACCAACAUUUGUUAUAAAUAAAUCCAAGUCCCAUGUAAUGUAGAUUUAAUUCAUAUUAAUUUGCAAAAUUGUAUUUCUAGUAUAGACAUUGUAGUGGUUUAAUUCGCUUUAGAAUGACUUCAAAGUUAUUUUGCACCAACAUAAGAAAUUUCAAAUGUAUAAUAUGUGACACUGCAUAAUUAUAAAUCAACUUGCAUAUUCAUAUGCGUUUUAUAUUUUGUCCUUCAUAUAUUUUAAUAUUUAUUUAUGCUUAUGUUGAAAAAAUAAAAAACUGAAAUUUUUUCUGACAUUCGGAUUGAUAAGUGAAUAUAUGGUGUUUUGCACUCUCAGUAUUUGUAAGUGCAAAAAUCGGUAUAUACGGUAAGCUGCACAUACAGUAGGUAGCAUAUAUGGUAAGUUGCCUACAAAUACGGUAGGCUGCGUAUAUGGUAAGCUACAAAUACGAUAGACAGUAUAUAUGGUAUUGAAAUUUAUUGUAGUGGGCGAAACCGGAUUCAUUCAUACCGUAUAUGCAUUAUAUAUACCGUAUAUGCAACAUAUCGUAUUUACAGCUUACCGUAUAUGCAGAAUACUGUAUUUGCAUCAUAUCGUAUAUGCAGCACACCAUAUUUACAGCAUACCGUAUUUGCAUCAUACUGUAUUUGCAUUAUACCGUAUAUACAGCACACCGUAUUUACAGCAUACCGUAUUUGCAUCAUACUGUAUUUGCAUUAUACCGUAUAUACAGCACACCGUAUUUACAGCAUAUCGUAUUUGCAUCAUACCGUAUUUACAGCAUAUCGUAUUUGUAUCAUACCAUAUAUACAGUAUACCGUAUUUGCAUCAUACCAUAUUUACAGCAUACCGUAUUUGCAUAUAUUGUCUUUAGAUACCGUAUUCGACAGAUAUUGAUUUUUGUAAUUCAAUAUUGUUUUCUUUUUUAUAAUUGUAUUUUCGGGAAUAUAAAAAAAAGUGAUUAUGAAAUUGCUAAUUUUUAAAUGUGUUUUUUUGUUGAAGAUAAAAAUGAUUUUUUUAUGUUAUUUGUAAAGUGUGUGUGUAUAUAUAUAUAUAUAUAUAUAUAUAUAUAUAUAUAUUGUAAUUUUUUUUUAAUUUUUAAUUCACAUUGUAUAGAGAGUCUAAAAUUAUUAUUAUUUUUUUAAUGCUAGUGACAUGACGUGUGGAAGAACAUUUGUUUGACAUAAACAAAAUGAAAAAUAAAAAAUGACAUCAUGUAUAGUAAAAUUGGAUUAUACAUAUAUAUAUAUAAACAAAAAAAAACGAAGAGUCCGUGCAUGGAGGCCCAAAAAAAAAACUACAAAAAAAAAAUCGAUGCACUCUAUGCACGGGCGUAAUUUUUUCUCCCCACUUGGAAAAAAAAUAAAAUUUUAAAUAAUUUAAAAAAAAAUACAAAAUAGACAAAAUAAAAAAAUUACAAAAAUUUAAAAAUAUAUAAAUAAAUAUUAUUUUGUUAAAAUUGAAAAAUUAAGUUUUAUUUAAAAGAGAAAAAAAUAAAAAAGAAAUUUAAAUAAAUUGAUAAAAAGAACAAUUACUUCUUAAAAAAAAAUUAUAAAUUUGUCUCCAUGCAUGGAGACACAUGGAGACAUUUGCCUCCGUGCACGGAGGCUUUAGCUAAAUUUUUUUCCCCCUCCGUGCACGUAGGCUUUUGCUCCGUGCACGGAGAGAUUACAUUUUUUUUUCGAUUUCGUUUGAUAUGCCGUAAUGAGCUUGAAAAUGAACACAAAAACAUAAGUUUAAAAAAAAAAAAAAAAGAAUCUCUCUCUCCGUGCACGGAGCAAAAGCCUCCGUGCACGGAGGGGGAAAAAAAUUUAGCUAAAGCCUCCGUGCACGGAGGGGGAAAAAAAUUUAGCUAAAGCCUCCGUGCACGGAGGCUUUUGCUCCGUGCACGGAGAGAUUACAUUUUUUUUGCUGUGUAGUUUUACGUUAUAAUUUUUUUUUUCAAUUUAAAAUUCUCUUUAAUUCUUUUCUUUUCAAAUUUUUUACUUGCAAGUAAUAUGUUGUAAAAAAAUUUCUAUCGCAUAUUAUCUAUCUUUUUUUUUUUAAAUAUAAAAGUGAUUUUUUUCUUAUAUCCCUACUAUAUAUAUCUAUAUCGAAGUGGGGGAAGAAUGGAAAUUGCGUGUUGCAGUAAAUUUAGAAUACAAUAUAUAUCAAGCAAACAGCGUCGUUUUUGGGCCCCAAUUGAAAAAAAAAAAUAAAAAAACAAAAAUGCUACAAUAAAGAUGGAUCAAAACACUGUUGCUUUCUACAGUGCCCUCACAUUCCCCUUUUUAUAUAGUAGGGAAAUAUAGGAAAAAUAGCAGAAUAGGUCCCCAAAUUUUGAUUGGUGUUGUGUCUUGGUCCGGUUUCUUCAAAUCAUAGCAAUUAAGUCUCCAAUGUUUCAUUUUUAGUAGCACUUAGGUCCUCAUUGGACAGAUAUAUCCAUUCCUUCAAUUAAGACGCUGAAAUUGUAUUGAAAAGAUGAUAUUUACAUUUUUUUUUUUAAAUAAACAAAAAGUUACAUGCAAAAUAAGAAUGGGGAAAAAAUUUGAAAUUCUUCUUCUUUCCAUCCGACACCAUCUAACACAACCUAACUCUUGUCAAUAUAACUAAAACCAUCACUGUUUCGCUCGAGUUGUCGCUAACAAUUAAAAAGGGAUCAGACGAUUGUGUAAGGAACAAACUUCUUGAGACAAAGUCCCAAAAAGGGGUGUUUUAUUGGAGAUGACUUUACAAUUAGAAUUUAAACAGAAUGCCUCCAAGGGGCGUAAGCACACGAGUAUUGAAAAGAAAUGUUUUAAGUCUAAACUAAGGAAUUGAAAUUACAUAUUCUCUAUUUGAGAAUGUUUGAUUCGGGGUAUUUUGCUCUAUGUCUUUUCUUCCUUUUAUAUUCCCUCGAUGAUCUCUUUGUGAUCAACCGCUUAAAAACUGCUUAAUUACUUUAUAACUGCCCACUUUCUUCAUGGUGGCCAACUUAUCGUGGAACCGCGGUUUCUAACUGCUGCCACUACUCUUUCUCGCUCAAUCAUCUUUAAUUGAACUCCUUGAAUCGUGGAACGUGAUAAGAUAACUGCACUUUUGGAUAACCAUAACAUCUUAUGUUUGCUAAAAUCCUAGGCGAUUCGGAGGUUUGGGCGAGAACAAGGUCAUAACUCUGGGCGACUGCAAGGCACUUCAUUCGCUCAGAUCUUGGGCAUUUUGCAAGUUUGGGCGAUGGUGUUACCGCGUUCGUGAGCUUCCACUGCAUUCAUUAAUAACCCUAUUUGGGUCUUUAUCCUGAAUUGCCCAGUUGGGCUUCAUUCUUUGGGCUAUUCGAUUUGGGUUGCACUUUUAGUGUGUCAACAAUCACUAAUCACUUUGGCAUGGGAUUGUGGAAGUUUUUUUUUUUAAUAUAAAUUCAUCAUUUUUAUUUAAUUUUUUGCUUAUUUAUAUAUAAGUGACAUUGUGUUUUUAAUUAAAAUUUUAGCUCGCUUCUGAUGAUAAAAUUGUCCACUAAGGACCAAAUUUCUACUUAAAUAAAUCCUUGAGGAUGUCGAUGCUCUGUCAUGAAGAAUGGGGGCCAAGGUGCUACAUAUGUCAAAGUUUAGAGACCUUCAUGCCUAUUUUCCCUCAAAUAUACAAAAUAUCCAAAAUAGAAAUAUCAACCAAAACAUGGUGCCCACAGCCACGAGAGAGGAGGGGGGGGGGGGGAGGGGCAAAAGGAAAAAAAAAAAAAAAAAAAAAAAAAAAAAAAAAAAGGGGAACNNNNNNNNNNNNNNNNNNNNNNNNNNNNNNNNNNNNNNNNNNNNNNNNNNNNNNNNNNNNNNNNNNNNNNNNNNNNNNNNNNNNNNNNNNNNNNNNNNNNNNNNNNNNNNNNNNNNNNNNNNNNNNNNNNNNNNNNNNNNNNNNNNNNNNNNNNNNNNNNNNNNNNNNNNNNNNNNGGAGGGGGGGGGGGGGGGGGGGGGGGGGGGGGGGGGGGGGGGGGUGCAAACGAGAAAAAGGAAAAUAAAACAAGUAAAAAGUAUCAAAGUGGCUACGCCAUUUGUUUAUUGCCAUUUAACUCAAUAACAGAUUUUUCCUCAACAUAUCAUGGCCAUCCCCAUAUGCUCAUUUUCUAAGCAUACGGCAAUAACAGAAUUUAGCAUAUUUCCAUUAAAUCGUGAAAUGCAAGGAACAUUUGCAAUUACAUAUCAUUUAGUAACUCUGAUGCACAGGAAAGUGGGUGCUGCUAGUGGAAUUGGCUAGCUUAAUGGUUAGCAGAAAUUUACAACAUCACCAAGAAUUUUUCUCAUCAUGCUAUUGAUACGUUUCCUCAAUAGCAUGCAAAAUUGAGAUGAACCAACUAAAAUGACAAAUUAAAAUAAAACCUUUAGAUAGACAGAAUGAUAAUAACUAGAAAGGAGAUAAAACAAGUAAAGGCAGUUAAAAUGAAAAUCAGAAUAGUAAUAGCAGCUAGACUUGAAUGUAAAAAUUUUAAUCGCAAUCAUUUAACUUACUAUUAAACAAUUUUGGAUGAAUUGAAGAUCAGAUUGGCUGGUAAUGAAUAUGAAUCCCUUACCUGAUGCAUUCCGUGGUGGUGAAGCAGGGUCAUAGAUGGAAUGCCUAUCAUUUAAGACUUGGUGAUGCUCAUCAUUAAUUAAAUAAUGAUGAUGUGACAUACACACAUAUAUUAUUUGGUGAAUUGGACAAAAUCUGUGCUGGAUAUGUGGCAAACCAACUCUUAGGAUAUCCAUUGGCUAGUAUGAAUACAUAGAUCGAGGUGAAUUUAGGGAUAACAACGGGCUGGCUAUCUAGGGUGGCAAUGGGUUGAACCAAGCCUUCUCAGCCCUUAAAUACUCAAGUUCGACUUGGCUCGUGUUCAAAAUAUUGGCUCAAUUCAACCCAUUGGCUCAUGUGCCGAUCCAAGUUGCUUGCGAGUAGCUCAAUUUUCAUUUUAAAAUUAAUUUUUUGUUUGAAAUUCUCCUUUCCGUCUCACUUAAGACAGGCUUCUGUUUACUUGGCGAAGUAAAAAUUGUACAUGAAUAAGAUAUUUCAUGUAUAAAAUGAGAAAAAUUUAAAAACUAACGUAAACAAUAUUUACAAAUUAUAAAGUCAGAUGUUAAAAUCUUUAGUUAUUAAUCUGUCCACUUUAUUUUGAAUUCGAAACUCUACAUCUGCCUAGUCCUUUAAACCCAUUAAACUAUCUAGUAUGUUUCUUUAAAUCUAGAUCUAUAUUUAGAUUUAAUCCUUUCACUUACGCUAAAAGUAGACUUUGAAACUAUAGUAGAUACGAAAAUGUUAGUAAAUCACAUGUUGUAAUAUAAAUAAUAAGACAAUGGCACUUAUUUGUUCUCCAUCACUUAAGUGUUUGUUAGAAUUCAAACACUACAAUCUUAUGUAAUAGUUGAACUAACUUGAUGUCUCACUUUAGUUGACUGGAAUAUAUAUAUAUAUGUAGAUAAAUUCCGUUAAUUGAAUUUAAAACACCCAUCUUGAAACCGUAUUUGACAACAACAAAGUAUAUUUGUGACCAACUUUACAUAUGGAAAAAGGUUUUUUUGUAAAGUAUGUGUCAUCGAAAUUUAUGAACAAUCUCGUAAUAAUUGUCAAAUACUACUAAACAGAAUUUUUUUUUUUUUUUUUUUUUUGUCAAGUCAUUCCCCUAAAAAGAAUAGGAGAGUGGAUAGGAGAUAGUCAGUAUUAAUUUAAAUAUCUGUUUCUGUCCAAAAAUGUAAAAAAUUUUAAAAAAAAUGUUUUUUUUUUUUUUUUUUUUUUUUUGCCAAGGGAACCCGCAGCCGCUACUCGAAGGUGCGCACUAGGUAAACCCCACCUUGUGAUCCUAGCUGGCAAAGGACCACAAGGAGGUAAACCAGCCUAGGUUACCCAUAGCUGACCGGCUCAAACCAAGAAGGCCAAUAGGCAGCUCCAACGGGAAUCGAACUAGCAACCUCACGAUUGCUAGUCCAAUUGCCCGACCAACUUGGCUGGAGUUGCCCCCACUACUGAACAGAAUUACCAUGAUGCAGAGCAGUUAACAAAGAAAAGCACAUGCCAACCAGAAAAGAGAAAAAAAUAAGAAGGAUCUAUGAAAAUACGUGUUACUUCAAGCUCAGGUAUCAGAUUUAUGCGAGUGAGUAAAAUUCGGAAAGGCUCUCGACUCUGCAUGUGUGGUCACAAUUGGCUUUCAACAAACAUAGUCAAACAUUUAGGGUCAAAUUCCAUCAUUUAAGAGUUUGUUUUAACAUUUAUUUAUUUAUUUGUUGUUUUGAUUCAAUUUAAGUGUAUUUUCAUCAUUUUAACUAUUUUUAAGUUUUAUUCAGAUUUGUCUACCGAAUUAAGAUUUCACUAUGAUUAAGAUUCAUUUUGACUCUUUAAAUAUUUGUUAAGGGUUUGAAAACUCUACGGACAAUUUUUUGAUAAAUUAUAUUUCACUUUUCUCGUUAUUUGGUAGAUUUCAAUAUCUCUCACGUUCAUUCGACAGAAAUUCGAUCAGUACUCGUUGUGUUACGAACAAGACCCUUUUAUUGUUAUUCAUGUUUCUUUCAUACGUCAUAACACGGAACUCGAAUUAAAUAUUUGAUUAACAUAUGGCAUGUUGACGAAUAUAUUUGUAUUAUGUAUUUAGAUUUGUUAAUAGUUGAAAAUGAAAACAAAGAAGCCUGACAGAUAAAAGAAAAGGUUAGCAACCACAAGAGGCCUAAUCAUCGGAUUAGUGUGUGGGUUCAGUCAUCUCGAUUAUAAAUCAUACUAAAUUACACUUAUAAAGAAUUAAAGCCUUCCGACAUUUAAGGAACCCUCUUUUCCAGCUACAUAAUGAGCAAUAGUUCGACCAAUUAUUUGGUUUCAUGAUCUUUUGCUCUAUACGAGAAGAUCCUUUUACCAUCACCUGAUCCAAAGGGUUCACACAAACUGCAGGAUGGUCGAAUUGAGUGCUCCUUGCAGCUGGAGAGGUCUUUUUACUUUAUAUUUGAGAUAAGAGUACAUGUUGAAUAUAAAAAUUUAAAUAAAGUUGCCUCUCAUCUAACAUUUUAAGUUCUUAAAUGGGUAGGUUAAAAAUGAUACCAUAGCAAGUGACUGCCUUGAGCUCCAGUCUUAUUGCCAUCUAAACAAAAAAUCAUAGACAUAUUAGCCAGCACGUGAAGAAAAUAUUAGAUAAAAGAUUUUAAAUAAAUUAAAAAAAAAUUCUAAGUGGCCCAACUCCAUACAAAGAAGUCUAAGUGAAAUUGGAUACCAGGUCAAGGAUCUAUUUGGAGGAAGGAUGUUUUUAAUAUGUCACUCAAUGAAUGUUUAUGAGUGAGCUACUCAGAACCGUUGGAUGUGAUUUGAGUCAAUGGUAGGGAGUGAGGGUAUUUUCUACCACUCGCUGCCCUAAUUUGUCAUUAUGUUCAAAUCAUCAUCUCUCUCUACGCUCCUAUUUUUCUCUUUAGUUAUUUGCUUUAGUAUUCUCCUUCUGUGUUUAUGAUUUCUCCAUUCUUAUGUGAGUGAUUCAAAGAAUUGGUUGGAACCUGUGGCUUCUUGUGUGGUCCAAUUACUGUAGCAAGAGAUUUGUGUUCGAUUUAUGAACGUUUUUUGUGAGACAAGGGUCUAAAAUUUCUCUUUACCCGAGUUACUGUUAAUGCUUGAUAAGUGUACUUUAUGUGUUUAUCCAGACUUUUAUUCUUAUUUAUUGGUAGAUUGAUUGAAUGUCUACUUAAUUUAAGCUUAAAUUAACUGAUUUAAAAACAUUUGGAUGAAAUUGGAGUCAAAUAUGUGAAAUUAGAGCAUAAUUGAAGUUACUUCAAAGUAAUUAAAGACUAUCCAAGUUGCAAUCAAUCAAUAGGAAGUAUCAAGGGGUAAUCUGAGGAAAUUCAUAUGAUUAGAGAUUUAAAUUCGGCAAUUGAAAAUUUUAUUUGAGGACUAAAUUGAAAAUUUUGAAGACUUUCAAGGGAUCAAUAAUAAUGAUUUUGGAAUGUGUUGGACGAAAUUUUGUGGAAUUGAAGAUGAAGGAUUAAAGAUGAAAUAAAAAAGGAUUCAAGCUGAAUGAACACAAAAAGUUGGGGACCAAAAUUGAACGUGACUAAAAAAGUUGGGCCUGCGAUUGCAACCUUUGAGCAGCAAAUGCCGAACGGACCUUGAUGCAAUCAUGUGGACCUUUUCUGGGUUUUGCAAUGGGCCACAUUUUUACCCAAUUUUUUUAGUCUAUAAAUACGUGUCUUCAACAAUUAGAAGAGCCUUUUGGGAUACAAGAUUCACAUUAAUUACAAAGAAAAGAGAGCCCAAAAAACAAGAAAAACUCAAAGAAUCAAUCAAGAAGCUAUGUUGUCAAGGUUUUUCAAGAAACAAUUGAAUUCUUGGUACAAAAUCUUCACAUUUUUUAUGUUUUUCCUUGAAAUUCGGUGAUGUAAUCUAAUUAUUUCUUUUACUUUUAUUCUUCGAAGAUAUGUAGUUAAACAAUUAAUUUGGACAAACAGUGUAACAUAGUUUAGACUUUAAUCUUAAUUUUGAAAUUUUAAUUUUCAAUUGAUGCUUGUGUUGACAUAUGUUUGACUUUAUCUUUAACGAUUAGAACAUAACAAACAAGUUAAUAUUAUUUUCUAACAGUUGAUUUUAAAUGAUAAUAGUUUUCAAAGCAUCAAUGUUAAAAUAUAAUGCACCAAUUUAUCUUACAUUUACUGAAUUUUGAAUCACUACAUUGUCAUUAUCAUAUGUUGAACAUAUAAUAUAGUAAUAUAUACUACAACGAGAGUAGGUUUUUAUGAGAUUCAUUUACAGCAUGCAUUUUAGGCAUGUCGUGAAAGGUCUCUUUUUACGACGUACCGUAAAUAUGUGCUGUAAUAAUUCAAUUACUUAAUAUUUACGGCAUAUAUUUAAGGCACGCCGUAAUAAUCGAAACCCAAAACAAAAGAAAUGUUCAAUUCUUCAUAAGCGGGAUUUCUUCAUAGAAGAAAAUAAAUGUUCAAAAAAGCAGGUUUUUCCCUCCCACAUUUGUCCUCCAGAGUCCAAGCCCAGAUAAUGGAAAAUAAAACCCAUACCAGCCCAAACCCUUCCCCAUUCCCCCAAUUGUUCCUGCGACUCUCAAUUCAACCAAGCUGCAGGCGAUUCGUUCAAGUUUUCAGCCGUUGGAAUUCUUAAUUUUUACAGUCAAGGCAUGGCUUAGUCGUGAAUUCUGAGAAGUCAUUUUGGUGAGAUUUGUUGCGUUUUUGUGAAAAUUCAGAUCAAAUUUUUAAUGCCAAGUAAUUUGCUGUGUGAAAUUUAGAAGAUAAACAUUGCCUUCCAGAAAGAGAAGGCCAUGUAUGUGCUAUUAUUUCUUAGAUUUAAAGAUGAUAAGACAUUUAUUUAUGAUGCGAAGAUUACAUUUCAGUACCUUAGUUUUAGGAUUUUUGUGAUUAGUGAAUUUUUCUUUCCUGUUUUUAAAUAAAGCCGAUUUCCCUUGUCACCAUAUUCUGUUAAAUGGUUUUGAACUUUCGCAUUUAUACUACCGCCCAUCUUAUUAAUAUCAAAUCGGUUGAGUAUGUGCCCACUAGAACUUCUUAUGCUAUCUUUUUUUUUUUUUUUUUUUUUUUUUUUUGUUAAAAUAAAUGCACCCUUAAUUUAUUCCACUACAAUUCAAUAGAGCCUGAAGGUCGAUGGGUAAAAGAGUGAUUUUGUACAACGACAUUAUCUAAGGUUAACAUUCAAUGACAUUAUCCAAGUGAUUUCACUCAGCCCAUUGAACCUGGUGUUAAGGUUGAGGUUACCAUUGCUGAUUUUUAGACUUGACUUGCCUUGUCGCGGAUGUAUUUCUAUCUUUUGUUAGCGGCACAUUCUUUGCUAGAUGAACUUGCAUUUCGACCGUGGAUGUGUAUUGUAAUAAUGUUAUGAUAGGAGUUCUGCUAUACAGAUUUGGAUUUGAAUGGGAACUUCGUUAUUAAUGUUUAUUUGUUAGACCGAUUAAUGCAUAUUACUUUUUAAAUGAUCUAAUAAUUGAACUGUAGCAUUAUUUUAUAUCAGAAUGAUUAAAUUUUUCUUUGAUUUAUUGUUUUCAAUUACUGUCACUUUCCCAGGGAUACAUUAAUGAUAUUUGAUAUGUUAAAAGAGUGGACAUAUUAAACAAGCUUUUUGUAUUCUUAACUCUCUCAUUCCUACCAAACAUGUAACUUAGUUUUGAGUUUGUUCACCAGGUUCAAUUCAGCAAUGAUCAAUAUCUCGAGUCUUUGAUUGUGCUUAAGCAUAGGGUAAACUUAGUUUUAAGGUACUUAUUUUCCGUUCAAACUCACUUUUAUUUAGAAGCAGAAUUUACUAUCUAUGACCCUAAGCUUUUAAGGAUGGCCAAAGGACAUGGUUUUUAAUUUUAUUACAUGAAGAUUUAUCGAAGGAAUUGUGUAAUUUCUUGUUAAUAUGCAGAAUUGAACAUUUAUUUGUGCUUUUUAAGUAUUUGCACUUGAAUCUUUAUUGAUAUAUUAUAAUUUUUUUCUUCUGUUUAACGCUUUUUUUUUUUUUUUUUUUUUAAAUAUCUUUCACUACAACAAAGAUUUUGCAGGAUGUUGUUGAUUUUUCAAGCGGUUUAAAGUUACGUGAGUAUUAAAUUCACACAUUUAGUUCUCGUCUCCGUGUUCGUUCAAAUUGUUAUAUAAUUACAAAUAAUGACGAAAUUUAUUUUGCUUCCUACCAAAACGAGGGUAUCCUAAAUUUAAUUUCUUAACCAAGUUCUCAAUUACUUUCUCAACAGAUUGCAGUGGUGUUGAGGAGGUUCUAACCGUUCCAAUUUCACCUAUUUUAUUUCAGGUUAGAAUUAAUUUUUUGCAAUUUCAGUGUGUGAAACUUUAUUAUUAAAAUGGCUCACCAAAUUGGAACCUAAUUUCUAUGAUGUCCUAAUAUAAUCGUAUUUCACUUCAUUUUUACCGUGCUUUAACAAAUUAUAACUCAAUAGUGUUGGUAUAUAUUAUCAUGGAUAAAGAUUGGGUACACUUAUCAAAGUUAUCUUGUUCUCUUAAAUUUAGAGUAUUUAAAAUAUUUCCAUAUAUGCCUUUUAGAUGAUUUAUUUAGCAUAAUUUGUAUAGAGUUUCAAAGGCGUAUCAACAUGGUGCAAGAAAAUUUGUAUAUAUGGUGCAAGCCAAUGGGGGGAAUCCAGGAAGAGUCAUAUGUCCUUGCAAAUGUUGCAAAAACCUAUUCCACCAACAUUUUGAUAUAAUGUAUGAGCAUUUAAUCAGUAAUGGCAUGAAUCCUACGUAUAGUACCUGGGUGUUUCAUGGGGAAAAAUCGAAUGUAGCAUCAUCGCCUCCUCAAGAUGUAGAAAAUUUGGAGACUUAUAGGAUGUAUAGAAAUGCAUUUUUUCAAGAUCACAAUAUUGUGGAACUCGAAAAUGAAGAUAAAGAGAAAGAAUUUUCAAAUUUAUAUGACGGUGUGCCGUAAGAAAAUAUUCUUUGUUUAAUGGUAUCCAUAAACUAAAAGAUAUUUACCUCAAAAUAAUACUAUUAUAUGUUACAAAUUCCGUGAUUUCCAAAGACAGCAAUAACACAAUCUACUUUUCAAAAGAUUAUCAUGUGAUUAAAGAGAAACAAAGAUUGAUAAAAAUCAUCUAUGAAGACUAUAUUUGUUGAAAACUAUAUCAAGAGAACACGAAACAUGUUUUUCCCAAAAUAAUAUUUGAAUAUAUUGAUGUAUAAGACAUGGAUGACUCGAUACAAGAAUAUUCAUUUAUUGAAAUCGGGGGAGCAACUGUACACUUUUUUCUUGGAUCAAGUUUGUCCCAUUGUAAUAUGUCAUUCAAUGGGGAGUAUUGUAAAUUAUAUAUUUAUUAAUGAAUGAACAUUAUACCCCUAGAGUCCUUGUUAUUAUGACUGUUGUAUUCCUUGCGAUCCUAAAUUCUUUUUUAUAAAUGCUUUGAUUUUCAAUGAAAUACAUGUCGUUGAUAUCGCAUAUGCAAGCUUAAUCAUCAAAAUACGCAUGCAUUUGUGUUAAAAUUUUGUAAAAAUUAGCCUAGUAAUUAAGUUCGGUUCAUUUUUAUAACGAAAAAAAGGCAAAUUGAGCCCAACAAAUAUUAAAUUAGUCCAAAUCACCCAAACCCAUGAAUUAUAUACAACAAUUUAUAGGGUUUUGACAUUUAGAAAAAUAAAAAAUAAAAAUAAAUGUUUCCUAAAGUUGUAAACUAUUAAUAUGAAGAUUGUGCCUCAUUCUUCUUUGGCCUUCUUUUAAUUUUACUAGCAAGUGAUAAUAGUAAUUUAUAAUUUUAGAUUGUUGAUAGUUGUGAUGAUUAGUGGGAGGUUGACAAUGAUAUUUUACCAUUUACAAGAGGUAAUAAAAUUUUCCAAUUGAAAUAGGGGAGUUCAAAAGAUGAUUUUGCAUUGAAUGACACGGAAGAUGACAUGGAUGAGGAAGAGGAAACUGAAUUUGAAUUCAAUAAAGAGGUAGACAAGAUUUAUGAUUUUUUGACUCGGUGUUCGUGUCUAAACUAUUUGUAGGAACUAAUUAUCAAAUAAUUAUAGUAUUUAUGAUUUUGAGCAAUAUAUUUUUAUUGAGAUUUUGGAAAAAUAUGUAUAAAGUUUAAGUAAUUGUAGUAUUUAUGAUUUUGAACAAUAUAUAUUUUUAUAUUUGAAAAAUAUAUAUAAAGCUCAAAUAAUGAAGUAUUUUAUGUAUUUAUUAUGUUAAAUUACUUUUAAAAUAAUAUUAAAAAUCGAAAUAUGUAUAAUUACACAUAUUUUGCAUAGGUAGCAUAUCCUUGUAAUGUUUAUUACUUGAUUGAAAUGUAGUAUCAUGCCUUGUGCAUUUAGAAUCUUGGGUAGGAUGAAGGGAGUGUGGUUGGUAGGAUUACGUGGGCGAUAAAAGCAGCGAGAGCAAGCAAGGCAAGGGUUUGGAAAGGUUGUAAUGUUUUUAUUUUUCUUUAGUAAUUUGUUUGUAAAGCUUUGAUAAAAUUUAUCAACAUAAACAAUUAUAUUUUAAUUUUAAACAAGUAUUUCAAGAAAUUCAUAUUUUCUUUUUAUCAAUUUUUUAACCAAGUAUUAUAUCAAAAUAUAUCCCCCCUUUGAUGAUCAUUAUUUUGCCAAAAGAAUAUUUUGAAUAGUGAUUUUUAUUAUGUGAAUGUGAUUAAAAAUAAAUAUGUAGAAAAAAAGUUUUUGAAUAAUGAUUGUCAAAUAGGGACUUAAAAAAAAUUUCCAAAUUUUUUUUUUUUUUUUUUUUUUUUUUUUUUUUUUUAAUAUCAAAAGCUUUGUAAAAAGGGGGGAAAACAAAAAGAAGAAAGCCUUAACACGGUGGACAACGCCAAGGACAAUUCAUGAUUUUCCUUUUUUCUUUAUUUUUUAUUGAAAUUAAGUCCCUAAUUGGUUUAGCUAAAUUUAAAUUUUUAGGAGAUUUUGAUAUAAGUUGGUGAAAAGUGUUGUUGGAAAGUUAUUAAACAUUAUGAAUUCCAUAAACUAAAUAAUUAAAAUUACUUGUUGAUUUUAUCUUAAAUUUUUAUCAACUUUAACUUAACCAAAUAAGUAAUGUUAUUCAUAUUCAGUGUUUGCAGUAAUCAUCCUUAUGUAACAGUUUGUUAUCUGAAGUAUCAGCUUAUUAUUUGAAACAACAAGAUUAUAGGAAUUUAAUGCCUCAUAUUACAUGCUGUCACAUUGGAUAGUUGCUGUAGUUUUUGACUAUAAAUUGCAUUAUUCGGUUUGAACAGGAGAUAAGUAUUUAACCAUUUCUUCUAUUAAAAAAUAGUGUAGAAUAUAGAUUUUAAUUUGCACAUUUAAUAAAAAAGUGAGUGCCAUCACAAUGCAAAUUUAGAAGAAACCAGACCAAAACAAACCAUUGGUCCUGGUCUGGGUCAAGACCUCACAUGGUAGGAUUAAAAUCUAAAGAGUAAAUCACGCCAACAACUAUGAUUCUUAUAGACCCAGACAAAUAAUAAUGACCAUAAUUUGCCCCAAUCUCCAGGAUUUACGGGGUCCUACCUUCGACAAACUUAUGAACAUUCUGAUAUGAAAUGUUGGAAAAACAAUUGGAAAUGUCAUCAACGUGUUUAAUUUUAUUUUUAUGCUUACUAAAAAGUUGAGUUAAGUUUAUUUUAACAAGUGAUACAUAAAUUUAUAUGUUGCAACCCUUCAAAAAAUUACUAAUCUAAGUAUAAAUAUCAGUUUCAACAUAAUUUUUACUCAACCAUGGAUAACAUCUGGUUAAGAAGUUAAUAGAUCAAGAUCACAAAUAAAUUAGUCAGUUAAAGUCAAUUUAACUAAACAAAAAUCAACUAGAAAAAAGUUGUGUUGGGUUAAAAUCGAAAGAAAUCAAGGUUAGAUGCAUUUGUAUUUAAUUGGAAAACAAAAAUAUAAUAAAACUAAAAAUAAAAAAAAUAAAAAUAUACGUGCUAUCGUUCUUUUUCCACUUCUCUUCUAUUUUCGAACAAUAUCCAAAUAACUUGUCGGUUUAAAAUCGGAAGAAAUCAAGGUAAGAUGCAUUUGUAUUUAUUGGGAAAACAAAAAUCCAACAAAACUGAAAAGAGAAGGAUAAAAAUAUACGUGCUAUCAUUCCUUUUCUUCUUCUCUUCUAUUUUCGAACGAUGUCCAAGUAACCUCUUUAUUAACUUUCUGAAAUGAGGCCAUUUUGAUGUAUUCUAGGAUUCAGUAAUAGUAAAUACUAUUAUCUUUCUUAGUACCUUGUUAUUUCAAAUACUUAUUACUAAACGUGUCAUAAAUGUUGAUUUAUAGUGUUUAUCGCGAUCAGCAAUUUCUCAUAAUUUUCUACUUAUUUAAUUUUGUAUCGUACAUUUUCUCUACUUUUCUCAUCAACUUAAAUUGAUAGUGUAUUUAUAAGAGAAAUGUUUUUUUUUCUCACUCUAUUUGCUAUUUUCCUUUGCCCUCUUAUAACAGUGAUAAAAAUGUGAGACUGAGCAUGUAAAUCAAAAGUCCAUUUUCUAUGUUUUGUUAAUAAAAUGUAGUUCUUCAAAUUAUGAUCGAUGAAAAAAGUUUAAAAUGAACUUUUCAUUUCUAUUUCAAGUUUGUUGAACACGUUCUUUUGCAUAUGACAUAAAAGCAUGCUGUAAAAGAAUGUAAACAAGAAAUUUCUUAAUUAGAAUUAUGUAAAGAAAAUAGUUAUGAUUAAAAAAUGAAUUUAAUCAUGGAUUAAGGAGAAACUGUAGUUCUUAAGUAGAAACUUUUCUUUGGUGUUUUUGGUGGGGAGGGGGGGGGGGGGAUAAUUACCAGGUUGGUACUUGAUCGUCGCUUUUAUGUUUUGCAUUUAGCCCCAAUUUGCUUUACAUAAAAAUAAAAUUUUCAGUAGAUUUUGAUAAAAAAAAAAAAAUUUAAUAUAAUGUACGAUUGAAAAGUUAUGAAUUCCGUAAAGUCUGUGGCAAAAAUUUAAUUAUUGAAUUUUGACUUAAAUUUUUUAAUUGAAUUUUAUAUUGAAUAAAAAGUACACAAUUAAUCUUAACAACAUAUUUUAUAAAAUCCACAACUUUUUAACUACAUAUUUUAUCAGCUUAUUCAAAAUUUACUAAAAAUUUAAUUUUAAUCCCAUCAAACAUGAGCAUAUUUGUAUCUCUUGUACAUAAGUAGUGUAUAAAAUUAAAUAACAUAACAAGUAAAAUAGUAAUUUCUAUUUCUUUUUCAAUAACGACAGUACUGUCAAAUUCUAACCCAUAGUAACGUUCCUUCACAUUUUCCUAUUUUCACACACAGACACACGCAAGCUGGCAUUCCUUUUGCUGUACAAAUAUAAAGCAUAAAGCAUAAACUUUAUCUUAGACCCUUCGAGCUUGUUUACAAGAUGGGUUUGAAGAUUUCGUUUGUGCUUUCUCUCUGCUUUUUCUACACAGUUCCUGCUCUUGCAUCUGCCCCUUUGGAAGGUAAAUGCUCAAAAAUCUUGUCUAGUUUACUUAAGAGUUCUUAAAUAAAGCUAGACCUUUGUUAGUGUUUCUCUUUCAUUGGCAUUUCUUGAAAUGUAUAAUGAUUUGUCCUGUUUCUUUUCUAUAUCCUUAUGGGGUUUUAUUUUGCAUCAUUUGCACAUAUCAAUUUUUUGUAGUUUCUAUCAAUUGUUGGGCUUUCUCAACGAAGAGUGGUGAGGGUUCGAGUCCUAGGAGUCUGGCGGUCUGAGGCAUGAUUUUGGAGAAAAAUGUACUUCCUGUGGAGUAGGUAAGUUCGUGCGUGUCUGACAGAGAGUAUUUGAUAGGACGGAUACAUACCCUUCUGUUUUCACCCAUAGGAUGUUCAAAAAGUGUUUCAUUUGCUACUUCUAUGUUUUCUCAGGUCUACUUCCAAAUGGAAACUUUAAAGAGAUAACAAAGCCCAUUGACAUAAAGAGAACAGUGCUCCAAGGGAAAUAUGCACUGCCCAAGUGGGAAAUCAAUGGCUUAGUCAAGUACAUCUCCAUUGGGCCACAGCCGGUGGAAUGUUCUUUGCAGUAGAGCGUGGCAUUCACACUGUGAGACUUGGAAACGAUGCCUCAAUUUCCUCAAAAAUGGCUCGACAUAUGCACACGCAUUUGGUGCAUCAAGAACUUGUGCCCAAGAUGAGGUCUUGAGGGUGUCGGUACCCCCUCAAUCUGGGGAUCUCACUUCACAGACUCUGUAUAGUAGUAAUGGUGCGACACUUAUGCUUGGAGACUCGGAGCCACUUCUAAUUCAGUGAAGGUGAUUUUUCAUAAUCCAGGAAUGCAAGAGGAUCCUGCUUGUGGACCUCUCCUGGAUGCUGUUGCUAUUAAAGAACUUUUCCAUCCAAGAUUCACCGAAGGUAAUUAUAUACUUUUCGUGACUAGAUUGAAAUUGUUUUCAUAUUCUACUUCCUAUGAAAUAUAUUGGAAUUCAAUUAUUCUAACAUGUUUGGUACUAGGGAAUUGAAAAUUAAGUAAAUAAAAUUUGUGCGUUGUCUUAUCUUAUGCAAUACUAUCGAAAAAUUUUGCUGCACUAUUUUGAUUCUUGAUGUAAGCACAUUCUGCAAUCUCUAGGGUGGCUAUAUGUUUAAUUUUACAUAUCAAGCAUAAACUGUUGCUAAUAAUUAAGCUUAUGAAUGGCUUAAGCAGCAAAUGGAUGACUUUGAGCUAAUUUGUCCCAAAUUCUUGCAGCUAACUUGGUCGAGAAUAAUGGUUUUGAGGAGGGUCCUCAUCUCUUGAUCAACUUUUCUCAUGGUGUCCCACUUCUUUCGAAACAGAAAGAUUUGACAUCCCGACUUCCUGGUUAGAUCAUCGAAUCUAUUAAAGCCGUCAAAUUCAUAGACUCAAAUCAUUUCAACGUCCCCCUUAGAUGAGCAGCAGUAUAACUAGAUGCAGGAAGAGAGAGUGCCAUAGCCCAAGUAAUCAGAACAGUCCCCCACAAGGUCUAUAAUGUUGCAUUCACUGUAGGAGAAGCAAAGAAUAACUGUCACGGAUCAACGAUGGUCAAAGCAUUUGCUGCUAAAGGAACAGUGAAAACUCCCUUCAAAUCUGAAGGAAAAAGAAAUUUCAAGACCUUCAAUUUCCAGUUCAAAGCAAUCUUGUACAGGACCAGAUUAACCUUCUUUAGCUCCUUCUACCACCCUAGGACCAACAACUACGGGACUCAUUGUGGUCCUGUCCUAGAUGAAGUUCUGGUUUUUCCUGUAUCUUAGAUUUCAAUCUAUCUGCAUCAAGCUCGAAGAAGGCAUGUACUGACGAGUAUUAUAGAAUUAUAGCAAUGGUCAUUUGUCGUUUCUUUUUUAAUUUAGGUUAAGCAUAAUGAGGCGCCCUACAUUCUGAUGUGUGGGAAGUACUAAGUAUUUGCUGUUUUUUGUUUGCAUCGUGUCCCCUUCAGUUGUUUUCUUGUUGGCUCAAAUACAUGGUACACAGAAAAUAUUUUGAUAACCGAUAUAUUAUUAAUCUGGCCGAGUCAUUCUGAUAAUGCUAAGUUAGGCUUCAUCUUAAAAUGCACUUUAACGUGAUAGCAAAGUGGGAUUCCCAUUCAAGUCUCAUCAUUACUCAUUUAUGGAAAUUGUUAUAGUCUGGUGAAAAUAAAUUUGGUCUACACAUAGAGGAGGUUGUUGGUCUCAGAAUCGAAUUUACAAAGAAUUUAUAUCGACCGUUUUCAGAAAAUUAAAUUAACACGAAGAAUUUCACCCCCAAAGGUCCGAAUUUAAGCUUUAGCCUACUCACCCAUUGAGCAUCUACAAGUAGAUUACGCUCAAAUUCACUAUGAAAUCACCAAGAAGUAAUACAAAUGUAUAAGAUUUCUUUAGAUUUGUCUCGCCUCUCUUUCAAACACAAAGAUAAAGUAAUCCAUACAAUUUUCUCUCUCUGAUCAUUUACCAAAAACGAUUAGAAUCAAACGUUCAAAAGAUUUACAGAGAAAGACAUCAAUAUUAUAGAAAAAGAACAAGACUAGAAAACCUUAAAAGUUCACAUCGAAGAAACAGAUCUAACGACUCCAAUAGGUCAACAUUUAUCACAAUUAAAAAAUAGGAAUAGAAUUGCCAAUUAUAUGUAACUUAUUUAGACUUUAAUAUAUUUGGCAUUGCUUAUCCGAAUUAAUUUUGGUAGUCUUCUAAGACUUGAGUAAUUUCAAGCAGACCCAAAUAAUUUGGUAACAUUCAAAUUUACCCAAUAUAAAGUUCUUCGAUUGAGAGAUUAACAAUUAUGUAACAUCAUUGUUUUCAAGGAUGGACAAUUUUCUAUAUACAAUAAUAUAUAUAAAGAUAUGUUGUUAGGGAACAUCUCCAAAAAUGCACAAUUCCUUACACGGAGAUGAUCAAUUGUAGGAAGAACACCAAUUUCUACAAUAGAUGAAAGCUGAGGACAUCAUUUAACCUCGAAUGUUAGUAGGUUGACUAGGCUUUGCACAAUAUUAUCAUUUGACCAAAAAGUCACUAGGUCCUUACAAUCAUCACUUUUCAAAAUUUUCAAGUCGCAUGAAUGCAUUGUUAAUUGAAGUCAUACCAACUAUAUUCUUCAAUUUUAAAUUGGUUGGGGUGGUUAAAUUGUGCAUACCAUUUAACACAUCUUCACCACACCCUUCUACUUAUAGUUCACAAAUAGAAAUAACAAUUUUGGAAUCUUUAUCAAUUUGGGACGUUCCUUUAUGCAAUACAUCUUGAGGAAUUUAAUUUCCCCAUGCACUUCAAGUUUUAAUCCAAGCCAUUCCUCCCAUUCUGUCAUGUCCUAAAAAAUAGAGUCUCCAGUGAUUUGGAUGGUAAUUCUCCCCAACACAUAUUUCCAUAAAACUCCUCUAUAAUUACUUUUAAUUGAUUCAUGCUCAAGUCUCUAACACAAGGGUAGAUACUCUAGUGUUGGUAAAGAGAUGCACUUUAUACAUUGUCGGAGCCAAUCUUCAAAAUUGGGUUACUCCAAUUAUCCUAACAAAUGAGUUUAGUUACACAUCAUUUAAGUAAUAAGCAAAUUGAGUGGAGAUAUCCAUCGUAGGGUUAGAUUUGCUUGAAAUUUGUGCCCAAAACACCAGAAUCACCACCCUGAGACCAUCCACGAAGUUUGGUGCCGCUAACUUGAACCAGUGAUGCUUCAACUCGCACCACCACCUUACACCGACAGUGCUUGUACUCGUCUCUGCAGUCCAACUUCAGUUUCGCAUGACAUUUUAUCUACAACUCUGAUUUGCAACCCAUCUUUUUGCGUUAGACUCCAGAUUGGAUGAUCUUUCCCAUAAUAUAUUAUAUGCCAAAUGGAAAUUCAUGAAUCUUCCCAUGCUGCUCUCCAAAUUGCUCCUCUUUCGGUGUUUAACACUAAUUUUUGCUCCAUUAUUCGCCCACGUGUUUUCGAAGCUCGGGACCACCCCUAAGACAUAAAGAAAUGUCAAAAAUCAGCAGAUACUCGAGCAAUAUAGAUAGGUUAUAUACACUUAUCAACAACAUUGGCUUCAACUGACAAUAAAUGUUCCCAGAGUUGCUCGACACUCGAAGAAAAAAGUGUCGCUAGAUGAUGGUUCGCCGUGCUGCCCUCUCUUGUUAACUGUGUAAUAACAGAAACAAUGUUUAUGUCAAAUAUGAUGUAAAACAGCAAGCCAUGAAAUCCAGCUGAUGUAACCGCUAAAUAGGAUCCAAAUUAGCCAACUGGAGCUUACAACAAAAGAUAUACAAAGCGCGAUGUGGAUUACUAAUUUGUUAGUUGGGCCAGUCAUGAAACUCGGUACAUUGGAGUACAAGCUGUCAAAUCAUUCUGUAGACCAACAUUCAUAUUCACUGAUCAGCAUAAAUAAAAUGAAAACACAAUGUUACUAGUUUGUUUGAUAUAUAGUACUAGAUAUGAAGGGACGAGAAUAUCAUCCAAAACUGCUCAAUUUGCCUUAUCAAAUAUGUUAUACAAGUUUAAAUAGGAAAGGGAUGCAAUUCACUAAGAAGUUAGUUUUGAUUUUUUUUUUUUUAAAAAGAUUAUUCCUUAUUAUAUAAAUGUGUUUUUAUUAAAAAAUCUAAAGUUAUUAUGAGACUGUCGAAAAUGUCCUACUUAAAUGGUCAAAAUAUCCAAUUUUUAGAUAUUCCGGGUCAACUAAUGGCCAAAUUUGGACCUCAGGUGCAAAUUUUUCAAAGGUUGGAGGCCUCGACUGACAAAAACUUGAAGGUCAGGAUAAUGUUUGCUAAAAAAAAAAAGAAAGGUUAUGGACCAUUGCUACAAUUUUCCCUAAUUUAAAUAGAAGGAGUAACAUAAUAAAUAUGAUAUUCCUCUUAUAUACAAAAUGCUAAACGGAAAAUUAGAGCCAGGUGGUAAAUCAAUUUGAGGGUCUACUUGCAAAAAAUUUCAUGUCCUAUAUAGCUUAUAUAGUAAUGAACUUUUAUAGAACGGUUAUCUAUUAACGGUUUUGCUAGUGGCAUAUCGGGAUGUACCUAAUGGUGUACACCCCACUCAUAUGGGUGAGAGACCCACUCGAAUAAAAUAUUAUUUCUUUCACAUGGGUCCCACACCCAUGUGAGUGAGGUGUACAUCGGUACACUCCAUUAUGUUCCACUAGACAAAUUCAUCUAUUAAAGGAAUAUUCUUACCAUCAUUUGAUGCAUAAUGGGUGAGAGAAAGAAGAGAGAGAAUACUUGUAAGGAGUAAUUUAAUAUCACUCAAAUGGUCUGCAUAUUCAAUAAUAUUAGUCCUAUUUUUUAUACUUCGAAUCCACAGUAAACAUUAAAAGUUAACCACAGUAAAUAGAUGAAAAAUUUUCUGCUUCGAAAUGGAUAGAAAUAAAUCAAAAUUGAUUCAAACUAAUCCUAGUCUAUUUCUUCAUUUAAUAUCUUUGGUGAAUGCAUAAUUUGGGUAAUGAGAAAAAAACAUGUUAGUUUGCCAUUCAAGAAUUGUUCUUUUUGAGGAAGAAGAACAUGUCAGUGUCAAAAACAAUAAAAUCACAAGGCAGGAGUAUUGUUGAAGCAUUUGAUCUAAAAGUUUAAACUGUUAGAAAUAAUCAAAUGUUUAUCAUUUAAAUAUUAUUUUCAUCACGCCAUCUCACGUGUAAGCAAGAUUAUCUUCUUUUCAGUAAAGCCUUACAUGGGCACAAUUUUAAUGAAUGGCUGGUGGUGAGACUUGAACCUGGGACUUUUGCCUACUCUAAUACCUCGUUAAACCAUUUGAUCUAAAAAUUUAAACUAUUAGAUAUGGUCAAAUAUUUAUAGUCAAAUAUUAUAUUCAACAGCUUUCUAUAUUUCCAAUCAAGAAGUAAAAUAAAACAGUACCAAAAAAUUCGUCAUAUGUACCAACAAUUCAUAAGAUAGUAAAAACACUCUCUAACAAGUCAUUGCUCCAGUCCAGUGAUCUUUUUUAAAAUUACUCCCAAAUGGGCCCUAAAUUUUAACGGGAUUUUCUUAGCAACAAUUUACUGUCUUGAACACAAUGUUAUACAAGUUUAGAAAGGAAAGAGAUGCAAUUUACUUGCCUUGAAAACUUGAAGAAGCAAGAAACCAUACAAUCAGUAGCACCAGAAUUCUCUUGAUGUUAAGUUUGUCCCUCAUAAUUUGCUGAAAAGAAUAAGAAUAAUGUUUGCAUACUGAUAAAUAGGAGAUAAAAGAUAAUAGUAAAGGUAGACAUGGUUUACCGAAGUCGUUUGCUCCUUUUUCAAGACCAAUUGCUCAUAUUCCACAUCAAUUAGAACUGGCCAUAGAAAAAGAGAGCGUCAAUUCUUUUUGAAAAGAAAAAAAUAUUGCUGUAUGAAAAAUAGCAUACGUUUCGUAUGUACUUACUUUCCCCAUUAGAGUUAACAAACGUUUAUUGUCCCUCUGCCUGGCUUUCUGCAAUUACAGAAUCCAAAGAGAAGAAGCAACCAAUCUGCGAAGUCCCUACUGCCAUAUGAACAUAGUAGUUUAGAUUAAAAGUAUUUCAUUCUCAGGUAAUCGUAAAUUGCAUACCGAUGAACAGAAUAAUGAUUAAGAAAUAAUGAGCUCAUACAAUCAAUCUGCGAACCUCCGACUUGUUUGGCAAUGGACGGUCAGACAGUAAUCAGGUGUUCAUAAGAGGAUUAGAAUUCUCACUUUUGCUUCUCUUUCCAGCGGAAACAUCAAGUUUUUGCAUCUAAACGAGCAUGGAGCUUCUAAUGAUGAAAAGACUGCACAAAAUCAAGAAACGAUAAUAAGUAUUGCAAAUAAACUUAUCAACUAAUAAACCUCAACGAGAGAGUGCAUAAAUUGUAUGUGUUUCCUACUAAAGAGAGAAAAAUAAUAAUGAUUGAUUUCUGUAACAAAGUAAUUUUAGUUGAUUGAUUUCUGUAACAAAGUAUAUAGAAUUCAGUAGGAACUAACUGGAAAACAGAGUUUGAGCAGAAUUAUAUGACAACAUAGGAUAAAGGAAAUGGAUUAAGUAAAACGUUUAUGCGUGAUUAUAGCUAGCUAAGUAGGCUAUGUCACAGUCAUUCGUUUAACUAAGCAUAUAAUGAAUAAUUGAACUUGACACACUUGGAGUUGGAGUUCUACAUAAAAGCUUCAAAACAAUUUAAAAGUGAAAUGUUUCUCAUUAAAAACAUAUCAAAUUUAGAAUCCAAUAAACUGGAAAUAAAGCAAUGUGUCACAUGAUUAUCACUUACCAUGCAUUAUUAUAUGAUAAACAUGCAUAUUUCUGAAAAAUUAACAAAUAAUUUCCUAAAGAAACAGCAAUUACUACACUAACUGGUGAUACAGUUUAUUUUGGAAAGUCAAAAUUGGACGUUGAUCUGAAUCAAUCACACUUUGUUCUUGACAAAAAUUUUAAAGUGAAAUGUUUCUCAUUAAAAACAUCUCAAAUUUAUUAUCCAAUGAACUGGAAAUAAAACAAUGUGUCACGUAUAAUUAUCAAUUACUAUACAUCAUUAUAUGAUAAAUAUGCAUUUUCCUAAAAAAUUAACAAAUAAUUUGCUAAAGAAACCGCAGUUACUACACUAACCGCGUGAUAUAAUUUCUUCUGGAAAGUCGAAAUUGUGUUGUUUGUUUCAGCAAAUUGUAUAUGUUACUUGAGGGUUUCAUGAUCAUUGAUCUGGAUCAUGGACGGAACGCUAAUCAAUUUCAAUGUCGGGAAUGUCAGCGAUGAUUUUCCAGUAGUCUCCUUCGUUCUUCAAACACCGUUUUUUAAGAAGCGGGCACUUAUCAAUAUGAAGACUCCAAAGCCUGUCGAGCUGGUCUUCCAUAGGCAACGCCACAAGUUUUGGACAUCUGGAGAUCCAUAAAUGCCGAAGUGAUGUGAGGUUUUGGAAGCCCUUUGUUAGACUUUCUAGAUUGGGAAAGUCAAACAAGUUCAAUUUCCUUAUAGAUGGAGGAAGCAAAUGGUUGUUAUCAUCAUCAUUGUCGUCAUUAGAGAAGGAAAUCAGCUCUUGAUAGCAAAGACUCAAUUGGAAUAUUUCAAGAGAGGUGAUUUUGUGUAAGCCCCACUCCCCCAGGGGUUUUAGAUUCCCACAAUUACAGAAUGAAAGAUCCGUCAGAUUUGGAGGAAAUUUCCUUUGGGGAAAGGGCUCUACUAAUAAAGGACAACGCGUUACUAACAAGCUUUCAAGUGAUGAAAUUAGUUCCAUCCGAUCCGGUAAGGACUUCAAUUGUUGACAAUCAUGUGUAAAAAGACAUUUCAAAUUGGGAGUGGGCAAGCCUCCAGGGGGAAACGACUCCAGACCAUCACAGAAAUAUAUAUGUAGCCGAUGGAGACUUGUGUAAUUGUGAACUGAUCCCAGUAAAUUUGUCAAAUUAAAAUUCACCCUCAUUUCGACCGAAAGAAAUUCAAGUGAGGUGUUGCAAUCCUGUAGCUUCAUCAUGGUCUUCAAUGAGGAACAAUUCCUGAUUUCUAAACUUUUUAGACAAGAUAUGCUAUUGGGAACAAACUCUAGAGAUUCACAUUUCAGUAUGCGAAGGUCUCUAAGAACUGGAAGAGCAUCAAUGUCUCUAAGGGUCAAGAGCUUAGGACACGUGUUAACAGACAGCCGUCGUAGGUUGACUAGGCUUUGAGCAAUACGAUCACUUGGCCAUAGAGUCUCAAGGUCGUUACAAUCACAAACUUCCAAAUUUUCAAGUGCAAAAGGAAACUGCAUAAAUGCUUUUGAAACUGAAGUCAAUCUGAAAAUUUUCUCCAAAUUUAAUUGGGUUAAAGAUUCCAAAUUGUGCAUGUGACUUAGCACCACCUCAUUACACGCUUUCACUUUUAGUUCACGAAGGGAUGGCAAUGAGAGAAUUGGUAACUUGACCAAUUUUGGACAUUUUCGUAUGCACAAUUUAGAGAGCUGAGGAAAUCUGAUAACACCUUCUACUUCAUGUGUUAAUCCAAGCCAUUCCUCCCAAUUUGGCAUGUCCUCAAUAGUCAGCCUCUCUAGCGCUGGAAAAGGGCCCUUAUCUCCAUAAAAUUCAGCUCCUAUCACUUUUACUCGAUCCAUCCCUCCAAUGCUCAAUUCACAAAGGGAUGGCAGUGAGGGAAUCGGUAUCUUGACCAAUUUGGGACAUCGUUGUAUGCACAAUUUAGAGAGCUGAGGAAAUCUGACAACACCUUCUACUUCAUGUGUUAAUCCAAGCCAUUCCGCCCAAUCUAGCAUGUCCUCAAUAGUCAGCCUCUCUAGCUCUGGAAAAAGGCCUUUAUCUCCAUAAAAUUCGGCUCCUAUCACUUUUAUUCGAUCCAUCCAUCUAAUGCUCAAUUCUCUUAGGGAAGGUAGUUGCCCUAAUGAUGGUAAAGUAAUGCAAUUUCCACAAAAACUGAAGCUUAUCUUUUCCAACUUACUGAAUGAUAAAUCUCCAAUCCAAUUAGAGAAUUUUGAACCUCCAUAACAAUCAAUUUCAAGACUUUUUAAGUUAUAAUGAGGCUCUAAAGCAUUAAGCACGUCAAAUUCUAGAAUUUCAUUUCGGGAAUCACCAAACUCGCCAUUCCAUGCCAACCUUACUUCGUUAAGGCUUGGAUUAGACGUUAGUCUUGCGUCAAUUGCUUCCUGAACAUUUACCACAUUUUGCAAUUCCUCAAUAGAAAUUUUACCUUGUAGAAGUGAUAGAUUCCCCAAAUCCUUUAACCUCAUCCCACUGCUUUUGCUCACAAUCAUCUUGGGUAAUGUCUGCAAACUUUUUAGUUGAGCGAUUCCUUGAGGCAUCUCAUUUAAUUCACGAGUACCAGCAAUGUCCAGAUAGAAAAGAUUAAUGAGGUUUUCCAUGCUGGCAGGUAAUUUUGUAAGUUUGUAGCAUCCUCUUAGAAUCAACACUUGUAAAUUGAUAAGGUUGCUCACAGAUUCAGGCAAGCACUUCAAUAAAGUUUCAGCUAGGUCUAGGUACCGUAGAUGUUUUAAAUCACCAAUAGAAUUUGGCAACUCAUAUAUCGUAUAACCACUUAAUGAUAGAACUCUUAAGCAGUGCAAUUUCGGCAAUAUUUCAACCGAAACUUUGUCGGGAAAGAAUCUUUCAGGAUACCACCGCGGACACGGUAAGCGUAAAAAUGUUCUUAAGCUUCGAACUUUCUUCAGAAAAUUAAAUCUUUGGUACAUUUCAUAUUGAUGGGGAAUGAAUGACAAGUGACGGACAUUUCCAGAUAUGCUGCUGGGAAGAUUUUCCUUCAACUCAUCGUCCAUCCUCAAACAUUUUUCUCCAUCAACAAAUGUAGCUAGAUCGUUAAGGAGAUCAUGCAUCACAUAAUAUGAAGCAUUGGCACUUGAUCUUUGGAAGAAUGAUCUCGCAAACAGUUCGUCGAAAUAUUUACUGCCUACUUGUGUUAGCAUCUCUCUUUGUGAUACUUGUAAAAAACCUUCUGCUAUCCAAAGGUACACUAGCUUGGACUUGUCAAACUCGAAGUCUUUAGGAAACAGAGCACAAUAAGCAAAGCAUCUUUUCAGUUGUGGACGCAGAUAUUGGUAACUCAGUUUUAAAGAAGGAAGAAUUUUACUUUUGUCUUCUGCCAUCCAAUUCUCACUAUUCAAUACAUCCUCCCAUUCAUUAGGACUACCCAUUGUCCGCAGAAGCCCUCCAAGUGCCUUUAGUGCCAGUGGCAAGUUUCCACAUUUUUCCACCACGGCCUUACCAAUAUCUCUUAGAUCUGGACGUGCAUCAAAAGUUUUGGCUUCAAGUGCAUGUUGAGCUAACAAUGAUAAAGCAUCAGUACCCGACAACACAUUCAAAUCAUAAGCUGGACUAUGAGACAUGAUUUUCGCCACCGAACGCUGACGAGUUGUUACGAUGAUUUUGCUUCCAAGUUUGCUAGCCAGGAAUGGAUGCUUCAGGAUGUCCCAAUAUUCAUAAUAUUCGUUCCAAACAUCAUCUAAAACUAACAGAAAUUUCUUGUUUGACAGAUUUUGCUUUAGUUUCACCUGAAGCGUGUUAAAAUCAUGAUCGUCAUACCUUCCAGGGGAAACCUGUUUAAGAAUGGUUUUUGUAACCGUUGAAGCAUCAAAUUGAUCUGAAACGCAAGCCCACGCCUUCAGAUCAAAUUCGUCCUUUAAUCGAUCAUCAUUGUACACAAGUUGUGCAAGAGUUGUUUUGCCGACACCUCCCAUGCCCACUAUUGGAAUCACAGAUAUUGGAAUAUCACUUGAUUCUCCCCCCAACAACAUAUUGAUUAUAGUCUCUCUGUCUUUUUCCCUGCCAUAUACUCCAGAUUCUUCAACAACUGAAGUCAGAUCCAAUCUUUCUGUUGUUCUAUAAGGCCUCCCUCUCACAUUCUCGACCAAACUGAGUAUACUAAUCUGUUUGAAUAGAUCUUCCAAUCGACCACUAAUUUCAUUCAGCUUGGAAGCCAUCCCGCGAUCAGACAUAAAAUCAUGGAAAGAGAAAUUAGUACAACAAGAAGGAAUAAGCUUCCGUACCAUACUAGUGCUUGGCCUGUUGGCUUCGUGAUUUUCCUUUAUUUUGCGCCGGGUAGCUUCAGUGUUCAACUCAUCCACUAAGUCAUCCAGAUCAUAAGCCAAAUCCUCCAGAUCCUUCAGCCACUCCUUCACAGCUCCGUUUGUUGUUUGUUUGUUUUCAGCAUCAGUAAGCACUGCUUCCAUCAUCAACAAUUUCUUACGCCAUUCUUUCAGCUGGGAGUCGAUUCCUACACCAUGCAGGAAUUUCAUUAGCUCGCCAGAGACCAACUUCUCAAGCAAAACAGUAAUUAGUGCGCCAAUAAAAACUUCUCCGAUAGCCAUUGUUAUCUUUUUCUUAAGAAAGGAAACAAUAGAUGAAAGAUAGAAUGAAAGAGAGUUUAACUUCUUGAAUAGAAAUGAAAGGAAAAUUUCAAGUUGUGGUGGUCGUUUCACAAACUGAGAAAGCUGUCUACAAGUGCUGACAAUGGUGGGGUCAAUUAUCAAUUCACGCGGAGACAAUAAUUGAUCGGAGAAAAAAGCAAAGGUAUUGGUUUCUUUGUUGCUUCCUCUGUCAUUUUCUUUCCUUCUUUCUUUUUUUCAUUUUUUUUCCUUCCUCUCUUUCUUUUGAUUUUAUAUCUAAAAAAAUAAAAAUGCAAUUACCUGUCGGCCCCAUUAUUUCUCUUUAAUUUUCAUUUCUCAAUCCAAAUAUCACAUUAUAUUUUAUCAUUGAACAGUUUAAAAUACAGUUAAUUUUUCCAUCUAAUCUUUCUUCUACAUGCAAUUAUGUCAACCUUUUGAUCAAAAUUUUCUGUCAAAAUAGUUUUAUUCAUAAAUUUCAUCCAGUUGUCGACAAUCAAAUGGAUCAUUAGGCCCUCGUUCUUGGAUGAAAAAUGACACAAACGGGGGCAAUAAUGAAAAUUUGUAUUUAUAGUGGUGGGGGCACAAAUAAUUGAACAUCAAUCACCACCUGAGCUGGGAACCGUGUUUGUUGAACAAAUGGGCACCUUAACAUGAGAAAUAAUGAGAAUUAAUAGCAAAUAAUUUGAUCAAUCCAGUCUUUAGCCAAAAUUUAAUUGAAUCACUCAACCUUUUACACAGGCGAUAAAGAUAGUAAAAGCAAGCAAGGUAAUAUUUUAUUAUUUUUAUUUUUCUUUAGUACUUUGUAUGAUGAAGUUUUGAUAAAAUUUGUCAACUUUUUAACUUAUUAAAUUUUAGCUUUAAACAAAUAUUUCAUGCAAUCCAUAACUUUAUUUUUUAUCAACUUUUUAACAAUAUAUUACGUUAAUUUUGAAUCAAAAUCUAUUAAAAAUUUUCUUAAAAGUUUUGUAAAAGUAAAAAACCCUUAAAGGGGUGGGCGAGCACCAAGGACGAUUCAUGAUUUUCCUGUUAGUAUUAUAUUUUUGAUUAUAUAUAUAUCUAUGUAAAUUACAGCACAUAUAAUGCAAAGCUUUUGAAAGAGUUUUUUUAUUUUCUAUUGAAAUUAAGCCCUAUUUAGUUUAACUAAAAUUAAUUUUGAUAAGUUUUGACAUAAGUUGAUCAAAUGUAUAGUUGAAAAAUUGAUCAAAAGUGUGAAUUCCUUAAAAUAAGUGAUUAAAAUUAAUCGUUGAUUUUGUGUUUGUUUGGUAGAGAUUUUGAAAAUUGAUUUUUUGACUAUUAGAGAUAAAGUGGGUCCUAUCUAUAAGAGAAAAAUUCAAAAACGACAGCUGGAAUAAUGAAAUAACGGUCAAAAAAUUAAUUUUAAUUGACUUGAAAUAUGUACCAAACAAGCACUUUAACUUAAAUUUUCAUUAACCUUUUUAACUUAACCAGAAAGGAGCAAAGUAUUUUAUUCAUAUCCUCUAUUUAGACUUGGUGUAGAAUAUAGAUUUUAAUUUGGACUUUGGUUAUAAAGGCGAAUGGCAUCACUACGCAAAUUUAGAAGAAACCAAACCAUUGGUCCGGGGUCAAUAUCUCUCACAUUGUAGGAUUGAAAUCUAAAGUGUAAAUCAAUAAUAGUGGUGAUAAUGGUGGGAUCAAUUAUCAAUAAUCAAUAAUGGUGGUGAUAAUGGUGGGGUCAAUUAUCAACAAUCAAUCGGAGAAAAAAGCACGUGUUGGUUUCUUUGUUGCUUCCUCUUAUCAUUUCUUUAUUUUUUUUAUUUUUUUUGGUCAAUAGAAAUAAUAACAACUUUACAUAUAGAUAUAAAUUAAUGUGAUCAAUCCAACCUUUAGCCAAAAUUUAAUUCAAUCAUUCAACUUAAUUUUAUUACAACUAGUAAGUGUUCGCAAUUCAAAUACUACAAUCUUAUAUAACAAUUGAACUCGUAAACUUAAUGUCACGCUUUACUUGAUUAGAAUAUUAAAAUUUGUUAAUUGAAAUUGAAACAUAAAUAUUAAACUCGUAUUUAGCAACAACAUAUAUUAAUUUAUUUCUCAUGCUCAUUUUCAAUCACACAUUCGCAUAAUAAAACGUCCAUUUGGCCCCAUUAUUCUCUAUAAUAAUGAGAAUUUGAUUUUAAAAUAAUAAUUUUUUAGAGAAUAUGUGAUUAAAAAUGAAGAAAAAAUUUAGAGUUUAUGUAUAAUAUUAUGAAUUAUGCUAUAUGUACACCCCCCUCCUCACAAAUAAUUGAACAUCAAUCACUAUAGGAGGUGGGAACUGCAUGUGUUGAAAACGUUGGCAUCUUAACAUGAGAAAUAAUUGCAAAUAAUUGUGAUCAAUCCAGCCUUUAGCCAAAAUUUAAUUGAAUCACUCAACCUUUUACAUAGGUGAUAAAGGCAGUAAGACCAAGCAAGGUAAGGGUUUGGGAGAGGUUGUAAUAUUUUAUUAUUUUUAUUUUUCUUUAGUUCUUUGUUUGAUGAAGUUUUGAUAAAAAAUUUCAACUUUUUAACUGAUUAAAUUUUAGUUUUAAACAAAUAUUUCAUGCAAUCCAUAACUUUAUUUUUUUAUCAACUUUUUAACGACAUAUUACAUUAAUUUUUACUAAAAAUCUACUAAAAAUUUUCUUAAAAGUUUUGUGAAAAUAAAAAACCCUUAAAGGUGUGGGGGAGCACCAAGGACGAUUCAUGAUUUUCGUGUUAGUAUUAUAUUUUCUAUUAUAUAUCCAUGUAAACUAGCAUAUAUAAUGCAAAGCUUUUGAAAGAGUUCUUUAUUUUCUAUUGAAAUCAAGCCCUAUUUAAUUUAACUAGAAAUUAGUUUUGAUAAAUUUUGACAUAAGUUGAUCAAAUGUAUAGUUGAAAAAAAUUGCUCAAAAUUGUGAAUCCCUUAAAAUAAGUGAUUAAAAUUAAUCGUUGAUUUUAAGUUAAAUUUUUAUUAACCUUUUUAACUUCCAGAAAGGAGUAAAGUAUUUUAUCCAUGUCCUCUAUUUAAACAUGGUGUAGAAUAUAGAUUUUAAUUUGGACUUUGGAUAAAAAGGCGAGUUGCAUCACUAUGCAAAUUUAGAAGAAACCAAACCAAACCAUUGGUCCGAGUCAAUACUUCACGCGGUAGGAUUGAAAUCUAAAAGAAUAAAUCAAUAAUGAUGGUGAUAAUGGUGGGAUCAAUUAUCAAUACUCAAUAUUGGUGGGGUCAAUUAUCAAUAAUGGUGGUGAUAAUGGUGGGGUCAAUCAUCAACAAUCGAUCCGAGAAAAAAGCACGUGUUGGUUCCUUUGUUGCUUCCUCUUAUCAUUUCUUGAUUUUUUUUUAUUUUUCUUUAGUCAAUAGAAAUAAUAAUAACUUUACAUGUAGAUAUAAAUCAAUGUGAUCAAUCCAACCUUUAGCCAAAUUUUAAUUCAAUCAUUCAACUUAAUUUUAUUACUUCUAAUAAGUGUUCGUUACAAUUCAAACACUUAUAUAACAGUUGAACUCAUAAACUUGAAGUUAUGCUUUACUUGAUUAGAAUAUUUGAUUGAGUUAAAAUUCCUUAAUUGAAUUUGGAACAUAAAUAUCAGACUCGUAUUUGGCAACAAUAUAUAUUAAUUUAUUUAUCAUACUCAUAUUCAAUUACACAUUCACACAAUAAAGCAUCCAUUUGACCCCCAUUAUUCUCUCAUAAUAAUGAGAAUUUGAUUUUAAAAUAAUAAUUUUUUAUAGAAUAUGUGAUUAAAAAUAAAGAAAAGUUCUAAGUUUACGUAUAAUAUUAUGGAUUAUGCUGUGCAUACACUUUUACGUUGACACCCCCUCACAUGGAGGGGGUGUAACGGUGUACACAUAAUAUAAACCUAAAAUUAUUUUAUUGGAGAAUAUGUGGUUGAUAAGAAAAGGGAAAAAAUGAAUUAUAAUUUAAUAGAGGCAAAACGAGUAGAAAAUAUUAUAUACAUAAACUCAAAAUUUUCUCCAACCCCACGCAUUUUCCAAUAAAUGCUAUUCAAAUCUAUGUUUUUUGAAAUUUAAGACCACCAAACCAUGGCCAAAGUAUAUUUGUGACCAACUUUACAUAUGAACAAUAGCUUUUGGUAAAAUAUGUGCUAUCAAAAUUUAUAAAUUUUAUAACAAUUGUCAAUCUCGUUAACAGAAUUACUACGUAACUCAGAAUUAAUUUACUCGAUUUGAAAUGACCCUAAUAAAAGUUUUUUGAUUUGAAGUCUCCAAAUAUUUGUCGUGUGUAUGUCUUUUGUUGAGUCAUUUCGUAUCAACUAAAAUUUUUGAAAUCUUAAAAUCAAGAGAAUUUUGUUGGAGUCAAAGUGAUAAUUUUAGAAUACUGCAACUGCAAUUUCCCUUUAACUUAUCCCACCAAAAAAUGAACUCACACAUCAACAAAUUCUACCUAUAUUUUGCAAAACACGAAAAUCUUCUUGAUGUCAAUAUUGAAAAGAAAAAAAUAAAAUAGUUAUUCAAUUGUGUUCCCAGGCAAGCUGUUCAAUGGAAUACUGGUUGAAAACAAUUUACAGUUGAUAAUGAAAAGCCUUUCUUCUAUGCUAAUUCUUAAGGAGGGGUGGGGGGUGGGGUGGGGUGACUGACUAAAGCAAAAAUCUCCAUAACUUAUCCUGCAAACUAAGCACAAUCAGGAACUAGUCAGAAACAUAAAAAUAUCAAAAAAUGAAUAAAUAAAUAAAAAUUAGGAUAAUAAAUUGAACUCGAAUAGAGGUAAAUAUCAGAAAUGUUUAGAGCAAUACAGAAAGCCAUCUACAAAUGUUGAUAAUGAUGGGGUCAAUUAUCAAUUCACGAAAAAAGCACGAGUGUUGGUUUCUUCGAUGCUUCCUCUAUCAUUUUCUUUUAAAUUUUUAUUUUUAAAAAUUAUUAAUUUAUUUGGACUUCAUUAAAAUUAUAAUCUAUUUUUUUAGUUUUUUCUCUAUCACACAUUCUUUGAUAAAAUAAUACUAUACGUAAAUAACAAAAAUUUCCUUCUUUUUUAACCGCACAUUUUUCAAAAAGUAAUUAUUCCAAAAUAUAUUUUUCUCAAAAAUUUAUUAAAGUAGAGCGCAAACUAUCAAUACAAGCUUCAGCCAAAAUUUAAUUGAAUCACUCAACUUAAUUUAUUGCAACUAGUCAGUGUUUGCCACACAAACAAUGCAAUUUUAUAUAAAGUUGAACUAAUGGACUCGAUGUCACACUUCAGUUGAUUAGAAUUUCUUUAGACGUAGUUAAAAGUCCAUUAAUUGAAUUUGAAACAUGCAUAUUAAAAUUGUAUUUGGCAACAGUAGAGUAUAUUUGUGACCAACUUUACAUAUGGACAAAAGUUUUUGAUAAAAAGUGUGAUCGAAAUUUAUCAACUAUCUUUCAAUAAUUAUUGUAUACUGGAUAACAAAAUUACUAUGUAACACUAAUUAAAUAUUCAAUCAAUAUAUGGCAUGUCGAUGAGUAUAAUUGUAUUAUUUAGUUAAAUUUGUCAAUAAUUGAAGGCAAAAACAUAGAAGCCUAAAAGAUGAAAGGUCGGCAACCACACAAGGCUCAAUCAUCGGAUUAGUAUGUGGGUUCAAUCAUCUCGAUUGGAAAUCAUACUAAACGACCUUUGUCAAGAAUUAAAGCCUGCCCUCUUUUAAUGAAACCCCCUUUUCCAGCUGGGCAAUGAGCAAUAGUUCGACCUAAAUAACUCAUGAACAUAUAUAAAAUGUUGUAUUUUAAAUACUUUCAGAGUACUUUUUUUUAUUUUAAAAGAAAAUGAGAGUACUUAAACAACAACUCCCACUAACUAAAUACCACUUAAUAAAUAUUAUUGAUUUAAUAAAUAUAAUUUAGAACAUAAUAAGUUUAAAAAUAUUUUUAAUGUUUUUUACAAAUUUAUUUUAAGCAUUACAUAAAAAAAUAAAAUUAACUAUCUAAAAAUUAAUUUAUUUAUAUUGAAAAAUAAAAAAAAAUUCAAGGAUCAAACUGCAAUUUUUAAAAUUGAAAUCGGGUCCCAAACGUGCCCUUACGUGUGGGACCAAUUUGCAAUUAUGUAUUUUUUAAAUUAAUAAAAAAAUGGGGGACAUGUCACUGUCGCCACACUGUUCUAGAAAAAAAAUUUCUUAUUCAUCAUGCGACUAAUUUCGACGUUCUGAGUCAUUUGUGUAGUCAAAUAUGAAGGAUGUUUGGUAAGAAUUAAAAUUAAAGUUUUAAGUAGAUUGUGAUAAAAUUCUUUGAAAUGUGUGAUUAAAAAGUUGCGGGAUCCAUAAAAGAUGUGGUCAAUAUUGAUUGUUUGAUUUAGACUCGAAUUAAACUCAGAUUUUAAUCAAAGCCAAACAUGGACAUGACAAAAUCAAUUUUUGAGGUUGCAUUUGGGACAUCAACAGAUAUGGAUGAGAGUAAAAAUGGCAAAAGUUACUGUUCAUUGUGUUUAAUUUCAUGCAAAAUUCUCAGAUUUUCGAUGAAAUUUCAGGAGGUCAUAACCUUUUUAUUAUAAAAGCCAAAAUUUUAAUGAUCUUCAUACUGUUGGAAAUGUAUCAAGAAGAUCUAUUCAACCAUACUAAACGUGAAGCAUGAAAUGAAGUGUAAAAGAAGUUAUCGUAUGAUAAAGUUUUAUUAAAGAAACCGUGAAAUAUGAAACACAAUAAAAUAUAAGAGUUAAUAAAAUCUAAUAAGUUGUUCCAAAAUUCAAAUGCCCCCAGUCAAGCUCAUCUUUUAGGUUGAUUUUCUGAGGAGCAACAACCAUGUCUGGAUUGUGUACUCUUAUCCAUUACAUAUUUACAAGAAACUAUACUAUUUGAUGGAUCCAUUCAGUUCUUGUCAAAUGUAUCAUGCCAGUCCCUUUCCUUUUGUAUUGCCUUUCACAUUUCCUUUUCCCUUAUAGAUUGCUACAUUGACUAAAGUCUCGACUUUUUCAUCAGAUAUCCAAGAUAGACUCUAAAACAUGGGAGAGAAAUCUUCAUUUGCAUCUUUGGCUGUCGGUUUAAUCAAAAUAAUGCUACUGGAUUCACCAUCGCCAAAAGCUCCACUAGAUUCUCGUUCUUUGAUCCACUCGAAAUAUUCACAUUAAGCACUACAACAAUUGAAUAACCUGUUGGAAUGCGGAAGCGGAAUUAUCCGGAAAUUAAAAAUUUCUUUAAUUAAAAAAUAAGAUCGUUUAGAUGUUCACGUGUAUAUUAUACCAAAAAUAAAGAAUUCGAAUUUUUACUAAAUUUGAUGAUCAAUUAUUGUUAAUUUUGAAUCACAAACUUCCAGCUUUUUAAUUCCAAGAAUUUGAUACUUCAAAACUCCAAGUUUUCUAUGGUAUUCUCUAAAGUCAAGACUACAUCGGAAGGUGGGCACUUUUUUUUAAUUAAAUCAAGAAACUAAUUCUUGAAUUAGACAAUUGAAGAAUUAAGAAAAAUAAUUUUUCCCUGUCUCCAAAAUUUGAAUACCAUGGAAUUAUGUAUUAUGAAUGUUGUAAAAUUCUAUUCCGUAGGAUGUCUAGGUUCCAACUAAUCUCUAUUUAUAGAAAUAAAAGAGUUUCAAUCCUUAUACAAUAAUAAUUCCACAUUCAAAUAGGAGUUCUAAUUAAAAUCCAAGUAGGAGUAUAAACUAAAGUCCAAAUCCAAUUAGUUUACAUUUAGUUAUAUGUGUAGACUUAGAACUUUAAUUAUAUUUAUAAUUAAGUUUACAACUUUCAUAGUAAUUACAACUAAGUAUAAAAUUUUAUUGUAAUUAUAAUUUAGCCCAAAACUAUUAUAAUUACCUUAAUUAAGUUCUAAUACUUCAUCGAGCUACCACAGGGACCAGAUUGGACAUAUAUUAUCCAAACUCCAAUAAUUAGAUCAUAUUUAGUUGAACCAAGACCACCCAAUCCAAUUGUUAUUCUUGAUUUUUCCACUAAAGGCAAAAGACUGAACUUUUGAAAUAUAUAAGAUUACAGAAGCCAAUAAAUCUGUAAUACAUUCCUAUCGUAUAUGUAUUUUAUCCCUGUUCGAGAUCUGAUAAUUAGGUAUGAGCAUAAAUAACCGUUUUGCCAAUCUAAUUAUACUCACUAACUUAGGUAUCAUUUUCUUCAACGAUCCUGUGAACUAAUCACAGAUGUCGAAGUUUAGCCAUCGCUAAAUACUGAGCUUUAACCGUUCAAAAGAAAAUAUUUAAACAGUCACUCUACCCAUUUUUCAGGGUGAUAGUUCCCAACAAGAAUUCACGUUCCCCACUCCGCUCAUUCUCAAGUUUCCAACUUAUCGAGAUAUUUGACCAAUCUAAUUGAUUUCACCCAUUGAUAACCAUUAAAAUCACGAAAAUAUAUACAUGAUCAUGUCAAGGGAUUUAAAUGAAAUACAUAGCGUCAAGUGGAAUUUAAUUCUUCACACGAUCAUGCUAUAGAAUUAAAUUCGACACGCGAUCCGUUCAAUACACUCCAAGUGUACUAGUGUCACCUUUAACUAUUUAUGUGAUAAUGACAAAUCACAAACCUGAAAAGUGAAUCGGUCUACACUACAACCUUCUAGUACAAGACGCCAACCCUUAUACAUUGGUUGUGAACAAAUUAUUUAUGAUCAAAUUAUAAGUUGUGCUACACUGUACUUCUCAACACAAGUACCCAACUGAUCAUUGGGACUUUAAUUUGCAGGCUCAAUAAUAAAUAAUGCAAUAAAUAUAUAAAACAACAAUUGUGGUAAAUGGAAAGUCCAUUAAAGUUUAUUGGUGAAUGACAUUUGUACCCCUGUAGCCCUAGAAAUUAUUAUCAUUGUAUCCCUGAUUCUUAUCUAUAAAUAUAGGGCUUUAGUUUUCAAUAAUACACACAAAAUGUUUAUUGAAUUUUCUCUAUUCUCUUUGAGUUUUCUCUAUUCUCUUUUCCUCUCAUUUUAUAACACGUUAUCAGCACGAAACUCUUAGAAGGUAGUAAUUUUUUUUCAUAAUCAUCUAUCACAUAUAUCAAAAUUAAUUUGAUAAUACGUGAAUUUUACAUAUACAUAUGUUGAAUCUGCAAUACGUGGUUUCAUCUUUCUCGAUCAUUAUGUUUUCUUUGUACCUUUCUUUGAAUUAAUUAAUAUUUUUUCCUUUACAUCAAUCCAAGUGCAUUUUUAUGGAGAUAUAUUUAAGUUAAAUCAAUUGAUAUGUAUUAAUUCAUGUUCCUAUACCCUCCUUAUAUUUAAAUUAGCCCUUUACAUUCUACACAUGUUUAUAAUUUUUUUUUGUUUAAUUGGUCAAUGUUCUUUGUAAGCAAGCUUCAAUUCCAGAUCUCUAUUUUGGCUGACUCCAUAUAUAUAUAUAACAUACAAUUAAAAAAUAACUGUACCCAACUCAUCUUUUCUCUCAAAUCCAUUGGCUUCUGCAAAUUUCAUGCCUUAAUUGGUUAAUACUAAUUCAAUUCUUUUAAUUGCACAUAAUUAGAAUUUCGUGCCAUAAUAUGUGAAUAGGUUUCUACAUGUCAUCAAUUUUUUUGUGUUUCACUUGACUCACGUUAUUAAUUCAAAAUAAUAUUUUACAUGUGUUUGUAUAUUAAUUAAUGGUGAGCAAUUGGAUGUAUUAUCAUUUUUUUUAUGUUUAGUUAUGAAACAUUACAUUAAAUUUAUUUUUAAUUGUUGUUGCUCCUGAAGUAGCACAACAUUAUAAUUAAUAUUUCAGAAGAAUAUUAAUCAUAGAUCUAUUCGUUGUUGCUCCAGAAGUAGCACAACAUUAUAAGAAUAUUAUUUGCUGCUGAAGAGCAUAAAUUAUAACUCUCAAUAUUCCAGAAGAAUAUUAAAAAAUUACACUUGAAGAAAUAAUAACAAAAUAUAAUGUGCUUCAGAAGUAGCAUAUGUUUCAAAGAACAUAUUAUUUCAAAUUAGUGUUUAUCCCUAGAGGAAAACACGUAACUUAAAGUCAUGUUGAUAUCGACUAUUUGAUUAACAUGUGAUGAUUAAUCAUAUUCUUCGAAACUAAUUGUAUUUUUUAUUGUGUAGUUAAACAAAUGGCAAACAUUACGAAACUUGAGUUUGCUACACUUGACAUAUCUGGUAAAAAUUAUUUGUCAUGGAUACUGGUUGCUGAUAUCCAUCUCGUCUCAAAGGGUCUGGGAGAGACAAUAAAAGAAGGAAACAAUGAAUCCCUGCAGGAUCGUGCAAAAGCACUCAUUUUCCUCCAUCACCAUCUUCACGAUGGAUUAAAAAUUGAAUAUCUCACUAAGAAAGAUCCACAAGUUCUUUUGAAAAAGUUAACUGAAAGAUUUUAUUAUUAGAGGACUAUAGUCCUCCCCAAAGCACGUUAUGAGUGGAUGCACCUUCGUUUGCAAGACUUUAAAACGGUUAGUGAGUACAAUUCUGAAUUGUUCAGAAUAUGUUCAAAGUUAACUGUGUGGAGAAAAAAUCACCGAUGAAGAUACGCUGGAAAAAACUUUCUCCACCUUUCAUGCCUCGAAUGUGCUCCUGCAGUAGCGAGCGUGGUUUCAAAAAGUACCCAGAACUUAUAUCUUGCCUACUAGUUGCUGAACAAAAUAAUGAAUUGUUGAUGAAAAAUCAUGAAUUACGUCCAACUGGUUCUGUACCAUUGCCUGAAGCAAAUGGUACUACAUUGUCUGGAGCAAAUACAAUAUCAAGACAAGGACGUAGACACGGACGUGGAUGCGGAUGUGGACGUGGACGUGGACAUGGAUUUGGACGUGGACACGGACACGGACGUGUACGUGGAAUAAAUCAUGGAAGAAAUAAUCAACAAAGUUAUCAACAACAAGGCAAUAAAUUCAAAAGGUACAAAGCAAACGAGAGUGACAAAUCUAAAAAUGAGCAUGAAAAAAGUUGCUUCAAAUGUGGAAUGAAAUGGCAUUAGGCACGUACGUGUCGUACCUCAAAACAUCUUGUGGAUCUCUACCAGAGAUCAAUCAAGGGAAAAUAAAUGGUUCAGAUAGUGCAACUACACAUACUAUUCUUCAAGACAAAAAAUGCUUUUUGGACUUAAUAUUAGCUAAAAAUAAUCUUAACACGAUAUCGGGUACGUCGAAUAUAGUUGAAGACUCCGGAAGAGCUUGUAUUAUUAUUGUAUUAUUUUACCAAAUAAUACAAAAUUAUAUAUUGACGAUACACUUUAUUCUAACAAAUCCAGAAUAAAUUUGCUUAGUUUUAAAGAUAUUGGCUGCAAUGAAUAUCACAUUGAGAAGAUACAAGAAAAUAAUGUUGAAUAUCUUUGCAUCACUUCUUUUGUAUCUGACAAGAAGUAGAUAAAAGAAAAUUUUCAUGCAUUCCCGUCUGGCAUGUAUUUUACAUUUAUAAAAAUGGUCGAAUCAAAUAAUGUUACGAACCAGAAGUUCGUUGAUUCAAAAAGUUUUAUACUUUGACAUGAUCGACUUGGACAUCCAGGAGCCAUAAUGAUGCGUCGAAUAAUAAAAAACUCACAUGGACAUCCUUUAAAGAACCAGAAGAUUCUUUUAUCUAAUGAUUAUCCAUGUGUAGCUUGUUCGUAAGGCAAGUUAGUCAUUAGACCUUCAACUACAAAGGUCAAUAUUGAAUCUCCAACUUUCUUGAAAAGAAUACAUGGAGAUAUAUGUGGGCCAAUACACCCACCAUGUGGACCAUUUUGUUACUUUAUGGUAUUAAUUGAUUCUUCUACAAGAUGGUCACAUGUUUGCCUACUUUUAACUAGGAAUGUAGCAUUUGCUAGACUACUUGCUCAAAUCAUAAAAUUGCGAGCACAAUUUCCCGAUUACUCAAUCAAGACUAUUCGUCUUGACAAUGUUGGUGAAUUUAGAUCACAAGCAUUUGAUGAUUAUUGUAUGUCAAUUGAGAUUGAAAUUGAACAUUCAGUUGCACAUGUUCAUACACAAAAUGGUUUAGUGGAAUCGUUUAUUAAACGUCUACAACUUAUUGCUAGACCAUUACUUAUGAAAACAAAACUCUCAAUUUCUGUUUGGGGUCAUGCCAUAUUACAUGCUGCAUCAUUGGUUCGUAUAAGACCAACUGCCUAUCAUCAAUAUUCACCUUUACAACUUGCAUUUGAUCAUGAACCAGAUAUUUCUCACCUACGGGUUUUUGGUUGUGCUGUCCAAGUUCCUAUUUCACCCCCACAACGUACUAAAAUGAGUCCCAACAAAGACUUGGGAUUUAUAUGGGUUUUGAUUCACCAUCUAUUAUUAGAUAUCUUGAACCUUUAACGGGUGACUUAUUUACUGCACGUUUUGCAGAUUGUCAUUUUGAUGAAAUGACUUUCCCAACUUUGGGAGGAGAAAAACUACAUCCUGAAAAACAAGAUAAAAUUUCUUGGACUGAGACAACUCUAUCUCACUUUGAUCCCUGCAGUAAUCAAUGUGAACAAGAGGUUGAAAAAAUCAUUCAUUUGCAAAGAGUUGCAAUUCAACUAUCUGAUAUAUUUGUUGACACGAGAAAAGUGACAAAGUCAUAUAUUCCAGCAGAAAAUAUUUCAGCAAAAAUUAAUUUCCCUGCAGGACAAUCUGCUGUGGCAAAUGAAUCUCAAAUAUUCCAGAAGCAUCGUCGACCAGUUGGUUCAAAAGACUCUGUACCUCAAAAAAGAAGAGUACAGGAGAAAAACCAACCAAAAACUUCAGAAGAAAUUACAUUAGAAAAGAUUGAUCAAUCAAAUAUUGAAUGUACGGUUCCUGAAGAACUAGAGGUGUCCGAAAAUAAUGAGAUCUCAAUAAAUUAUAUGAUAUCUCAUAAAUUAUGGGAAUGGAAUAAUAUUGUUAUAGACAAUAUUUUCGCCUUUAACAUGGCUCUUGAUAUUAUGCAAAAUGAGGAUCCUGAAUCACAGUCUGUUAAUGACUGUCGAAAUAGAAAUGAUUGGCCAAAAUGGAAAGAAGCCAUACAGGCAGAACUGAAUUCUUUAGAGAAACGAAAAGUGUUUGGACUAGUAGUUCGAACACCUGAAAAUGUAAUCCCUGUUGGAUACAAAUGGGUUUUUGUACGAAAGAGAAAUGAGAAUAAUGAAAUUACAAGAUACAAAGCCCGACUAGUGGCUCAAGGUUUCUCCCAAGACCGGGAAUUGAUUAUGAGGAAACAUAUUCUCCCGUAAUGGAUACCAUCACUUUUAGGUUCUUUAGUUUGACCGUGUCACAAGGGCUUGAUAUGCGUCUUAUGGAUGUAGUAACUGCCUACCUAUUGGUUCACUUGACAGUGACAUAUAUAUGAAAGUCCCUGAAGGAUUUAAGGUGCCAGGAAUAAAUGAUACAUGUCCGAGAACUAUGUUCUCAAUUAAAUUGCAAAAAUCAUUAUAUGGAUUGAAACAAUUCGGACGCAUGUGGUAUAAUCACCUCAGCGAAUAUUUGUUGAAAGAGGGUUAUAAAAAUGACGAUAUUUGCCCAUAUGUUUUCAUAAAGAAAACAAAUAUUGGAUUUACAAUUGUGGCAGUUUAUGUUGAUGAUUUAAAUUUAAUUGGAACUCCUGAAGAGCUGAACAAAACUGCAGAUUAUUUGAGAAAUGAAUUUGAGGUGAAAGAUUUGGGAAAACCAAAUUUUGUCUUGGAUUACAAAUUGAACAUUUGCCAGAGGGAUUAUUUGUUCAUCAAUCUACUUAUACAAAAAAGUCUUGAAACGCUUUUAUAUGGAUAAUGCACAUCCAUUGCCAUCACCUAUGGUUGUUCGAUCACUUGAUGUGAAAAAAGAUCCAUUUCGUCCACUUGAAGAUGGAGAAAAGAUUCUUGGUCCUAAAGUACCAUACCUUAGUGUAAUUGGAGCAUUAACUUAUCUUGCAAAUUGCACUCGACCUGACAUAGCUUUUUCUGUAUAUCUCCUUGCAAGAUAUAGCUCUACACCAACUCAAAGGCAUUGGAAUGGUGUUAAACAUAUUUUUCCUUAACUAAAAGGUACUAUUGAUAUGGGACUGUUUUAUUCUCCAAAGUUAGGAUCUGCUUUAGUGGGAUAUGCAGAUGCAAGUUAUCUCUCCGAUCCACAUAAAGCUAAAUCACAAACAGGAUAUGUGUUUACACGUGGAGGAAUAGCUAUUUCAUGGAGAUCUGUGAAGCAAUCCUUGACAGCAACAUCUUCAAAUUAUUCUGAGAUUAUUGCAAUCCAUGAAGUAGAGCGAGAAUGUGUAUGGUUGAGGAAUAUGACCCAUCAUAUCCAAUCAUCAUGUGGAUUGACUUCAACAAAAGAUAAUCCAACAAUUUUGUUUGAAGAUAAUGCAGCUUAUAUCGCACAACUCAAGGGAGGCUAUAUCAAAGGCGACAAGACGAAGCAUAUUUCUCCAAAAUUCUUUCAUACACAUGAACUUCAGAAGAAUGGUGACACUGAUAUUCAACAAAUUCGCUCAAGUGACAAUGUGGCUGAUCUAUUCACAAAAGUGUUGCCAACAUCUACAUUCAAGAAAUUAGUUCAUGAGAUUGGAAUGCAUCGACUCAAAGAUUUUCAGUGAUCAACAUCAGGGGGAGUAGUUGUACUCUUUUUCCUUCGCUUAGGUUUUGUUCGAUUGGGUUUUCCUAGCAAGGUUUUAAUGAGGCAGUAUUUAAUUUUAAUACUGCAAAAUAACUGUACGCUUUUUCCUUCAUUUGAUUUUUUUCCCAUUGGGUUUUUAUCAAACAAAGUUUUAACAAGGUAGAUAUUUUGUAAUAUGUCAUUCAAGGGGGAGUGUUGUAAAUGGAAAGUCCAUUAAAGUUUAUUGGUGAAUGACAUUUGUACCCAUGUAGCCCUAGAAAUUAUUACCAUUAUAUCCCUGAUUCUUACCUAUAAAUAUAGAGCUUUGGUUUUCAAUAAUACACAUAAAAAGUUUAUUGAGUUUUCUCUAUUCUUUUUGAGUUUUCUCUAUUCUCUUUUCCUCUCAUUUUAUAACAACAAUUUAUUUAUUAUAAACAAUUAAUUUUUCAUACCAAAUAUACUGUAUGGGCACACAACCCAACAAAUCUCCCACGUGCCCUAGAGCAUAUGUGUCAUGUCUUGCAACCUCGUGUCAUUCAGGUGUCCCUCGAAAACUUAGCCGAUCGCCUUAGUAAAAUAGUCUACAAGAUUAUCUCAGUAGCAAUGUUACUGACAACUACAUUAUCUUUACCAAAUAUCUCUCUUAAGAGAUGACAUUUCCGUUCAAUGUGUUUAUCCUUCUCAUGACUCAUGGUUCUUUAACAUUUGCCACAAUCUCACUGUUAUCCCAAUGCAGUGUAGAGACAUGUGCAAAUGCAAGCACCACCACGAUGUCUAUAGGGAUUUCCAAGUCAUACAGCCAAUUUGGUAGCUUCAUAAGCUGCUACAUACUUGGAAUCAAUGGUGGAAUCAACAAUGCAUGAUUGCAUGAUAUUUAUCCAAAUAAUGGCCCUGCCAUAAAGUGUAAACAACAAUACCAAUGUAGACAUGUAAUAGUCUUCAUCACUCUGGUGGUCUAAAUCCUUUUAAUCUAUUGAAAUAAUAUCUAGCAACGAGCAUAUAAUUCCUUGUUCUCCUUAGGUACUAAAAGAUAUGCUUUAUCGCCAUUCAGCGUUUCAAUCCUAAGGCUUAGCAUAGCAUACAUGAGACUAAAUUACCAACGCAUAAGGCAUAUUUCUCAUGUAUCGAUCUCUUUAGGAGUCUUUGUGAACUAACCCUUGAAGAGUUGGAUUCGAUACUUGAGGGAAAAACCUUGCCUAGCAAAUCUGACAAGUAUCUUGUCAACAUAAGAGACUUAGUACAAGUCUAUUGUCUUUUUCUUUUGAUCUCUCAAGAACUGAAAAUUAGAACAUAGCUAGCUUCACUAUGCUUUCAUAUGAAACUAUUGGACCAACCAAGCUUUCGUAGACAAUAAUGCACCCACAUUAUUUCUAAUGGAUUAAAUAUCAUCUACAUAAGCACUAGGAAAAAAUACAAUUUUGUCUUGUAUCUUCUUACAGAUACAGGAUUUACCAAAGUUCUGAUUAAAAUCAAAUGUCUUAAUCACUUUGUCGAACCUCUAUUCCAAAAACUCGAUAAUCGAAGGUUUCGAUUCUUAAAUAGAUCGCUGCAUCCACAUCAUCCAUAAUCUCCUUAUAUGAAGUCAAACAAUCAACUUGUACCAUGGAGAUCACCAUAUUGGACUCUCCACUCAACUAGUACCUUGAAGGUGAAUCGAUAAUCUUCCAACUUUGUUUAAGGGACAAUUGAUCUAGGACUGGGGCAUCUUUGAAACGUAAUAUUUUAAUCAAUACUGACAUUACCAUUAGGCGACGCCAUUACCUCCUCAUUAUCUUCAACGUUCUAUUGAUUGAUUAGAUCAGAUGACUACUCAUCUUUCCCACUCAUACCACAUUGCCCAAGUUUUUACUUGACACCAUGGGAUGUCUGCCCUAGGUUGUGUUCCAGGAAUUAAUGAGAUAGAAUUGCUCCUAUUCAUUUCUUCCACCACGACCUUAUUAUUGGACUAUGAUCAUUAAUAUACUUAUCUUCUAGGACAGUUGUAUUUGUGUUAACAAAAACCCUCAUAUCUAGAGGAUUAUAAAUAUUAUCUCUUGGUAUUUUUAGGAUAUCCCACAAACAGACACAUCUCUAACCUAGACUCCAACUUUUCAGCCUUUUCUUUCAACACAUGUGCUGGACCCCUAAAUCUUGGAUAUGAUGCAAAUAGGACUUGCAUCUAUUCCAAAAUUUCAGGAGAGUCUUGAGAACAAACUUAGAAAAAAUUAAGUUAAGAAUAUAGCCAAUUGUUUUCAGUGUAUAUCCCAAAAUGUGAUAGGUAGAGUUGUGAAACUCUUCAUUGACCUAACCAUAUCUAACAAUGUCAUGUUUCUUCUUUUUGAAAACCAUUCCUUUUAGGUAUAUCAUGCUUAUUCAAUUAAGAAACAGUACCAAUUUCUAUUGAGUGUGCCUAAAUUCUUUUGAGAGGUAGUUACCACCUCGAUCAAAUUGAAGCAUGUUAAUAGUCUUACCCAAAUGUUUCUCGAUCUUAGUCUUAUACACUUUUGAUUUCUCAAAGGUAUUUGACUUUCAAAAUAUUAGGUAAAUGUAUUUGAAUAUAGAGUAAUCAUCUAAAUAUAAAGAAAUAUUCAUAAUUUCCCUUCCCAAGUGUAUUCACAGCUCCACACAUGUCAUAAUGCACUAGUUCUAAUACAUCUAUGACUCUAUUCUUUUGAUGAAAAAUGAUAUCUUGGUCAUAUAACCUUCCAAACAAGAAUUACAAACUGACAAUGGUUUGAACUUAACCGAGUUGAGAGAACCAUCUCUAGUCAAUUUUAUAUUUUGUUAAGGUCGAUUUGUCUAGGACGCCAUAUAUAUGUAUCACUAGUAUAGUGCGACAUUUUAUGGUAUACAAGACUAGCCUUUUUUAUUUUAUAUGCGGAAUAGUUUAAAAUAUAAAGACUAUUAAUCAGAUGGUCUUUAUUCGUUAAAAUGGACCAUUAAUCAGAUGGAAUGGUUUUAUAUUCCGUUAAAUUCAGUGGCCAAAACUCGACAUUUUAAAUUUCAGUGAGCAAUCGAAGAUAUGGACAUAAGUUUAGUGGCCAAAACUUGACAUUUUAAAUUUCAGUGGCCAAUAAAAAAUAUGAAUUUAAGUUCAGUGACCAUUGGAACAAUUAACUCAAGAAAAAAGCACUAGUGUUGGUUUCUUUGUUGCUUCUUCUAUCAUUUUUUUUCUUUUGUUUGAAAAUUAAGAAAAAAAAUAAAAGAAUAAAAAUUAUACGUAGAUAUAAAUUGUGAUCUGUCCAGCCUUUAGCUAAAAUUUAAUUGAACCAGAGGCAGAUCCAAGAAUAUGAUUUGGUGAGGUCGAGACAGAAUUAUGUAAAAAUUAUAGUUUAAAAACUUAAAAUUAAGGACUAAAUAAGUAUGUUGGCUAUGUUUUAAACUUAAAAAAUUAAUGGGUCUGCCCUGAAUUGAAUCCCCCAACUUUUUACAUGGCCGAUAAAGGCAGAAGAGUAGGCAAGGGUUUGGAAGAGGUUGUAAUAUUUUAAUAUUUCUUUAUUGCUUUGUUUGAUAAAGCAUUCAUAAAAUUUGUCAAGUUUUAAACCGACCAAAUUUUAUAUAUAUAUAUAUAUAUAACUUUAUUUUUAUCAACUUUUUGGCGACAUAUUACAUCAACUUUUAAUCAAAAUCUACUAAAACUUUAAUUAAAAAUUUUGUUAAACAAAAAUUAAGCACCAAGGAUAGUUCAUGAUUUUCCUGUUUUCUUUAUUUUCUGUUGAAAUUAAGCCCUAUCUAAUUUAACUAAAUUAAAUUUUUGAUAGAUUUUGAAAGAUUUUUAACUUAACCAAAGAGCGAAGUAUUUCACUAUUUCUUCUAUUUAAACAUGGUGCGGAAUAUAGAUUUUAAUUUGGACAUUGGAUAAAAAAGUGAGUGGCAUCACUAUGGAAAUUUAGAAAAAAUAAAAUCAAACCAAACCAUUGGUCCUUGUCAAGACCUCACAUGGUAGGAUUGAAAUCUAAAGAGUAAAUCACGCCAGUAACUAUGAUUCUUUAGACAGCAUAAAGUAAUAAUGAUCGUAAUUCCUCCAAUUUUCUUGAUUUAUAGGGUCCCACAUUCCACAAAUAUUUGAAAACGCUCAUAUCAAAACUGGAAAAACAAUUGGAAAUGGUCCCCUGCUUGUUUAAUUUUAUUAAUAAAAUUUUGAAUUCAGUUUAUUUAAAUAAGUCAUAUAUAAUUUAUAUGUGCAACCCUCCAAAAAUUUAAUAAUCUAAAUACAUAUAUCGGUUUGAAUAUAAUUUUUUACUUGACCAUGAUAAUAUCUGCUUAAGAAGUUAAUAGAUCAAGACCACAAAUAAAUUAGUCAAUUGACUUCAAUUUUACUAAACUAAAUGAACUAGAAAAAUAAGUCAUGUUGGGUUAAAAUCCAAAGAUCGAAAGGUAAGGAGCAUUUGUAUUGUUGGGAAAAUGAAAAUCCAACAAAACGGAAAAGAGAAAUAUAAAAACAUAAGCAUCAUCAUUCAUUUUCUUCUUCUCUUCAAUUUUCAAACAAUAUCCAAAUAACCACUUUAAUAACUUUCUCAAAUGGAUCAUUUUGAUGUAUUUUUGGAUUCAAUAAUAGUAAAAUACGACAAUCUUUUAUAAUAUUUGUUAUUUUAAAUAAUUAGUACUCAACGUGUCAAUUUGUUGUGCAUGUUGUGUUCAACUAUGUCUCAUAAUUUUCUACUCUGUGUGCUGGCAAACUUUCCAUAAUGGACGCAUUAAUUUUGCCAUCUACUCUUUAUUAAAGUUUCUACACACUGGUAGGUUUUCUUAUACUUUCCAAUUCCAACUGACAAAAAGAAAAUUAAGAAGAAUUUGGUCUGACAUUAAUAGGCUUUAUUUCGUUUGGUACAUUUUGUCUACUUUUCUCAUCAACUUAAAUUGAUAAUGUAUUCAUAAGACAAAUUAAUACUCUUUAUCGUAGAUCCUUCGAGCUUGUUUACAAAAUGGGUUGGAAGAUUUCGUUUGUGCUUUCUCUCUGCUUUGUCUACACAGUCUCUGCUCUUGCUCCUGCCCCUUUGGAAGGUAAAUGCUCAAAAAUCUUGUCUAUUUUACUUGGGAGUUCUUAACGUUCUAAUCUUUUCUUAUAAAGCUAGAUCUUUAUUAGUGCUUCUCUUUUCUCUGGCAUUUCUCGAAAUGAAUAAUGAUUUGCUCUGUUUCUCUGUUGUAUCCUUCUGGGGAUGUUUGUUGCAUCAUUUGCACAUUUCUUUAUAGUUUCUAUUAAUGUUUGGGCUUUCUCAACCAAGAGUGAUGAGGGUUCGAGUCCUGGGAGUCUGGGACAUGAUUUUGGAGAAAAAUGUACUUCCUGUGGAGUAUGGGUGUGUGUCUGAGAGAGAGUUUUUGAUAGUUCGGAUACAGAUCCUUCUGUUUGCACCAAUGGGAGGUUGAAAAAAGUCUUUCGUUUUGCUACUUCUAUGAUUUCUCAGGUCUACUUCCAAAUUGAAACUUUGAAGAGAAACCAAAGCCUACUGACAUAAAGAAAACAGUGCUGCAAGGGAAAUAUGCACUGCCCAAGUGGGAAAUCAAUGGCUUAGUCUAGUCUAUCUCUAAGGACCACAGCUCGGUGGAAUGUACUUUGCAGUAGCCCAUGGCCUUCACGCUGUGAGACUUGGAAACAAGGCCUCAAUUUCCCAAACAAUCCCUGUCAAAAAUGGCUCGACAUAUGCACUCACAUUUGGUGCAUCAAGAACUUGUGCCCAAGACGAGGUCUUGAGAGUGUCGGUACCCCCUCAAUCCGGGGAUCUCCCUUUGCAGACUCUGUAUAGUAGUAAUGGUGGUGACACUUAUGCUUGGGGACUCAAAGCCACUUCUAAUUCAGUGAAGGAGAUUUUUCAUAAUCCUGGAAUGCAAGAGGAUCCUGCUUGUGGACCUCUCCUGGAUGCUGUUGCUGUUAAAGAACUUUUCCCUCCAAGGUUCACCAAAGGUAAUUAUUUACUUUUCAUGACUAGCCUAAAGUUUUCAUAUUCUACUUCCUCAAAAUAGAUUGGAAGUCAAUUAUUCUUAUAUGUAUGGUACUAGGGAUUGGAAAAUGGAGUCAAAAAUAUUUUAUGUUGUCUUGUCUUAUGCAAUACUAUCGAACCAUUUUGCUGCACCAUUUUGAUUCUUGAUGUAAAAAUAUUCUGCAUUCUCUAGGAUGUAUACAUGUUUAAUUUUACAUAUCAAGCAUAAAUUGUUGCUAGUAAUUAAGCUUAAGCAUGGCUUAAGCAGCGAAUAGACGACUUCGAGUUAAUUUGAUCCCAAUUUCUUGCAGCUAACUUAGUCAAGAAUAAUGGUUUUGAGGAGGGGCCUCAUCUCUUGAUCAACUCUUCUCAUGAUGUCCUACUCCCUCCCAAACAGAAAGAUUUGAUAUCCCCACUUCCCGGUUGGAUCAUCGAAUCUGUUAAAGCUGUCAAGUUCAUAGACUCAAAGCAUUUCAACAUCCCCUUUGGACGAGUAGCAGUAGAACUAGUUGCAGGAAGAGAGAGUGCCAUAGCCCAAGUAAUCAGAAAAGUCCCCAACAAGGUCUAUAAUGUUGCAUUCACUGUAGGAGAUGCAAAGAAUAAUUGCCAUGGAUCGAUGAUGGUCGAAGCAUUUGCUGCUAAAGGAACAAUGAAAGCUCCCUUCAAAUCUGAAGGAAAGGGGAAGUUCAAGACUUUCAAGUUCCAGUUCAAAGCAAUCUCGCACAGAACCAGAUUAACCUUCUUUAGCUCCUUUUACCACACAAGGACCAAUGACUACGGGACUCUUUGUGGUCCUGUCCUUGAUGAAGUUUGGGUUUUCACUGCUAUUUAGAUUUCAAUCUAUCUGCAUCAAGCUCAAAGAAGGCAUGUGUUGAAGAGUAUCACAGAAUUAUAGCAACGGUCAUUUGUCAUCUUUUGUAAUGUAGGUUAAACAUUAAUGAGGCGCCCUACAAUUCUGAUAUGUGAGAAGUACUAUGUAUUAGCUGUUUUAGGUCUGCUUGUGUCCCCCUUCAGUUGAUUUUUUGUUGGUUCAAAUGAAUGGUAUACAGAAAAUUAUUUGAUAACCGACAUAUUAUUAAUCUGGCUAAGUCAUUCUGAUAAUGCUAAGUUAGGCUUCAUCUUAAAAUGCUUUUUAACAUGAUAGCAAAGUAGGAUUUCCAUUCAAGUCUCGUUACUCAUUUAACAAAAUUGUUGUUCUGAUGGAAAUAAAUUAGGUUUACACAUAGAAGACUUGUCAAAUAAACAAGCUAAAAGUAUAAUUUCGAUAAAUUGAUAUGGAUCAAUUUACUAGGCGACCGCUAUCCUACUGGUUUCAAAUUUAGGAAGUACGCAUAUCAACCAAGGCAAAGUUGGGCAAUUAGAUUGAAUAACACAACAAAUGGUUGACUACUUGGAUUAACAUGGAAAGAUUCUCGGUCCAAGGAAACAUUGAUUAGCUUGACUAACACAAUCUUACAAACUAAUGUCUUUGCAGAAAAUGCGACUGGAGAGCAAAAAAUAUGGAGAAGUGGUAGCAACAUUAUUCCACCUCUAUUUGUGCUGGUGCAUGUGCUUGCAUUUGUAAAUUAUAAUUUGAAUAAGUAAAACAAAGUAAACUACAUUCUUGAAAUGACAAAAAGAAAUGAAGAAAUGAAAAAGGAAUAAUAGAUUUAUAAACCGAGGCUAGUGUUUAACACUAUGUCUUUAAGAUGAAUUUGUCCGCCAAUGUGCUCAUUGUGUCUUGAUAAUAGUCUUCCAAGAUGCAAUAGUUUCUCCUUAUAAUGGAAGCAAUUCAAACAACAAGAAAGAACAAAGUCGAGAUUGAAAAGAACUCUCUACUUUGAAUGAUCUUUUAUGCAAGAAAAUCAACGAUUUUGGAGUGUUUUGAUGCAAUGUAAUCAAAGCACAUGAAUUGAAAUGAAGUUAGACCAUCAAAGGAGUCAAUUUUAUAGAGGUUGACGUGCUAUGGCUUGGGAGACACUCCCCAAAAUUCAUCAGGUUUAACAAAGAGACACAGCCCUUCAAACAGCUAAUUGGUUGCUUCCUCAUGGCUCGAGUGUCUCUUUGAGAGACAUGGCCACUCACUACGCACAACGCAACUGCUCGAGCGAUCAAGUGAUAUGUCCAGUUUUUCCUUUUUUCUGCCUCACUUUGAACAUCAAUUUCUUAUUCAUCCAGACUUGAUUUUGUAAAUCCAAAUUAUCACGAUCAUCUACUUGAUGUUUACUCUAUUAAAACAUGAGAAUUAACCAUCAAAGCAUAUUCGAAUACUUGGUCAAAAUUGAUACAAAAUCAACAUUUUAUAAACUUGAUUCCAACAAUCCCCCAUAUAAAUGAAAUUUACUAGAAAUGCAAAUGAGAAUGCAGACGCGAGUGAAGAGUAUAAGCAAAAAGACAUUGUAUCACGAGAGGUAGCUUCUAACUUUGAACUUGCCUUGGUAAAAUUUUAUCGAAUUUACUUGGCUAAUUAGUGAACAUGAUAUAUUGAGCUAUUUAACAGUUGUUGUAAACUAAGAUAACAAUACUCACACUGUAUCUUUCCUAGCAAUUUUAAUUCUCAUGGCUAUGUUCAUUUUAGCUCUGAACCACUAUUGAGUUUUAUAAGUGUUUAGGAGAAUUUCACCUAAAAAAUUAUCAUAGAGGUGGCCCACUUUACACUUACAUCGGUGACCUCCUAUUGAGAGUAUUCUACCAUACUCCAUUUGACUUAAUCAACUUAUAGGAAUCAUUAAAAACUUAACUUAAUCUCAAACAUUCUGUAGAAAGCACUUUUAAUUAAAAUAGGAAUAAGUAGGAAAUAUUUCCUUAGUGCUUUAUGAAACCUUCAUAACUUAGUUAUCUUAUUGAACAAAGAUCUCGAGAUCUCCAGUCAACGAGUUUGAAUUACCAUUAUAAAGACUCUUAUGUAAUAAUCUUUAAUAUCAUUCCUUUCGAUAGAAAAUAUAUUUGAUCUCUAGGCAAACCUUUCGUAACCAGAUCCGUAAUAUUUUCUUUAGAUUUCACAUAAUUAAUGGAAAUAAUACCAUUUGGUAUCAAUUGCUUAAUGUUAUUGUAUCUACGACGUAUAUGUCUAGACUUAUUACUAUACAUGCUAUUUGUGCUCUUCGAAUAGUCGAUUGAUUGUCACAGUGUGUACCAAUUGCAGGUACUGGCAUAGGCCAACUUGGAAUGUCCUCCAAUAAGCUACUAAAUCACUCUACUUCUUCUCCAGCUUUGUCUAAAGCUAUUAACUCUGAUUCCACGUUGAUUGAGCUAUAUAACUUUAUCUUGAGGACUUUCAAGAUAUGACAACACCACUAAUGGUAAAAAUAUAACCAAUAGUAGACUUGAAAUCCUUUGUAUCGGAUAAUCAAUUCGCAUCACAAUAUUCUUCCAAUACAAUUGGAUAUCUUGUAUAAUAUAAUCCAAGAUUUAAGGUAAAUGUUAAAUAUCUAAAAACUCUAUUUAAUGCCUUCCAAAUGGUUAGUUGUUUGGAUUACUUUUGAAUCUACUAAGUUUAUUCAUCGCAUGCUAUACCCAAUCGAUUGCAAUUUUUAAUAAACAUUCGAUUGUCAUAACCUAUGAAUACUUUAGUUGAGACACCAGUACAACAUUAUUUUGACCAAGUGUAAACUUGAAUCAAUUGGGGUUUCACUUGCAACAUGAUUUUGACCAAUUGUAAACUUAAAUCAAUUGGGGUUUCCACUGACCUUUCCUCAUAUAGAUUGUAUCCUUUUAGUACGUUCUCAACAUACUGAGAUUGGGAAAGAAACAAUUCCAUCAUAUAUUCUAUAAAUUUCAAUUCCUAAUAUAACGUCUGCCAUACCCAUAUCCUUUUAUGGCGAAGUGUUUCAUCAAUAUUUUCUUUGUGUUCAUGAUGAUAUCAUGACCGUUACCCAUAAUUAAAAUGUCAUCAACAUAUAAACACACAAUUAUAUAUGACUUAGGUGUGUAUACACACUUAUUGCAUUCAUUAAUUUUAAAAUCAAUUCAUGAUAUUGUUAUGUCAAACUUUUUGUGUCAUUGCUUUGGAGGUUACUUCAAUCCAAAAAUAGACUUAACGAGUUUGCACACUUUUUUCUUGGUUAGGAGCAAUAAACCCUUCAGGUUGCUCCAUAUGUAUUGUUUCUUCUGAUUCACCAUUCAAAAAUAUCACUUUAAUGUCCAUUUGAUGAAUCUCAAUGUUUUGCAAUGCAACAAUUGCAUUCAAAAGUCUAAUCAAAGUGAUUCUUGUCAUAGAUGAGUAAGUAUCGAAGAAAUUAAGAUAUUCCUUUUAUCUAUAGCCUUUUGCGAUCAAUUUUCUUAUAUUUAUCAAUGGAUCCAUCUGGUUUCAAUAUCUUCUUGAAAAUCUAUUUACAACCAACUCUUGAGUAUAAUUUUACAUUAUGGAAUCCAUCUCACUAUUGAUAACUUCUUUCCAAUGCGAUUAAUAAAUAUAUUUCAUGCACUUAUUCGGGUUAUUUGCAAAUCUUUUAUGUCAUCAAAGUGUUAAUUUCCACUUAACUUAGGUUGAUUUUCUUUUAUUUUAAUAUUCGACCCGUCUCUAAAUAUUUAAAAAAUAAAAGGAAUGAAAGGAGAAUUUUACAACUAACUUGAAAAUUCAGAGACCAACGUGUAAAAUAUCCAAUAGUUGAUUCAUAACAUAAAAUUAUGAUUAAAUAUCACAUAGGAUUGAGGUCAAAGGAGUGAAUUAUAGUAAAAGUAUUUUCACAGAUUAAUUUUUAGCCGCACAAGCUUUGCUCCAUAUAUUUUCUUUGGCCGCAGAUUGAGACCCACUUUUAGUGUAGCAAACAUUUAAAUUGGAAAAUUAAUGUUUAAAAAGAAUUGUAGCCUUUUAGUUAGCUAUCCAACUCAUUUUGAACCAUCUCAAUUCAAUAUCAUGAUUGAAACUUAUGACUAAAAUUCUAAAAUACAGUUUCAAACAAUUGGAGUGGUUUGGGGGAUCACCCAACUAUAGUUGCCCAACCCGAAAACAUGGCAGCAGGCAUCAAUUUCAUAGCCUGGGUGAUUGCCCAAGUUUAGCGUAGGUAGUCUGCCGAGCAAAAAGCACCCAGAUCCAUUUUUUCGUACAGAAUUCUACUCCAAUAAGGAAAUCUUUCUUUAGGCUUUUCUUUGAACAAUGCUUUGAGAUCUUUGGGACACUUUUGAGAGGAAUAUAAAUAUGACUUAUCAACUUUAAAUUAGGGGGAUCAUAUAUACAAUUCUAUUCAUCUUUUUGGAGAAAAAUUAGGAUUUUCAUUGGAGAGUUCAUUCGGGUUGAAGAUCAAGCACGAAGAUGUAAUUAUACUAUUUGAUUUUCUUCUUUCCCAGGUUAAUAGUUCAAUCAUUUGUAUUUGUUUUUGUCUCUUUAUCAUGCUAGGCUAGAUUAUUUUCGGCCCCUAAGUUUUUGAUGAACCGUAAUAUGAAAUUUUAACUUUUGAAUUUUGUUUUUGAUAUUAAAAACCAUUUUGAAUUCUUCAGUGGUUGACAUAGAUUUAUUUUUCCCUACAAUUAUAUGUGUAAUAGUUUUAUAAGUUUUGUGACUUGUUUUAUGUUCAAAAAAUUGAAAGUAAGACAAAAUGUUAAUUGCCAUAAAAUCUGAUAGGGGAUAUGAUAUAUUGCUAUACUCUACGUGAUCUUUAAGGAUUAAAAAAUCCUUAAAUUAUUGUUGUAUACUCGCAUCCAUCACAGAAAUAUAGUCGGGGUUAAUAUAAGAAUAUUUAAUUCUAAUUUAGAGAAAUUGUUAAACAAAUUAGAAAUAUCAAUCUUUAUAAUUCAAUCAUGUUGUCAAAUUCAAAGGUUCGAGGUUAAAUAGGAUUCGGGAUCUUUGUACGCUUUUCAUCAUUAUAUUUUCAUCAGACUUGCAUUCAUUAAUUGAUUUAGGUCUUUCAUUCAUAAGUAGAUUAUUUGAUUAUUAUUUAGUUUUAGAAUAAUUACAAAUUUUCAUUGUUUCAGUUAAAAUUAAGUUAGUUUGAACUUGAAGUAAUACAAAUUCUGUGAGUAUGAUACUUACACUCAAAGUCCACUUUACUAUAUGUCAAUGAACCAUGAACUUGCGGUAUUACAAACAAAAGAAACAAUAUUUUUGUGAAAUUGAGAAAAAUUCCAACAAAUAAAAUAAGAGGAGAAGACUUUCCAUAACGAUGUCAUUCUUUCUUCGCCAAAAUUUUGGAUACGGACAUUGAACUCGAGAAAGUUUCAAUUUAAAGAAGAUGAGCAUGAAAAGAUCUAAAAAAUUAAUCAUAAAGGGCAAAAAGAAUUUGUAUUAUUCAAAGAAGAGGACAUUAGUAUUCAAUCCCUCAAAUUUAUCGUUUACUCAAAAAUUGAGUUUGUGAUUAAACCAUAUGAGGAGAUUUAGGUGUACAUUGUUGAGUUUGAAACUGGUGAUGAGGAAAAGUCAUACUACUUGAAGAAGGGCAAUGUUAAAAUUUGGAGAAAAGUUGCAAUAUAGAAGAAUGUCAAAUUGAGCAAGUUAAGCAGGAUUACCAAAGCCAUAUUCAAAUUGCCAUGAAACACUUGUACAAAAGUCUAGCUUGGGAAUAUAAACCAAGAACUUAAUGGGAAGUAACCCAUUUUACUGACCCUUAUCUUUUUAAUUUUAGUUAUUGCAUUACAUGUAGAUUUAGGAAUUGCAUUAGUGUUUAGGAGCAUACAUUGAGUUUAUGCAUUUACGUUUCUUUUUCAUCAUAAUUUAUCAGUUAAGGUUAGUUUUCUAAUUCUUCAUAGACAUCACACAAUUUAUUAGGAAUAUAUUGGUGUUAAAAAUUUUUAAAAAAAAAUGUGUUGGUAGCUUGGGCCCAACUUUAACAAUCGGGUGAUCGACUAAGCGGUUCAAGGGCUAGCAGGGUGAUCGCCCAAUGUUAAAGGAUAACAUAGUUGGCACUUCCAUUCAUGGCUUCUCUUCUCCAACAGACAUGACACUUUCACUUUCAUCUCUUUCACAUUUCAAUCUCAUCAUGAAUCCAUAAUUUGAGUUAUAAUUGAGGAGCACGGGCUUAGGUAAAUUGCAGUGUAUUGGAUUAUGCUGUGGUGUGAAAAUUGUCGUUUUGAUUCAAACUGUAACAUCUUCUAAUUUUUUGGGGGUUGCUAGAAGAUAACUUCAAUGUGUUUGACAAAAUGCCUAAGUAGAGAUUUGUAUUUAUGUAGGGCUAAUAUAGCAAUUGGCAUUAUCGAUACACAUUUGGGAUUUCUUUUAGUGCUGAAAUUAAUUGAAAAUAUAGUAAAGAACACCAAACCUAGUUAGCACCACCAUGACAUGACAUUAGCUUGACAUUUGCUAGGCAUCGUCUACUUUAUGUCACCAACUACGCUCCCCCUCAUCUAAUCCAAACAACCUCUGCUUGACCUCAAACUUGAACAUGAGUUAGAUUAACAUAUAAUCUUUCAGAUGUCCAAAGAUUGCUCCAAAAAAGUUCAUUAUUCCUUCACAUUUUUUGGUGAUGAAAGUCCUUGUUCGGUUUUGAGUAGAUUCAUGAAAUUGUUUCCUUUAUGUUAGUCGAGGGAAUGUGGACUAUAUUUUCAACAUCUAUUAAGCACAUACCCUAUAUCAUGAUAAAGAUUUUCGAGCAUGGCAUGAUUUUUAUGCUUUGGUACAUAAAAAUUGGCACAUAUUAGUAUAGUUUGGGAGCGUCUUUAUGUAUUAUGCUAAUAGCUUAUAUCCUCUAUAUAGUUACAAUGCCACGAAAGAGAAAAACUACCACUCUAUAGAAAGGAAAGUCCAAAGUGAGUGAGACAUCAACUUGUUGUAGGAGGAUGGAGAAACUCUUAACGAUGGAAGGAAGUUAAGUGGAGAUGAUUGACAGAAACGUAGCCCAGGUAACAGAGAUUGUCGAGUUCAUGAGGCUCACCACUUCAACUAGCCAACCGAACCAACUCGAUCUUUCUACUUAUGCCCCGAGGAGUUUAUGAUUCUUACUCCUUUAUUUUGAUUAUUUUCACGUUUAUAUUAGGAACAACGUAAUAUUUUUAUGUUGGGAUAGGUAAGUAUUAGGACGCUUAGGAUUUUUUUUUUCUUUCUUUUCAACUGCUUAUCGGGUUUGUAUAACUAUUUUAAUUUGAAAAAGAAAAAAUUUUUGAAAAAUUUGAAAACAAUGUCUAGUAUAGUGUCGAACAGCUUGCCGCCUAUGAUGAUUUUUAAUUGUUUGAAUUGAGUACAGCUUUAGUUCGAAAUAGACAACAUCAUAUCUUAUGCUUUUACUUGAGUACUUAUUCAUGUUAGACUUGACUUUUUGAGGACUUAGCUAUUACUAACUUGUUACUUUUGUUGGGACAUGAUAUUUUGUAGACUUAAUUGUUGAUGUUGUUGACCUAGGUUUGGAUAGAUUCUCUAACCCUUAACAUAAUAACCUAACUACUAGAAUCCCCAAAUCCUUAAAAUAGAAACAAAACUAUUCUUUUGAAGUAUGAGGUGGGAAGGUUUGUACUUGUAUUCAUAAAAGUUUGAUGGUUUGGAGUUCUAUGAUACCGCCUUUNNNNNNNNNNNNNNNNNNNNNNNNNNNNNNNNNNNNNNNNNNNNNNNNNNNNNNNNNNNNNNNCUUGGGGGGUGGGGGGGGGGGGGGGGGGGGGGGGGGGGGGGCACUAACCAAUUUUUAAAAUUCGAAUCACUUAUCAAAAAGAAGUAUGAUACAUCUUAUGCUUCUCUUAAUAAUUUUUAUGGCUCCAGUAAUUAAACUUGCUAGGGAUCUAAAACCUUGUUUUCUUUGGCCACCAAGUUAGGAGUCACUGUCUUAAACUGGGGUCAUUAAGAAGGCUUAGUAGAGAGAAGUCUUGCAAAUAAGAUGUCAAUAAUAAUAAUAAUAAUAAUAAUAAUAAUAAUAAUAAUAAUAAUAAUAAUAAUAAUAAUAAUAAUAAUAAUAAUAAUAAUAAUAAUUGAGAUUAUCAAUAAGUCAACAACACUUGAUUGGUUGUACUCUAAUAUGGGUGUGAGUUCAAUGUCGGCUAAUUAUGCACGCGAAAUCAAGCAUUGAAUAAGUAAAAGUUAUUUUUGAGGCUGUUUGGAUCUUUUUAAAAUGUUAACUUAAAUUCAAACCUGAAGCAUACGGGAAGUAGUUCAACGUGAGUCUGUUAUGUGUGAAUUGCUUAGGUUAGUAAUAUAUCUUAUGCCUAAGUUUUUUUUUUUUUGUUUUGUUUGAGGAAGAACAAGUGUUUUAGUUUAUCGGUAUUUGAUAAGUGCAUUUUGUGCACUUAUCGGACCAUAUUACUAAGUUUUUAUAUCAUCAAAGUGUUGAUUUUUACUUAACAAAGAUUGAUUUUAUUUUAGUGUUGAACCUGUCUCUACACACUUGAAAAAGAAAGGAAUCAAAGAAUGAUGGUUUUGCAACUAACUUGAAAGUUCAUAGAUCAACAUGUAAAUAUCAACUGUUGGAUUUGAACCUUCAAAUGAUGCUUGAAGAUAACAUAGGAUCAAUUGGAUGGACCUUGAAGUCAAAGGAGUACAUUAUAGUCAAAGUAUUUUGACAAAUCAAUUUCCAACAGCACAAGUUAUACUCCAUAUUUUCUACCUUAAAUUGAAACCCAUUUUUGGCAUAGCAAACUUUCAAAUUGUAAAGUUGAUAUUUCAAAAAUUGUAGCCUUUGAGUUAACUAUCCAAUACACUUUGAAUCAUCUCAAUCCAAUAUUUGAAGAGAAAGUUAUGACUAAAAUAUUAAAGUGAUGUUUUGAAAAAUUGAAGUGAACUGGGUGACCGCCCAAUUACAGGUUGGGCGACUGCAUAACCUCAAAACUUGGCAGCAGGCAUCAUUUCCAUAGCCUGGGCGAGUGCCCAAGUUAGAUCACCCAUGCAAAAAACUCCCAAAUCCAUUUUUUCAUAUAAAAUUAUACUCCAAUGAGGAAACCUUUCCUUAGGCUAUUCUAUAGACGAUAUUGAAUAUCUUGAGACACUUUGAGAGGGAUAUAAAUACAACUUAUUAACUCUGAAUUAGCGGGAUCAUAUAUACAAUUCCAUUCAUCUUUUUGGAGCGAAAACUAGAAUUUUCAUUGGAGAGUCCAUCUGGGUUGAAGAUCAAGCGCGAAGAUGGAGUUAUGCUAUUUUAUUUUCUUUUUCCUUGGGUUAUGAAUUCAAUCUUUUGUAAUAGUUUUUGUCUCUUUAUCAUGCUAGGCUAGAUUAAUUUUGGCAUCUAUGUUUUUGAUGAACCUUGUAUUAUGAAACUUCAACUUUUGAAUUUUAUUUUUGAUAUGUUCAAUUCUUGAAUGAUUGACUUAAAAUUAUUUUUUUCUACAAUUAUGUGAACAAUAGUUGUGUGAGUUUUGUAGCUUGUUUUACCUUCGAAAGAUUGAAAAUAAGUUACAUAUAGUUUCAAUUGUAGUAGAGUCCAAUAGGGAAUAAAUAAAUACCGUUAUACUCUAUGUGAUCUUUAAAUAUUCAGAAAUCCUUAAAACAUUCUUAUAUAUUUGCAUUCGUUAUAGAAAUAUAGUCGAGUCAAACGUAGGAACAUUUCUAGUCGAGAAAGAUUAUUAAACAAAUUAGGAAUAUUAAUCUUAAUAAUUGAAUUAUGUUUGUCAAAUUCAAAGGUUUGGGUUAAAAGGAAUUGAUAUAUAGGUAUUCAGGAUCCUAGUAUGCUUUUCAUCAUAAGAUUUUCAUCAAACUUGCAUUCAUUAUAACUUUGCAUUGAUUUUAUUUAAUUUAGGUCUUUCAUUCAUAAGUAGAUUAUUUGAUUAUAAUUUAGUUUUAGAAAAAUUACAAUUUUUCAUUGUUUAGGUUAAGAUUAAGUUGAUUCAAACUUGAGCUAGUACAAUAUUUGUGGGUUCAAUACUUUUACUGAUAAACUAUUUUACUAGUUGUUAACGAAUCGUGCACUUGGGGGUAUUACAAAUGAAAGAAACAAUAUUUUCAUAACAACGAUGCUUGUUAAGAGUAGAAAUGUUCCAUAAAAUGUCUUAAGAUCAUUUUCUACCAUAUAGGUUAAAAAAUUGGGACCAUAUGAUGCAGAUGUUCUAGCCCUUUUACUGUGCUUUUGUUCUUCACCACUUGGAGGAGUACCAUUGACAAUUUCAUAAGUUCGCUUGUUUGAACUUAUUUCUUGCUUGUCACUAUAAGAAAAGAUAUUUUCGAAAAAGUAAGCAUUUCUCGAUUCAAUGAUAGUGACUUCAUGUAUACCAAACUUAUGGACAAGAAAUCAAUACACUACUAUUACUAGCAUAUUCAAUAAAUAUGCAAUCAAUUGUCUUAUGCCCAAUUUUAACUUGUUUUAGCUUUGGCACUUCAACCUUAACGAAACACCCCCACACUUUUAAAUGUUUAUAAGAAGGUUGAUAACAUUUCCAUAAUUCAUAUAAAGUUUCAUCCAUUUUCUUUUCAGGCAUUUUAUUAAGAAUAUUUUUGCUAAAAAUCUAUUCACCCAAUAUGUUCUGGGCUAGGUCUAAACUUAUCAACAUAGUAUUCAUCAUCUUGUUAAGAGUUUGAUUUUUGAGUUUAUCAACACCAUUUGAUUGAUUUGAGCAAGAUGUCAUUGUUUAAUGAAUAAUGUCAUGUUGUUAACAAAUUCUUCAAGUGGUGCCCCGUACUCUUUUCCUCUAUCUCUUCGAACAUUCUUUAUUCAUUUACUAAGUUGAUUUUCAACUUCAAUGUUAUAUUGUUCGAAAAUAUUUGAAGUUUCGCCUGUACUAUUUAACAACCAGACGUAACAAUAUUUUAUGAUUAAAUAUCACAUAGGAUUGAGGUCAAAGGAGUAAAUUAUAAUCAAAGUAUUUUCACAGAUUAAUUUUUAGUAGCACAAGCUUUGCUCUAUAUUUUUUCGCCACAGAUUUAGAUCCACUUUUGGCAUACCAAACAUUUAAAUUGGAAAUCGAUGUUUAAGAAGAAUUGUAGCCCUUUUAGGUAGCUCUCCACUUCAUUUUGAAUUAACUCAAUUUGAACCACAGAUUUAGAUCCACUUUUGGCAUACCAAACAUUUUAAAAUUGGAAAUCGAUGUUUAAUAAGAAUUGUAGCCCUUUUAGGUAGCUCUCCACUUCAUUUUGAAUCAACUCAAUUCGAUAUCAAGAGUGAAAGUUAUGAUUAAAAUACUAAAACACGGAUUCAAACAAUUGGAGUGAAUUAGGCGAUCACCCAGCUAUAGCAGCCCAACCCAAAAACUUGGCAGUAGGUAUCAGUUUCAUAGCCUGGGUGAUUGCCCAGAUUUAGCAUGGGUAGUCUCCUGAGCAAAAAGCACUUAGAUCCAUUUUUUCGUAUAGAAUUCUACUCCAAUAAGGAAAUCUUCCUUUUAGGCUUUUCUUUGAACAAUGCUUUGAGAUCUUAGGGAAAUUUUUGAGAGGAAUAUAAAUAUGCCUUAUCAAUUUUAAAUUAGGGAGAUCAUAUAUACCAUUCUUUUCAUCUUUUUGGAGAAAAAUUAGGUUUUUCAUUGGAGAGUUCAUCCUGGUUGAAGAUCAAGCACGAAGAUGUAAUCAUACUAUUUGAUUUUCUUCUUUGCUAGGUUAAUAAUUCAAUCAUUUGUAUUUUUUUUUUGUCUCUUUAUCAUGCUAGGCUAGAUUAUUUUCGGCCCCUAGGUUUUUGAUGAACUGUAUUAUGAAAUGUUAACUUUUGAAUUUUGUUUUUGAUAUUAAAAACCAUUUUGAUUCUUCAAUGGUUGACAUAGAUUUAUUUUUCUCUACAAUUAUAUGUGUAAUAGUUGUACAAGUUUUGUGACUUGUUUACCUUCAAAAAAUUUAAAAUAAGUAAGACAUAAUGUUAAUUGCCAUAAAGUCCGAUAGGGGAUAUGAAUAUACCGGUAUACUCUACGUGAUCUUCAAGUAUUCAAAAAUCCUUAAAGCAUUGAAUACUCACAUCCGUUAUAGAAAUAUAGUCGAGAUCACAUGUAAGAAUAUUUAAUUCUUUAGAGAAAUUGUUAAACAAAUUAAAAAUAUCGAUCUUUAUAAUUCAAUCGUGUUGUCAAAUUUAGAGGUUUGAGGUUAAAUAGGAUUCGGGAUCUUAGUAUGCUUUUCAUCAUUAGAUUUGCAUCAGACUUGCAUUCAUUAGUUGAUUUAGGUCUUUCAUUCAUAAGUAGAUUAUUUGAUUAUAAUUUAGGUUUAGAAGAAUUACAAAUUUUCAUUGUUUCGGUUAAAAUUAAGUUAAUUCGAACUUGAACUAAUACAAUUUUUGUGAGUAUAGUAAUUAUACUCAAAAUCCAUUUUACUACUUGUUAACGAACCGUGUACUUGCGGUAUUACAAACAAAAAAAAACAAUAUUUUUAUGAACUCGAGAAAAAUUCCAAGAAAUAAAACAAGAGGAAAAGACUUUCCAUAAGGAUGUCAUUGUUUCUUGGCAAAAGUUUUGGAUACGGACAUUGAACUCAAGACAGUUUCAGUUAAAGAAGAGGAGCAUGAAAAGAUCUAAAAAAUUAUUCAUAAAGGCCAAAAAGAAUUUGUAUUAUUCAAAGAAAAGGAAAUUAGCUUACAAUCCCUUGACUUUUGCUCAAAAAUUGAGUUUGUCAUUAAACCUUAUGAGGAGAUUGAGGUGUACAUUGUUGAGUUUGAAACUGGUGAUGAGGAAAAGUCAUACUACUUGAAGAACCAACGUUAAAAUUUGGAGAAAGGCUGCAAUAUUUCUAAUGUCAAUUGAGCAAGGACCAUCACCAAAGCCAUAUUCAAAUUGUCAUGAAACACUUGUGCAAAAGUCUAGUUAGGAUUUAGACCAAGAACUUACUGGGAAGUGACCCAUUUUUCUAACUGUUUUCUUUUUAAUUUUAGUUAUUGCAUUACAUGUAGAUUUAGGAAUUGCAUUAGUGUUUUAGGAGCAUACAUUGAAUUUAUGCAUUUACAUUUUCUUUUUCAACAUAAUUUAUCACAUUUAGGUAACUUUUCUAAUUCUUCAUAGACACUAAAUCACAAAAAGUUAUAUAUAUUGUCACAUCACACAAUUUAUUAGGAAUAUAUUGGUGUUAAAAAAAUUAUAAAAAAAAUGUGCUGGUAGCUUGGGCGACUGCGCCAACUUUAACAAUCGGGCGAUCGACUAAGCCGUUCAAGGGCUAGCAGUGUGAUCGCCCAAUGUUAAACGAUAAAAAAUGGAGCUUAAGUUUAUUUAAAAUUUUUUGAGAAAACAUAGUAGGCACUUCCAUUCACGGCUUCUCUUCUCUCACACACACACACGACACUUUCACUUUGCAAUUCACAAACUCAUGGUACUUGUUCACUUUUCACUAUCUUCAUCUGUUUCACCUUCAAUCUCAUCAUAAAUCCAUAAUUUGAGUUAUAAUUGAGAAGUACGGGCUUAGGUAUAUUGUGGUGUAUUGGAUUGUGUUGUGGUGUGAAAAUUGUCGCUUUGAUUCAAAUUGUAAUAUCUUCUAAUUUUGGAGGGAGGGGGGAGAUGAUGCCUUCAAUAUGUUUGGUAAAAUGCCUAAGUAGAGAUUUGUGUUUAAGUAGGGAUAAUAUGUUUGGUAAAAUGCCUAUGUAGAGAUUUGAUACACAUUUGGGAUUUCUUUUAGUGCUGAAAUUAAUUGAAAAUAUAGUAAAGAACCCCAAACCAAGUUAGCAUCACCAUUGCAUGACAUUAACUUGACAUUUGCUAGGCAUUGUCUACUUUAUGUCACCAACUACAUUCCCCCUCAUCUAAUCCAAACAACCUCCACUUGACCUCAACUUUGAACAUGAGUAAGAUCAACAUAUGAUCUUUCAGAUGUCCAAAGAUUACUCUAGAAAAGUUCAUUAUUCCUUCACCUUCUUUGAUGAUGAAAGUCCUUGUUCAGUUUUGAGUAGAUUCUUGAAAUUGCUUCUUUUAUGUUAAUUUAGUGAAUGUGAACUAUAUUUUCACCAUCUAUCAAACACAUAUCCUAUAUCAUGAUAAGGUUUUUCGAGCAUGGCAUGGUUUUUAUAGUUUGCUGCAUAAAAAAUGGCAUAUAUUAGUAUAGUUUGGGAGUUUUGUUAUCUAUUAUGCUAAUAGUUAUAUCCUCUAUAUAUGUACAAUGCCACAAAAGAGAAAAACUACCGCUCAAGAGAAAGGAAAGUCCAAAGUGGGUGAGACAUUGAAUCUUGGCUAGCAAAUCACACACCUGUUCAACUAGACAUCGGAGAAAAUCUUAACAAUGGAAAGGAGUCAACUAGAGAUGAUUGAUAGAAACGUAGCCCAGAUAUCAAAGAUUAUUGAGUUCAUGAGGCACACCAGUUCGGCUAGCCAGCCGAACCAACCAGAUGCUUCUACUUAUGCACAUAUAUCCCCAAGGAGUUUUUUUAUCCUUCCUCCUUUAUUUUGAUUAUUAUUGCUUUUAUAUUGGGAACAAUUUAAUUUUAUUUAUUUAUUUUUUUUAUGUUGGGAUAGGUAAGUAUUAGGGUACUUGGGAUUUAAUUUUUUUUCUUGCUUUUCAACUGCUUAACAGAUUUGUAUAAUUAUUUUAAUUUGAAAAAGAACAAAAUUUGAAAAAUUCGAAACAAUGUCUAGUAUAGUGUUGAAUAGCUUGCCCCUAUGAUAAUUUUUAAUUGUUUGAAUUGAGUACAGCUCUAGUCAGAACUAGACAACAUCAUGUAUUAUGCUUUUACUUGAGUACUUAUUCAUGUUAGACUUGACUUUUUGAGUACUUAGCUAUUACUAACUUAUUGCUUUUGUUGGGGCAUGAUACUCUGUAGACUUAAUUUUUGAUGUUGUUGACCUAGGUUUAAAUAGAUUCUCAAACCUUUAACAUAAUAACCUAACUACUAGAAUCCCCAAAUCCUUAAAAUAAAGACAAAAUUGUUCUUUAACAGUUUAGGGGUGGGAAGGUUAGUACUUGUACUCAUAGAAGUUUGAUGGUUUGGAAUUCUAGGAUACCACCUUUGGUUGAAAAGAGUAUGAGUUCAAGAGUCUAGAACUGAGGGGGAGAGGGGCAACGACCAAUUUUUGAAAUUCGAAUCACAUAUCAAAAUAAAAUAUGAUGCAUCUUAUGCUUCUCUUCAUAGUUUUUAUGACUCGAGUGAUUAAGCCUACUAGGGUAUCUAAACCCUGGUGUUCUUUGGCCACCGAGUUGGGAGUAGUCGACUUAAACUCGUUAUGGGGGUCAUUAAGAAGGCUUAGUAGACUGAAGUCUUGCACAUAAGAUAUCAACAAUAAUAGUAGUAGUAAUAAUAGCAGCAACAGUAGUAAUACACAUUCAAUAUAUAUGCUCAUAGAAAAAGAAAUAAAAUGGGAUUUAGAUUAUAAAAAGACAAAUGCACCUGGUAAAUACUUUGAGAUUUGAAUUCUAGAAACUGACGGUAUGACUUCGAGAAAUAUUUACCAUCUUCCUUCUAGACUUACAAUUAUCUUAUUUUGAUCACUUUGUGUAUAAAAAUGCAUUUUAAUUUUUAUUAGGAACCACAUAUGCUAGAAUUAUUUUGGAAUUGGAGAGAAAAGCAAAAUGAGUGAUUUUGCACAAGACGUGUGAGAAAAAAUAACCACAAAAGGAUUGAGAUUAUCAAUAAAUCAACAACACUUGAUUGGUUGUAUUCUAAUAUGGGUGUGAGUUCAAUGUUGGCUAAUCACACACACUAAAUUGAGCACCAAAUAAGUAAAUGUUAUCUUUGAUGUUGUUUGGAUCUUUCUAAAGUGUUAACUUAAAUUCAAACUUGAGGCAUAUGGGAAGUGGUUCAACAUUGAGUAUGUUAUUUGUGAAUUGCUUAAGAGUACCAGAUUACUCACAGUAAGGGGGCUGGGAAAUUUUUUUGGCAUUUUUUAUUCAUGGCUAGGGUCAACAUGUGUGACUAUCUGGUGCAAUUCUGUGGACAAAUUUUCUGUACAAGUGGCUUUCCCCAAAAUUUAUUGUGCAACCUCAAUGUUUAUCGUUCAGGGGAAUACAUCAGUGAUAGACAUAAAUUCCACCACAUACAUUGCAUCAAGCCCAAAUCGAUGCUUGUGGAUAAAUUUGUGAUUGCUAAUAAUAAAACAUCAUCUAUCAUGACAAUUUAUUGGUCAAAUAGACUAACGCAAGGAUGAACAUAUUCUUUCCAAAGAGCAUCCCGUCUCUCAUCGAGAAAAGAAACACACUGUUACUGACAUCAUCAGUAUCUUCAUUUUUUGAUUUUGAACAAUUAGCUUGAUUUGUUCCACCUUUGGAUAAUUUUUCUUGAGGUGUCCGGAUUGUCCACCCCUGCUAAAAUAGGGAUACUUUGGUUUGUCAAAAAGAAAACAAAUGACUUUGGUUGUAUAGACCAAUGCUUGUGGUUCACCAAGCUAGAUCGUCAUCUCCGUCAUGGUCCACAUGUACUGUCAAGCUAACAAGCAAACCGCUUUGACAACAUUGCUAUAAAGUCUGAAUCCAAUUUCCAAUAACAAUAUCAAUUAUCUAAAAAUGUCUGCUUAAUUGUUGGGAAAUAUGAAAUCGGCUACUCUAGUCGAAGUAUCCAACUGCGUCGCCUGAUUUGAUUAGAGAAUUAUGCGUCUGCUUGUUAGGUUAAAAAUAAUAUCUUUAAUAGAUUUUAACAAUAGUUAAUGAAAUAUUACUGAUUUACACUUCUAAAUUAAUUACUCACUCGGCAACUCUUUAUUUAGUAGUUGGAUAAGAUUAUAUUGAAUAAAUAUGUUAAUGGUGUAAAAAUGUAUAGUUAAAAUUAAUUAUUAGUUUUGAUCUCAAUUUUUAAACUAAAUCAAUUGAGUCCUUAAGCUCAUGGUGGAAACAAGCUCUCAUGAGAAGGGCUAGUACAAAAAAAAAGCUUGAACUUUUUGAGCUCGAGCCGAACUGAGUCAACUCACGGACUUUUACGUUUUUUUUACUCGAAUAUAUGAAAAAUUGAUCGUUAAUUUAAAAACUACAAAAAUAAUCAUGCAAGUUUUUAAAUUUUACAAACUAAGUGGUAAGGCAGGUCACACGAGCAUACAUACAAGGCAGCUCAUAUUUGGGCUCGUGUAGCUUGUGGGCUAAUAGGACUCUAGUCAAAUCUCAUUUUUUAGGCUUGGCUCAUGAACACAAACUUCGAUCACAAGAAGAAGGUCAAUGGAAGAAACAGGCAGUGAUUAUUUUGAUUAACUUUUAUUAGAUCAUUCUUCCAAAAAUCAAACUUACUUACUUCGCGUUUCUUUAUGCAUGAUCAUCAAUGAUCUAACUAUGCGUGUUGCUGGCGAUAAAUGUUUAAGGAUGUAUGAUGUGGUUAAGGACAAUCUUCGAUACAAGAUUUCUGAAAAGGUACGUCGCUUGUCAUACAUUCGCAAUUACUAUGAACCCUACCAUAGAUUUGAUUUUGUCAAUGGAAUUGAACAUUUGAGAACAUUUUUGCCACUGUCCAGAAUGACGCAACGUGAUGUAAGAUUUUUCACAGUCCAAAGAGUUUUUGGUGAUAUAUUGCCAAAGUUGUACUGCCUAAGAAUAUUGGUCUUGCACGGUUAUGAAAUAUACAAGCUGCCCUGUUCUAUUGGUGAUUUAAAACAUUUAAGUUACUUUGACUUGUCUACAACACUACUCAGACGGUUGCCAGACUCUCUAACCACUCUUUGUGACUUAUAAGUAUUGAAUCUAGAAGGUUGUUCCAGACUUGCCAAAUUACCCGCGUGCAUAGGCAAUCUUAUUAAUCUUAACCAUCUAAACAUUGCUAAUACUUAUGAAAUACAUGAGACACCUCAAAGAAUUGCUCGAUUGACAAGUUUACAGACAUUAUCUAACUUGAUUGUGAGUAGAAGUGGUGGGCUGAAGAUUAAAGACUUACUAGAUUUCUUACAUUUGAAAGGAGAAAUAUCUAUUGAGCAAUUGUAAAAUGUGGCGAACGUUCAAGAAGCAACAGAUGCAAGGCUAAGGUACAAUCCAAGCCUUAACAAAAUAAGACUAAUAUGGAGUAAAAAGUUUGAAAAAAACUAGAAAUAGAAUUCUUGAAUUAGAUGUUCUUGAUGCACUUAAACCCCUUGAAAGCUUAUCAAGUCUGGAAAUUGAAUUUUAUGUUUGUGCAAAAUUUUCUAGUUGGAUUGGGAAUUGUCAUUUUCUAAGUUGACAAAGAUAAGAUUCAAACUUUGCGAAAACUGCAUAAAUUUGCCAGCAUUAGGGCACCUGCCUUGCACAUUCAAGGCAUGUAUCAAGUAAAAGUGAUUGGAAUCCUUAUUCAAAGGCGAAGCAAAGAAAAAAAUCAAAGAAAGAUGGAACCAGAUACAUUCGACGCAAAGGCAUCUUGGAUCCCGGUUUAAAGACUUUCCUUCUUUCUAGCGAAGAGAUGCUGAUCCCCAGGAUAAAGGCUAUUCUUUUUUCUAAGGUAAUGCCAGGUUCUGAGGAGGAGAUUGAAACAAUUACCAAUGAAUUUCCCAUUAAAAUCUAUUUUUAAAUAGUAACAUAAUAUUAAUAAAAUUACAAAGGCAUUUAUUAAAGAAGAAAAGAGUCGAGCAAAUUCAUGCAUAUUCCUAUUUUAUUACGUGAAUAGUGGUAAGUACAUAUCUACCAAACAAAUAAAAGGUAUGAUAGCUUUCCAUGUGUGAACUACGUUAGGAAGUAAGAAAGAGAGUAAUCUGUUUUGAUUUCCCAUUUUCGCUUGGUAAGUUUUGAAAUAAACUCGUUUGCAUAGUUAUCAAUGUCGAAAUUUUAUAAAAUUUUAAGGAAAAGUAGGCUUCCGUCGGUGACAUAUGAGGUGUUAAAAUAUUUCCCAAAAUUCCGCUAACACUAACUAAACAAGCUGUUUUCUUUUUCUAUCUCAUAGGGUAAGUGUCAAAAUAAAUUCAUUUGCAUAGCUAUCGAUUUCGAAACUUCAUCAAAAUUUAAUGUAAAGUAGAAAGUUCCUUAUAAAAUGACAUAGUCAAAAAUUAGCUUCCGUCGGCAUCAUAUGAAGUAUUAAAAUAUUUUUUCAAAAAACCCAGUAGCGACCUGGUUGAGAGGUAAACCGGUGCAGUUCACUUAAAUUGACAUAUAAAAUUUCACAGACAGCAAAACCACAUGAUUUCAAAUUUAUUCAGUAGUUAAUUUAUGUGGUUAUCCAGCGCCAUUGAUUUUGUCUAAAAAUUCCAAGUAACGAGUGUGCUAUGAAUUUUUAAAGUCAAGACGGAAACUGAAAUUUUUAAAAGACGGUAAUACUUUAAUUUGCUAACACUUCUCUUUUCUUUCUUUUUGUAAAUGGUGUUUUGUAAGUUAACUUCUAUAACACAUAUUUACGUUUAAACAUAACUUAUUCAUGAAGAAAUAUUCUUAGAAUAGUUCCACAUAUGACGUCCAUAAAAAUCCAUAUAAAAAGAAAAAAAUGUAAACAUUUCAUGAUCAAAUUAAAAUUAUUAAAUCACCGACUUCCUCCAUAGCAUAUUGCAUCAUCCUCUCCCAUCAUCCACAUCCCAAGGAAAUCCAUUUAACCUGUAGGAAGGGAAUUAACCCAUGAGUUUAAAACUCAAUAGAUAUCAUCAUUGCAUUUCGUUAUCAAAUUAGAAAUUUCGAACUAUAGAUUCAUAUCACCACACGUAGAUCGAUUUUCGGCAAUAUUCAAUUAUUAUAGCAUUAUCAUAACACAUAGAACCAAAGAAUGAUCAUUCAAACUGUUGUAGUGCCAAAGCACUGUAUCCGGAGGUAUCAUUUCAUUCAAACAUUUAUUGAAAAAUCAUAAUUUGAAAACGAAAUAAACACUUGCAUCUCUACCUACCUUAAAUUUUCUUUAAUAUAAAAGAACAAAAUGUGUAGAAAGUCUUUCUUCUUCUCACCCUUGUUAUUUCCUUAAGCUUAACUUGAAAUGAAUUUAUUUAUUUUUUGAGAGAAAAUACGAGUAAAUUCUAAUUUGAGAAGGUGUGUAGUGAAAAGUGACAUUUAUCUUCUGGUAACCUUUCAUUUUAAUGAAAAACUAAAUGGGUGAGUUGUAUUAUCAUUAAAUUUGUUAAAUUAGGUCUUUAACUAAGAAUUUGAAGAGUUUCUAAGUCAUAAAAAAAUAAUUCAUAUAAAAAGUUUUAUAAAAGCAUCUACAUGGUGAUUCAAACCUAUGUUGCCUAUAUGAAAUAGCAUGUAGAUGACCAUUGAUGUAACCCGGUUAUUCAUUAAAUCUUUAUAAUCAAAUUUACUUAAACUUAAUCUUAUAAAUUGUCGGGCGUUUAAUUAACUUAUGGCUUGGGCUUUCAUAAUCUUAAAUGGGUUGAGCUUCCGUAGCUCAUUUCUUAAAUGGGUCAGGCUCGUGGUACUAGAUCAACAAAAAAAUAAUAGCCUAAUUUCAUUUUAUUUCUUGAUCUUCUACAGAAUCACUAUUUCCAUCACUAGAGAUUCUGACUUUUGAAGACAUGCCAGAAUGGGAGGAAUGGCAUGGAUUAGCACCUAAAUGCCAUUGAAAUUCCUAAACUUCGCAAAUUACAUAUAGGAAAAUGUCCCAAAUUGGUUAGGCUUCCAGUUCUUUUGUUUGCUUCUCUUCAUGAUCUGAAUGUGGAAUACUGUAAUGAAGUGGUAAUAAAUUGCAUGCACAAUUUGACCUCUCUUACCAUUUUAAAAUUGAAAGAAAUUGUAGGGUUAACUUCAAUUCGGAAAGCAUUUAAACAGUUUCCAUUGAAACUUGAAAAUUUUGAAGUUGGUGACUGUGAGGACUUACCAACCCUGUGGCCAAGUGAAAACAUUGUCCAAAGACUAUUCAACUUACAAAUAGCGUCAGUUAGAAGGAGUCCUAAGCUCUAGUCCAUUCAAGAGAUUGGUGUUCUUCCUAUUAUUGGUUCUCUCGUUAUAGAGGAUUGUGCAUCUCUGGAGUUGUUUCCCAACAAUAUGUCUGCAUAUACAAGUUUGGAAAUCAGAAACUGUCCAUCAUUGAAAAAAAUGAUGACACUAGAGGAUUGUAGAACCUCACUUGAAUAUCUUAGUAUUCAAGGUUGGGCAAAUUUAAGUUUCAGAAAUUUAAUGGGUUGUCUUCACAAUUACUCUAGUCUCACUCUGCUAAGAAUAUUAUACUGUAAUGAUCUGGAGUCAUUUCCCCAAGAUGGCUUGUUCACUCCCAAUUUGAGAGAUCUUGUAAUAAUGUUUUGCCAAAAUCUCAAAACCUCACCAGAUUGGAUGGAACAGCUAUUGUCCCUUGAGACCCCGCUGGUAGAUUAUUGUCCUUCGCUAACAGAUUCCUUUCCCCAAUGGAAUAGCCCCCCAAAUCUGACCCAGCUUGCAAUCUUUAAUUGCGACAAACUAAGCCCCUGGAGGAAUGGGGCCUGCACAAACUCAAAUCUCUUCAUUCAUUCUCUCACAGUAGUGGAUAUCCCGAGUUGGUUUCAUUUUCUAAAAAUGAUGAGGAUCAACACUAUGUGGUUCCUCCAUCUCUUCCUCAAUUGUGCUUUUAUGACCUACCAAAUCUUAAAACUCUAUCAGAUGGCUUCCAAAACCUCACAUCUCUUCGACACUUAAAGUCCACAAUUGCCUGAAGCUUGAGGCAUUGUCUAUGGAAGACCAGCUUGUCAGUCUUUGGAAACUUGACAUUUAUGAUUACCCGCUUCUUAAGAAAUGUUGUUUGAAGAACAGAGGAUACUACCGGCCCAUCAUCUCCGAUAUUCCCAAUGUCAGAAUUGAUUGGCGUUCCAUCCAUGACCCAGACACCAGUCCAGGGAUUCCAUGAGGUAACUGAUGCAAUUCGCUAUUUACCAAUCUUGUCUUUACAUUAUGUAAAACAAUUUUGAAGAUUUCACCAAUGUUUUCAUAAACCAAUACGAAACUUCUGCAACAAAUUGUUAAAUGAAUCAUCAUUUUAUCCUAACAUCGUAAGGUCCGAAUUGAUGGGGGCAUCCUUUCUAUCUAUAAAUUAGCAUCAUUUUCGUAAAUUCCAUCAAGCAUUUACCUGCUACCAUUCAGUCUGCAAUUCAUCAACAAUGUAUCAGAAUUUCAUUGGGCAUAGGAUCAGAUCAUUGCAUUUGGAGCCAUAGAGUUAGAACAUCUCUAAGAGACUCUCUAAACAUGAUAUGCUCACUAUUUUAGACCCCGUUUGUCAUCCUUUAAAAAUUUAAAUUGUUUGCUACAGGAUCAUUCUCCACCACACAUUCACAGAAUAAAAUAUUCUGCACAUAAAUCAAUAAAGAUUCUUUACUUUUUAACCACACAUUUUCCAAAAUAUAGUAUUCAAUAACUCAAAUUUCCCAAAUAAAUUCUAUUAAACAGGCCCUUAAAGAGUUAACCCUUUAAAUCACACUCCAAAAAACUCUUCAAAUUUAACAUUUUAAUUUAGAGAGUAAGUUUAACUCUCCAAACUCAUUCUCUAUAAUUAAAUGCAUCCAAAGUGUUUCAAUUUUCAAUUUAGAAAAAUAAUAAAUGUUGUUUGGGAGUAGUCAAUUUAAGUGUUUAAUAUAAAGAGUUUAUUAGAGUACUCUAAAUUUAUAAAUGUUCUCAAAAUGGUAGAGUAUGCAUUUUAAAAAUAGAGGGUUUCUUUGAAAUUUAAAUAGAAAUCAUGCUUUUCAAAUUUAAAUUGAUAGUUUAUGACAAAUUUCAAUUCUAAGGUACUAAUUACAACUCAAGCAUUAGUGUCAUUUAUGAAAGUUACUCUGUAUCCAAUAUAUGUGCUUCUAUUUCAUCUUGUUAUAACCCAGACCAAAUCUGAAACUAAUUUGUUGAAAGCGAAACCCUGUGAUACAACAUGUUAUGCAACGGGGAGGUAAAUAUGAUAUAAUAUGAAGUAUAUGAUCACACAUAAAAAACAAGAUUAAAAGCAAGAAAUAGAUUGACAGAUGAACCGAGUGUUUUAUUCAACAAUCAAUGGAGAAAUUAAUAUUAUUACUACAAUCUCAGCAAUUUCUAAAUUGAAUGAAGAGUCCAUUAUUUAUAAGGGACAUGUCAAACCACUAGUAGUAACCUAAAAGAUGUAAAUUAGGUCAAAAUACUUGUGAAACCAACAAAAGGAGAAAAAUUCUCGUGGUGUCGUCGCUAGAGCGCCGUCUCAUGCCAGGCGAGCGACCGUCUUGUCGCUCAAGUGAGAGCUCGACGACAGGUGGGCCACAACUUUCUGCUCCAAAAGUUCGCUUACUACUUGAGCGGCAGGGUAACAAAAAUGCGGCCACGUUUCUUUCCAAUCCAUAAGUUUGAUCUCUCCAAGAUUGCUAAUCAAAAUCACGUAACCCUAGAUUGAAUUUGGAUAAAAAAAAAAAACUCAACAAUCUCCAUCUUGACACAAAUUCCAAUGCAACGAAUGAUGUUUCAAAAUUUCUCCAUCCGAAAAAAUAAGUCUGAAUGAAACGAAACAACAGAAAUCUUCAGCUCAAACCAAACUUCUCCAAUCACACAAGAAAAUGCUCUUCCUCUUCUACAAUAUCUGACACGAAUGUACAAACCCAAACACCGGUUUCAAAAAUUUCACAAAGAAUUUAAAAAUUACCAAACAGGGUCAAAGCAUGCCCUGUAGCAGAAUCAACUCUUAAUACUUUCAUUGAAGACCCUCAAAGAUCCCAAAAGCAUGCACAACCAAAUCAACAUCCUCGUACCUAUCUCCAAUGGAUCUAUUCCUAGUAGUUGAAUACGAUGGAACCGCGGACAGUAGUGGCAAAGCGAAAUUAUCCAUAUCCUUCAAACUCGUCUGAGAGUAUUCUUCAAUAUUCGGUACCAAACUGAAUAUUCGCCAUGGUACUAAAUAUGUACAGACUUUUCUUCACAGAUUCUUUCCUACCUUGCAAGAUGUAUAAUGGGACCUCUUCCGCCCCUCCAAUACCACACGGAUACCCCUCUGGACUCUCAAGACUCCACCUCCUCUAAAGAAUGUGUACCCUUCGAGUCAAGAAUACUCAACGAAAUGAGAUUCUUCUUCAAAUCUGAAAUAUGUCGAACAUGAUCAAGUGUGUUACAUGUUCCAUCUACCAGCUUCAAUCUGACUCUCCUAAUACCAGCUACUCGAUAAAAUUCGUUGUUACCCAUGAAGAUACCUUGUAUAAUCGUUUCAUAUGUUUCAAACAAAUCCCCGAUUGGAACACAUAUGGAACACACAAGUUAUAUCCAAGAUUCACUUCUCGUCUGGUUUGGAUUCCAUAUCAGAAAUCGCUAAAAGAACUCUAUCACUCAAAUAAUUCUUAGCUAUAUUGGUCUCGUCCGAAGAGUUUGAUUACUUCCCAUAAUUUGUAGCCGAAUUACUUUCCUCUGCAACUUCUCGUAAUAUCUUUUGAUGUUUCCCUUCUUCUUCCAAUAAAAAUAAAUUUGAUUGCUAAAACUCAACCUCAACUUACCCCUUCACCAAUCACCAUGAACCACAAGACCUUCUCCAUCUCUGGACUCAGAUCAUACUAGAUGCUUCAUCUUCUAUUUUGAGAACAGGGCAUCGUACACGUAUUUAAUGGUGAGAGUAUCACGACUACACAAAAUCGUGUUCCUAAACGAAGUGAGAAACGAGCACAACAAGAUUAAGGCCAAAUCUUCUUCAUUAUAUUCUACCUUAAACAUCUCCAAACUAGUGAUGAAAUCCUUGAACACGGCCCGAUGAUCUUCCAAAGAUCCGCCUUCUACCUGUAAUGAGAAUACAACCUCUGCUUCACAUGCAAUUUACUCAUUUGACUUUUAGUCAUGUACAAUUACUCAUUUGACCUUUUCGAUCCCUCUGUUGUUUCUCCUCUGUUGUCCAAGUUGUGGGCAUUUUGUUAAAAUCCAACAACAGAUCAUCCAAAUCCAUCUACGUCAAUAUAGCUUCCUUCAUUUGCUACAACAAAAAUCUUGUAUUGUGAUCCAAAAGCGGAAUUUUAUACUUCAUGGUUUCAAUCGAAAAUAGAAAUCUCAAACAAAAUCACAACCUUGCUCUGAUACCUUGUUACGAUCCGGACCAGAUCUAAAAUCACUUUGCUGAAAAUAGAACAGCUUUGACACCACGUGCUAUGAAACGGGGAGACAAAUAUGACAUUAUAUAAAGUAUAUGAUCACACACGAAAAAAAAAGAUUAAAAGCAAGAAAUAGAUAGGUAGACAAACCGGGUAUUUUAUUCUACAACCAAUGGAGAAAAUAAUAUUGUUACUACAAUCUCAGCAAUUUCUAAAUUGAAUGAAGAGUCUAGUAUUUAUAAGGGACGUAUCAAAACCGUAGAAGUAACCUAAAAGAUAAAAGCUAGGUCAAAAUAUGCAUGAAACCAACAAAAGGAUAAAAACUCGUGCAGCGCCGUCACUCACUGGCCUUGUCACUUGAGCUAGUGGGCGAUAGCUUCUUGCUAUGGAAGUUUGCCUGAUAAUCAAGCAACUGGAUAAUGAAAAUGCAGCAAUUUUCUUCCUGGUCCAUAAUUUUGAUCUCUCCAAGACUACUACAAAUCACAUAACCCUAGACUGAAUUCGGGUCACAUACACAACACAUGGCAUAAAUAUGCAUACAAUUUUCACUUUGACAUCUAGCUUCCACUACUCUAUCAAAUUGUUUCUCAUUUUAAUCAAUGCAUAUGUUCUUUGGACUCUUCACUAUAUCCAAGAAAUGUGUCAAACUUAAAUUAUGAAAACAACAAUGUCCAAGUUAGUUUCUGCUAUUACGACAACCAGCUACGCAACAAACUAGGUAACACUUCCUGGCUUUUUUUAGCGUGAUUGAGGUGGCACAGAUACUAUAUAUAUCUGUGGUAAUAUAGUUUUCAGUAGUGCGUGUGCCAUAGUCAUUUUUACUUGAAUCAACGAGAGGAUGGUCACUUGGGUAGUUGAGGUAUUCAAUGUCAUAUUAAUGGUCAAGAAUUCAAUAAAUAUAGGAAUCAACUUGAAUAACACUGCUUCAUUCAUAUGUCACGUUAUUGACCUUUCUAGACACAUACUUGAUUUCUCAAGAGAAAAUUAAUGGGUAUCUAUUUAAUUGACCUGAAAUCCGAAUAUGUGGCUGAUCCUCAUUUUCCUGAAUAGGAGUUUGCAAUAGGCUGGUAGACAUAAGUGCAGAGAAGAGUCUUGUGAAUGACAAUGGAGAUGGUAUACUUGUGCAUAGAUUAUGAAAGAGAACAGAAAUGAGGUAUGGAUGAAUUCACAACAAAUGACAACACCAAUUGAUAAGGCUACAUCUAAAGUUAUCAUAUGUAUUUACUUAUUUUGGAUUCUAUGAUUCAUAGCUGAUAGUAAUUUUCUCGUUUUAGUUGUAUAGAGACCUGACCAAUUCUUGUGCAGGCAAAUCUGAUCAUGAUCAUGAUCAUUUCUCAGAUGGAAAAAGAACAAUAUAUAUAAACGAGAAUCAGUUCAAAAGGUGAAUGUGAACGGAAUGCUGGUGUACACAUUAAAGGUAUUUCAGUACUCCUCUAAAUAUUUUUCUAAAACUAACUACUUCAGACUUCUCCUAUUCGUUUCAUACCGUUUUUUUCUUAAUCUGAUAAAGGGAAUCAAAGGAUUUCAUCCCUCUACCCUUACCAAGUCAUGUUGCUUUACAGGAGGAAGAUAUUUACAGUUAACAUAUGAAGGUGGUCGACUGUUACUUCACGGUUCAUGUAUUUAAACGAAGUUUAUCGGACAUAGUGCUGGAGUUAGAAGCUUUAGGAGUUUAUUCAACAAACAGUUGAUUGAUUAAAUCUUUUGGAAACAAUUUCAAGAUUCCUAAGUGGAUCUUCGGGCUUCUUUUGAUGCAUCAUGAAUUUUUAUUAUUUUUUUAUAUAUAUUUUUCAAUGAUUUAGUAACAGCAUUUGUAAAAUUAUUAAAAUGUAACUAUGUAUAUUGUUUGAUUAAUGCAGAUGCAAUUUGGGCUUGCAAAGAAUAAUAUGUCUUUCUGAUGUAAUUGCACAAAAGCUCAUUGUAAAACUUGAUAAAUUGCUCUUAAAUGAUCGAACUGAAUUCUUUCUUUUUUGUAAUUUUCUAGUUUUAGGUAUAAACUCAGAAUUUCAAAGAUUUGAACAUCGAGAAAUGCAUUCAAGCUCACCUCGCCUAAACUCGUAAAUCUUGUCAGAGAUCCUUGCAUUAGUGUCAAACAAUGAGAUAUAUAUUACCUUAGAUAUCUCAUAUGUAUAGGAAAUUGCACAGAAUCAGCUACAUACAGGAAACUGCACAUAAUCUAGAUGAUUACCUUAGACAUAGGAAAUAGCAAAUAAUCAGGCUACAUAUUUUUCUUUCCAUAGAAUCUGGCCAUCAUGCUUGUAUAAAUACUAUGGCUGUAUAUUACUGAUGUAGGAGGAUCUGAGUGUAGGAGGAUUCGAGUCGAAUGAUGCUGAUGUGUCAGAUAGCUCGUUGAUGGCGCUGAGAUACCAUGAGAUGGCGGAUCGGCACAAAGGUGGAAAAUAAAUGCAAUAUUUCCUUAAUUGGGGGCAAUUUUGGCACAAUUUUGGUAAUUUGACCAUAACUUUGACUAUGGUUAUUAGAAUCACUAUUAUGACCCCAAUUCGGAAAGCUCUCUUCAGCGCACACAUUGUUGUCACCUAGCUAUGCUCAAUGAGUGUCAAUUUCGAGCCCAAAAUCCAUUAUUUUCCUUUCGAAAAUUCAAUUUUUAGUUAUUUUUUACUAUUUAUGGUAAUAUUUCGUUUUUUUCUAGACGUUAGAGAAUCCGGAUUGAGCCAAAUUUUUGGCAACUUACUUCUUUUAUUUCAUAUUUUAUUUCAGUGUGAUCGUUAGGAUUUUGCCAUUUUUGGUAAUUUUUCGAUAAUUUCAUAUUUUUGUAGCUAUUUAAUUUGGCUUGUGGGAUAAUUUUCGUCAUUUUGCAUUGAUAAUAAAAUUAAGUUAAUUUCAAAGAUUUUCUCUGUGUUCUAAGGCAUUUUCUUUCGUAUUCUCUUGUGAAUCAUCUGUUGCAGCUAGCUUGCAGGAUAAUCGCUAUCUUGGCCGGCGUCAAUUACAGAAGAAAUGAAUAAAAUCCAAUAAUCUAUCUCUUUAUAUGGUAUUAGAGCGUUGUGAUUCUUUGCAUGUGCCAUCUCCUUAUCUGAUCCACUGUGUCUGACAAUUCCAGCAACCGUCUAGUCAAUAAUUCUCAUGAAGUUUUUGUGACCCUCCCUACAAUAGUACAACUCAUUAGUGAUGUAUCAUCUCCAUAUUUCCUACACUCAAAUUACCCAGGCUCCCUGCUAUCUCCACCUGAAUGACUGGUGAAAAUUAUCACACUUGGCAUCACUCCAUAAGGAAAGCCAUGGCAAAAAAUGAACUUGGGCUUUGUGGACGGUUCACUUACCAAGCCAACCAACUCCCCUGCCGAAUCACAACUCUAGGAUAGGUGUAAUGACAUGGUGUUCUCUUGGAUUUUCAAUAGCAUUGACAAAUCUCUCCACGGUAGCUUGGUUUAUUAUGACAGCCCCGUGAUAUUUGGAUAGACCUUGAAGGUCAUUUUUCUCAAAGUAACAAUCCUCAUCUCUUCCGUCUUCGACGAGAUCUCUCCACUCUCCAACAAGGUGGCUCCAUCCUUACUUAAUACUAUCACCGCAUCAAGUCUCUUUAGGAUGAACUCGAAGCCCUAUCUCCUCCUCCAUCAUGUUCACGUGGUGCACUCAAGAAUCUUCAAGCCUCACAAUCUACUGAACAUGUUUUCCAGUUUCUAACUAGUUUACAUGACUCCUUUGCUGCCUACAGACUCAAACCUUGGCAAUGGACCCACUCCCCUCUCUAGUGAAGGUUUACUCCAUCUUUCACCAAAAAGAAACACAGCGUCACCUUCAUAUCUCUAUGCUGCCUCCAAAAAGUGUGGCUCUUGCUGCAUAUCCCUCUUCCUCAUAGUAGCGUAACCCUUCUGGUCGUGGACGCGAUCGUCCCAAAUGCACUCAUUGUGGUAAAGAUGACCAUUAAAAGAUAACCUGCUUCCGUAUUAUCAAUUAUCCCACCUGUUGGCGUCUCUCUCGUCAAACCCAUGCUUGCCAGUCCGCUCACUCCAACACUACUCGACCCUCCAGUGAUGUUUUGGCUCUUGGUCUCAAUCCUAAGCAGGAGCAGCAGCUUUUGUCAAUAGUACCAUCUACUGCAAAUUUUUUUGGUAAUUCCAUUGCUCUCUCUACUCACCUGAAUUCUAUUACUUGACCUUGGAUUAUUGACGCAUGUGCAUCCGACCAUAUGUGCCCCUCACUCGAUGCCUUCGCCACAAUUCAUCCUAUUGCUCAUCCAUGCUCAGUCACUCUUCCCAAUGGUGACUCAGUAGUUGUCACUCAUGUUGGUUCAGUUUCUUUAUCUUCACAUAUCACUCUUAAUCAUGUUCUCUAUGUUUCGAAUUUUCAUUACAAUCCUUUAUCUAUUUCACAACUUACUCAAUCGUUACAAUGCCAUGCUCUUUUUUCCCUUCCUUUUGUGUUGUUCAGGCCAUCAAGACAAAGAAGCCGAUUGGGGCUGGUAAAGUUCGCCAUGAUCUCUAUUUCUUUACUUUACCAUCCAGUUUAGCCUCCGUGUCCACUUCACAUGCCCACUUAUGGCGCCAACGUCUAAGCCAUCCAUCUCUUCAUACUUUUAAUACGUCUUUAAAUAUUUUUCAUUCCGUACAAUCUUGUGAUGUUUGUACUCGAGGCAAGUUGUCACGUUUCAAGUUCAUUCUCCUAUCAAUAAAAGUACUUUUGCUUUUAAUCGCAUAUUUUGUGAUAUAUGGGGAGGUUAUCCCACUGCUACUUUAUCUAGUACACAUUAUUUCUUAACAAUCGUCGAUGACUAUUCCAGCUACACUUGGGCAUAUUUGAUGAAAUUAAAAUCGGAUACCUUCACAUGUUUCCACCAUUUUUUUGCUAAUGUCCAAACUCAAUUUAAUUGUACGUUCAAACAUGUAUGCAUUGGUAACGCCCAAGAGUUUUAGGCCCAUUAUCUCUAAACAUCUUUCAACAAUAAUGGCAUUCUCCAUGAACGUACUUGUGUCGAAACACCUGAACAAAAUGGUGUUGUCAAACGCAAGCAUCGUCAUUCAACGCUGCCUUUCGCUGCCAAGCCCACUUUCCCCUUAAAUUUUGGGGUAAAUGCAUCCUCAUUGCCACCUACUUGAUCAAUAGAAUGCCUUCUGCUACCUUAAUGCACAAAACACCCUAUGAACUACUCCAUCACAUGACACCUUCCUAUGGUUAUUUACAUGUCCUAGGUUGUCUAUGCUACGCAUCUACCCUAUGUAGUGAUCAUGACAAAUUCUCCCCUCGUGCCCAUCGGUGUGUCUUUAUUGGCCAUCCCUCCAAUCACCAUGGUUAUCUUCUCUACGACUUAGACACUGCCACUACAUUUAUCUCCCUGACGUCCAAUUUCAUGAAACCAUAUUUCCUUUCUCCUCCCCUACUUCAAUACCCUCGUCCACUAUUCUCACACCCACUAAUAUUCUUGACAUUCCUCACCCACAGUCAGUCGAACCUUCCUCCCAAACCACCAACGAAGCUACUGCCCACUCGACUCUCCUCCCUGAGAUCCGUCACCACCACCUCGCCACACUCGAACUCGACACCCUCCUCAUCACCUCCAUGAUUACAUAUUUCCUAUCCUUCCAUGUACAAAUGGCAUGACUUCAUCUCCCCUACGACCUUCUUCAGAUUUGUCCUACUCCCUCCAUUUUACCCUUAACUAUGAGCGAUUCUCUCAUCAACACCGCUCUUUUAUCUCCCAUAUUAUUAACAUUGUAGCUGAGGCUUCAUGUCAUGCCCAUUAGUGACAAGCAAUGAACUCAAAAAUCAUAGCCUUAGAAUCUAAUGACACUUGGUACCUCAUCUCCCUUCUUCCUGGCAAACACCCUAUUGGUUGCAAAUGGAUCUACAAAACAAAAUUGAAAGUAGAUGGUACUAUUGAACGUUACAAAACUCGCCUUGUGUCCAUGGGUUACACUCAAAUUGAGGGAUUGGACUAUCAUGACACCUUUGCUCCUGUCGCCAUACUUGUUACAAUCUGCUGUCUUUUAUCCAUCAUCGCGGCUAAAAAUUGGUUCAUAUACCAACUUAAUGUACACAAUGCUUUUCUUCAUAGGGAUCUCGACAAGGAAGCCUACAUGAAACCCCGUCCCGGAUAUUGUAAAAAGGGAGAAACCCGCAUCUAUCAACUGCACAUAUCUAUCUAUGGCCUUAAACAAGCCUCCCGCAAUUGGUUUUCUAAGCUCUCUUCAGUCUCACAAGCUGCUAGUUCCAAUCCAUCCGUGGCCGACCACUCAUUAUUCACUCUUUCAUGUGGUUCAUCCUUUGCAGCACUCCUGUCUAUGUAGAUGCUAUUGUUUUAGCCGGUGAUGACGACAACUUACUCCUUGAUGUCAAGACUUUUCUUGCUAGCAAAGGCAAACUCAAAGAUCUUGGUCCACUCAAGUAUUUUUUGGGAAUUGAAGUCGCUCGCUCACCUUGUGGCAUUUUAUCAGUCAACAAAGUACACCCUGGACAUUUUAUCUAACAGUGGUUAUCUCAACUUCAAGCCCUUUACCUUAUCCAUGGAACAGAAUCACAAACUCCAAGUUGAUGUAGGUAACCUUCUAACUAAUGCUAGCCUUUAUCGUUAAUUGAUCAGCCCGUUUACUUUAUCUCACAGUCACAAGACCUGAUAUCACAUAUGCCAUCAACAUUUUGAGUCAAUUUAUGCACUGUCCACGAUAGCCCCAUCUUGAUGCUGCCAUUCAAGUUCUUCGCUUCCUUAAAAACAAUCCGAGACAAGGACUCCUAUUCAUGGCUACCUAUGACUUUCAGGUUCGUGCUUAUGCUGAUUCAGAUUAGGCUAGAUGUCCCACUACCCAUCGCUCUACUACUGGUUAUUUCAUCUCUCUUGGUUCUAGUCCUCUCUGCUAGCAUUCGAAAAAAUAAUCUACCAUCUCUAGAUCUUCUGCUGAAGCCGAAUACCGUGCCAUGGCCAACGUUAUUGUGAACUUACGUAGCUUCGUACAUUACUUCAUGAUUUGCGCAUCCCACAUCCCUUACCAAUGCUUCUCCAUUGUGACAAUCAGGUUGCAAUAUAUAUUGCUCGCAAUCCUAUCUUCCAUGAACGCACAAAGCACAAAGACAUUGAUUGUCACAUUGUUUGUGAGAAACUUAAGUCCAACCUUAUCACCACCGCUCACAUUUCUAGCUUAGCUCAACUUGCAAACAUCCUCACUAAGGCACUUGGUGUUAUCUCUUCACACGGAUCAUCUGCAAAUUGGGCAUUUAUAAUCCCCAUGCUCUAAAUUGAGGGGGUGUGUCAAAGAUCCUUGCAUUUACUAUCAAACAAUGAGAUAUAUAUUUUCCUUCCUUAUACAUCUCAUUUGUAUAGGAAAUUGCACACAACCAGGGUACAUACAGAAACUGCACAUAAUCAGGAUGAUUACCAUGGACAUAGGAAACAGCAAAUAAUUAGGCUACAUAUUUUUCUUUCCACAGGAUCUGGCCAUAUAAAUACGGUGGCUGUACAUUAUAGAAGAAAUAAAUUGAAUCCAAUUCUCUAUCUCUUUACAAAAUUCUUGGCUAUUCAGUCUAAGAGAAUUGGCUUGUAAGAAUAAUAGACUCAGCUGCCUUUGUAAAAGCACAACUAAUCUGAAUGCUAAAGGUUAUUUCCUGUUUUCAUGACAAAAAUUAAAAGAUUAUGCUAUUGUUUGGUAGAGAUUAGAACUAGAUUUUUAGUAGAUUUUGAUAAAAAUCGAUGGAAUGUGUGGUUGAAAAGUCGUGGGUCCUACAAAAUGCCUAUUUAAACUAAUUUUUGAUUUUGACUUAGAUUUUAAUUAGAUCUUUUAGAGUUAACAAACUAGGCUAAAUAAAGGAUGUUUAUUGGUGAAAUGUCGAUAGGUUUAACUAGACAAUACUAAUAGGAUUAAAGGGUAAAAACUUCAAAUUUAAUUUGUCGUCCUAAGCAAUAUCUAGUUAAGAGUUAAGGAAACAUGACUAAUUAUGAAUAGUUCAAACUCAAUUGAGGAAUCCUUCGACUUGUAUUCCUACAACUGUAAUUUCCAUUACUAACACAAUAUUCUUGCGUGCCAAACCAUGAAAUGCUUGAAUCAAAUCUGCAAACUCUGCUUAGGAAAAAAUAGUUGGAUGUUGUCUGGUGUCUUGUACCAAGGGUUAUGCUGCUAGUGCUAUACAAGCUUAUAGCCCCCUCACAGGAGGGGGCCCCAUGCUGAUCGAGGUCCUUUGUACCAAAUAUUUCUAAGUACAUCCUUUUGCCUAUGUUGAUAGGGUGAAUCCAGACAUUUUGUGUCACGGGGUUAAAAAUUAAAGUGUAUUUAAAAAAANNNNNNNNNNNNNNNNNNNNNNNNNNNNNNNNNNNNNNNNNNNNNNNNNNNNNNNNNNNNNNNNNNNNNNNNNNNNNNNNNNNNNNNNNNNNNNNNNNNNNNNNNNNNNNNNNNNNNNNNNNNNNNNNNNNNNNNNNNNNNNNNNNNNNNNNNNNNNNNNNNNNNNNNNNNNNNNNNNNNNNNNNNNNNNNNNNNNNNNNNNNNNNNNNNNNNNNNNNNNNNNNNNNNNNNNUAUAUAUAUAUAUAUAAUUUAAUACAUAUUUUGAAACUUUGAACUAUUGAUACAUGUUGAGCUGUCGGCGAGUAAAUCAAAUGGAAUGUAGGAAGUAAAUUGAAAUAAAAUUCACAUUUAAUCUAGAAAGUAAAUAAAAUUUAAAUUUAAUUCGAAAGUUAUUCAAAUUACAUUUAAUCCAUAACGAUCCUAAAUUUUUUGACAUCAUAUUCCAUGUAAAAUUUCUUAAUAAAAUGAUAUAAAUUAUAUUAAAAAAAUUAUUUUGUAAAAAAUAAUAGUUGUUGAAAUAGUUAAAACAAAAAAAAAAUGAGUUAGACACCCCCUUUUAAAACGCACAAUCGAGCAUAUUUAAUUAUUUUCGAUAUCCGUUUGGACAAUUCAAUAUGACUACGAUGUAAUCUCGAAACAAGCUUCUAGAUGACAUAGGCAGUUUGUGGAUUCGAAUAGUAAACGAUUAUCGAACGAAUUUUAGAAUUUAGCAUAUUAUCAAAAUUCUCAAAAUAUUAGUUUAAAAUUGCCAAAUUUGAUGUGUCGUAACUUUUGCUACGUUUGGUCAUUUCACACGCUAUUAACGAGCGAAAAAUUAGGCCAUGAGUAUUUCGAAAUAGUAUUAAGAAUGCAAUUUUUUUAUUUCAUUUGGCAUCACAUAAUAAGUACGUCAAAAUAGGUAGUAAAGAAGGUCAAAACAAAUAUUUUCUGGAGAAAAAACAAAACAAAAAUUUUGUGGGCCGGCCCCUUAACUAAGUUCUCUUAUUGCCUACUGUAGAAAAGAUUUUCAAAGAAAUUCAUUUAAUUUUUAUUUGAAAAAUAAUUUCUAAAGGAGAUUUCUAUUCAAAAGUGAUUUUAGAGGAAGACACAUUAGAUUAACUUUCUCUAAAAACUCUUCUAACUAGAAGAAUCACUUUCAUAACCAAAAACAAUUUUUGGGCAUCAAAAGUUUAUUUUAACAUCUCAAAAGUUAUGUCAAAUGGGUAUUUAAUCAUGUCACUUGUGAUUGAUGAUGCUGUAAUACCCAACAAAAAGAACUUAAGGAUUACAUCCGUUGAUUAGUUCUGCUUAUUAAGAUUCCCGUUUAAAAAAAAUGCACUCUCACGAAAUUAAUUUUAUUCAAUUGAUCUAUACCAUUUGUAUAGUUAUUAGACCUAACUCGAUCAUCGACCUAGUCGAGGUACAAGGUCGUCGGGUUACUGAUUCGACCAAGGAACCGAUAGGUCAUUGUUUAAAAAUUGUUUAAAAGUUUUUAAAGUAUAAUUCCGUUUUUUCUUCAAAAAAAUAAUAAAUAAAUAAAUAAAUAAAGUUUUCAAGUUAUUUAUCACUAAUUACCUUUGAUUUAAUGAUUUUUUGAACUCAUAUAUUAGUUAUAAUGGUUACAUUUUGAUUUUAUAAUUUUGUACUUAUAUUAAAAACUAUAGUUCUCCAUUUUGUGAUAUACAAGUCACUUUAUUACUUAUAGACAAAAAUUUUAUGCGUAUUAUCUAUUCAAUUAAUUUAUCUUAGUUAAAAGUAAAAUAAAAAAAAAGUAAAUAAAAUAAUUAUUUGAUAAUACAAAAUGAAUGAAAAUGUUCUUUUAAGAAAAUUCCAGAAGGUAGCAAAUCAUUCAUUGGUUAAAUUCUUUUGCGCUACAGGUAAGGUCAUGCUCUAGUUAACUAGAGGUCCGGCAAACUUAUAUAAAAUUUCAACGGAGAAAAGUUUUGAAUUUUGGUUAAAAAAACCAACAGGUUAAGCUUGGCCCGACAAAUUUAUAUAAAAAUCACUAGUUGACUCAAUCAAAUCCGAUUUUGGCCUGGUCACUGGCAUUUAUAUAAUAUGAUCUUGAUCGUCUCGGUCAAGCGUCGGGGUUGUCGAUUUAUCGGGCAAGGUCAGUUUUAAUAACACUGACCAUUUGUGCAUUUUCAAAAACAAACCAAAGCCUAAAAAUAAGGGUUUCCAAUAGAAUCCACAUUCUAUUGAUAUUGCAAUGGCGAGAGAAAAAUACAGUCUCCGAUCAUUGUCAAUGUUCUCAACACAAGGCUGGGUACAAUACUUAUAAUAGAAUUCCGGAAUAUUAUCUUCGCUGCGUGGUAAGGGCUUCUAUAAACAAGCCAAGCCAUGUUGGAAUAAGACACCAUUUGACUGUGCAUGGUUGUAACAUUUCCAUAGAUUUGUUGAUUCUCGUUGUCGCCGGUGUUGGGAUCAUCGUCACAAAAGUUUAAAUCUGUAAAGUAACGAAAUGAAAAAAUAACUAAAUAAAUAAAUAAUAACCAAGUCAAACCUAACUUCUAGUCAAAUAUGUCAUACAAAAAAUAAAUAAAAAAAUAAAAUUUGGCAUACGUUGGAUUGGAGGGGGGGGGGGGGGGUCAAAAACAAAAUUAAGAUCAAAGAUGUCAAGCUCCUUAAAAACAAAAACAAAAAAGUGUUUAAAAACAAAAUAAAAAUAAAAAUAAAAGAGAGAAGAAGAAGAAAAGGAAUAUAUAUAUAGAGGGAUGUUAGCCUACUUUAUUAGAAAAUAAGUGAUUUGUACUAUUAAGAUUGAAUUCCUUAGUUUCGAAAUGUUAGUAAAAAGUUAUUUAUUGAAAAGUUAUGUUAAAUUUUAGGGUUUUCAAAUUGUUAGUUUAAAUUCAAUUUUAUUCAAAUGGAAUUAUUGAAUUAAAUAUAAUAAGCUAUGUAAUUAAGUGAAAAGAACGAAAAAUUAGCUUAAAUGAUUAAAGGAACUUUAGAAAUUGCUGAAACGUGAAAAUAUUAAGUUUUCGUAUUGCCUACUUAAUUAUUAGAAUUUCCUAAAAUAAUUAAUUGUUAAUCUAAAAAUUAUAUAAUAUUUCAGGUGGAAAUACAGAUAUUUGGACAGCUUGAGUAGAUUUUACGUACAUAAUUCAGUGAGUGAAAAAACUUAUAUAUUUUUAAAAAUUAAUAUAUUAAUUACACUAUUACAUUAUGUGCAAUUAUGUUAAUUUCUAGUACAAUUACAUGAUUGUUAUGAAAGGUUAUUUCAUUAUGAUAUAAGUGAAACCAUCAAAGUUGUACAUGGAUUAAUUGUGAAUUAGAAUGUGACAUGUGAUUUAGAGAUCGAUUAGAAAAGUACACACGAUUAAAUAUUUCUUCUAGUUAACAGAGAGGGGUUUUGGCAGUGUUCUAGAAUUGAUUGCGAGGGGUAUUGAGACCGGCUUUUGUUCACAAAGGGGCUAAAGCCUCGUGGCGAAAGUUCUUCGCUCGAGUGGCGGAUUAUAGAUUUUAGUCUAAGUGUACAUUUUUGGUGAAUUACAUGUGGUGUGAUGAGAUGAUAUUAUAAAUUUGAGUUGAGGAUUAUAUCAUGAUUAUGAGAUUAUAUAUUUCACUGUUAUGAGGAUGUUUCACAUCUUGACCAUUAUUAUAUGUUAUUAUACUUUAGACUAUUAUGAUAUAAACUCAAUUUUCGAUAAAGAUUUAUAAAUGAAAAAGAAUAAUUAUUUUCAAACUUCUCCAUUCACUGAGUUAUUAAUUCAUAUAUUUUUCAAUGAUUUUUCCUACAGGUACCAAUUGAUUCUUUAUAGUUGGAGGAGUCUAAUGAUUUCAAUGUGAUCGCCACACGAUAUAUUAAGUGUUAAAUUCAUAUUGAUGAAGCACAAAGUAAAUAUUUAGGCCUAUCACAUUAUAUUUUACACAAGUGUUUGAUUUUAGCACAUUUUUGUAGUAACUCAUAGUUAGCCUUGGUGAUAGACAUCUAGUCGACAUUUAUCAUCGGCGCACAUCAUGUUUCGAGUCCACUAGAGUGAUUCAGAAUGGGUUGUGUCAAACACUACUGAAAAAUAGCUUUUCACCUACGAAAAAUUACCAACGGAGCAAUCCGUUGGUAAAAAUUAUUCACUUUCAGCUACAAUAAUCAACAACGGAUUUUUCGUUGGUAACAAUGAUAUAUCUUUACCAACGGAUAUUAUGUGUCUCAUGUAACCGUUUAACUUUUGGAUCUUUCACCUACAGCAGAUGACGUACCGAAUGUUAGUAAUUAGAAACGAAUUAUCCGUUGGUAAAAUAACUCACUUUCAGCUAUAAUAAUUAGCAAUGGAUUUUUCAUUGGUAACGAUGAUAUUCCGUUCCUCAUGUAAUCAUUUAACAUUUGAAUCUUUCACCUACGGAUAUUCCGUUGGUAAUUAGAAAUUGAUUAUCCGUUGAUAAAAGUAAUUCACUUAUCCCACAUCGAAAGUUCACAACAAAGUUUUUGGAGUUGCCCUCUAUAAAUUAAUUUGUUGUCCAAUAAGUGGUUAAACAAUAUUUAAGCAUUUCAAUUCGGUUGGCAUAAAGUUAAAAAGAAAAAAUAGGAUUGUUUAAUAAUUAAUAAUAACAAUAAUAAAAAAAUAAAUACUAUUUUUUUAUUUUUUAUUUUUAUUUAUUUAUUUAUUUUAUUUUUUUACCAUGCCUCACACCUAUGUGGCUAUUUACAACAUUGAUUUUUACCAAUUGUAAUGGUAGACAUUUACCAACGGAAAGUUGGUUGGUAUUGAUUAAGAUGUUUACCAACAAAAAUUUUGUUGGUAAAAGAUUCACACUUUACAAACGAAAAAUUCGUUGGUAAACCGUUGGUAAAAUAUUUACUUUUUACCUACGGCAUGAUCCGUUAAUAACUAUUAGCGAUCCUCAAAUUAGUAACGAAUUUGCAAUUGCAAAUAUUUCGUUGGUAAAGAGUAAUAGCAACGGACAUCGAGGUUUCAAGAGCAGAAAAUUCGUGCCUGAAGCCAUGUUUUUUAGUAGUGAAAGUGGUAUUAGAGCAUGGUUUUUGAAAUUUUCAUUGUUCAUGCAUUUGUAUAUCAUACAUAGUCUAUGUGUAUAGUCACAUGUCGUGGUGAUAGAAAUCUUAGGCUCUCACAUGUCAUGGUGACAGAAAUCUUAAGCUCUCAAGCUUUUGCUACUUGAUGGUUCGGAACCUAAAAUGAUAAAAUAGUAUUCUUAGUGGAUUUAGAAAUGACUAGCAUAUAAGUAUUGUACUUGCAAUGGUUUGAUUGUUGAAAAGGUUAUACUUUGUUGGGUUGGUAAUAUGGUGUAUGUAACCUAGUACCUAUUAAGAGUGCAACAUUAAACAUACACCAAUUCGGAAUUGGAGUUUAAUGAUUUUGUUGAGUAUCUAUCUAUAUACUUUUGAAGGAAUGGAGUAUACAAUUCCCUAAUUAGUAAAUUAUAUGAAGGAUUAUAUGAUCCUUUAGUGUAUAUAUAGAAAAUCUUUAGUUAUAGCUUGCACAAUAAAUAAUGGAGAAUGAUAUUACAUAUGAUUGAUUGGUGACAAUCAUGCAAGGAAUUUUAAUUAUAUUGUGAAGCUAAAUGAUUAAUGGUGUUAUCCAAAUUUUAUGGUGAUUUGUGGGCACUUAUAUGGGGCAAUGACAGAGAAUUGUGAUGGUAUAUGUUUAUGCUAUGUGAGAAGAAAUCGUGAAAGACAAAAUGAUGAUUUGUUGAUUGAUAUAUAGGAAUGUACUAUUGUAUAUCUUAAGCAUCAAUAGGAUUAACAUUUAGGUGAUUCCAAUUAUUUAUGAAUUGUUUGAUUAUAAGGAAUAUAAGUAAAAUAGGGAAAGAUUUCAAAAUGAUCGCUUAUUAUGGGUGAUUUAUUGCUUAAGAAAUAGAAUUAAAUGGAUAUGUGCAUUUAAGUAUGUUUAUGUGAUUCAAAAAAAAAUAAAAAAAUAAAAAAUGAGUAGAGAAUGGUAGAGUUGGAAUUUAUUGAUAUUUGAAAAUUAACAUAAGAAAUUCUAGUGUUAUGUUGAUUUGUGAAAAAAUUUGUGUGAUAAAUAUGGAAGUUAUUAUUUUGUGAUGUUAAGGGAAAACAAUACGAUUAAAUAUUUUAGUUCCUACGAUAUAAUGAUAAAUGACAAAGUUAUAUGAUCAAAUUAUGAUAUGGUGAAUAAUAAGUAAAUGAGUGUUAUGGUUGUCCUAUAGCAAGAUAGUUUGACAAUAUAUUUGGGUUAUUAAAUUAAUUAAUUUUGUCAAGGCUAUUUGUUGAUUAUUAUGUUAUAUUAACUAAUAUUUGGAAGGUUCAAGUUAAAUUUUGAAAUUAAGGUGAAUUUUUAGUGACGUAAAGUUUGGGUUAUUUUUUAUUAUAUAUUUCGGAUUUCACGAAUAACGUAAUCCAUUCUUACCAAGAUCUAUUUGCUAUGUAAUAUAUGGAUGAUAGUAAUCCAAACUCUAAGACAAUCGUCAAAUGUAAAUAUUACUCAUUGUGGAAUAGUAGCUUUAGAUUUCAUUGUCCCAAUUAAAGGUCUUUUAUGAAAUAUACAUGAAGGCUUAUGCAUUAGUGGUCGAGCAAUGGCCUAUUUAUGGAAUAAGAAUAUAGGUUUUCAUGGAUUAAAUGUCAUUAUUCUCUUCAUAAAGAGAAAGAACAAAAUUUGUAUGGGUAUAGAAAUAUCAAAAGUUGUACUAUCAGGAAAUUCUGAGGAAAUAUUUGCUCUUAUAUUUAAAGAUGAUUAGUGAUUAAUUCACGAUAAUGAUUUAUGUUAUGGUUUAGAAAGUGUUCUGUAAGUGGAAUGAUAAAUUAUGGAUUAUGUUGUAGAUUGUUAAGGAUAUAUUAUUAAAACAUGAUAUAUGGUUGGCUAUAGUGGGAUUGACUUUAGGAACUGUGGCGUUAUCACAUGGUGGGAAGAUCAAUGACAACAUGAGGUUAAGGUAUAUUUGUAUUCGAAGGAGCUGAACUUGAAGCUGGGUAUAUAUUAUCGUUGGGUGAUAAAAUGAAAAGCUAAGAAUAUCACAUAUUGAUCAUUAUGAUGAUAUUUAAGGUAUCGGUUAACAUAUAUUCCAUAUUUCGAGACUUAGUAAAUAGAUAUCAAAUUAAACUUAUGCCAUAUGAUUAUCAGUAGAUUUGAUUGAAAAUCUUACCUAUGAAGAAGAAUUAGUUUGAAUAUUGAACAAAAAAGAACAGGUCUUAUGUAGUAAGAGUAAGACUGUUCUUUUAGUAAAAAUCUUGUGGAUGAAUCAGGCUAUAGAAGAAGCGACAUGGAAAAGUGAAGAGCAGAUGCAUUCUCAGUAUCUACAACUUUUUCGUAUAUAGCAAGUUGAAUUUCGUUCUCUUAAGGGGGUGAGUUUUGUAAAUAUUAUCCAAUUCAUUUGCUAUAAUCACAUACCAGAAAAAGAAAAAGAAAAGUCAAAAAUUAAAUUAAGGUCAAAGAUGUCAAGCUCUUUAAAAAAAAUAAAAUUAAAAAGAUUGAGAGAGAGAGAGAGAGAUAACGGUAGGCGAUGGAAUAUCAACACCUGUUUGAUCCCAUUUUGGAGGAAACAAUGCAUUUUGAAUAAGAGAUUGAUGAAGAAUGUGAGGUUAAAAAUUAAAGAAAAAUUUUGAAUUUGAAUGUAAUAUUAUUUUAUUGAAGAAUGUAUGGUUGAAAAUGAGUUUUGAAAAAAAUGAAUUUUUGGAAGAAUGUGAAUCAAACAUGGUUUCAAUCCACCCGUACAAAUCCAUUCCCACAUACAAACACCCACAACACAACAAUAAGAAAGAGAGAACGAGAGCAAAGAGAAAAGAAAGAAAAGAGGAAAGAAAGAAGGGAAAAAAAAGGAAAGAAAGAAAGAAGAAGAAGAAAGGGUAAAAAAUAGGAAUGUACUACGUUGUUAGAAAAUAAGUGAUUUAUAUAUUAAGCUUGAAUUCCUCAGUUUCGAAAGGUAAAUAAAAAGUUACUUAUUAAAAAGUUAGGUUAAAUUUUAGGGUUGUCAAAUUGUUAGUUUAAAUUCAAUUUUAUUGAAAUAGAAUUAUUGAAUUAAGUAUAGUAAACUUUGUAAUUAAAUUAAGUGAAAUGAAAGAAAAAUUAGCUUACGUGAUUAAAGGAACUUUACAAAUCGCUUAAACAUGAAAAUAUUAAGUUUUCUAUUGCCUACUUAAUAUCAGAAUGUCUUAAAAUCAUUAAUUGUUAAUCUAAAAAUUAUAUCAUAUUUCAGGCAACGAUACGGAUAUCGGGAUAGUUUACCAACAGAGUAGAUUUUGUGUACAUAAUUUAGCUAGUGGAAAAACUUAUAUAUUUAUUAAAAAUUAAUAUAUUAAUUAUACUAUUACAUUAUGUGCAAUUAUAUGAAUUUCUUGUACAAUUACAUGAUUAUCAUGAAAGGUUCUUUCAUUAAAAUACAUGUGAAAUCAUUAAGGUUGUACAUGGAUUACUUAUGAAUCGAAAUGUACAUGUGAUUCAGAGAUAGACAAAAAAAGUAUCCGUGAUUAUAUAUUUAUUCUAAUUCACAGAGGGACCUUUGUCGUGUUUCUACACAUAGAGGUCUUGACCGAACAUUGGUCUUGAUCGUGUACAUAUAGUUCACAGUGGGGACUUGACCAUAUUCUAGAAUUGAUUACCAGAUAUCUUAAGACCGGCUUUCGUUCACAGAGGGGGCCAAAGACCAGUGUAAAAUGUUCUUAACCCGAGGGGUGGAUUACAAAUUUCAGUCAAAUGGUACAUUUUUGGUGGAUUACAUGUAGUGUGAUGAGAUGAUAUUAUAAAUUUGAGUUGAAGAUUAUAUCAUGACUAUGAGAUUAUAUAUUUCACUGUUAUGAGGAUGUCUCACAUCUUUAUUAUUAUUAUAUGUUAUUAUAUUUUGGACUCUUAAAUGAUGUAAACUUGAUUUUAGAUAAGGAUUUAUAAAUCAAAAAGUGUAAUUAUUUUCGAAUUUCUUCACUUACUGAGCUAUCAACUCAUAUAUUUUUUCAUGAUUUUUCAUACAGGUACCAAUUAGUUUUUUAUUGCUGGAAGAGCCCGAUUAUUUCAAAGCAUUAGACAUGCGACGUGUUGAGUGUUAGGUUCAUAUUGAUAAAACACGAAGUAAAUAUUUUAGGUCCAUCGCAUUAUAUUUUACAUAAGCAUUUGAUUUUAGCGCAUUUUUGUAGUAACUAAUAGUCAACCUUGAUAAUAAAUUUGAUAUCUAGUCAACAUUUAUCAUCGGCCCACAUCACGUUUCGAAUCCAUUUGGAUGAUUUGGGACAGGUUGUGUCAAAAUCACUCACCAUUGGUGAUGCAAAGAACUAAGAGAUCAACUUUUAUCAACUAAAUGCAUGUUUGAGCCCCUUUCUUGGCUAAAAAUACAUUUUACAAUAGUAGAUUGAUAAAAAUUGUUUGUUUGAAAAAUAAGAAAAGUUUUGACUUUGUGUGUAAUAUUAUUUUAUUGAAGAAUAUGUAGUUAAAGAGAAGAGAGAGAAAAUAUAUAUUUUGAAAAUAAUGGAAAUAAAACAAGGGCUAAAUUCACGCGAAAUCAUUGGUGAGCAAAAAUUAUUAUUCAUGUCCACGUGAAUAAGAAUGAUACACAUGUUAAAUAUAAUAUCACAACUAAUAAGUAAAAGACAAGAUAUGGCGAAUAAAACAUGAAAAGUUAAGAAUCAAUUACAGCUCCUAAUCAACAACUGCCACGUGUAAUUAAAGGAAAAUACUUAAUUUCCCUAAUGGAAUCAUCAGAAAUCUAUAAAUAGGCAUAGUUAAAAUAAUAAUAAUAAUAAUAAUAAAUAAAUAAAAUAAAACUUGUUAUGAUCUCCUUUCAACGAGUCAUUUACUCCUAAAUCUCACCUCAAUAAUAGUUCAGUGAGCUUGGGGAGGAAAAGAAAUCACCUCAGAAUGUGGAAAAAUCAGGUAAACUUCUGCUUAGUAGUUGGCUUUGAGAAAGCGGCACCCAAUACCUGCAAUAAGAAAUGUGCUCAUAUCCAGCAUAAAACACACGAUCAUGCAUGGUGCAAUUGAAAAUUGAAGGCGUGAAUUGAAUACCUAACAUCAUAUCUUGAAAAAAAGAGUAGCAAUAUUAUCGGGCCAACAAUGACUUCCAGACAAGGAGGCCAUGAAAACAGAAAAUGAAGUGGGGGCUCCACUAUAAACUCUAUUUAAAAGUCCUGCCUCAAAGUAGUCUUCAAUAAUGGAAAUAGAAGUUUCUUUUGUUCCAGCAUUCCAAUGCCCUAUUUCCACUAAAGUGAAUGUUGCAAAAACCCGACACAUCAAAAAGUUCGAUGAAAUGGACAGUGGUACUAGGACAAUUUGAAAUUAAUUAUAAAGGACGUUCUGCAAUCAAGGCACAAGCACUGGAAAAUUUCAUCGCCGAACAUCGGAGUUCUCCCAUUCCUUAAAUGAUAUCGGGCAAGAAGGACCCUAGAGAUUGUUUUUUGAUGGGUCAUCGAAAGAAAGUCUUUUGAGCCUCAUGAGAUGGAACAUAUGCUUCGCCUAUUGCCUGCAAUGGAGAGGGUGAUACAAUAUGCACUCUUCCUUUUAUGCUCAUCAAAAUGUAAGUAUUUUCAUUUCGAAAACUUCUGUUCGUGCAUCAGGGCUUUUUCCUUUAAUUUCUCAAUUCGAUCUUGUACGAUCUUCUUUCUACUUUCUAUUGUUUCUUUUGUCAAUAUUUCAGUCUGAAUGAGAUCUACCAGUUGAUGAUAUCUGUAGUACGAUUAUUGUUGCAAACGUUAGCAAUCCAUUCGACAAUGCAUCCAUCACCUUUUCAUCAAAUAUAGUUUAGCACUAAAUGAGCUCAAUGCUUAAACGAGUGAAGUAGCUCUUCAGAAUUUUCUUUUCCUUUUGUCUCAUAUCGUUCAGUCUAGUGAUGGGUAUCUCAUCGAGUCGACUUUCAGCAGAAACUCCAAAUUAAGGCUCCUUCAAUUGUGGUGAGCUCCUAGUUGAUCCUAACGGCAUUUUCAACCUUUUCGUCAAACCAUCUAACAUCGAGUGGAAAUAUUGACAGUUGAGUGUGUGACUUAUCUUUUUCAACUUCAUUUGUGUCAUAUACUCGUACAAAUGAUACAUUAGAUCUCCCUUUCUACAAUAUUUUUCUAUCUUUGGGUGAACAAAGUUAUCUAGAGUGGAGAUGCCUUUUUCUCCUUUGAGAAUGGAUAGCUCUUAUCACCAUCAUCUAGCUGAUAAGAUCUUCCUGGCUUGUUUUCAUACUCCCCAUAAAUGGGAGCAAAAUAAGGAGAGUUAAGUAAGCUCCCCGCCUUUCUAACUUACGUUUACACAUUUUCCCAUGAAAACUUACCUCCCCUAGCCUGUCAAACACACUUGGAGAUACAUUAAUACAAUGAUCAUCUCAUUUCUUGCAAAGUAAACAAUUCUACAUGUUUGAUAUUCGAACAUUUUGGUUACCGCUGAAAGGAUGGAAAUAACUUGCUGUGGGUUCUGGAUUUUUAUAUCCCGGUUCCAAACAAAAGUCUACCUUUGAAUAACUACCAUCUCUCGCAAGGAGAUGGCCUAAGUAGUGUUGCUCUAAGAAUCUCAGUCAUCUCUUGUAUAGUUUUUGCCGUAGAGAUCUUCUUCAAUUGGCAAUUGGUAGGGAAGACAACUGCGUCAAUUUUUGUCGGAGAUUCUUCCCGUUUGUUAAGAAUUGGGGGUCCAUCUUAAAAUGUCAUCUUUGUUGAGAGGAGUAACUCAAUCCUUUAUAUGCUGGUCUAUAUUUCGGUAUUUGACCGAUAUGAGAUUUUAUCCAUUAAGACACCCUCCCAAGAUGGUGAUUCAUUGGAACAGACCAAUCUUGGAAUCCGUAUGCUCAUUUAUUAAUUCUUAAUCGGAUCGUAUUGCUUGUUGGAGUUUAAUGGGCUCUGAUAUGAUGUUAAAACCUGGGAUUCCAUCUUAAAAGGUCAACCUUGUUAAGAGAAUUAACACAAUCCUUUAUAUGUUUGUCUAUAUUUUGAUAUUUAACCGAUGUGAAAUUUUAUCUCUUAAGACCAUUUUCACUUUGGAUUAAUAUCGUUGUCUUCAAAGUGUUAAAACUUAGGGUUCCAUCUUAAAAGGUCAACAAGGUAAGAGGAAUAACCAAAUCUUUAAUAUGUGGUCUAUAUUUCAGUAUUUAACCGAUAUGGAAUUUUAUCCCUUAAGAUGCCCCACAAGAUGGUGGCUCAUUGCAGUAGAUCAAUUUUGAAAUUUGUAUGCUCAUUUAUUGAGUCUUAAUCGGAUCGAACUGUUCGUUGGACUCAAUGAACUCUGAUACCAUGUUAAGAAUUGGGGUUUCAUCUCAGAAAGGUCAAUCCUAUAAAGAAGAGUAACCCAAUCAUUUAUAUGUUAGUCUAUAUUUCGGUAGAUCUUUGGUGAUUCAAGAGGCGGCUUAUCAUUAUUCAUAAUAAUGAGAAUUGCUGAAAAAAUGUCCAACCUUUUUAACCGAUGUGUGAUUUUAUCCCUUAAGACACGGUUGUCACUAAGAAUCUCUGCUCUGGUUCUUAGUGCUUCUACCUCAACAAGAUUCACCUUCCCUUUCUAGGCAGCUUUCUAGUGAUUUUUAACUCAAAACGGUGAGAUCAUGGUUACUUUGUUCUGUUUUUCACAAACAACACAAAUUUAUUUAUCUCAAAAUAAUGAGCAACAAAUUCCUCCCAUCUAAAUAGGAUUUUCUCCUUCUAAACUCUCUAUUUCAAUCCUUAAGCAAGAACAAGAAGAGAAAUGGUUAUUUGAGAAGAGGACUCUCAGAUUGCAUGCCUCUCAAUUCUUAACUAUGCCAAUUUAUAGAUUCCUAACGAGACCUUGCAAGUAAAUAAAAUAUUUUAUAGUAAGAGUUGCAUGAUAGCCAUUAAUUAGUGAAGGAUUAUGCUACAUGUACAUUAUAGUGUCCAUAAUGUACAAGUGGCAUAAUAUCAUUGAAGGGUUGAAAAACAGUUUUUUCAACCCUCCAAUCAUGAAAUUCUACAUGUAUAUUAUGGAAACCCUCAUGUACACCAUAAUGUACAUGUAGAAUUAUCCAUUAGGGAAUUUUAAAAUGAAUCUAUUAGUUUUUCACGUUUUAUUUACAUAUCCACGUGUUGCUCAUUCAUUGUUUAUGAAAUCAUUCUUUACUUUCACAUUCACAUGUGCUUUGAUAAUGGUUUGUACAGAUGCGAAAUAGCUGGUGAAAUCAAUUAAGUACAUUUGCUCAUUGUUUACUCUCAAGAUUGAUAAUAAAGUCCGCAUCACAAAUGCUCACUUAUUUUAUCAUUAGCUUGCGCAUGGUUCGAUUGACUUUGAGAAGAUUCACUACUAAUCCUUGUAUUAAUUUUAAUUGACAAUAUCAACUAUGACCAAUUCAGACCCAGUUUCUCUGUAGCCUUUCAAAUAAGAAAGGAGCCCUACCACGCCUGGCUAAAAAGAAUGCCCUGAAAAUUUAGAUAAGGGGAUACUUUUCCCAACCAUUAAAGGAAAGGCUCAACGAAAUGAUAGAGAUGCUGCGGGGAAGGGAAACGCUUUCGGAGAUCGAGAUCGGAUUUGUUUUCCAUCAAAAAUGACGAAGGUCAAGGAUGACCUACGGUGCAUCGUAUCUGAAGAGAACAGGCUUUUUUUACCACAGUGGCAUGAUUUGCCGGGCCAUUCUGCCUGCUGGCCUAUUGGGCUAGCAGCCUUUGGGCUUUGCUUGCCCUUUACAAAAUUUCAUCUCAACCUGAGAAAGCACUGGCAGCAACAGAAAGGAAGGAGUCCAUGUAACUGCUGCAUCCUUAACCCUAGGUAACAGUUUAAAAUGUAGGCCCAUUUUAUUCCUUAAAACUUAAAACAAUGCUUGUGAAAUGUUUGUGGGAGGGACCCUAUCAUUAAAAAGUUGUGUGCCCAAGACAUAUAUCAAGCAAUUCCCUCUCAAUUUCUGUCCCCUUUCGACCCACCAAAUUCAUCCUCAUAUAUCAAGACAUUUUUGUUUACAAAGUUAUUUUACUUUUAAAAUAUAUAAGAUGAUCUUUAUAAAAAUUGAUUUUAUGAUAUUACCUCCUCUUGUUGGUAUCAACUCUUCUCGGAUAAAAAUAGGUUAAUAUGGUAUUAGCUUAAGCAAUAAAAAAUUAUUUAUUAAUCAGAAAGAUCCUGCGCCUUUUAUUUCGUCAAGUAUAUUAUUAAUAUGGGUUGACUGAGUUAAUCCCGGAUUUAAGUGGCCAAGUGGUUUUGGCCUCUUAAUUAAUCACAUCUAGUUAUUUUGUCAUUGCAUGUGAUUUUAGUGAUAGAAAUUAGGGAGGUUUUAUAUAAGAUUACAACUUCUAUCUUACUCAUAUUUAUUUAUUAUGUACUUGUCCUUUUAGAAAUUUCUUUACACCCUUUGAUGAUUGUCGACAUGCAUAAAAAGUCACAUGAAAGCAACAACUGAUGAAAAAUAUUUGUUUAUUGUAUGAAAUAAAACAAUAUUCGAGCGAAGUGCCGUUCCGGGCCAUGUCCAAAUAACCACGACAAACUAUUAUAUUAUUAUACUAACUUGUAUCCUUCAUUAACAAAAUGAAAAAUAAUUACCAAAUGAGAUGAGGAUGGAAAGAACCAAAAUUGUGACUACAAGGAUCCAAAAGCUCUUCCUGUUAGAUAUAAUAGUCGAAUGAAAUUUUUGUGUGCGAAUGGGGUACAUUCAUUUAUAGAGUAAAUAGUACAAAACGUCCCUACAUUUAAUUGUUGUUGUACAAAACGUCUCGACCUUCUAUUUUUUGGCCUUUUCACCCUUAUUACACAUUUGAUUGCACAAAACGUCCUUCCACGCAUUUCCAUCAAAUUUUUUAAUUGAUGCACAUUUGAUUGCAAGCAUGGAAUUUGCACAGAAAAAGAAUAAAUUUAUUUUUUUGAUUGAUUUAAUUUUCGACUUAGAAAAUAUUAUACAUGUCCAUUUUUAUUGUUGGGUAGAUGAGAGAGAAAGAGACAGUUAAUUCUCUAGAAAAUAAAAUCAUACUCUUCCUAAAAAGAAUAUUUUCCUUGAUUCUAAUGAAAAUAUGGUCAUGUGACCAAUAGUAGGAAAAUGUUUUCCGCGGGAAUUUUGAUGAAAAAACACAUUUUUCAUGAAAAAUAUUGACAAUCAAACGCACAUAAGUAAACAAUAUAGUCAACUUUUUUAUUUAUUAUUCAAAAUGGAAGGGUAUUAUUGUCUCAAUACAUUUUUCCCUUCUCUUCCAAAGAGAAUAAUCAGUAGAGUUGGCAAUGGGUGGGUUCAGGGCGGGUCGGGGUCUCCCACCCUAUUACCCAUUCAAAGUGAGACGGAGCGGGAUCGAGGCGAGGCGGGAAAAUGCCCCAUUUACGUACCCGUUUAGGUGUGUGUGUGUGUGUGUUUUUUUUUUUUUUUAUAAUUCAUUUUAUUACCCCCAUUCAUUCAAGUGAGACAAUAAUAUAGUUAUUGAAUUUUUUAAUUAAUUAAUUUAUUUUUAAAAGUUAAAUUAUUCAAAUAUAUUUGGUAAACUAAGAUUUUUAUUGAUUAUUAUAUUUCUUGGAUAAUCUUAGUUUUCAUAUCUUAUUAAAAUUAAUGAAAUUCCGUGGAGUUUUCGAUUUAAAUUACAAAAUUAAUGAAAUCUUAGUCCCGCCCUGAAUACCCGAUUAAGCGGGUAAUCCCGCCUCAUUCGGGACAUGGCCCCGCGAGUAUCGGGUUUGGAGUGUUUUUUUUUGCUGUUCCUAAUUAUCAGCGAAAGCCAACGAGUCCCCCAGCUGCAAAGAGACUAUUUGGUUGGUCUUGAUACUUCAAGUGGGUCCAGCAUUUCUCGUGAAUGUUGGGAAAAGAAAUCACUUUAGAAUGUGGAAAAAUCAGGUUAACUUCUGCUUAGUAGUAGGUCUUGAGAAAGUGGGUAGCCAAUACCUGCAACAAGAAAUGGGGGCUCAUAUCCAGCAUAAACACGCAAUCAAGCAUAGUGCAAUUGAAAAUGGAAGGUGUGAAUUGAAUACCUAACAUCAUACCUUGAAAAAAGAAUAGCAAUAAUUAUUUUUUUUUAAUUUCAAUUUUUUUGCAGAUUUAUCAGACCAACAUUACACAACGAUUUCCAGACGAUGAGGCUAAGGAAACAGAAGAUGAAGUAGUAACUCCACUAUAAUGGAAAUUUAAAAGUUCCGCCUCAAAGUAGUUUUCAAUAAUGGAAAUUGUUAUGGAACAGGGAGUCGAAUAUGACAAUAUGAAGUAUAUGAUCGAACACAAAAAACAAGAUUAAAAGCAAGAAAUAGAUUCGUGGAGGAACUGAAUAUUUUAUUUGACAACCAAUGGAGAAAAUAAUAUCGUUACAGCAAUCUCAGCAAUAUUUAAACUGAAUGAAGAGUCUACUAUUUAUAAGGGACAUAUAAAAACCCUAGAAGUAAUGUAAAAGAUGAAAACUAUAUCAAAAUACGCGUGAAACCGACAAAAGGAGAAAAUCUCGCAUGUCACAAUUGCUCAAGGGAGAGACUGAUGCCAGGCUAGCGACAGCCAUGUCGCUCGAGCGAGAGCUUGGUGACAAGCAAGUGACAGCUCUCUGGUCCAAAAGUUCACCACUGCUCGAGCAGCCAGCUAGUGGCUAGCUAGUGAAAAUGUAGCGACUUUUCUUCUCGGUCCAUAAUUUUGAUCUCUUCAUGACCACUACUCCAAAUCAUACGACCCUAGACCGAAUUUGUGUCACAAACCAAGCAAUCUCCACCUUGACACAAAUUUCGGUGCAACAAUCGAAGCUCAAAAAUUUCUCCAUUGAAAAAAUAAGUCUGAUCGCAAUGAAACAACUGAACUCUUCAAUUCGAAGCAAACUUUUCCAAUCACACAAAAUACUCCUCAUCUUCCACAAUAUCCAACACGGAUACAUAGGGUUCUCAGAAAGAUCACAAAGAAUUUAAAAAUGACCAAACAGGAUUGAAGUGCACCGUAUAGUAAAAUCAACUCUGAAUGCUUUCAUCGAAGGCCCCUUGCUAGUCUCGAUACCCUCAAAACACCAAAAGUAUGCACAACCAAAUCAGCAUCCUAGUGCCUAUCUUCAAUGGGUCUACCCUAGCAGUUGAAUACAAUGGAACCACAGACAAUCGUGGCAAAGCAAAAUUACCCAUAUCCUCUAAAUUCGACUGAGUAUUAUUCUUGAAUAUGGACCCAGAGUCAAAUCCUAAAGGUACAAUACCAAACUGAAUUUCCACAUGGUUCUAAACCUAUGCUAACUUUUCUUCACUGUUUCUGCCCGACCUUGCAAUAUGUAUAACUAGGACCUCUUCCUUCCUUCCAAUAGAGCAUGGACACCCCUUCGAACUCUCAUGACUUUACCUCUUCUAGAGACUGCAUACCCUUUCAAAUCAAGAGUACUUAACGAAAUAAGAUUUUUCUUCAAAUCUAGAAUAUGUCGAACGUGAUCAAGUGUUCUACAUAUUUCAUCUACCAGCUUCAACCUAACUCUCCCAAUAGCAGCUACCUGACAAGAUUUAUUGCUACCCAUGAUAAAGACAAAUUGCGUCAUCGUUUUAGAUGUUUCAAACAAAUCCCGAAUGGGACACGUAUGGAACAAAAAAGUUGUGUCCAAGAUCCACUCCUCAUCAGGUUUGGAUUCCACAUCAGAAAUUGCCAAGAGAUCUCCAUCAUUCAAAUAGUCCUCAGCUAUAUUGGCUUCGUCCAAAGUGUUUGACUACUUCCCAUAAUUUGCAGUUGAAUUACCUUUGCUAUGCAACUUUUUGCAAUCUCUCUUGAUGUAUUCUUUCUUCUUGCAAUAAAAAUAAGCUUGAUUGCUGAAACUUGACCUCGAUUCACCCCUUUAAAUUUUGCCUUACCUUAUUAGAUUAGGGGCGAUAGACUGUAAUCAAGACAAGAAGCUCGAGCGGAAGGCUUUAAGGCAUAGCUCGAUAUCCAUGAACCAUAAGACAUUCUCCAUCUCUAAGCUCAAAUCCAAUUAGAUGUAUCUAGCUGGCAUCUUUACUUGUCAAAACGAAAACCUUGUAUUGCUAUCCAAAAGCGAAAUUUCAUACUUCGUGGCUGUCAUCGAUAACAGAAACUUCAAACAAAAUAACAACCUUGCUCUGAUAUCAAGUUUUAUUAAAUGGAGAAGCAAAUAUGAUACAAUAUGAAGUAUAUGAUCGCACACAAAAAACAAGAGUAAAAGCAAAAAAUAGAUUGAUAGAGGAACCGAGUAUUUUAUUCAACAACCAAUAGAGAAAAUAAUAUUGUUAUAGCAAUCUCAGCAAUGCCUGGACUAAAUGAAGGGUCUACUAUUUAUAGAGGGCUUGUCAAAACCCUAGAAAUAACCUAGAAGAUAAAAACUAGGUCAAAAUACGAGUGAAUUCUUGUGCGGCACAGUCGCUCGAGCGAGAGCUUACGCCAGGCUAGUGACAGACAUGUCACUUGAGCAAGAGCCUGGCUACAGUUGAGCGACAACUCUCUAUUCAAAAGUUCGCUUACUACUCGAGCAACCAGCUAGCGGCAGGCUAGCAAAAAUAAGACGACUUUUCUUUCCAAUCAAUAAUUUUUAUCUCUUCAGGACCACAAAUCCAAAUAAUGCAAUCCUAGACAAAAUUUGGAUCACAAACCAAAUAGAAAUAGAAAUAGAAGUUUCUUUUGUUCCAACAUUCCAAUGUCUUAUUUCCUUAAAAGUAGUCUCAAUUUCCAUCCAGCAUUUCGGAACACCUCCUUUUGUCCACGGGGCAUUAUCAAUCGACAGUUUCAUUUGGUCCUUUUGAUUAAUAAAGUAGCAUUGUCUUAUUCAUGGGGUUUAAUGGAAUAAUCUAGCUCUUGCAAUUGGGAAGAUAUAAUAUUCAUUUUAUUUCUUAUGGUACAAACUUCCCUCAAUCAAUAAAAUGAGAAAAAGAAGCAAUUUCAGCUAACAGAUACACCCCGCCCUUCCUAAGAAAACUUCACAAGAUUUUGUAAAGGAGUGAACAAAUACACAUUUCAUUGUAAAAGCAGAAAGCCAAAACUUUUGCCUAUACAUCCAUUGACGGUAGAAACAAAUCAUCCAUAAGUGAUUAGUUUAAUUUUGUCUAAAUAAAUCCAAAAUAAGCCAUCUUCUCUUAACGGCCAAUCCAAAUAGAAUACUAAUAGAAAAAUCAAAGUUUUAUUGGAUCCAAAUCUAUUGCUUUUCCUCUGUAAAUAGAACAUGGGAUUCCCCCUCAACAAUCCCAAAGAACUGUUCUUUACUUGCUGCAGCUAUACCUAUGCACUUUAGAAAUCCCUUUCCUUUCCUUGCUACAGCAUUGGCUUUUGCAGAUAAUGCCCUGUGGACAUGGGCAAAUUUAGGGAUCGAGUUCAGCUAGGGUGGACUAGAAGAUUGAAAGCUUAUUAUCGAAGGCCAACGUCCGUGAUAGCGAGAUUGUUUAUUAAUAUUUAAUUAAAGAAUAUUCAAAAAAUUGUACGGAUUAGAACUAGAAGAACUAGAUACACCACUAGAACUAGCACUAGGUACGAACUUUUAUUUUGAAUAAAAAAAUUAUUCCAUAAUCUUUGAAAACAUCCUAAUUUAUUUUUCAAUUAAAUAAGUAAUAUACAUUAACAAAAUGCUAAUAUUCAGUUUACAAUUAAAGUUAAUUAAACACGUAUUAUUAUAUUUAAAAAAUUGAAAUUAUUCAUAUGCUUAUAUCAAUUUUAUGUGCUUCACUUUUUUGCUAUUAUUUUUUGUGAAUGAAAAGUGGAACCUUUUAUUAAUUAAAUAAGUUUUGUUGAAAGAUUCUCCAUAACACUAAUGUCAAUAUUCCUAUAAAUUCAUCCACCAUUAAUUGAUCAAACUCUCAAAUCAAUUGAUAAGAGGGAAAAAAAAUCAAGAAGAGGGACAAAGCACCGGUUAAAAUAUUUUUACUUGCAUUAAACCAGUAAAAUUGAACACAUAUUAUUUUUUUACAUUAGGUGCUAAAAAUUAAUUAGUGGCAUGAUAAUAAAAUGGUCAAUAUGUUUAAGGAAGAUAGCAGGUUCAAAUCACCUUCCUUGCAUUAGUUUUAGUAAAAAUUGUUAAAAUACAAAAAUUUUAAAAAAAUAUUGCUCUUGAAGAGUUUGGAACACAGGACUUCCAAUUCAAUAGUGAAAGGUCUAACUAGCUGAGCUACCAAAGAUGUUUGUUGUUAAUAUGAAUUAUCAAAUAUAUAAUCUAAAAAUUCUAUCUAUUAUCAAUAAAAAAAAAAAAAAUCUCCCCGACGAAUCCCAUCCUAGCUUGCCACCAUCUAAAUCCGCUCCUUCCUGUGGAAUGCAAGAAAGGGGAAAAGUGUAGUAGGACAAUGAUACCCUUUCAUUUUGAAAAAAAAAAAAGAGAAAGGACUAAACCUUACAUUUUAACUGAAAAGUUGGAUUGAAAUGGAUGGAAUGACGUUUUGUGUAAUCAAAGGUAUAAUUAAGGGUGAAAAUGCCAAAAAAAAAUGAGAGGUGGGGACAUUUUACACAAAAAUGGUGAAAGAUACGGACGUUUUGUUCUAUUUACCCUUCAUUCAUAUAAUGAGUUUGGAGUGUCAUUUUUUGGAAAAAAGGGAAAUUUUUGUGAGCUGUGAAGAUAAAGUAAAUAAUAGGGUAGAUUUAAUGUAAUUCCAUUAAUUAGAUAUCCAAAAUCUUUAAAAUUGGGAACAGAAAAUUGUUUUAUGCAGAUUUUAAGUUUUAAUGCAUUGAUUGAUUUGUUUUCUAUAUAUAUAUAUAUAUAUAUACACACUCUGUUAGAGGAUAAUUAUUUUUUGGACAUUUAAUUCAUAUCAACUUAUUUUUAUCUCUAUAAAUAAUAUAUAUGUACUACAUUAAGUCCUUUCUAUUAUAAACUAGAGAAAAAAGAAGAAAAUAAAGAAUUUAAUAGACUUGAAGGUAUUUUUUGAGAACUAAAGCUCCAUAUCUAUAUGGAAGAACAAGGGUUGCAAGGGAUACAAUGGUAAUGAUGACUAGGACUAUAGAUAUUAUUGUCAUUCACUAAUAAACAUAUAAUUUACAACAUUUCCCCUUGAAUGAAAGACUACAAAAUAUUUAUUUCGUUUAAACCUGGUCAAGAAAACUCAAUGGGACAAAACUUGAGUUAAGGAAAAAGAGUAUAGUUGUUCCCCUUAUUUCAAUAAAUGAAAAUACUUGUAUCGAGCCAUCUCUGUCUUGUAUGUCAAUGUUUUCAGCACUACAAUUCUGAUUAAAUUUGUUUUAUAUUGUCUUGCUGUAGCCUUCAAACAAUAUUUUCUUCAUAGAUGAUAGUUAUCAAUCUUCGUUUGUCUUUAGACAUAACAUACAAUGAUUUGUUUAAAAAUAGAUUGCGUUGUAGAUCUCUUUUGGAGUAGUACACGACUUGCAACAUAGAAAAAUAUUAUUUUGAGGAAAAAUUCUUGUAGGUCAUGGACAUUAUUACACAAAAAUCAUGACUAGUUAAAAUCUUAUUAGAAAAAAUCAUUUGGAAAAAUCUUAAUAAAGAAAAAAUGGUACAUUAUUCUUUUGAAUAUGCUACAAAAGUUGUUUCGUUAAAAAUCUUAUCAAAAAACCCAAUUGAACAAAAUCUUAGUCAAAGAAAAAAAAGGACAACGCGUAUUCAUUCUCCUUUAUAAUAAUAUCACUUGAAUUAUAUGCUUAGACAUGAAAUCCUUGAAGGAUGGUAUUAAAAACAAAGAAGAUAGGUUGAUCAUAAUCACAUUUAUUAUAUGUAUAUCAAAUUUAUUGCAUAGUCAUGCUAACAAAAUAGAGAAUUGUGAUUACAUCUACCACAAAAUAAUUUAUCUAUUUAUAUAAGUCUUGCAAAAUUUAGUUUAAAAUUUGUGCACUACAUACUACGACUUUAUUUCUAGUAGUUGGACUGCAGGUCUAGAAAUUUCAGGUUUCUCCAAUAAGUUUGAUUUUCUUAGUACUACAUCUUUUUAUUGACAAAUUAUUUAUAUGUUCGUAUUCUUCGACAAAUUUUCUUCAAUAUAUUGCGAUCAUUCAUAAUGACGCGCUACGUUAUAUAAAAAAUGUUGUCAACAACUUUUUCUUUUCCAUUCAAUUUUUUCUCCAUAAUUACAUGACUUGUUGAGAUAUCUCAAGUUUAAUUAUUUCAGAUACUUGAAUCUCUUUGAAAUAUUAUAAUUUAUUAUCAUUAAAUACUUAUAAAAGAAUAUGCCUCCUUAAAGGAACCAUCUUUCCUAAUUGCUUCGUUUCUUGAGAAAUUUUUGUAUAAGAAACGAAAGGCAUGCCAUAAAUUUAUCAAAUAUAAUAUUAAUUAAUUGUUCUCAAAAACGUUAAUUACAUUUGAAGCAUUUAAAGUAGGUAUGUAAGAUAUUGUUGGGUCAGCAGAUCAUCUAAAUGAAUUAUCUUUCAAAUUAUCUUUAGCAAGGAUUUAGAUAAUAUAAUGUUACUUUUGUGCAUUAUUUUCAGUUUAUUAAUUCAUCCCCCUAAUCUUGAGAAAAUAGUUCAAUCAAAUUGACAGUCAGCAAAUCACACUAUAAAAUGUCACCAUUAAUUUUUAAUAUUUUAUAGGGUUCAAAUUCUCAGCAUUUGUAAUAUUUGUUUCGGUGACUGCGAUGGAAUAAUUAUAGAUAUAUUUCACUUUCAAAAAUAGUUAUAUCGAAAAUAUUAGGUUUUGACUGUAAGCCAAUUAUAAAAUGGAGAACUUCGAUAUCAGGAUAAUGCAUAGUAUUCCCUAAACAUAAAUAGAAAGUACUUUGUUCUAAAUAGUAAUGGUUAAAAAAUUAAUUUAGAGCUACUUAACAAAUAAUAAUGUUGAAUCAUUUAUUGUCAUCCCAACUAACAUUUAUUAAAAGGUUGAGAUUUAGAGUCGCCAGCAUUAACAAGACAUGCUGUCUUGACUGUAUAAUCUGAAACUUAUGUCAUAAUUUAAAACUUUGAACAGUAAUUUCAUAAACUUCAACUGAACACCAUGCAAUCAUCUAUUAGAUGUAUCAAAUCUAUUAAAUACAAAUAAUAUGUAGAUGGUCAACAUGGAGGGUGGCGACCCCCCCCCCCCUUUAUCACCUUAAUUAAUUUUCAAAAAUAUAGAAAACCAUGUCCCUAUUUAAUUAUUGAUGGUUAAUUGUUAAUCUUUAGUAAAGAGAACAAACGUCAUAUAGGAAUUCAUUCAAUUGAAAAAUCUUCUAAUUCUUCAAUUAAUAUCUGUUCGAAUAUUAAAUUUUUCGUAUCAUUAUUAAUUCGGUAGUAGUCUAAUCAAUUACGCCAAGUAAUAAAAGAUUAUAUUAAUUGAACUUCUAGUUCAAUAAAUUUUUUGCUUCAAUAGCACUAAUACUUGUAUAAUACAAAAAUAAUAAUAAUAAUAAUAAUAAUAAGAAACAUGGUAAUGACUGUUCUAAAGCUUCCAACCAGGGCUACAAAACCUGAUUUAUUAUUAAUGUUAAUCAUUUUAUCUUUCUCUUUCGGGAAGUCAUAACGAGUUUAUAUUCAUGAAGAUGAAUAAAUAAGCAUUAACAAUGUGAGUUCACGUAAAUAUAACACAAUUUUCAAUUUUGCUCAUUAAUCUACUUUAACACCAUUUCAUCAUUAUCGGCUAAUCAAAGGGCAACAAUUUCAAAAUUAUCUAUCGAAAAAAAGACACAAUUCUAUUAUUCCCGGUUAUAAAGAAUAAAGUAAUUUCGAAAAAAGCCAGUCAUAUACAAUUCACUAAUCAAUAUAAAAAGUAAAAAAAAAAAAAAGCCGUUUAAUUAUUUUAAAAAAAUAACAUCAAAAUAAGCUAAUCAGCCAUGACAAUUAAGCAUACCCAGCUCGGUAAUCAAAGUAACCACUAAUUUAAAAAAAGAAUAAUAAUAAUAAUAAAAUUUCUCUUUAUUUAAUUCAAAACAUUCAAAUUUAUGCCAAUGUAUUCUUAUGCAUUGUGAAUAAAAUAUAUAAACAUUAACUUAUAUUCAUGGGCACGAGCACUCAAAAUAAGUAGAAUAUGUUCCUUUCCCUUUUUUCUUUUCAAUUAAUAAUAUGUGAGCUAUUGUUUGUCGUCAAAUAAAAUAGUGACUUAACUCAACACAAAACAUGGCUUGACAACCUACCGUGUCUCACAAUUGGAAUUCUGUAAUCAACAUAAGAAACAAUUUUAACAAUGCAAAAAUAAAAUCAACAUUCACCUGUAAAUGCAUAACUCGAAAUGUGUGUGUGAACUCAUGUCAACAUGUCAAGCUCAUGAUUGGUUUACUCCCGGUCCAGAGUAGUCAAAUAUAUCAUUUUUCCCUCGGGAGAUACACAUCCCCAAAACUUAUUCUUUCCACUCAAUCAUCCCAAGGUGUUUUCUAAAGUUAUGAGUUUAAUAACUACAGUCAUUUCCCUCUCUUAGCUUGGGUUGGUCUCACUAUUACACGUUCACAUGUCAACAAGUAGAGACUCUCCUAUUUUGAUUGUUUCAACCUUUAAGACUAAACUAAGCUACUUGCCUCGCAUCAAAGGUGUAGUUUCAUCAACUAAAUGUCCAAGGACUUUCUUCAUGUUAUUGUGCCUUUCAUUCACUUAUUUUCGGAUUUUUUUUUAAUUAAUUGUUAUAUUCUCAUUUGCUUUCUAUAUAAUCCCUUGGUGAACUUUAGGUUGAUAACUCUCAAACCAGUUGGUUUUAGGGCACCAGGUUUAUUCACUCGAGUUAUAAAGGCUUGAUUAGAUAACUUUUUAUUAGAUUCUUCCCUUCUUGCUUUUUAUGACCCUUGUAGCUAGUUUUGGACUAGUGACUCCCAAACCAGUUGGCUUUAGGGCGCCAGAUUUCAAAAUACCCUUACAACCUUACUUACUCGAGUUAUAAAGGCUUGAGAGAAGUGUUAUUCUUACACAGACUAAUAUUAUGCCUUUUUUUAGACAUUCAUUCUCCAAAACCAACCUUCAACUUAAGACUUCACCUAAUCAUCAUCUCAUUGGUCUUAGGCAAUCCACACAGUAAAAUUUCAUGCACGGAACCCCUGAUUUUCUUAAUGUUCUCCUGUAAUUGCUCAACCAUCUCCAAGCUACUCUAUAAAUGGAUUAUGGGUCAAUACAAGAGAGGUUUUCUGGGUUUAUCCUACUUUGUUUAAGAAUCCAAUCACUAACUUAAUGUGUAAAGCAUGAGUGUCAUGCACAAAAAUGCCAAGUUCCACAUCAGCAAGCAUGAGUUAAUCAAAUCAUGUACCAUAUCCGCAGUUCCUAGUACAUACCUAUUCCAAUAUUCACAUCAUUGCGGGCAAAGCUAUCAAACCAAUACAAGCACACAAAAUCAUAAACAAAAUAGACAGAACAUGCAAUUUUUUUUUCAUACGACAAUCACAAUUAGUACUAGAUAUCAAUGAAACCAAGAAAAUUAUGCCACCCCACAAACUUAUACAUCACAUUGUCCUCAACGUACAAGAAAAAAUAGUCAAAAUAAAUUAGUAAGGAUCAGAAACUCCCCGAGAUAGCUACAGAUAGGUAGAUGAAUCAAGCUGGCUCGACUGGUAGAUGUCAUAACAACAAUCAUCUCCUCGUUGCUAAGCUUUUGUUUGUUGUUCUGAGAAUUUAAAACAAAUAUCAGUAAUAGCAAAUAAAUUUAAAAUAUGUGCAAUGAAUUCACACCAUGAAGAAUUCUAAUCUUCUAACUUUUAGAAAAACUAUUGAACAGAGCGUACGUCCCUGCAAAAAUCGUAUUCCUAGGAGAAGAUAAGUUUUUAUAAUUCAUUUGGAGAUUGAAAUCUAAGUGAAACCUUAAGAAUGCAUAUCAAAUCAAUGUAAGCUCAACAUAAUGAUAGGAUGCUAACGAUGAGCCUAAGUAAAUUGAACUUAAUGGAUAAAAAUCCCUAAGUUACUAAUGCACGUAAUACUUAAAAUGUGUUCAAAAUAAACCAUUUAAACGCAUGAGUUCCUAAAUUAAUGCAAUCCCUAAAACUACGUGUAAUGCAAUGGUUAAUUAAAAUAGUGAAAAGGGAUAGAAAAAUGGAUUACCUCCCAUUAAGACUCGAUUUAUAGUCUAGAGCUUCACUUUUGACACAUGUAUUUAAUGGCACUUUGAAUAUGGCUUUGGAUGUCCUGCUUAGCUUGAUUAAUGUGACUUUGUUCUAUAUAUAUUGCAACUUUCCUCCAAAAUUUGAUCUUGUCAUUUUCCAAAUAGUAUGAUUUCCCCUCAUUAUCUAUUUCGAACUCAAUAAUGUGUAUAUCAAUCUCCUCAUGAGGUUUAAUCACAAAGUCAAUUUUUGAGCAAUCGACAAAGUCGAGGGAUUGCAUGCUAAAUUCCUCUUCUUUGAAUGCUACUAAUUCUUUUAGGCCCGUUAUGAUUAAAUUCCCAAUCUUUUCAUGCUCAUCUUCUUUAAUUGAAGUGUUCUCGAGUUCAAUGUCUGUAUCCCAAACUUUUAGCAAAGAAACAAUGACAACUUUAUGGAAAGUCUUCUCCUCUUGUAUUUGUUGGAAGUCCGAUGGACGUGAUUCUCUUAAUCGAUGUUUAUUGCUAAUCAGCGAAAGAAAUAAUUUCACAGGAAAAUCACCCACUUCAAAUGUUGGUGAGAGAAAUAAUGCAGUAGGCAAGUCACCCAGGACAAUCUCAUCUAGUUCACAUUCUACUUUUAAUUCUCGUAGUCGCUAUCCUAUAAUGAAAUCUCCCACAAGCAUAUCCCCCUCAUCAGUUUCUUGAGGUGUCAAUUGUUGUUGGCUUAAGAUGAGGUCACAUACGAGCAUCUUGUUGAAAUCAACCAUAAUCGUCUUUUAUCCUGCUUUUUGGUUCUUUUUUUAUAUAUCCUAGAAAAAAAAAGAAAAAAAAACUAAAAUGUAACAAAAAUACCAACACAAGAAUACAGGUAGAAGUUUGAAUUAGUCCCAAGAUAAAUAAAAUUAAACUAAAACUCAAUCCCGACAACGGCGCCAAAAAUUUGUUCAUGAAAAAUAUAUUUCGAUUUAAAUCCUUAAGUGUACGGUUCGUAACAAUUAAUAAAGUGAAAAAUUGAGUCCGAAUAUCGUCCCACAGAAAUUGAGUAGUUUAAUUUUACCUAACUUGACCUUAAUCAAAACUGACUUGACAAACGUGAUUUGUUGCAACUUAAAUUAAUCCUAACUUAAACUAAAUAUGCAAAUGUGUAUGAAUCGAAUGAACUAAAAUGCAAAAUAGAUGCUUGAAUGCAAGUUUGAUAUAAUCAAUGAAUAUAAAGUGCACUAGGAUUAUGAUUCCCCAAGCAAUGCUGACUUUUAACCAUAGUUCCACAAUUUGACAAUACAUUGAAUUUUAAAAGAAUCAAUGCUCCUAAAUCUAUCUAACAAUCUCUCUUGAGUAAUGUUAAACCUACUCUUAUAUACCACCAGCUUAUAUCUCUAUGAUAUGUGCAAAUAUACAAGAAUACAUGUAGUUUUGUGAGCACUUAAAGAUUCACGCAAGGCAUAGAGGUAUAUCUCUAUCCUCUAUCAAACCUACGAUGAUUUAUACCUUGUCAAACUUAUUCCCCUUCUCCCGAAUGCAUGAAAUAAGUCACCACACAAUUAUGUGUACAUAAUCAUUGAAGAAAUUAAUUGUAUAUAAAUCAUUCAAACAAUUCCAUACGUGUUUUGAUGUCAAAUACUGUAAAACAAGAAAUCAAAAUUUCACAAUAUAAGAUUCAUCGAUCUUCUAGUACAUAACAAUCUAGCCUAGCAUGGAGAAACAAAUAAAAUACACAAAAACUUUAAGAAAUGACAUCACCGAUGUAAGAAUUUUCAUAUAAUCCUGUUGAUCUUAGCGUUUCUCUUCAUUAUUGUGGUGCAAAAUCAGCUUCAAGAUGUGUUCUUUCUCUCCCAAGGCAUUCUCCUCAAUUUAGGGAUGACCCGAGGGUUUUAAAAUACUUUCUCAAAUUUGUUUCCAUAAGAAUUUUAGUCAUAAUAGGAAACAAGAAAUUUUUGAUCGCGAUUGAUGCCCAGGCAAAACUUGGGCAGUCGCCUAGACUAAAAAUUUCGCCUCGGUAAUUGUUCAUUGAUGUUGGGCAGUCACCAAAUUAUAAAAACUUUCGAAUGUUGCAUUUUGAUCCCUAAAUUCGAUUCUUGAUUCUUUUAAAUUCUUUUUUUUUUUGGUUCUUUUCCCAAUACUUCAAGUCCACACUAAAUUUGUCCUUGAAUUUUUCACAUUAUCGUUUCUGUUUUCGGUUCAUGUUUUGGCUAUUUGCACUUUGGUUCUUGAACUUUUGUUUGCUUCUGUUUUGGUCAUUUUUUGUUUCUUUUCUCUUGAAUUUUGCUACAUUUAUCAAUAUAGUCCUACAAAACAAAAUUAUAUAGACUAAAGCCAUAAUUUAAACACUUUGAUCAACAAUUAGGUCCUAUAUAUUUAAUGAUUCACCAAUGAAAUGGUGUGUCACGUUACUGGUGUCUAACAUAAGCUAAGCACCGGCACUUAGGAGAUCUUUCCUAUGUGUAUAUAUAUAUAUUAAAUACAACUAAGCUUCUUCUACAGCAUUAAUGAAUAGAUAUGUGUAUAAAUAAAUAUUCUUCUACAAUAAUGGAAUAUUUGAAUAUAAGUUGUACUUUUUCAAAAGCAUUACCAUAUUUAUUGGAUCAGAUUUACACAAAGUUCAUCUUCGAGACUAACUCAAUAUUUUUCUAGAAUAUUGAUUUGUACAAAAUUUUGACUGCUUUAGGAAUAUCAAAAUAACAUUAUUCUUGAAUAUUUUGUAGUCGAGUUUUUUUUUUUUUUUUUUUCAAAACAUCGCACAAAUUUCUUCAUAUAAAAUUGUGCUCUCUUCAAGACUAUAACGAGAUAUAUAUUCUUCAAGAAUAUAAGUACUAUAUUCUUCAGAAAUAUUCACAUUAAUGAUUAGUUCUGCCUUUUGAACUAAACAAUUUAAUAUUAAAAAUAAUGCUCUACAUGAGAAACAAUACAAUUUUUUUUUAUAUAUUUAUAUAAUGCGGGUUGUGAUUAUUCAAAAACAUCAAAACUAUAAUCUUUUAGAAUAAAUAUAAUUUAAGUUAUAUUCUUCAAGAGCAUUGAAAUCGUAAAAGAUUUCACAAAUAAAAUAUAUAAAUAAACUUUUAAAAAGUAGAAUUACUUGAAUUUGAAAGUUUUAGAGAACCUUGAACAGUCGACAAUUCUCGUAGUCCUGAAAAAUGCAAAUUUGAAAAAAAUUUCAUAAUACUUUAAAAAUUCGUCACUGUUCACGUAGCUAUUUCUCGCGAAUGAAUCGUUGAAUUUUGAUCUUAGCCAUCAAAUUUGAAGAACGAUGAAUUGUGAACGCGUUAUCCAAUUUUUAUGACAAUCGAACCGUGAAUGAUGACAUAUUAACGUUUUAAUCACUUCCAUGCAGGAUGUCCAGAUCUUGCAAAUUUCUGACUGCCAAAUUUUUUUUCUAAUUUUUGAUGAGCUUCUCAUGUUGACAACAUGUAUUUUGUUAAGAAUCAAAACCCCAAUGUUUAUAGGGAAUAAUUAGGGCCACAAGGAAUACGUUGGUAAUAAUAAAUGUAAUAAAAAUUUCACCUGACUGGCCAAUUUGACGAUAAAAAUUGGGAACCGGAUAGAUAAUUGAUUCAAUUGAUGCGUAAACUCACUUGUAUAGAAAUCGAAAAUCCGGCUGGUGCAAUCAAAAUCGACGACCUAAUUUCGGUUUAACCAAGUUUUUCGGAAAAUAAAAUAAUAAAGUUAAGAAGAAUCCAGCAAUCUUUCAUCGAACUUCUUCCAUUUAUCUUAGGCUCAUUAAUUGAUGCAAUAUAUGCAGCCAAAAAUCUAAAAAACACAAAAAAUUGAAAGAAGAAAUAAUCUGAAAAUAUUACAGAGGGCAGCCACUGUCUUCUCCUAUCAUUCUGUUGGUAUUUGUCUAUUUGAUAGAGAUAUGAAGAGAAAUGGUAUGUAGAAUUUAUUCAAUUUUAUUUGGGCCAAAAGUUUGAUUAAGUACCUGUUUGAUACCUUUUAAUUUAUUGGAAAAAUUACAUCUAACCCUAUAUUUAAAGUUUCAAUUUACAAUAAUCAGGUCCAAAUUAUUUUUUAUUGUAAAAACUCAUAUAUACUCUAUAAUUAUAUAGUGGAUAGUUAUCACUCACUAAUUCUCCCAACACCUCCAAUUGCAAGAUAUUUUCUGCCACUGCACGGACUCUUGCUCGCUCUUGCGCUCUCUCUCCCCACAAAACACGCUACAACUUGAGUAGCUUCCUCUCUCUAUUGCUUUCACUCUCUAUGUUGCUUCGCUGCUGCUUCUUCGUAGGGAGAAAGUAGCAAUUUCGUCGAGAGAGAUCCAUUCCUCUUGAUACAAACUCCCAAAUCUACUGGACGGUAUUAAAUUAUGAUACUAUUGGUACACAGAAGUACGUUUGGAUGGUAGUAGAUUAGAUGGUGUUGAUGGUUCAAAUCUUCUGCUGUUUGUUAUUUUUCGUUAGAUGGUGGUGUUUUUCGUUCAAGUACGAUGUUGUUGAUGGUGGAUUAAAGUCGAUGAUUUCCAUUGGUGGGGCUAGAUGUACAUCAGUGUCAUGGUGGUGAUGGUGCUUGUGAUGGGUUGGAGGGGGUGGUAGUGCUGUGGUGGAGGUGAGGUGACAUCAUGGGCAGACCCACAUGGGUCAAAUGACCCCACAAAAUUUUGGAUUUUAUUUUUAUUUUUAUUUUUAUUUUUUGUUUUUUUCAAAAAAUAGAUGUUUCAAUCCAUUUACGACCUACUUUAAUACAUGCCAAAUAAAAUCAAAACAUCGCAUUCUUAAUAUCAUUUUCGAAGUACUCAUGGCCUAAUUUUUUGCUUCUUAUUGGCUGAUCAGAAGUUACGAUAAAUCAAAGUAGGACGUUCCAAAUUAGUAUUUCGAAAAGUUCGAUAGUAUUCUAAUUUUUAAAAUUUUGACAAUGAUCGUAUACUAUCCGAAUCCACAAAUCAUCUGCGUCAUCUAGAAGCUCGUUUUGAAAACUGCAUCGUAGUCAUACCUAAUGAUCCAAAAGGAUAUUGGAAAUAGUUAUAUAUGUGCCAAAUGUACAUUCUAAAAGGGAGCAUUUAACUCGUCUUUUUAAAAGAAAAAAUCAAUUAUUUUAUUAAUGUUUAUUAUUUUUGCACAAUAAAUUUUUUAACAUAAUUUACAUCAUUUUAUUAGGAAAUUGUACAUGGAAAUUGGCAUUAAAGAUUUUAAAAUCGUUACGGAUUAAAUGUAAUUUUAAUUACUUUCAAAUUCCUUUUACGUUAAACUUAAAUUUCAUUUACUUCCUAAAUUAAAUGUGAAUUUUAUCUCAAUUCAUUUAGUUCCUAUAUCCAAUUUGAUUUACUUGUCAUUAGCUCAACAUCUAUAAAUGAAAUGGUAAAAAAACUUUACAUGUAGCAAAAUUCAUUUAAUAAUAUCGAUAAUUAUAUAAUUAUAAGACAUUUUCAAGGUAUCAAAAUGCGUAUGAACUUAUUUUUAUUAAUAUUAUAUUAUUUUAAAAAUCACACAUUAAUUUUUUACCCUACAAUCGAAAGUCUGAGUCCACCCCUGGGUGACAUCGAUGAUUUUUGGUACUCUGAGUGGUGUUGGUAGUGGUAAUGGUGUUGUGGUGGCUCUGUGGUAGUGGUACUAUGGUGGCUCUAUGGUGAUGAGGUGAUAUCAGUAUGGGAGUGGUAGUGUGGUUUUGAUCGAUUAUUGAACAAUUGUAACCAAUAAAAUGAAUAAUUUGUGGCAAAUAAAUAAUGUGUCAUAAAAAUGCAUGAUUUUUUAUCAAACCAACGAAUAAGAAUUAACCAAUUAAUUUGAUAAUUUGUAACGAUGAAAUAAAUUGUGACAUAUACAUUUUGUAAUUUGUGAUCGAGAAAUAACAUUUAAAUGUUAAUUGUGACCCUCUGUGACCAAGUCUAUAUUAGUUGUGAUCAAGACUAUAUUUAUUGUAACUGUCUGUGCCCAUAUUAACUAUGAGUGUAUAUGACCAAAUUAGGAGUGACGGGGUCACGUAUAUCCACAAUUUAGAAUGAAGACAAAUUUGAUCACAAUAAGUCAUGGAUAAUACAGUUUUGGUCAUAAACAAUAACAGUUUACACAAAUAUGGUCGCCAAAAAAACAUUAUUAAAUAGAACCUAGUCACAUCCAGCACAAAACACACAGUUAAUAGGUCACAAUCAGACUGAGUUUUAUGGAUAACUCUAUAAGCACGAAGAACUUUCACAAAUUCAUGAAUAGAAGCCUGAAAGUGAUUAAUGUUUCACAAACAUAAUUGAAAUGUGAUACACUAGAAAAGCAAAAUAAAUAAUCAAAUUUUAUUGUACACAACAGAAGUAGAUUAGCUGCAACAAAUUUAGCAGUAUGUUCUUCUCCUAGAAGAGUGGCAGAAACUGUUUAGAUUUAGUAGGGUAUAAUCUUCAAUUACAAUGAUACACAACUCCUGACUAACUGUCGCUGGCUACCAGAAAAGCACCCCCAACCGCCACUUGAAUAAAUAAUAAAUGAAAAGUAUGAUCGGCACUGAUGCGACUGUAGGAUUUGAACUCAGGGCGAGAACUCCUUCAAUUGGGUUGUUUUUGUCAAUCUUGGCAAAAACAACCCAAUUGAACUUGAUUCCCUAAAUUUUUCUUUUCCUUUUUUUUUUUUUUUUUUUCUUUUAUUAAAGAUUGAAUCCUUGCGCAUCAAUGAUGCGAAUUUUAUGAUGUUGAUGUUAACUUUAGUACACCGAUCAAAUCAUAGCAAACUUUACAAAAUUGGGAAGUACUAAAUUUUUUUUUUUUUUUUUUUUUUUUUUUUCUUUUUUUUUUUUUUUUGAAGGAUCUACUAUAGAGAGAGAUUGGCGUGGGUAUGGCUGAUUGGAGUUGUAUACAGAGAGUUCGGGCAAAUUAUGGUGGAUUGGAGUGUGUGCGUAGAGAGAAUUUGUGCACAGUUUUGGUGGAAUUAGGUUUCCUAAAAUUCGUAGAUUAUAAUAUCUUAUAAAUAUAUUUAAUAUGUUAUUGUUAUUUAUUACCUGAUUUUUAAAAUAUUUUUCUCAGUUUGUUAAAUAUGAAUUUGUAUGCUUAAAAGUAUUGUAGUCUUGUAUUUUUCUCUAAGCGUGUGUUUGAUUACAUACAUAGAAUUUGCAUGAAAAGAAAGUAAAUUCUAGGUAAUUGAAUUGCCUUGAACUUAUUUGCAUGGAAAUUGUCAAUUGAAUGUGUUUGAUUGAUUUAAUUUUCAACCUAGAAAAUAUUAUACUUAUACAUUUUUUAUUGGUGGGUAAAUGAGGGGAGUGGAUAGAUUAGAGAGAGAAAGAGAGAGCGAAUUCCCUGAAAAAUAAAAUCAUACUCGCUCUAAAGAAAAUAUUUUCCUUGAUUUUUAAGAAAGUAUGGUCACGUGACCAAAAAUAGAAAAAUAUUUUCCAUGAAAAAAAGGACAAUCAAACAAUACAAAAGUAGAAAUUUGAGUAGAAAAAACAUGUUUUCAUUGAAAAUAUUGGCAAUCAAAUGUCCCUGAUUUAUUUUAUGGUUUGCUAUAGAAUCAUUUUCAACCAAACAUUCACACAAUAAAAUAUUCUACACGUAUAUCAAAAAAAUUUCAAACUUUUUAACCACGCAUUCUUGUAAAAAUAUUUUUCAAUACUCAUUUUUCCCCCAUUAAAGAGAAUCAAAGAGGCUCUUAGUAAAUAGCCCAUUUAGUUUUUAUUUUAUAUUUAAUUGGCCUACUUAGUGUUAAUUUGAUGUAAAAUGAGUAUUAAAAUAGUUAUUGAAAGUUAAUUUUUUUUACUGGAUAUAAAAUUUUAAUAGUGUGUGUGUAUAUAUAUAUAUUCUAUUUAAUUAGUUGUAAGGAUAUAAUUGUCAUUUACUAAUAAACAUAAUUUACAACACUUUUUAUAAGUUGAUCUAAAACAUAAUUAUAAAAAUGGGCUGGUACAUUGCAUUAAACUCGCAUAUUUUAAUCAAAUAAAAUAUUUUUAUUAAAAGCAUAGAUAUUGGCCUACAAAUACUAGAAAUGGAGGUUUUAGAGAAAGUUUUUUACCAACGGAAGCCAUCCGUUGCUAUUAGUAAUGGAUUAUCAACAACUUUCCAAUAGAAUUUUAUAAAAAAUCUAUAACUAUAAAAUAAAUAUAGUAGCAACGGAAUCACCGAAAAAAUAUAGCUGUCAUUAAAAUUUCGUUUUUAAUUUUUGUAACUUUUUUACAAAAAAAUAAAUAUAAAAUAUAAAAAAAAUUACGAACGAAGAUUGUGACCUAGUUAUUGUUGAUUGUAAAAUUUUAAAAAACUAAAACAUUAAUUGAAAUGUACCUAAAAAUUUUUUUUUUUUUGGUUAAUGCACUAAAUAUCUAUUUGUAAUAUAUUCACAUUAAUUUAUGUAAUUGUAAAAAUAUUUCCUACAACUCAAUUUGUUAGUAAAUGAGAAUUAAAGAUAAUAAAAAUUGAAAGCUCAACAAAUAAAAUCUGGAAAAAAGAAAAAUAAACAGCCCAAAAAAGUAAGAACUCGUUCCCCAAAUUCUCUCAUCCUCUCCAAAGAAGAAUCGGGGAUAUUAAGAGAGAAGAGAAGAGAGGAGUGGGGUUUAUAGAAACGAUUUUGAGAGAAAUCAAGAAAACCAUUUGGCCGUCUCCCACUCUCCCUGCUGUUUUUCAGUCUAAAGAAUCCAAAUUUCCAAUUUCAAGUUGUAAUAGAUGGAAGAAGAACAAGAUCAUGUACAAUUUUUUUUAUUUAUUUUUUUCAAAAUUUCUUCAUUAUCAGCUUGAAAGUUUCUGGCUUCUUGAAAUUUCAUUUAUUUUUGGGCUUGAGUUGGGAAAAUGGAAGAAAAUUCUGAUGAUUUCACAGUUUGAUGAUUAAUUUAUUUUUCCCUUUUCAAAUUAUCAAUUGGGUUUACUGGAUUUGUUUUCUGAAUUUUCAAACAUUAUCUAUUAUGAUUUUGUGUAUGAAUAGUAAUUUUUGCAUCAUACACUGCUGGUUCAAUCAUGAGAGCAUGUUUGGCUAGGAAGUUUACUUGUAAGUAAGUACGUUUUUAGUUUGGUUAAAAUUGAAGAUUAUUUAGUUGAUAAUUAAUUCUGGAUCUGCCAGAAAUUCAACUUUCUUGGACCAAGAAGCAACAACUCACUUAACUGGAAUAUAAAAAAGUGUUUAACCAUUGGGAAUGUCAAAUUAAAUUACUUUCUCAUGUAGAAAAAGCUAUGUACAUUUACAUGGAUUUGUAUAAAUUGACAAUUUGAGGGUUGAGCAGAGCAGAGGGAGAAAUGAAAUAUCUCUGCACUUUUUUAUUUUUUGCUAUUUUGUUGAACUUUGGCAUAUAAAGCAAUUUAUGAGAUUUUCUGGGGUUUUUUCUGCAGCAUUGGUGAUGGUUGUACUUUUUCCUUCUCUUCGAUCCUUCCCUCCAAUAAAGCAUAAUCCCUUAUAAUUCAUAUUUUUGUUAAUAUUUAAAUCCUGUUUCGAUUUUAGUGGAAUAUCAAGUUUUUUUUAUAUUUGAGACUUAACCUUCAAUGUUGGAGCUUUUAAUUAGUAAAUGGUAGAAUACAGUCUUUGAAUCAGUUUUGGGACUGGGAAAAUACAACCUUAUGGCAAAAUACAACAUUUGUAUCAAUUCUGAGUCUUUCCUUCAAGCUGCAUUUGCUCUGUACUAAUCUGUGUAUUGAAUAAUGUGGGAAAUUUUACUAGUUUAGUUUUAGAUUUACUAAUUUUUAUUAUGCUAUUCUUAUGUUGUUUACUUGUUUAAGUGAAUCAAGUUUUUAUGUUGAUGAUAUAUACAUUUAAGUGAUAUGUUUACUUGUACAAUUUGGAAGCAACUAUUGUUGUUUUGAUGAUAAACUGCUUGUUCAAUUGUUAAAAUGAUUAUUUUAAAACUGAUAUCAAUGUUUUAUUUCUAGAAAAGGGAAUUAAUUGGAUUCAUUUUGAAGGUUUAACAUUCAAACCGUGCAGCAAUUCAUGAAGGAUGUGCAAUUAAAAUUCUAUGAAUUGUUGUUGAAGUUAUGGCAUCGGACCACGAUUGGACUUUGAAUCGCUUUGAUGAAGGAUUUCUUUCUGAUAGAUUCAUUGAAAGUGUUGAAGAGUUUAUUGAGUUUUCCAUGUCUCGAACAAGAGAUGGAGAUACGAUUAAAUGUUCGUGUUAUAUAUGUAAAAACACAAGGUUUGUAAAAGGAGAUGAUGUGAAAUUUCAUCUUUACAAAAAUGGAUUUAUAAGGGGCUAUAAAUAGUGAUACACACAUGGAGAACCAUUCAAUUUCACUAGUCCAAAUUUGGGUAAAUCCUCAACUGCACAAGCUACAACCAUUGAGAGUCAUGAAGCAAUGGUGAUGGAUAUGAUGGGCCCUGAAAUGUACCACAAUUACAUCAAUCCUAAUGUUUGUGCUCACGAGGAUCAAUCAUCCAAUCAACACGCAACAAAUUUCUUUAGGCUGUUGGAAGAAGCUGACAAACCCAUGUGGCCUAGUUUUAGUAAGCAUACAAACCUUUCUACUAUGGGACAACUCUUGAAUCUGAAGUCAGAGUUUAAUAUGCCUACCACUUGUUAUGAUCGUAUGUUGUCUAUCAUUAAGGAAAUUAUGCCAGAAGUGAUUGGUUAGAAGCUAAGUUCUAUAAAACAAAGAAAAUGUUAUCCAGUCUUGGCCUUGGUGUUAUGAAGAUCCAUGCUUGUGUAAAUGAUUUUAUGUUGUACUACAAAGAAAUCGAGAGAAUGUCCUACAUGUUUUAGUCUACGAUAUAAAGAUAAGAUGUCUCGAUCUAGACAUAAGGUACCUUAGAAGGUACUACAAUAUCUACCUCUAACUUCUAGACUUCAACAAUUGUAUAUGUCGAGGCAUACUACAGAGCACAUGUUAUGACAUUCGAAGAAUCAAUUCAAUAAUAAUGAAAUGUCACACCCCGUACACAGUGAGGCAUGGAAGUACUUUGAUAGAACUUUCCCUCAAUUUUCCCUUGAACUACGUAGUAUACGCCUUGGUUUAUGUACGGAUGGAUUCAACCCCUUUAGCAUGUCAAAUGUGCAACACUCAUGUUGGUAAGAGUCCAGGGAAAAAGCUUUGAUGUUUAUUUGCAUCCUCUCAUUGAUGAACUAAAAAUGCUUUGGGAUGGAGGUGUUGAAACAUAUGACAUACAAACAAAGCAUAAUUUUCACUUGAAAGCUGCAUUGAUGUGGACUAUUAGUGAUUUUUCGGGAUAUGGCAUGUAAUCUGGAUGGAGUACACACGGCCUAAAGUCUUGUCCAUACCGCAUGGGUCAAAGUAAAUCUUUCAGGCUUAAAAAUGGAGGGAAAACAUCUUUUUUUUAUUGUCAUCGUCAAUUUCUACCACCCGACCACAUUUAGAAAACAAAGAGACAAGUUUUACAAAGGUAGAGUUGAGAAAAAUAUGGCACAACAUAAGUUAACUGGUGAAGAGUUGCGAAUUAUAGUGGAGAACCUCCCACGCAUUGGCAGAGCUGAUAAGAGAAAAGAAAUAGAAAGUUUUGGUCAUAGCCAUAAUUGGAUGAAGAGAAGCAUAUUCUUGGAAUUUCCUUAUUGCAAUAAAAAUCUCAUAAGGCACAAUUUAGAUGUGAUGCACAUUGAAAAGAAUGUAUUCGAAAAUAUAUUCAAGCACAGUUAUGGAUAUAAAAGGAAAAACUAAAGAUAACUUCAAGGCCGGGAAGAAGUUGGAGCUUUAUUGCAAUUGUCCAGAGCUUUAUAUAUAUGAAGGUGAAAGAGGAAAACUAUUCAUGCCAUAGGCCUCCUACAGCGUAACUAAUGUACAAAAGCGAGAAGUGUGCAAUUGGAUUAGGAAUUUAAGAUGCCUAACAGUUAUGCAUCAAACAUUUCACGGUGUGUUAAGGGUUAAUGUGAGUUCUAUGGAAAGAAGAGUCAUGAUUGUCAUAUUUUUAUGCAAAGAUUGCCGCCGAUUGCAUUUAAAGACUUGUUACCCAUACCAAUUUGGGAAGCUUUAACUGAACUUAGCCAUUUUUUUAGGGAUAUAUGCUUUACUGUUUUGACGAUGAAAGAUAUGGAGCAAUUGGAAAAAAACAUUGUGACAUUAUGCAAGCUUGAAAAGAUUUUUCCAUCAGGAAUUUUUGAUUCAAUGCAUUUACCUGUUCAUUUAGCAUAUGAACCGAAGGUUGGAGGUCCCGUGCAGUAUUGUUGGAUAUAUCCUUUUGAGAGGUAGCACAUGCUUCAAUAUUUAAUUUACAUUGUAUAGUUUGAAUGGUACCACUUAAAAAAGAAAGUGAAUAAUCGAGUUCAUGUUGAGACAUCUAUUGUGGAGCUUACUUAGUAGAGGAAAUGUCAAAUGUUUGUUUUCUGUAUUUUGAUCAAAAUAUUCAAACAAGAUUGAAUCGUGCGUUGAGAAAUGAUGACGGAGGUCUUAUUGAUCCCUAAGGGAGACUAUCAAUUUUUACCCUCCCUGGACGACCCCUUGGCACUCAACGUCAUGAUAGCAUAUUAAUGACGAAUGAGGAAUUCAUAGUAGUGACAAUGUAUGUGCUCUUCAAUUAUGAGGAAGUAACCCCUUUAUGGCAUAAGCUGUUAUAAUUACAUUUGUAACGUAUAUAUUAAACUGUAUGCUUGCUUAGCAACGUUUACAAUUUGUCAUGGCACAUGUAGGGUGUUCGAUAAAUAUAUGAGAAUGUCGCAUCCCCAAAUGUCUGAUACACGAUUUGAUGGUUUACGGGAAGAACAUUUUUCUUGUUGAUUAAAGGAAUGUGUAAGUGAUUUUAUAAGUAAUGUCUCAGUUAACCCAAAAAAGUAUCUUGUAAAAUGAGUUCUAAUGCAUAUUGUUUCUUUUUUUCAAGUUUUGGACGAUCAUAAUAAAGUUGAUAAUCGCAUAAAGGCUUUGGCUAUAGGUCCCUCUCGUAGAGUAAAUUGUUAUAAUGGAUAUUUUGUCAUUGUUUUUUAAGUUUCACACUUUAGGUUAUGGUUCCCACAAAACAACAAUGAAUAGUGGUGUGUCAGUACUUGGAAGUUGUCAUAAUGACUAUAAGCCUGACUACUAUGGUAUGUUAACUGAAAUAUUGGAAUUGGAUUAUUUAGGAGAUGUUGGAAACAAGGUAACCUUAUUUAAGUGUGAUUGGUUUGACGUCAAUGGUGGAGUUAGAGUCCAUCGACGAUUUAGUCUUGUCGAGCUUUAUCAUACGAAGAAAUUACAAACAAAUGAUGUGUUUAUAUUUGCUAAACAAGCUCAACAAGUAUAUUACACAUGUUUUCCAACAAGGCUAGAGAUAGACUUGAUUGUUGGGCGGUUGUGAAAACAAAAGAGAGAAAUGUCCCCAACAUACAAGGAAUAAUAUCAAAGAGUGAAGAGUAUAAUAUGUAGGUGGAACUUGCAUUCCAAGAAGAUCAACCACCAUCGACCCUGAAACCUGUUCAAAUAAAUUCAGAAUUUGAUAGCCAAAAUUUAGUUCGUACUGAUAUUAAGGCUAAAGAAGUGGGUUGGCUGAAUCUAGGAUCUUUGAUGUAGAUUCUGAAAGGCAUGAUGUAGAAGAAAAUACACAAUUUGAGAACAGUGACAGUAUGGAUGGUUUCACAACAAGUGCAAGUGAAGGAGAAAAUUGUACUAUUAUUAUUCUUGUCAUUUUUAGUUCCUGUUUUUUAGUUUAUUGUUGGCUGAAUGUAGGAAACAUUUGACAUGUUUAGGGAAAAGGAAGUAAUGGCCAGGCCAGAUAAUAAGCUAUGUGAUGUUUUGGUUCAAGAGACACGAUAGUAGUGUAUGCCAACUCAAUUUCUUUGAAUGUGGCCAGUCUUCAUUUGAAAGGUGGGGUUUCUUUUAUCUAUGUUUGACAAAUUUAGUUAUUUAGUAAAAUCGUGUUUUUAGUAUCUAUAUUUGGCAAAUUGAGUGAUUUUGACAAAUGAUGAAUCAGAAACUUGGAAUUGGAGAUAUUACAACAGCUGGAGCCAUAUCAGUAACCAGCAUAAUCUCCUGAGUGUUGCCACUUGUAAUCUGUUGGAUGAAGAUUGAAUUUUUGUAUUUUUUGUGUCCUUUCAAUAUAAAAGUACUGAGCGCUGCCCUGAACUCAUGUUGGACACAAUGUGCUCUGUUAGACGCCACUUAUUGUAUUGGACAAUCUUGUGUUGGACGCCCCGUUGAAGUUUUAGUUUUAUUUCUUUAGUUCUAUCUCUAUGUUAUUGUUUUUUCGUGUUCCUUUCUUAGACAAUGAAUUCAUCAAUGUUGCAAUGAGCAUUGAUCUAGAAUCGAAAAUGGUAGACUAUUGAUCCUGUUUCUUUUUCACCUAUCAGCACCAUCUUUAGCCAUUUGCUGCUAUAUUUAUUUGUACAUUUAAGAAAUACUAUCCUUGCUUCACUUUUUCCUUCCUCGGAAUAUUAAGAAGAUGUGCUGCUAAUACUUGUAAGAGAUAAAUUUAAGGGUCAUAUUUGUCAUUGCUUCCAAUACUUGCUAAUAAAUAUGUGCAUCUUGACAAUCUAUCUACCUUCAAAUACUCCAACAACAAAAGAGGGGUACUAGUCCAUUUUUGAUUGAAUUCUCAAACAUAUAUCAUAAUACUAUUCUAAAUGGGUGAAAAUUGUUAUUUGAGAGGUAAGUUUAUUGAUUACCUUCUAGAGGGUAUUUGUGAUUGUUCUUGGCAUUAACUUCAAAGCAAAGAAGUUACAGAUUCUGAUUGUUUGAAGUUGCAUACAUGGGUGAUUUUAGCCAGUGAAAUGGCAACAUCAACAUCAAAACCUUGAAGCAGCUCGUAUUGGCUGGAAUGCACCUUGUAGAGUUGUCCAUAUUGAUUAGAUUGUAAUGGCCGUUUGUUAUAAAUAUUCAAUGAGCACUGGAAUGGCUAGAACCCAAAAUCUGAGCGCCUCAUGGCCCUGAUUUGUUCUUCGGUGGCCUUGAGGAUGGCUCCUUGCCUCUUUUGUUGGAACAACUUUUGCAAAGUUUCCUUCGUUGUCUGGUUUUUCAAGAGAAAAACAAAUUAACUUGCUAAGUUCAUUGUAAAUGACCAAGUUUAUUACACAUUUCCCAACUAACAUUUAAUGCAGCCUCUGGUAUUUCAUCGUUGAAUGCCUUGUAAAAUGAUGGUGGAUUUUCCCCACCAGCUCCACUUUAUUCUUGCAAGUAAUCAAGAUUUAAGAUAGUCCCUUGAAAGGAUCAGGCACGCUCGAAUAAAAAAUAUGUCUAUUUAUUCAUUGUCGACUUCGUCUAAUUCAUCAAUUGCUUGAAUACUUCUUCCAAUUGGUUGAUUGCAACCCGAAUGAUAUUCGAGUGCACCAUUAAGCUCAACAUCACCUUAUCAAUUUUUGGAGAAUUUUAGGUCAAUUUCAAUUGCAACACGUUUUUUGGUUUUGAGUAAAUAAUUUUCUAAUACAAUUUAUGGCUUUUAAUCUGAGUCACUAUUUAAAUAAUUGAAUGUUCUCAUGUAUUCAUUCGUAAGAACAACACCCAUUCUAAAAAUGUAAUUUGGUGUGCAAUUACAACUUAGGGGUAGUCGAACUUCAACCAAAUGUUCCCUCGAGGCUUAAAGAAUUGGGAAUUUUCCUUCAAUAGAAAGUUUCAUCAAAGCUUCAAGAGUUGGGGAUUGGCAUUUUUCUCGAAUUCUUUUUCGCUUUACCCUUAUCAUUCUCAAUUUAUAAUGCCUUGAUUCAAAGAAAGUUUCAAAAGUUUACAAUUUUGGCGUAGGACAUAUUGGGAAAACAAAAGUACUAGUAAAAAUAGAGCAUCCUAACUCCGAUUUGGGCCCAUAAUACCAUUUUGGAAAGAGAACGACGAGAUGAACAUGACACGCUGCUUUGUCGCGACGUACGAUGAAUUUUGGCCAUUCGAGUUCUUUUAAGACUUGAAAACUGAUUCCAAAGAUUUGGCGCUAUUUUUGUAAUUUCAUUUAUUUUGGGGGUUUUGCAAUUUACUUUAAAUUAUUAAUAUGAAAACUAAAAAAAUUAGUUGGUUUCAUAGUAUUUGAUCAUUUUUGUACGUAUUUAUUGCAUCUGGUUCUAUUCGAUUCGACUCCAGUUAAAUCUUUUGACUGUUGAUCCUUCAUUUUUUUUCCGAGUCAAUGAUUGGGUCGAUUUUCAUAACGUUGACCUUAACCAUAAAUAAAUACAUUUUUCUAUGCAGUGAAUAAUUUCUUUUUAAACUAAUUCAAUUUUAUUUGGCUUAAUAUUUUAUUUUAUUGAAAAAAAAAAUUUGACUUACGAAAUAUCAUCUAUAAUUCCAAAAUUUCUCUAUCUAAUUCAACCAAUCCCUCCAAAAAUUUCAACCCUUCCCUCUAAUUUUUCUUUAUACUCAUUCCCUCACUUUCCCCCCAUAUAUCCCAUUCCUCCCUCAUUUUCCCCCAUAUAUCUCAUUCUUCAAUCGUCCACUUUUCUAUCAUUUUCCCCCAUAUAUCUCAUGCCUUGUAAUUUUUCUAGAACCAACUGCCAAUUGAUGUGGUUUAGCGUAUCUAAUGUUGCUUGAGUCUCCAUAGCAAUAGCAAUUUUUUUAGAUGAUUCGGCAACGCUUGAUAGGGCAACGAGACUCUCAUCAUUAGGUUGGGUACGUUGACGGCGAACUUUGUUAGUUCCUCCUUCGGCAUUACGCUUAGGAGCGCGAAUGGGGCUUGGAUCCGUAUCCUCAUUUUGAUCAUCAACUUCAUGCACAUUUUCAUCUAAAAAAAUAAUAAAAUAAGAAUUUGUUAGAAUCUCUAAUAUAAACUUUUAUGUACGAUCUAGUACGUACCAUGAUCGGGGCAUAAAAUGUCAUUGCCGGUUACAACACGAUCUCCUGUAGCAGAAUCAUUUCCAAAGAUAGCCUCCAAAUCAUCAUAGCGAGAACAAAGUUUGGUCCUCCACUUUCCAAAUUCUGGUUUGCCCUACAAGAAAAAGAGUGAAAUAUGUUUUACGCUAGUUAGUGGGCAAAAUAAAUUAGAUUAGUAAUAUUUAAGGAAUAAUACUUUCAUUGGUCAAUGAAUUUUGUACCUUCAACAACUCCUCCCAAGCUAGUACAUCGGCUAUGACAUGUCCAGUGUGAGGAUCUAACCCAAAACUACUCAUGCUUAACAACUAACGAACUUCAACAUAUUCUUUUUUCAGUGUUUUCAAUCGCGCCCUCACAUUCUUAUCAGACACCAUGACUCCGCAUCCAUUGUGCACACUCUCGAUUGCUUUGGACACGUGAUAUGAUGAAAAGCCAUUGUCACUUCUUUUGUGACUAGACAACACUUGAUGUAGUAGUGCAGUUAUCAUACAACCGUUCAUUGCAUCACUCCAACGUAUUUGAAGAUUACUAGAAUUAGGAUCCGCUUGGGUUUAGCUUAUUUCCUCCACAUCUGAAUGAAGGGUUGGUCUAGGAACUCGAAAAGGUGUCGCAGAGCUUUGUCGAAUAUUUUCCAUGAAUUGUAUAGUGCAAGAUUAACUGUUUAUGGUCAACUAAUAAAUAAGAACAUUUAAGAAAAUUGCAUGUCAACAAUGUCUCCAAUAACAGCAAUUCCAAUUACAAUAUUUAAAAUUCUAGCAAUCUUAUGUCAACUAUUAUAGGACAUGGGGAAAAAAAUAAAAAAAUCUGCUUAAUGUCAAUACGUCUUCAAUUCAAGCAAUUACUACAUAUGAAAGUCUAGUAAAUUUAUAUCCAUUACAUAGAAAUGAAAACAAAUAAAAAAUAAAAAAUAAAUAAAAAAAAAUCAGAUUUCAAUCGAAAUCAAUUUCCGCAUUCUGAUUGGGAAGAUAAUUAGUCAACAUUAAAUCAGCAAUCGCAUUCCUCUUAUUAGACCACACUUCCUGAUUUGUGAAAGAUAUGUGAGCAUUUGGAGUUUUAUCUUCAGGUACAUCAACAUGCGUAGGGUUAACCUCAUCAUCACUACUAUCUAAGUCAUUUUCCUCACAAACAUCUUCAACGUCAUCAAUCCUUAAGAAGUUGUGAAUGGUAGAACAGGCAAGGACUAUCUUUGCUUGUGUGUCAAUGUCGUGAUAGGGUUGAUGUCUCAAAUAUGCAAAUCUUCUUUUCAGCAAACCAAUUGUAUGCUCAAUUACGUAGAGAUGAAUGUCAAAAAUUGAACAACUCCUUACUACUUUCAGGACGUUGACCUUCAAUGUCUCUACGAUGAUAAUGAGUCCUACGGUAUGGUGCAAGAAAACCCGAAACCGAUGGGAAGCCAGCGUCAACAAGGUAAUAUUUACCUAGGAAAGAGUCGUUCAUAAGAUGGUAGUUAGGUAAUUAUUAUAACUUAUGUGUGGAAGAAAUGUUUUCAAAAUAGUGACACAACUUACCAACAGGAAUUGUUAGCUUAUGUCCUUGGCGUAAUAUUGCACUCCGUACAAUCGACCAUCAUGUGCGGAUCCCUCCCAACUGGCAAGAACGUAUGUAAAUUUCAUAUCAAAUGUGCAAGCUACUAAAACAUUUUGGGAAAUCACUUGCUUUCUAUUGCGAUAUUUACCUUGCUCCUCUAAAGACACAUACGCAGCUAUAUGUGUACCAUCGAUUGCUCCUACGGCAUCCUUUAAAAAAUAAUACUUUUCAAAAUAAAUGUGAAUAUUGAAGUUUUAAUUAAUAUGAUGAAAUAACUACAAACCACUAACCUGAAAAAAGGAGUACCAUGGCUGCACAUUUUCUUUUUCGUAUGGUGAGUUAUGAGGAGUGGCAUUAAUCACAACAUCUCUAUACAGUACAAGACAAGCGUGUAAGACUCUGUGAAAGUAAAAGCUCACUGUUUGACUAGAGCAAAAGAAAGUAAAACGUCCAGCGCGAUUACGUUGGUCAUGCCUGACUGUAUUCAAAAAAAUUGCGACUUGUUCCUCAAUUCAAACGUAUUUACUGUCAACCAAUCCAUAAGAUCGCAAAUGAGCACAUAAUCUUUGAAAUGUACCUAUUUUCAUUCUAAGGAGAUCACGACCUAUUGUAUCACUCGUGCCAAACAUUCGUGUAAGUGUUAUUUCUCUUUCAGAAUUCCAAUUUGUAUGAGAAGCUCUUGGAAGAUGUCGUGCAUGACGCCUAAGUUCGUUAUAUAUCACAAUCGCUUGCAUGACCAUCAUCCAAAAUAUACCUAAAUGUUGUCGUCGGCAUCGACGUUGAUUCGUUGUUGUAGCCAUGUUAUAAACUACCACGGUAAAUAAAAAUUCAAUAAAAAUUUGUUUAGAAAGAAUAACAUAAAAGCAUUACAGAAUAAAAAGUUAACUGUAACUACAUCAUAAUAGAAAUUCAUUGCAUGACCUUCCAAGCAUAAUGUCAACUGGUUAUAUUAGAAUUCUUAAAAUCAAUUUUUUCAAUUUCAUGCUUCCCUAACUCAUUCGCACCACAGUAAUCCCCCAGUUAGUAGAAUCAAGAACAUAAACCCACGAACAUAAAUUGUUAAGCUACUUCUAAAUCUUCAACUAUCUCUCUAAUCAGAGAUUAAUAGUAGGUACAGUAAACUCUAAGCAAUAAAAUAACUAUCCCCAACACAGUGAGAUGAUUAUAAACUAGAAAUGAUACAAACUGCCUUAAAAUAUGUCAACGUCGUUGAAGAGUGACACGUUUAUUCACUUAAAUCUAGUCUUGAACAUGCCCUCACUCACACAAAAUGAAUUCAUUUUUUGUCAAAAGCCUCAUAUGCGCACAAGUUCAAUAAAUAGUGAUAGCAAACACGCCUAAGUCUACCCUACUGCUAUUUAUACAUAUGUUAGAAAAUUUAAGACAAAAAAAGGCAAAUUUUUUUCUGGGAGUUUAGGUAAAUAUAGAAUUGUUCCCACGUGCUUUUGUUGGGAUGCUAAUGGUCAUAUAAAAUCUAGAUGUUCUAGAUUUUUACAUGUAAGAAUUAAAAACAUACUCAGCAAUCCUUCAGGUGCGCCCAAAUAUAAAUCUAAAUUGAACAUUAGGCAAGUAUAUGGGUUAAAAAGGCUGUGUUAAAAUGCUACCAGAGUAAAAUAUUUCCUGUUGAUCACGUUCAAGCCAAGAAUCGACUGGCCAAUUCACUCACUAAAGCCUUGGAUACUUUUGUAAGUAUUAUUGGCAUUAUUUUUCUUCUUUUGAAAAAUAAUUAAAAAAUGCUCAUGGUACUUUGUGAAAGGUUCUCGAUAAAUUUGUUGUUCACCGUUCAUCACAUAACAAUAGGAGGAACUAAUAAAACCACAUAACUGAUAGCCUCGGCACCACCUUCAUCCCAACAUCACCACCACCUGCACCUCAAAUCAACUACCACCACCUUCGACAAGCGCUGCUCAUCUUGUUGUGAUUGAAUCCAACAGUGAAUUACCUAACAUCGACGUCAUCGACAAUAUCGUUGAUCACACCAACAAAAAGGCCAACGAGGCAACAAGACCGGAAGAAAGGUGAGCAUAUCCUUUCAAUGUUGCAGAAAUUCCAUUACUAAUAAUCAUCGACCACACUGAUGGCCAUACCAACAGACCAAAAUUCAUAAGUGAUAUCAUGUUCUUUAAUUCUCAUACUGGUUAGAUAGGAAGAUAAAUUUAAGCAACAUAAUCACAUGGAAUACGACUGAGAAUUAGUAGCCACGUUAUCUUUGAUCUCUCUCUCUCUCUCUCUCUCUCUCUCUCUCUCUCUUUUUGGGCUUUCUAUGUGCAACAAUCCUUAUGAAAAUCGUUUAGUUUCUUCUGGUUCGAUUUCACACCCUUUUUGGAAACCGUGAAGCAGAAAGUAUCGAAGAAGAAAAUAUUGAAUUAGGACAAUAGGCCAAGACCGAGCCAUGUAUAAAGAGCUAACAAGGUGCAUCGAAAAUUAAGUCACCGUUCUUAUAAAUGACCCAAUUCGGUCUAUUUAUUCAUGAACUAAACUUGAAAUAUAGAAAUCGAACUUUACAAAACUAACAAGAAUGUCCAAAUAAGAAUGAUACCUUUCCUAGUAGAAAAGAAAUAAUGGAAUUUUAUAAAGUAAUUCCUUCAACAGGAGGAAUUGAAUCAUCUUGACUCUUACAUAAGCCUAGAAAUCGAAAGCCUCUAUCUUACAGUUUAUAGAAAAACUGUAAACAUUGAAAAUGAAUACCGCCUACUUAGAAUUUCUGGUCGACAGGUUUGUUAGGACGUUCAGGCAGUGGAGCGGAUGUCUUCUGAGUUACCAUUUCCUACAAAACUUAAAGAAAUUAAGAACAUUUUGCAAGAGAAAAAAAUUGACCCUGAAAAGCUAAUUGAAAUAGAAGGCGAAUUACAAGAAAUUGAAAAACCCAAACCACUAAUAUGAUGAAAAAUUAAAUUUUUAUCAGCUACCUUGUGAAUGAAAAAACUAAUCUUAGCAUGUAUUCAGAAAUUUAAACAAUUACGAGAAGCGGUCACUGUCCACAACUUUUUUUUUUUUCCACAAAACUUACAAACAUAUAUACUUAAAAUUAUAUUUCUGGAGCUACACGAGAAAAUCACUUAGAACUGGGGUUUAAGGGUUAAUAUUUUGCCAACCUUUUGUAGUGAUUUCCUCGGAGGCAGAUCUAGAAGCAGAGAGUCGUCGAGUUCUUCCUCUUGGCUCGAUUGAAUUGAUGAGAGAGAGGGUAGUGAUUUGUAAGUGGGUAGAGAUGAGAGAGAGAGAUAUUAACGUAGAGAUGAGAGAGAGAGAUAUUUAACGUGGGUUGGUUACCUAGAAUUUUUGGAAAGGUUAAAUUCCAUGAAAAAUAAAAUCCACCUUCCCCCAAGGAAAAUAUUUUCCUUGCUUUCAAGGAAAAUGUGGUCACUGACCAAAAGAAGGAAAAUAUUUUCCUUAGAAAAAAUUGUCAAUCAAACAAGACGAAAGUAGGAAAUAAGGUGGAAAAAACCCAUUUUCCAUGGAAAAUGUGUGCAAUCAAACACACCCUAACUUCUUUUUUCAUCAAAUUCUUAUAUUCAACAUUCCAUUAAUUAGUAUAUCAUAUCCUUGAUAAUAAUUUAUAUCAAAAUAUUUUAUUUUCUUGCUUUAAUAUCAGAAAAAAUAUUUUUUAGCGGUUUUUACUUAUUUAAUUUUUAAAAAUAUGAUUGAAAAAUAAAUUAUUUUACCUCAUUUCAAUGAAUUUUGGGAUAUAAUAGUGUUAUGAAAUAUAAAAUAUGUUAAUUGAUGGAAAGUUUGAGAAAAGAAUGACAUGAAAAAUUGUUAGGACAUAAUUGCUAUAAUGAUCAAAUAUUAAAAACCUUAGCCCCCAUUUGGCCCCAUUAAAUUAAAAAAAAAUUUCUCUCUCCUAUUUUCAAUCACACAAUUUUCUAUAAAAUAAUAUUAUAUGUAAAUUGAAAAAAAUUUCUACUUUUUCAAUCACUUAUUCUUCAAAAAAAUACUAUUCCACCCAUUUUAUUUGAAAAAAUAGGGACCAAACGGGCUUAAUUGCAAUUAAAAUGUGGUGUAAAGAUAUAAAAAUUGUAGUGUGAAUAUAAUUACCUUUUUUGUUAUUAACUUAAAUUGCCUUAAGUAAAAUUACAUAAACGGGGCUUUAAUAUAUUUAUCACAUAAAAUAAUUUAUUGUUACACUAUAAUCAUAAACCUAAUUUUUUUCUUUCUUUUUCAUCAACAGUCAUGUCACUUUUUUUUUUCCAUCAAUUCUUCCAAGACGGAAAAUAAUUUACUUUCGCUCUCUAAUUUUAUUUUAUCAAGGCCGGCCCUUAGAAUUUAGAAGUCCUAGACAUUUAAUUAUUAUGGGACCCUCAACAUAAUAUUUAUUUUUCAAGUGUAACAAUAUGUAAAUAUUUACAUAAUUAAUACUUUUAUGUUAGAAAGAAAACUUUAUACAAUUUAAAAGACAGAAUAGCAAAAUAAAAUUUUUAUCACCACCCGAAAGAUUAGACUAGUAUAAGGUUUAACCUUCUCACAUGCCAUAUAAGAAGGAAUGAAACAAUGUGUGAAAAAAAAAAUAAUAAUAACAUAUGAUUUAGAGGUUUCCCAUGAAAAAUCAACGCUACACUCGGCAUCAAUGAGGAGCAAACUUGUUUUGACUAAGAAAUUGUCAAUUUAAACUCUUACUUCCAGGCCUCAAUUCAAUGCCCAGAUAUAAAGCCUCAGCGCUAUUAGAAAUGAAAAUAAAAGCAGGGUAUAUCACGUUUUCAUCCACGUGAAACUUAUGCUACUACAAAUAAAUAGAGGCCAAAAAGAGGAGAAUAAGAGGCUUGUUUGGCACAUAUUUUUCCAAGUGGAAAUGAUUUUUUUUUUUUUAGAAGUAUGAUUAAAAAGUGGGGAAAAAUUGUUGUCGAUAGAAUGUGAUGUUGAAAAUAAUUUUUGGGGAAAAAUAUCAAAUAUGUGCCAAACAAGGCUUAUCCCAACUCAGAAAUGAAUAUAUGAAGUUGUCAAAGACAACAGAAAGAGAAAUAACUACAAGCAUAAGACGAAGACAAAGAGGCCGAACCUGUGGUUAGAUAAUUAGAUUUCUAGUCUGAAUUUUUUCAACUUUGAUGGUGGAUUGGAACUGGUAGUUUUUAGGAAUUUUCGGAUUGGUAUUGAUCUCUACUUCUCUUCAAGUUUAUCACAUAAGGUUAUUGAUAAAAAAAAGAUGGAAGAUUUUCUUGGGGAAGAUGAUUGAUAUGGAAUGGAGAAGAAGGCGGUUUGUUUUCCCUUUGACUUGCCUAGCAUUUUUUUUUUAAGGGAUGGACUGUUUUAGGGUUUUUAGAGGCCCUUAAAAUUCAGAUGCCCAGGGCAGUGGCCUUACUUGCCUUGGGCCAAGGCCGGACUUGAUCAAUUUCAUGACAAAACCCAAUCUGCAUUAUAUUGAGGACAAUUUAUUAUGGAGUACUUUUAAAAAUGGAAUAGUCAAAGAAGGGAAAUUCCACUUUGACUUGUUCAAUUCUUAAAAUUAUAACAAUGGCCUAUUGAGUGUUAAAAGAUAAAAAUACCCUUAAGUGUAUUAUGUAACUACAAAAGAAUGUUUUGUUUAAAAGACAUUAUUACCCUUUUGUUAACAAAUAAAAACCAAACACUUCCCACUUAAAAUAUCAAAAUCAACAAACUUCUCAUAUUUGUUUACUCCAACACAGAUAAAAACACUUUCAUCUUUCAUUUGCUUCAACUUCAAGAUUUGAAAAAUUCAUUGAACGCGGUAACUGAAAAUUUUUUAUAUCAAUCUCAUCAGAUCAGUAAGUUUAUAAUACGCACAUUUAAUUUUAUUUUCGUUAAAUUAUUUUACGUUUACAUAGAUAAAUAUAUUUCAACAUGUAAUAUUAAUGUAAAUAGUUUUAUUAAUAGAUCUAUGAAAAAUUUUAAGCUUUUGACGAGAAAAAAUUCAUCUACAUUAAUAUUGAAAAAUUAAUCUGCAAAAGUUUGGAUGUUUAUUCUAGUGGACAGCGAAUUUGAACAGCCGACUAUCCAGUUAACAGUUGAAAAACCUGACUGGACAGCCGGAUGGAUAGUCAGCUAGAACAACCGAAGCCGGCUCGAACAGCCGGCUUAUUAAUUUUUUUCUAUUUCAUUCGAUAUUUUUUUGCAAUUAAAUUUUUUUUCCUCAUGCAGAUAUGGUUGUAUUCCCAGUUUGUUACUUUUGUGAUUUCGAUUUGGACGAAAGAGAUCGAUGGGUAUGGAAAUGGGCGAGCGAUAAACGUGGUGAUAAGCCAAUUUCCUUAACGGAUGCAGAACUCUAUAAUCUUUUACAGAACAAGUUAAAUGUCGAUCUCUCUUAGUAUGACAUGGAAUUGAAAUUUAAAUUCAGUGAUCAGGAAGUGUCGAGUCCACCUAUGACAAUUUCUUCUGAUGCCGAAGUGAAUUAUCAGUUUGAAAUGAAGAAUAGACACUCGACUCCUGUUUGCGUGACUUUAGUGAGGAAGGAUUUCGUCGAAAGUGAACUAGUAGAAUCAGGUGGAAGGGAUAACAAUGCUAAUGAUUUUUGGGAUAUGGUCCAGAUAGCUCAUGAAGAUGAUGCGAUUAUUCUAGAGACAGUUACUCACAGAAUUCGUUUCGUGGUUCACGAAAUGAGUGUGAAAAUGCAAAUACUUCUACAAACAAGGAUUUAAUCGCUUUAUCCCGACAGAGACAUGAGUGGGGUAGGACCUCAGGGGCUGGAUUGAGUGGACCGUUCUCUAACUCUUUCCGUAUGGUUCUCGAUAGUGAGGAUAUGUAUGUCCAGCAACUAUUUGAAAUGAAAAAAGAUUCGCAGGAAGCUGUGAACCUAAUUGCUCUGAAAUACAACUUUGAGUUCAAAGUGAAAAAAUCGAACAAGUCAUUGUUGACAAUUGCCUGCGUAGACGAUAGUUGCUGCUGGCGUUUGCGAGCGAUGAAGAUGAACACGAAUGAGUGCUUUGUAAUUCGUAAGUACACACGGAAACAUACUUGUGAAGUGGGAUUAAGUCGAAAUGAUCACAAGCAAGCCCGAGCUUGGUUUAUUGGUCAUAGAUAAUGCACAAGUAUUAGGAUUCUCGUACAAUCUAUAGACCAUUGGACAUCAUUAACGACGUCCGUCGAGAGUACGAAGUAGUUUUGAGCUACCAGAAGGCCUGGAAGGCCAAUGAAUGUGCGUUUGAGGAUUUAAUUGGCUCUGUAGAGGAAAGCUAUGCCAAAUUGGCUUGGAAUUUUUUAUUGAGACGAAGGGUGGGAAUUGCUUCAAAUUCUUCUUCAUGGCUCUUGGACAAUAUAUUUGGCGAUUUUGAAAUGCAAUGCGACCCUUAAUUCUAGUUGAUGGUACAACACUGAAAUCCAAAUAUCAAGGCAAGUUGAUUAUUGCUGCAUAUCAAGAUGCCAACAUCUAAAUUUACCCUCUCAUGUUCGGUAUAGUCGAUAGUGAGAAUGACCUGUCGAUGCGGUGGUUCUUCACAAAGUUAAGUGAAGUAAUCGGGGAAGUCAAGGACCUUGCAUUUGUAACAGAUCGGGGACAGCCUUUAAUAAAUGGUAUCACUGAAGUUUUUCCAAAUACACAUCAUGGGUAUUGCAUAUACCAUAUUCAAGGCAAUCUGCAGACCAGGUAUUGUUUCAUUAUACAGGACAGCGGCUGAAACCUGUAGUGUUGAAGAGUGUAAUAAGUUCAUGGUUGAAAUAGGAAGUAAAUCAUUCGAUGCAUGGGAUUAUCUAACAAAAAUGAGGAUUGAACAUUGGGCGCGCUCAUUUUUUUAGGAUGUCGAUACAACAUGAUGACAUCAAACGACGCGAAAUCUCUCAAUGCAUUAUUCAAGAAGGAUCAAGAAUUAUCCAUUCUUACACUAAUUGAGAAUAUUCGUACUAAGCUGCAACAUUGGUUUCCCAAUCAAUGUGCGGAAUCACAGAAUUGCACGAGCGUGCUAGCCCCGGCGCAAGAGUAAAGGCUAUUCAAGUUGCAGAACUUACAAGACAGUUGAAUGUCAAAUCACUAGACGAGUCGUGCUUCUCAGUGGAAUGUACACGUAAUACGACAUACAUGGUCGACUUGACUGAUAACACAUGCAUUUUUAAAAAAUUUCAGUUGGAGACUUUUUCGUGUGAGCGUGCAGUCGCGGUUGCUAUGUAUCGAGAAUUUACAGUUAGAACAUUGUGCUCUCAUUACCACACGACUGACUAUCGGAGAGCUGCAUACGCUAAGACAAUAUUUCCUCUACCGAACGAAGCUGAUUGGGAAGUCCCCGACCAUAUUCGCCCGCUCAAUACAUUGUUACCACCUCUCAUUGAAUCGCGUGAUUUUGGACAUCCAAGUACGUUUAUAAUACCAUCUAUUGAAGAAUUCCCUCGACCGUGUAGGUGCAGUCGGUGCAAAUUAGUAGGCCAUACUAGCCAAUAUUGUACAAGUCAUGUUCCUCUAAAUGAUAGUUAAAUCAUUUGAUAAUGUUGCCCAUCUGAAUUAAACAGUGUUUGCAUUUAUUCUAUGAAAACAAAUUAAUUACCGUCGUAAUUAAUAAUCAUUUCAUAAUCCAUUACAGUUUGUUACAAACAUCAACAAAUCAAUAUUUACAGUAUUUACAAUUAUUUUGUAAUUACAAAAAAUUAUAACUAAUAAUUACAAUAAAUCUAUGGAUCACCAUUAAAAUAGAAUAAGUCGCACGCUAUUCCGCCAACUCUGUAUUCAGUAUUGGUUGAUUCCAUCAACCUUAUGUGCUAUACUCAGAAAUUCGAUGUACUUUAUUACAAAAAUGGCACUAUCACCCUUGCAAAUGAACAAAAAUGAGUUCAAUCAGUACCGUGCAGCAAAAAUAUUAAGUAUUAAAUUUUAAAAAUUUUGAACCAAUUAAGAUAUUGUCUGCCUCGCCGUGGUUGUGUCUAGUCAUCAUAGGGAUAAAAACAGCAAUGGAUUCCAGAUUUUGCUCGAGCUGACCUUGUGUCAGACAUGAAUGAUUGGGGUCGUACACGUAUAUAGUAGACUCAGCGAACACAAUCUCCAAAGCUUUGCAGUGAUGAUUCAUGAUCACUGGUAUGUACAUAUAUGUACAACCCUCCCAUGACUUCCCCCCGACACGUGACCACAUCCCUAUUAUCCACUCAAGCAUGUAGUCGGGCACCGCGUACUCAUUACCAGCAUGUUGGAGCGACAGUACUCAAUGUCAACGCUUCGUCCGAACUCCAAAUUCAGUAUGACUCGACCAAGACUGUCAAAUGGGCCCGGAUAUCUUUGAACCCGAUCACGCAACAAGUCCAUGGCCAGGUCGAUGUACUGCAUUAAAAAAUAGCAAUACAAAUGGAGUUAUUUCAUUGCAUAAACAAACAAUGAUAUAUAAGUCAUAAAAAUUAACAGUAUGACUACUUCACUUACAUCGUCGACAAGUCAGGCUCCUGAAGUAAUGAUGUCGUGGAACCACUUAUAAUUUGGAGAUCGUCACAGUAUCGAUCAUACGGCUAAUCCUGACAAAAGAAACAGAGAAAUUUUAAAAAAGUAAAUACGAGUAACGAUCACUGGUGUGUACUAAUAUCACUAAUAUCAUGAAUACUAACCUGGGCAACAUUCUUCUCCACUCUAUCUCGAACGCUUUCUACUUGGUAUGGUCCACCUCCUGAAAUAGGUUGGGGAUCGUUUCAUCGACGAACCUCCUCCUCUUCGUCUCAGCCGUGAAGAGAGAGACAAUGUACUUUGACGACACUCUCGGCCUGUUGCUUACCACCAAGUCCAGUAAGUCAAUAGUAUGUUUUUGUGCCCCAGUCACAGUCGUUGUCCUCCCCUCGCCCACCUCAAGCAUCGUCCCCUCCUCCGCCCCGAUGAUCGCCACCUCCUCCUCCAUCCCCGUCAUCACCAUCUCCUUGACCAUAGACCCCAUCCCCGAGAGGCCCACCACCUCAUCUACAGGAAUCAACACCACCUCCUCGACCCUCAUCCGCCAUCAUUUGCACUACCUCCUCAAUCAUCCCUCCCAUCCCCAAUGGAGCCACCCCCUCCUUCGCCCUCGGGUCCACCCUAUUCUCCAUGGACUGAAGAAAGGAGUUCCAUGCAUCCUUUGACUACGACGUGGGUGACCCCCAUCUCUAUCCACUCGAUCACCCCCUGGUCGUCACCUCCGUCACCCCAUCGUCUGCCUGCUAUAUCACUUCGAAGUGCUAUCACAUCAUCAUGAAGAUCCCCUAAAUGCAUGCGCAGCACUCUAAUAUCAUCAGCUAUAUCCCAGAUCGUGGACUCACUCCACCAUAUCUCGACGCAGUGCGCCGACCUCCUCUGAUAUAACUCCUAUCAACUCUCGACGCAACGCGCUGACCUCUCCCAAUAUAACUCCUGCCAGCUCUCGACAUAGCGUACUUACCUCCUGCACUAUAAAUCCAGUCAAUUGAUGGUACAGAUCAUCAGAAUAAUCACCCUGAAAGGAAUUGAUGCUGACAACGGAGGUGAUGUUGCCGACAGAGGUGAUACCCGAUUAACUGGCUCGCAGUCCUGCACAAACAUACGUAUUAUUAACUUAUUCAAUAAUUGCUAACUCAUACAAAAUGUUAAUCAAUAAUUCACUUACCCAGUCUUGAUCGGGGAUCGAAUCGGACAUCUGGUCGUUUUGGGCAUGCGGAACCGCUACUUCACGCACAAGAUCCUACGUCUCAUCUUCCAUCACCGGCGUCAAAUGAGUUAUUACUUCAAGCUGACAUAUUGGCAUUUUAAAAAGAUAAAAUCAUGUAAUGAGAUUUUAAACUAUGUACAAUAUAAAUCACAAAUUUAUAAUACUUUCAUGAGGGUCGUAGAGGAAAGCCGAUAAUUGUUUCCCAGUGGGACAUCCCUCUGCUCGAGAUGCUCGCCAAUGGUGCAUCCAAGGGCAGUGUGUCUCCUCUCUCGCACGCAAAGUGGGUACCCAAUAUGGGGAUGGUCUCAUACGCCCAAACCUGCAACACAUAAAUUAGUACAUACAAAUUCAAUAGAAAAAAUAUUUUAACAUUGAUUGCGUUAAUCAUUUACCUGCAGCGCCAAGGGAAAUUUGUACGUGUCAUACUUACGCACGGACCCCUUGAGCUUCGAGUGCAGUCUCGUGAAGAUGUGGAUGAUUUUCUCGAAAUAUCGACGGCCCCAUGGAUAGUUGUUGAAGCGAUCUAUGUCGUCGAUGAUCUCAAGGUGGAAGAGGUCGAUCGAAGUCUUCUAGUGGUGACACUGCAUCAUGCUCUCAAUGAUGUAAACUAGACCUAACUUCAGUCUGUCCAAUAUCUCGUCACACCUCCUGAUCGCGUCCAUUGGCUGAGGCAAAACCACUGCCCCAAUCCCUGGAAGUAAGUGUCCUGCAGCCUAUUUCUUCGUUGAGUCCCGCCGCUAGCUGGCUCAUUGCCCGUAAUCUUCAAUCCAGUCAGCAGGACAAAUUCGAACAUGGAAAAGCUAGCGACUUUGCCCUCGAGGUCGAAGUUGAGGACAUCGUCGUCAACUGGACUCAGCAGCCGACAUAAAAGAGCAUCAAUCGUAUGACCGGAAUGCUGCAACUCUCUCAUAGGGUAUAGAGGCCAUAGAAAGGACUGACAGAGCAUAGCUGCAUGUUGGUCGUCCAGCAGCUCCAGGAUCUGGGUGAAGCUGUAAAACUUACUGUUCCACGUAACUUUGCCUAGCAUCUAUCUCAACUCUGCAUCCAGAUGACAAUCCAUCCAGCAAAAAUUGAAACAAAAUAUUAGAACAUUAUAUAUGAAAUAAUAGAAUGAAACAUAAUAACCCAAAAUUAAGUGAACCAAAUUUUUAACCGUAUUAUCGAAAAUUAAUAAUUACCAUAAAAAUUAAAAUUAAAAUAACAAAAUAAAAUGAAAAUUACAAUUACAAUUAAAUUUAAAAUAAAAAGUUAAAAUUAGAAUUAAAAAAGUAAGUUUAAAAUUAAUUUUAAAAUAACAAAUUUCUUCAAAUUAAAAUUAUAUAAAAUGAAAAUUUAAUUUAAAAUAAAAUUACCAUUACAAUUAAAUUUAAAAUAAAAAGUUAAAAUUAGAAUUAAAAAAGUAAUUUCAAAAUUAAUUUUAAAAUCACAAAUUUCUUUACAUUAAAAUUAUAACUAAAACGAAAAUUUAAAUUUAAAAUAAAAUAAUAAAAUUAAAAAUUAAAUAAAAAUUAAAAUUUAAAAUUAAAAUUAAAAUUUUAAUUUGAAAUUAAUUUUAAAAUAACAAAUCUCUUUACAUUAAAAUUACAAUUAAAAAAUGUAAAUUUAAAAUAAAAUUACAAUUACAAUUAAAUUUAACAUAAAAAGUUGAAAUUAGAAUUAAAAGACUUAACCCCUAUUCCACAUGUGGGAUGUGUCAAUCACAAGGCCGAUGAGAUAGCAAAACAUCUUCGAGGUAUACAUGAAGAGGUGAAGUUAUCCAUUCGGGAGAGUAAUGCUAAGUACAGGGCUCUGGCAGAUAAUCAUCGUCGUCGAUGUUGGUGAUUUUGUUUGGGCAGUAUUAACUCAUGAUCAUUUUCCGGCUAUGGAGUAUAAUAAGCUUAAGGAGCAGAAGAUUAGACCUUGUGAGCUGCUGCAAAAGAUCAAUGAUAAUGCUUAUAGGUUGCGCCUUCCCAGCCAUUUGAAAACUUCUGACGUCUUCAAUGUGAAACAUUUAAGUCCUUGUCUUGUGGAGUCCAAUGAAGUCAAUGUGAACUCAAGAGUGAGUUCUUUCCAACCUGAGGCGACUAAUGCAGGAGGUUCCGAAUCAAGUGAGGCCAAGAUGUCAGAUAGCAUGUUGAUGACAUUGAGAUACCAUGAGAUGGCGAAUUGGUACAAAGAUGGAAAGUGAUUGCAAUACUCUCCUCAACUGGGGCAAUUUUCACACAUUUUGGGUAAUUUGAUCAUAACUCUCGUUACAGUUAUCAGAAUCGCAAUUAUAACCCCAAUCUGGACGUGUACGUUGUGGUCACCCAGCUAUACUUGGUGGGCAUCAAUUUCAAGGCCAAAAUCCGUUAUUUUCACUUCCGAAUUUCCAUUUUUUGUGAUUUUUUUCCAUUUAUGAUAAUAUUUCAGUUGCUAUUUUUGAGGUGAUUACGAACUCGAUUUGAGUCAGAUUUUUGGAAAGUCGCUUCUUUUAUUACGUAUUUUAUUUUGGUAUGUUUUUUGAAAUUUUACUAUUUUUCGUAAAAUUUCGAUAAUUCCGAAUUUCCUCAGCUAUAUAACCCAGCUUGUGGGUUAUUUUUCGUUAUUCUAGAGUUUAAUAAAAUUGAAUUGAAUUUCAAAGAAUUCUCUCUAUCUUUGGGCUUUUUCUUCGAAUUCUUCCUUGUGAAACAUUUGUUGUAGCUAGCCUAUCCUAUCCGGCAUCAAUAAAUGUUAAAAUUGAUGAUCAUGCAUAACAUAUUUAGAGAUUGGAUGGACCGAAGAGACAUUCUCCCUGAUGGUGAGAACUUAGAGGAUGAUAAUGCAAAAAAGAUCGGAUGGAGUUCACGAGUAUCUAAAAUGCAGCAGAUGCAGAAUGUACUGGCUUAGAUGACAUGAAUAUACUAGAUAGUGAAGCAACAGUAUAUAACUAGCAGGUUGACAUUGGCGAUCAAAUUCCCAGAUCAACCUUCAUCACGAGUGAGAAAAGCUCAUCCAGUGACAAAUGUAAUCGAAAAUUUCAAUGAGAGCAUGGUGAUGGGAAGCAAACUUGCAACUGAAAUUAAAAAUGUAUGUUAUACCUCCUAGCUUGAGCCAAAAAAAAGUGAACGAAUCUCUUGGUGAUGAAUCAUGGAUUUUGUAAACAUAUGCUAACAAUGAUAAUAUAAUGAUACUAAGAUACUAUUAUCACACCAAUAAAUUACAUGGAAUGCUCAGAUGGAGGGGUCCCAUAUAUGCCGACGUGGUAUCGACUAUUCAAAUGAUUAGGCCUAUUUAACUAAACAAUUACAUCUUGGGCUUGGAGUUGGGCCCAUUUCACUAAAUCCACAUAGCUUAUUUCAUUUCUCUAGAUAUGAACAAAUGCACUUCACACUUAAGGCAUGUAAACUCAAAUCCUAGCCAAUUUUUCUCUCCCUCUCUUAAACUUAUAUUAUAUCUCGUCCAGACACUAAUUUGACCGUGAGAGUGUAAACAAUCGUCGGACCACUUUCUCAAUAGCUUUGCCUCCUAACGAGGUGCUCCAGUGAUGAGUGAUGUCUACGUAGGGGGGAGGUGGUCAAGAUUCUUUUAGCUCAUUACCUGAGGUCAACAUAUUUUUUUAUCCUCAAUUUUCCAACCUUGUCAACAUAACAAGGAUAUCUAUGUGACUGAAAUAGGUACAACUCACAACUUGAAUGCUUGGCUGAAUAAAAUUAUGACUCGAUUUCCAUGUCUACAAGCGAUGCAGAGUACAUUGCUACUGGAAGUUGAAGUACUCAAUUACUUUAAUAAAGAAGAUGCUGAGCGACUAUGGCAUAACUACAAACCUUGGUAGCCUAAUCUCUAACAAUACAAGUGCCAUUAAUAUUACGAAAAAACACUUUCCGACACCUAGGGACUAAGAUUCCCAUGGCUUAUUGUUUUUUCUUCUUGAUUUCGGUUCUUUUUUUUUUUUUUUGUAUUCGAUUGUAUCAAAAAACUUCCCUUUUGAUUUUCAUUUAUCUUUUGGUUUUGAUUUUCAUUACUAUUUUCAUUUCUAUUCAAAUUUUAAAGAAGUAAUUUAUUUGUUAUAAACCAGAAACUGAGCACUGACUUGCCGAUUUAUUCACAAGGCUUUGGACGCUUUUUCGUUUUGAAAGUCUCCAAAAAAUCUAACGCAUUGCAUUGUGCAUUGUGCACUGAUUGCCCACUUAUUGAUCUAAUAAUGUAAUUUAUCUUUUAGUUGUAUACUUUUAUGUGUGUGGUGUCCUCUCAUUCUAGUAUGCUGAGUGUUUUAUAUAUAUAUAUAUAUAUAUUUAAAAAAAAAAUCACCCAACACACUAGAGAGGACUGCCAGCAUUUUUAUAUUAAAUAAAAAGUUUUCUCUUUUGUCUUGACAUAACAUGAACAUUAGGAGUGAUUAAUCAAAGUUCAACUAGCUGUGAAUAAAAAGAGUCCUGAAGUGAACUACACUAGAAUAUAGAUCUAUGGUUAGUAUUUACGUCCUUGAAACAAUAAUAUGAUGAAAUGUUGAUAAGCAAGACCAGUGAAAAGAGAGGGCUGCCAGCAUUUUUAUAUUAAAUAAAAUUUAUAAUCUACUAAUGAAUGUGGAAAAAAACAUGCCCUACAAUUAUAGAAAAAGACGGCUAGCUUGAUAUGAUUUGUAUUUCCUUUAUAAAUUAAUAAUCCAUAUGAUAAUUAUUUUGAAAUACAGUAACAGUGCUUUGUAGUGUGUUACGUACCUUUAGUGUAUGUCAAAAUAUAAUGAGGGUAAUGAUACUUGCCAACCCAGGGAUAUACACCCCUUUUUGGCCCCUUCCGUAUAAAUCCCUCACAUGAAGGGGGUGCGCUGAAAACUCGGGUGUACACCCUUUUAUAUGUGUAGCAUCACCCGUAUAAUGCACAUUUGAAAGCAAAUGAGAUAAACUGAAAAUCAGCAUUUUUUCUUUGAAUGUGCUAUUCUGUCUUGGCAUGUGCUACUUAAAAUAAGCUAUAUUCUUAGGGAGGGUUUGGGGUAGCCAACAAUAUGAAAUUUUUGUACUAAAGUUCUGUCUCUCCUUAUUACAAAAAAUGGGGAGAAAAAAAUGGGAGGAUAAUUUUUUUGAAGUUAGUUGACCAGAUGGCGAUUGUAGACUUUCAUUAUUUCCCUAUAGUAAAGAUUUUGUGAAAUGUUAUCCAGUAAUAUAAGACGCUUUAUUUACCUUUCUUAUCAUUGUACUUAUGAUAAGUACUAAGGGCCGUUUGUUUUAUGUUUCAGUUUUCAAUUUUGAGUUUUAAAUUCAUUUUCAGUUUUAUGUUUUAAGAAACUAUUUAGGAAUGCUAAAAAUGCAUUUGGUAGGUUUUUUUGAAAAAUUAUUCCUCAAAACAGAAAACCAUAAAACAUGUUUGGUUUAAAAUUAUGAAAAAAAUAUUUUUUGACAUUUAUUCAACAAAAUUUGUUAUUUAGGAAAAAUAGAAUACUUUUAUGUUAAUAUAUUAUCAUGUAAUAUAUAUGUUUAAAGUUGGUGAAUCUUACAAUAUUUUUCUGGUAAAAGUAAAAUAAUAAUAAAUAAUAAAUUUGGUUCAAAAUAUGGGAAAUAAAAAUGAAAAUAAUGGUGCAGAUUAAAAAUAUUUAUGUCUGUGUUUACUUACAUACAUGUUUAGUUUUUUAUGUAAAUAAUCAUUAAAAGCUUGAUGUAUUUUUAUUUUAAAUUUUGAAAUUGAAUCUCUACAAUUUUUAUUUUUUUAAUUUUUAAUUCUUAAUCUUAGAAUUUAUUUUGUAGAUUUUUAGUUUUCUUUGUUAGAAUUUUAUAUGUUUAUUUUAAAAUGUUUUUAUUUUUAAAAUUUUAUUAAAUGUUUGUUUUCUAUAUUUUGAGUGUUUUCAAAAUUUUCACUGAAAAUACACAAAACAAAAAGAAUGCAUUACGAGUUUUAUGUUAUAAGUUUAUCCUCAUUUUUGAAAACGCUAUUUCAUAAAUAUCAGACCAAACUCAUUUUUAGUAUUCUGCAAAGCUGAAAAUAGCAAACCAAACGUACCCUAAUAUUUUCCUUGACAUUCUUGUGCCUCAAUUAGGAAAGAUUAAAGAAUUUUUUCUUGUACAAGAAGUAAAAAUAGACUCUAUAUAGGAAAGGGUGCUAAAGAUUUUCUCUAUUCCCCUUCACUACACAAAAAAUUUCAGGAAAAAUAUUGGAGACUUCUUGAGCACAAAAAACUCACUACAUGUUUCCCGGUAGAUAAAAUCAUUAAACGAAAACAAAAGAAUCUACUUGUUUUUCAUGGAGAAAGAAGGGAUUGCUAUCAAGUACUUUCUGGGAUAAAAACUUUCCUAUUUGAAAAUUUUCAUAAGAUAGAUUAUUGAAGAAUGUUAAAAUAUAUGCUCAUCUGAAUUUUAUCAUGGAAGAGGCAUUUCGACUUUAAAUAAAAAUGGGUCUUUAUUCCAAUUUGAAGAGCAGCUAGGGUGCAAUUCUAGGAGUGAUGGUAGAACAAGUUCGUUAGCCUUGUUCCACUUAACAAAUCAAGAAAGUUAAAAACAAGGGAAGUUAUUAGAUGUUCUUGAUUUUUGUUUACUUUUUUUUUUUUUUAAAUUUGUAAUUCCAAAUUUCCUUGAGACGGGUAUCCUUUUCCUAUGUAGUGAAUUCUUUAGCCAUGGCAUGGGGCCGUUGAUGUUUUCUUAGAGGUUUAUCACGUUAUAUUGUGCAUUCAGUGUUUUAAAUUUAUUAUUGGUGCGAUAUCUUGAUACUAUGGUUGGUUACUCAGUAGUUGGGCACUUUAUAGGAUAGUUAGGACCAUUUUGAUGAACUAUCAGAUUAAUUAAUUAAUAUACUAGAAUUCAAAGUUUUAGAAAUAAAAUAUAUUUGGUUUAUUGAAAUUGGCAAUUUUAUAGAUAAAAUUAAAGUUAUAAAAGUCCAAGAAUCGAUUGGGAGGUUGUAUAGUUCAAUUAGGAGUCCUUGGGUACAAGUAUGGAACAGGGAGAAAAAGUAGCCGUAAUUAAAGUUGUUACCUGAUUGGCGCUCUUCUACCACUCGAUCGAAGCACCUACUGCUCGCCUAAUAUCCUAGAAAACCUAGUUUGUGAUUUAAAUAGUGUUUUGAGUCCUAAACAACCUUAAACACCUUCUAUUAUAUAUUUCCAAGUCAUAUUUCGUCCAUAGGUAUAGUUGAUCAUUAUAUUCUUCUUAGAAUUCAUCCGUUGGAGAUCCUACAUCAAUUCCCUACAUUGAGAUAAAUCAACCACACAUUGAAAACAUCAAAUUCAUAUUCUCAAAACACCAAACCAUCCACUUUCUAUACAUUUAUUAGAGAAUGCUGAAGAUUCAGGAAGGUGAUCAAAGUUUCGUUAAGAGAAGAACGUAAGAUAUCUUGGAGAUCCAGAGGAGAUAGACAAUUAUUGAGGUCAAGCAUUGGAGUGGGAGCAUACAAUUCAGGAGGGCCUUGGUGAUUAUAGGAUGUAGGUCAGAAAGUACUAAUAGUUAGUUGAGUUUGGACCGUAGUAAGUUAACUCGUUUAUAGUGGAUCUUUGCAAGUUGUGCGCCCAAAGUUUUUUGAUCCCGUAAGGGGUUUUUCUUCGCGAUCAAUUCCUUAGUACUGUAUAUUUUCUGUAAAUUACAAACUACAAUAAUUCAACAUCUAGGAUAUAUUGGCAUGUGGAUUCAUUUGGAUUAAAUAUUUAUAGAGACUUGCUGCUUUAAAUAUUGGUAAAUUUAAAUUUUACAUAAAACACCUAUUCACCCCCUGUAGGAGUUAGUUGAGUCCAACUUCAAUAUUUCAAUUGGUAUCGAAGCUUAAAAUUGAUCAUAGACCCAUUUUAUCUAGAUAAGUCAAUCGCUAAACAUACCUCCAUAUUUUAAUUGAAGCAAUAAUGCUUACUGAAAAGUAAGAAUGAGAGCUUUCUUAAAUCAAUGAUUGAGAGGAUUUUGGUAUGUGUACAAAAGGGAUGGAAUGCCCCAGCUACAUGUAUUGUAGUUGUAGUUACCCCUACUGAGGUUGCUAGUUGGUCUAAAACUGAUUUAGAGGAGUAUAAAUGGAAUAUUAAAGAGCUUUAUUCCCUAUUUAUUGCUCUGUCCUCCCACGAGUUUAGUAGAUUAUAUAUGUGAGAGAUUGCCAAAGAGGUGUGGGAUAUCUUAUAGACCACACAUGAGAAAAUCAAGACUAUUAAGAAAUUAGAAUGAAGGAUGAUGAAUAAUAUGAUGAUUUUUAUGCGAAGUUGAAUGACAUAGUUGGCUCUAGUUUCAAUCAAGGUAAGAAAAUUCCAAAAAACUAAGGUUGUUCGAAAGUUUUAGAUCCUUACCUGAGAGAUUUAGAUCUAAGAUCACAGCUAUUGAAGAGAGCAAAGACUUAGAAGCAAUUACGAUAGAAGAACUAGUUGGAUACCUCCAAACAUAUAAACUUACCGUAUCUCAACCUAAGAAAAACAAGUCUACAGUCUUGAACACUAUUAGGGAUGAAGAGUCUGACUCUACCAAUAUUAAGACCUUUAAGUGAGAUAGUUAUUUUGUUAAGAAAUUUCAAAAAAUCUUUAUGAAUAAGAAGAAACCCUAAUAGAGAUAUAGAGGUGUCCUUAGUGAGUUUAGAAAAGAUGAUCAUGACAAAAGUAAAACUAAGGAUGUUUUGAAAGAAAUCCCGAUCAGUUUAGAUGUCGUAAGUGUCAAGAUUUUGGCCACUUUAGAAAUGAAUGCGCUAAUAACAUCAAAACCCUAAAUAAGAAAAAUGUAAGGUGAUGGACGUGACUCAUACUGACGAUGAGUCUAAUUCUAGUGAGUGAUUCCUCUAGUAAAGAGGAGACAUAAAUUGUGUGGCCUUCACAUCUAUAGUUAAUAGUUAUUCAAAUAAGGAUAAUGAAAGGGUAGAGAACAUAGGUUGUAGUGAGGGUACCGAGGGUGAAUUUGUAGAUGAGAAAGAUAUUCAUAAAGCUAAUGAAUAGCUAUUCCAUGAGUCUUAAGGCUAAGAAGAUCAAGGGAGUGAUCUUUAUGAAGGUUAAUGAACUUGAGUUGGAGAGAAAGAGACUUAUAUUUAACUUUUAGGAGUCUACCAAAAGCCUUAUUGAGUUAAGAUUAGUUAAUGAGAAUUUAAAGGCUAAGGUUAACACCUUGUUAAGUGACCUUAAGCCCAAGAACAGCAGUAUCUUAGGACAAAGGCCUACUAGACAACGUACGGCCAACUAGUCCAUAAAUCAAUAUCAGAAAACAUGUAGAUUUGGACCUAGGCUUAACCCUACAAGCCACAUUUGUGAUAAGUUUGAUCACACAAAGCUUAGUUGUCACAAACUUUUGAAUAGAAAUAGAAAGCAGAAUAUCUCUAGUUGGGUUGAGUUCCUCACUAAUCAUGUUAGUCACUUGACUGAGUUAAUGACACAAUUGACUUGGGAUUAAUUCUAAUUCUAGGAAGGUCUAGGUCAAAAAGAGUGAUCUCUAUGGUCAUAGGGAUGUUCUAAAUGGAGAUGUUGAUACCCUUGCUCUUCAAGAUGAGAGCAUUGUGUACCUCAAUGAGUAGGUCAAUAGGUACACGUUUGUACAUAUUCAUUUAGUCCACAUUGUUGUACGCAUAUUCAUUUUUUUGUUGUUUUAUGCGAUUUUUGCCUUUUUUUUCAAAAAAGGAGAAAAUUUUAAGUGUUUUAGAAAUUGUGUCACCUUAUUUUGAUUAACUUGAUCAUGCCGAAUGGGACCAAGUAUGUGUAAAACUGAUGAAUGGUGGCAAUAAUUUCUAUGAUUGAGUUUAGGACUAAUGUAGAGUACUUAGAUAAGUUACACAUUGUACCAUCUUCACUGUAGACACUAAGAGUUUGUUAGCAAGUCUUAACCAUGUGUGGAAUUUGGGAUGGCGUUCAUAUGGGUGGUAAAGUGACCUUAAAUAUGAAUUGACUUUUAACCAGUUGACCUAAGAUUUAGUGUAAUCCCCAAAAAUAAAAGAUUGAUACAUCUUAUACUCAUCUUAGAAGCCUUGAUAACUCUAGCAAUUAAGUCUUUAAGUGUUUCUAAAUAUUUGGUAUCCUAUGGUCAUCUGAUUUGAAGUUACAGGUUUAAAGCUCGUUAUAGGAUUUAUUAAGAAAGAUAGAUGAAGUUGGGUUCGCACAUAAGGUUUGAGUGUAUGGAAUCGCUAAAACAAGGUUUGAGUGUCGCCGAAAUGAAGGAAGUGCCAUUUCAUCUUCUUCUUCGUCUUCUCCUAAUCAGUGAUCUUGGACUUGUCAUGUCGCUCUCGUAAUCGCCUCAACUGUUCCCACCAUGCAGAUGUUGUACCCUUGAGUUGAUGGCGAUCAAUUUUACCUUGACACGAUAUGGGACCUCCUUAUACUCAAAAAUAUGCUCCACUUCAUUCAACCAAUCAACAAAUCCUUCGACUUGUAACGUACUACAAAAAUCGAGCAGAUCCACUCUGAAACUAAAGUCUCCAUGGUGAUCCUCCUAUCCACAAUGCUUCCAUACUCGAACACAAUUGUUGAGAGAAGCAGUCGAAUUCAUUCAGUUGAGGUAGCCUCAAGUCAGCUUGUUACAGCUGCUCAAGCUAAGAUUUUAGCAUGGCUUGAUACUCGGUUAAAUCAGGAAGCGAUGGAUAGAUUACAAACCUGGUCAGAAGCGAAAAAAUUUUGCACAAGCAAGGCCUAUAAUUACUUUCGGCCGAGGGGAACUAAGAAAACCUAGGUAGCUGAUGUUUUGAGUUCAUGCAUAACACCGAAGCACUCUUUUUUGCUUUGCUUAGGGGCUCAAUCUAAACUCCUAACUAAAGACAAAUUGUAUUACUUGGAGAUUGACCGGAAUUGUGUGCUAUGUGGACAUACAACAGAAACAGGCCAACAAUUAUUCUUUGAAUGCUCUUUCACAUCGUCCUUAUGGGGAAGGAUUAGAAAGUGGCUUAGCAUCAGAAGAUCUAAGUCUACACUUGCUAGUCCAUUGAAGUGGAUAAAAAAGGAGACUCGUGGGACAUCAUGGCUCAGCAAAGCUAAGAGAAUUGCUCUUGCAAGUACUAUUUACUGCAUUUGGUUAGCUCGGAACAGAAAGAUUUUUGAAGAUGUUAGACCACACUUGGAUUGUAUUGAGAAUAGAAUUAAGGCAUACGUAUACAAAGUUAUGUUCUCUUUGUAUCCAUGUGUCUUGAUUCACUUUGAGUCCUUUGUGUUGGGACAUUGAUUUUUUGUUGUAUAUCUUUUCCUUUUGUUCACCCGGGUAUGCCCGGAGUAAUUAUAAGAAUCAUUUGCUUUGUUUACUCGAAUAUGCCCGGUGUACUUGUACAUGAAAUUUUUAUCAAUGAAAAUUUACAAUUAUCGAAAAAAAAAAAAAAAAAAGAACCAAGGAGUCGGUACACGUUGGUUAAUUAAAGAACAGAAAAUAUCAGAAAAGCCAAAAGUCUUCGCCCAUGAAUUAAAAAAUCUCCAAUCCACCCUGUCAUAUGCCUUAGCCAUGUCAACUUUCACCAUCACGUUACUUUCCCUCACUAUUUAGUUCAUAGAAUGUACCAAAACUUGAGUAAGGGUAAUAUUUUCAAAAAUGCUCCUUCCUUGGAUAUAAGCACCCUAUUCUGGAGAAAUAAUUAGUGGUAGAAGUGCUGCAAAAAAAUCUUGUAGGCAACAGAAUACAAACUGAUGGGCCUAAACUUGUCAAAACUACUGGGAUAUCAGCCUUGGGUAUGAGGACAAUAUAAGAGGCUGUAGAAAAUCAUCCUCCUUGACAAUAUCCCAGACUUUAUGUAAAACUCCGAUCCAAAACCAUCAGGUCCUGGUGAGCUAUCCAUUGGAAUGGAAAAAUAGUGUCUCUGACCUCCGUCCCAGUGGGUGUACCACAAAGAGAUAACAUGUCCGCCUAAGAAAACUACUUUGCUAUUAGGGAUGAUAGAUUCAGGAGAGCUUCCAUCCCCUCCUCAUUCAAAAUAAUGCACCCCAUCAUGCAUCUGUUUAGGCAAACUCAAAAUGGACCCAUCCUGAAGUUGUAUUUUUCUUUAUUUGGGCUAAUCCUUUUUUUCUGAGAGACAAAUAUAUGGAAAAUCAACUAUUCUGGUCCCAUUUGAUAGCCAUUUUUUCUUUGCAAUUGAGCCAGUCUUGUUUCCUUCCUUUGUUGCCAGACAGCCAGUUCUAUUUUAAAAGUGAGGCAAUCAAGUUCUACCUCAAGGUAAUGAUUUGGAAGCAAAAUAUUUAAUUUUUUUAAGCUUAUUUACCCAUUAUCAAGGGAAUAAUAUCGAGGGUAAAAUAAUGAGUCUUAAAUUAAGGAAUUAUCGAUGGUCCUUAUUGGUGUAAAUCGCAGACUCUUACACCCGUACGCACACAAAGACAAUAAGCUAAACUGACAAAGAUAGUUCAUUGUGCUUAUACAUUCUGCAGUAGACUAUGAUUGCUGAGGUGCUGAGGCCAAAUCCACGACAUCUUUUCGAGGUUUAAGUGCUAAAGCUGAGUACUUAUUCGCACAAGUAAGCAUUACAGUUGUACCAGUAUUGGUGAUGAAUUCUUGCUUGUUUAUUACAUACUGUUGGUUCAUGUGCUUAUAUACAAAUGCAUGUUUUGUAGACUCUGUUUUUUUCCUGUUGUUCCUAAAGAUUCAACACUGCUAAAAAAAAGGAAAAAGGAAGUUAAACUGGCAAAGGCCUUCCUUUCAAGGGUAAAGAUUUCAAUAACUAAAACUAAAUGCAAAACGAAUUGGAGAACUUAAAACAUAAUCAACUCUAGAAAACUAUGGAAGUCCAAAUAUUCCCUUUUCUUGAAAUUGAAGUGAAGCAUGUGAGUAAUAAACUGACAACUAGAUGAUGAUUCAAUUAAUCUCGUUAUCUUCCACAGUCCUUCAGAUGGUGGGCAACCACUAAUCUUUAAUCAACAUAAAAUUUCUAUCUUUUCCCUUGUACAAUCACGAAACCGAAAUAUAGAAUAUUAUAUGUAAAAACGUUAUCAAGGGACUCAACUGAAACCUAACCGAUGGAAAUAUUGGAAAGAUGCCGAUGUAGUCUUCUUUAAUUUGUAGUCCUUUCUAAUCAUCUUCAAUCUAUAAAGAGUUUACAAAUGUCGGUUGAAAAUGCAGUACAAAUAUUUGAAACGGAAACAGAUCCAGAGAAACAAGAAGUUGUGAAUGCUAAUUUCAUUUAAGACGAAGGAAAUUGAUUUUGAAUGAUAGAAAGAUCGGGAGAUGAAGAAGCCAUGAAGAAAAAUUAAGGGGGGUUUGGGGAUUGUGAAGAGAGAAGAAAUAUAAUAGAUUUAUAGGAUUCUGGAAUUCAAUUGAUUUGAGAAAAGAGGAAUUAAGUUUUCUAGUGAUGUUGAAUAAGGAUAUAUUAGGUAGUUUAUAAAUUAUGAUUUAAUAUAUUUAUUUUAAAAACAUUAUUCUGGUCAAAAAGCUAAAAUCCCAAAAUGUAUUAUGAAAUAGGCUAUUUGACCCAAUUACCACUUUCAUUUAAUUGACUUGAAUUUCAUUUACACCCUAGUUUAGUUUUAAAUUUUGUCCAAAUAAUGUCAAUAUGCUCGCCAGCUCAGCAUCUAUAAGGGAAGGUGUAAAAAAAUUUGUACUAGUAGUUUUAUCCAUAUUUUAGUUCUAGGUACAAUGGCAAAACUUGUAGCAAAUUAAGGUGGUAUCUAUGAAAUUGUGAAAACGCUCACGAACCCUUUUUUUUCUUAACCUUUCAAUUUUAGUAGCAUCAUUUUUCCUUGUGGAUGGUUUUGAUCAACAUUUAUAAUAAAAAGUCAAAUUUUGAUACUAAAAAAUAUAUUCGUACUUUAAAUUCAAAAAAAUAAAAAUAAAAAUAAAAAAAAUCUCCCCAUCCACCUUAGGGUUCUUACCUCUUAGAGACCAGAUGACUUGAUGAUGGGACGAGGGAAUGGAGUGAAUCGUCUAGGAUGAAGGAGGUGUGAUUGGUAAUUAAUUUGGAAGUACUCUUACCUCAACGUACUUAUUUUCAAACUUAACCAUUCAAUAAAAUGAUUUAUUUCAACACUGAUUUACUAAAGAGUAAAUGUUUUAGCUUAGCCAAACAUGGUUCUAGCAAAGUUUGUGUUCGACUUCCCUUUCUGCUUCAUCUCACUGAUACAUUUCUUGGGUGAUUAGAUUGGGCAAACCAAAUAGAUGCCGGUGAGAAACAAUACUAAAUUUACAGUUUCUAAUAAUUUAUUUACUUUAUACUUCACUAAAAUAUUUGAUUUAUGGGUUGAACAGCAAAAGCUGCUGGAAUGAAGCACAUAGUUUUAGUUGUGUCAAUGGGAGGACGAACAAAUGAAAGCCACCCUUUAAACAGCUUGGGAAAUGGAAACAUAUUGGUUUGUACUCUUUUUGUCUAGAUACCCUCACAUCUCACAAGGCUGAAGCUUGUGAGUUUUAUAUUAAAAAAAAAAAAUGAAAAUGAGCAUGUGAACAGUUCACGUCACUGUUCAAGUGAACAGUGACAAAUAAAAAAAUAAAAAGAGAAAAGAAAAGUAAAAAAAAAACAAAAAUAAAUAAACAAAAUAAAAGUGGACUAAUUAGGUCAAUUGAUAAAUAAAUUAGAUAAAAGGUUGGUAUGUAGGAAUGAAUUUGUUACAAAAUUUACCAGUAACCUCAUGUACAAAAACUAAAAAAAAUUGAUAGGUCGCCCCCCAGGGCACUUCUCCACUAGCAAAUGAUGGGUUCUCUCAAAAUUGGCAGAUCAGAGGUUGUGUGUUCGAUUCUUGGAGCUCUUGGAAGGCAAGGUACAUACUGGAAGGCAUGAUUUAUCCUGGAAUGCAGGAGUGGCUUGGAAGGCAAGACGCAACAUGAGUUGGCUCACUAGGCACAUCCCGCGGUUUAACUGAUCUGUGUGAAGAGGGGCCGGAUCACAGACUCAAGGAAUAGUCGCCUAAGGCGUCCAGGACACCUUGACAAAAAAUAAAAAUAAAAAAAAUUGAUAGGUUUAUGAGGAGGACGUCACCACAGAGUCAUUAGGAAAACUUUGGAGUUGGUAUUAAAUUUUUCCAUGACAGUUUAAAUGUAGAGCACACUAGUUCUUACAUGAAAGUGAGCCUGCUACAGAUAAUGAUGUUUUGACAGCUUUAAAAUGAAUUGCUAUCUUGACCUUAAUAGUUAAUAAAUAUGUCCCUAGGCUUUAAGCAUUGAAAGUGGAUGUACUUUUUGCUUUUCAUAUGAAACCCACUUUUUCUAAUUGGAAGUCAAAAAAUUAAAAAAGAAAAAGAGGGGGGUGUUUUACGUUAACAAUAUUUGUUAGAGAAAAGCAAUAUAAAUAUAUAUAUUUUAAGAUGGAAGAUUAUGAAUUAAAUAAAAGGAAAGAUUUGUAAGUCACGUAAUAAUGAGUGAAAUGUCUAACCCACCUUAUAAAAUAUUUCGUGCCUUGUCUUCUACCCUAACAUAUGGUAUUUUUAAAUUUUGAAGUCGCAAACUAGUCCUUUAGUUUGUGGGUAUUUAUAUAUUCGUGCACAUAAAACUUUUAGUAAUGCCCUCUUUAAGGAAAGAAAAAGAAAGGGGGGGUGGGGUGGGGGGGUGAAUGACGAUGUUAUAUUAAUAUUGGACUUCCAUGUUUCAAAUGAUACGUAUAAUAAAUGUUAUUUGUUUAACCGUUUAUUUGCAUAAUGUUUGUUAAAAAUUAAUAUAUUUUUUUCUUAAGACUAGUCUUUGUCUCGUGCGAUGCACGAUUAUUGUAUUUAUUAUGUUAUUAUUAGUGUGGAAUGUGUAUAAUUUAUAUUAUCCAUGGGAUAAUAAUCAUCGGAGUGCAUGAUGUUGAAACUCGGAAGUCAAAACAAUAAUUUGAUUUUAACACCAGCACCGCUAUGAAUAUUCAUGUUAAUUUAUAAAUGUUUUCACGGUACAUCUAUAUGAUAACAUUAUUACUCACAAACUUCCAAAGGUUUACCACCUUACCAAUAGUAUCAAUGCUAUGGCAUAAUUUUUUACUCAUCUUGAAUGAAAUGUGCAAUAAAAUUUUUCGACGAAAACUAUUUGGAGAAAUCAAUUUAUGGUAAUACAAGGAUAAUCAUAGAUUUUUCCUUGUUGCGCAUGGUUUGGAUCCUUAAUUCUUUGCCCCUAUUGCGCAUGAUUUGGAUCUUUAAUUCUUAUUCCUAAAGUUUCAUAUGAUCUUAAUGAAUUUAAGGAAAUUGUGAAAUCCAACAUCACUCGCUUUUACAAGCACUUCUAAACUACAUGGAUGGUGAUGUAAAAAAAGGUCGGACAUGGUGAUUUAAAGCUACUAGUAAUUUUUUAUUUUUUAUUUUUUAAAUCUCAAUACGAGAGAAAGACUCAAUCAAAUCAAAAUUCAAAAUAUUCAAUGAACGUUAUUUUGGCUAAGAUUGAAAAUUAACACUUGAAAUUGAAAAAAACUAAAAAAAAAAAAUUGCGUUUUAUCUAGCUUUUGAGAGUUGUAAUAUAUGUGCUAUUUGAUUAUAAUCUAUGUUAUGUUAUAUUCGUAAGAUAGAAAUUGUAAUAUAUGUUAUUCGAAUUUUUUGGCAUGGACCGUAUGGCUAUGAAUCAUUUGAGAUAUCUGUUGACUUUGAGUAGUUUUUUGGUAUUUUACAUUAUAUUGUAUUAUAUUUGAUUUUAUUUUCUAUAAUUGUUUGUUAAAAUUAGUGGCGAAGAGAGAUGAAGGCCGAUGGGGUCAGUGAGGAAUUUGAUAUAUUCAUAUUUGUAAAAGAGACUCCGUGCAUGGUCACCUUCAAUAUAGUAUUUCUCCAUUUUCACACAAUAAUUCACUUCAUCCAAUCCAACUGAUAAAGAAAAGAAAUUGAAUGAUUUAACAAAUUCAACAACGAAAAAAUUAUGUGCAAAAAUAAAAAGAAACAAAAAAAAAGUUAUUAUACACUUUUUCAAUUAAAUUGAAAUAAUUAAAAGUAAAAAUAAAUAUUAUUUAACCAAAAUAGAAAAAGAAAAAGAAUUUAAAAAAAAUUAAAUUGAAAAAAAGUAUUUAUAAUAUGAAGAAAAAAAAAUUCAAAAAAUUUUAAAAAAUAUAUAUAUAAUAAAAACAAAAUAAUUAAAGUUAUAAAAAUUAAAUAAAAAUAUACAAAUGUUGUUUAGUUAAAAUUUAAAAAAAUAAGUUUUAUUAUAAAAACAAAAAAAUUAAAAAGAAUUUUUUCAAUCCAAAAAAAUUAUUCAUCAAAAAACAAAUUGAAAAAAAAAUGGCAUGGAGAAUUCUAGGCAUGGAGGUGGACACAUUAUGGAUGGAGAGAAAUCUCUCCAUAAAUGAAGGGAUUUCUCUACGUGCACGAAGGGGGGUUCUCUUCAUGCAUGGAGGGAAUUUUUAUUUUCCUUUUUUUUCAUUUUGUUUACAUUAUAAAUAUUUUUUUCAACUUAAAAUUUUUUUUAUUUCCUUUUUCCAUGAUAAAACAUAAUUUUCCAAUUUUAACAAAAUAAUUUUUAUAUAUUCUUUAUUUAAUUUUAGUAACUUUCUUUUAUUUUGUUUUUAUUAUAAUUUUUUGAUUUUUUUUAAAUUUCAAUUUUCUUCAUAUUAUAAAUAAUUUUUUUUAUUUAAAAUUCUUUUUAAUUCCUUUCGUUUCACGAUAAAACGUAAUUUUUUUAAUUUUCAUUAAAUAAUAUUUAUUAUUAAUUUUAAUUAUUUCUAUUUAAUUUAAAAACUUUAUAAUAACUUUUUUUAUUUCUUUUUAUUUUUGCCUGUAAUUUUUUUCUAUUUUUGUUUGUAAUUCUUUUUUUUUUUUUGUUCUCUAAUUUUUUAAGUCAUUUAGUUUGUAACUAUCAUGUUACACCAACCAAAAAAAAUUAAAUGAUUUAACAAAUUAAGAAAAAAAUUUACAGGGGAAAAAAAAGGUACUGUAAAAUUUUUUAAUUAAAUUGAAAUAAUUAAAAUAAAAAUAAAUAUCAAUUCUUAAAAAUAAAAAAUGACGUUUUAUCACAAAACGAAAUGAAUUAAAAUGAAUUUUAAAUCGAAAAAAAUAUUUAUAAUAUGAAGAAAAAAAGAAAUUUUAAAACAAUUUUUAAAAAAAUAUAAUAAAAACAAAAUAAAAGAAAGUUAUGAAAAUUAAAUAAAGAAUAUAUAAAUAUUAUUUAGUUAAAAUUGAAAAAUUAAGUUUUAUCAUGACAAGAAAGGAAUUAAAAAGAAUUUUAAAUCGAAAAAAAUUAUUUACACUGUAAACAAUUUGGCUAACAAGAGAUUAACAUCGAUAAUUAAAAAGUAUUUCUAUAAAGGAGAAAAAUUAGAAAAGUUGCAGUAAAAUAUUUGUAUAAAAUGGAGUAAAGGAGUCGGUUUCUACAUUUAAGCGAUUAACUAAAGAGGUCCUAGUAAGAAUUUCAUAAUCAUAUAUGAAAUUCAGCGAAAUACAUACAAAAAUAAAACGUAGGAGUUUUGCCCCCACAUUAUUUGUCUUUUUUGAUCCUCAUCUCCACCUUAUAGAAAAGAAAAACCAUAAAACCUUGCAAAAAUACGAAAACUCCACCUUAUAGAAAAGAAAAACCAUAAAACCAUCGAUUGGAGAAUUUCAAAAAAACCUAUUGAAUUAAAAAUCUGACCAAACAAUGUUGGUGUUUAGGCUAACAAGGCUAAAAAUUAAACCAAUACGACCAGGAAAAUAAAAACAAUGCAUGGGUGCUACAUUUUGUUAAUAUAAUUGAUCAGAAAUUCAAUGUUGCAUGGGUACUGUCUUUUGAUAAUUGAUCCCUGUGAUGUUAAAUUCAAUGGUUCACGUGUGACUCUCUAUGCACGGAGAGUGCAGUCCGUACACUUUGUUCGAAUUUUUUUCUUUUUCCUCUUUUUUUUUCACUUUUCUUUAAGCUAAUAACAACUCCAGUUUUUCGGUCUCUAGAGAAAUUUUAAGGUUGUUCGUUUUUUACGAAAUUUUAGCCAAAUUUAUUGAAAACGUGCCAAUGAACAAAAAUCAGCAGCAAAAUGAUAAUACAAGAAAAAAUAUACAAAUUUAAAAAAAAUUAUAUUCUCAGGCUCUCAAUUAUAACACAAUCUGCUCUUCCAUUAUUAAUUGGAAAAGAGAAUCUUAUUGGAUUUUGUAAAUUCUAGAUGGUUAUCAUCCUUUUAACUAUCACUUAAUUUUCAAUCGAUUAGUUCUCUUUGGUUGUGUUAAUUCUUGUCAAGAAAUUUAAAAAUUGAAAAAUGUAAUUUAUAUUCGAAUGUUGUUUAGACUUUUCUUCAUGGAUUCUUAAUAGGAACUACGCAGAGAGAAGAGAAGAAGAAAUAAUGUGUGAUUUUCGCACUUAAAAAAUGUUACAGUGAGAAAAAAUGUAACAAAAUACUGUCGAUUUAAAAGAAUUAAAAGGAAUUUUAAAUCGAAAAAAAUAUUUAUAAUAUAAAGAAAAAAGAAAUUUAAAACAAUUUCCAAAUAAAAAAUUACAAUAAAAACAAAAUAAAAGAAAAUUACAAAAAUUAAAUAAAGAAUAUAUAAAUAUUAUUUCGUGAAAAUUGAAAAAUUAAGUUUUAUUUGAAAGAGAAAAUAAUUAAAAAGAAAUUUAAAUUAAUAAAAAAAUAAUUUUUUAUGAAGUUUAAAAAAAAAAAAAAAAGGAAACAAAUUUUUGUCCCCAUACAUGGAGAACAUUAGUCUCUGUGCAUGGAGAAUUUUAAUUUUUUUAAUUUUUUUUUAUAUUUGCAUUGUUUAGUUUACAUUAUAUAUAAUUUUUUUUCCAUUUAAAAUUCUUUUUAAUUCUUUUCUCUUCAAUUUUUUUUAACUUUAUAUUUGCAUUGUUUAGUAACUUUUUAGUUAAAAUUGAAAAAUUAAGUCUUAUUUGGAAGAGAAAAUGAUUUUUUUAAAAAAUUUAAUUGAUAAAAAAUAAUUAUUUAUAAAGUUCAAAAAAAAAAACAUGCAUAGAGACUCAUGGAGAAUUUGAGUCUCCGUGCACGAAGAGUUAAAGAGAGAUAUUUUUAUUUUUAUUUUUAUUUUUUAAGCUAAUAUAUUUUUACAUAUAAUGACCAAUUAAAAUGAUAAUUAUUUUUUAUUACACUUAAAAACCUUGAAGCAAAUUUUUUACUUAUAACUAACUCUUCACAUUUUAGAAAAAUACUGAGCUAAUAUUUUUUUAUUGAGCACGUAGCGAAGAGAUGAGACUUGGUGGGAAGUAUGAAAAGUUACAUGUUGUAAUAAAUUUGGAGGUACACUGUAUAAUAAAAUAUAUACUAAGACAAACGGCAUCGUUUUUGCUCCCCCACUUAAAAAAAUAAAAAUAAAAAUGCUACAGUAAGAUAAAAUGGAUUAAAACACUAUUCACUUCAACAGUGUCUCCACAUUCCCCCUUUUAUAUAGUAGGGAUAUAUAAAUAUAAGGAUGAAGUAAAUUUAAAAUUAUUAAAUAUGUAAGAAUGUGAAAAAUCUUUGGUACCCAACGACAAUCAAUCGACAGCCCACCGACGACUCUAAGGUAUGUAAAGGGGUAAGAAGAUGAAUGUAUUUAGACUUUUUGUAUAAGUUAAAUAUUUUAAAUUACGUUCCUUAAAUUUUUAAGACAUCCAUAUUUGUUUUCUCGUCAAAUUUAUGAUAUAUAUUACAAAAAUAUAGGUAUAACAUGUUAGACUUAGUACCGACAUGUGACAGGUGACUUAAUCUUAAAUUUUAGAAAAUGACACCACCUACCCACACGAAUCUAAUGCGUGAUUUAUUGCAAGCGAUAAAAGAAUUAAGCAAGCAAAACUAAGCACCCCACCAAAAAAAUCACCGCCACAGCAGAAUGCACCUCCAUUUGCCCCUGGAGUUGUCUCAGUGGUUGAGUAGUUUCAUAAUUUUAAUCCUCCUACUCUCGAUGGUGAUUCUAACCUACUAGCUGUAGAAGAGUAAAUAAGAGGCUUGGAGCGCAUAUUUCAACACAUUGCUUGUACGGAUACAUAGAAGGUAUGCGCAAAAUCAUGUUGAUUGGAGCAGUCGGUCACUGGUAGAGAUCUGUCUCAGCACUAAGAUCAAAGAGCAACAGCAUAACCUAACUUGGGAAUAGUUUAAAAAUGAAGUAAUGGCAAAAUACUUUCCACAGACCUUGAGAGAUUUCAAGGAAUUAGAGCUUCUACAGCUCAGAUAAGGACACAUGUUGCUUGCUGAUUACAAGAGGCAGUUUGAGCAACUUUGAAGAUAUAUCCCGCACUUGGUAGAUACAAAAGUUAAAAAGAUCAGGAGAUUCAAAAUUGGACUGCGCCCAAAAAUUGGCAUGAUUAUUAUGUCCCAUUAUUUCACUUUAUAUCGUGAAAUGUUGGAGAGAGCUCAUGCUAUUUCAUAUUAGAUGACUACAUUUGAACAAUAUCCCCAACAAGGCAAUGAGUCAUUUGGAAAAAGAAAGUAGAGCGAUCAGAGCAAGAAUAGACGUAACUGGCAAAAUAAAAGACCAAGCAGAGGAGUUUGUAUCGGUGGGCCGAGUAAGAGUAAAGCACCUUGUCCUAAGUGUAAAAAACUUAAUCGACAUGAAUGCUUAUUUGGGAAGAAAAUGUGUUUUAGGUGUGGUAAUCCAAGACAUAUUGCUUUGCGCUGUACAGAGCCUGCACAAAAAGAAAAAUGAUGACCAAGAUAAGAAUCUAAAAAGAAAUGCCAAGUUUUUGCACAAAAUCAGCAAGAAGCUGAGCAAGAUUCGAAUGUGAUAAGGUAUUCUAUUAUUAUUAUUAUUAUUAUUAUUAUUAUUAUUAUUAUUAUUAUUAUCUUUCAAUGUACCUGCUUAUAUUCUUUUUGCAUAGAACUAUACAUUCUUUUAUCUCUGCAUCUGCGAUCACUAAGUCUAACUCUAUAAUUACGAAAAUAGGUAUUCUAUUAUUAUCUAAUGUACCUUCUUGCGUACUUUUUGACUUUGGGGUUACAAACUCUUUUACCUCUAAAUCCUUCGUCUUUAGGUCAAACUUUGCAUGUGUGAAAACGAAUAAUGAAUUAGAGAUUAGUAUCCUUUCAUGAAGAACUCUUUGCACAAAUCAGAUGACUAAGGCUAUGAAGUUAGAGAUCGGUGGGAGAAUAUUUUUGGAGGACUUAUACCUAUUAGAGAUGAAAGAUUUCAACAUUAUUUAAGUUAUGGGCUGGUUGGGACUCAAUCAUGCGACCAUUUGAUGUCACGAGAAAGAAGUGUUAUUUCAUAGACCGAGAGAAGAAGAGUUUCGUUUCUUUGGAGCAAAGCUCAAGUCUCUACCUCUCCUUGUAUCGACUUUACAAACGGAGAAGAUGCAGAGAAAGGAGUUAUGCCAGGGAUUCUUAGUUAAUAUUAUGGGUUCCCAACAAACAAAAAUAGUCAUUAAUGAUAUUAACGUCAUGCAAGCUUUGCAGACAUGUUUCCAAAAGAUCUACCAAGCAUUCCACAAGAUAGGCAACUGGAAUUUACAAUUGACUUGGUCCUCGGAGCAGCACCAGUAUCCAAGGCUUUGUACCGAAUGGCACCAAAAGAACUCCAAGAAUUGAAGUUGCAAUUUGAGGAGUUGUUGGAGAAAAGUUUCAUUUGACCGAGUAUAUCUCCUUGGGGCGUUCCUGUACUUUUUGUAAAGAAAAAGGAUGGGAGUAUGAGAAUAUGUAUUGACUAUCGAGAGUUGAACCAUCUAACCAUCAAAAAUAGAUACCUGCUGCCAAGAAUAGAAGAUUUAUUCGACCAUUUAAAGAGUGCAAUGAUGUUCUUAAAGAUUAAUUUGAGGUCGGGGUAUCAUCAACUGAAGGUAAGGGCAAGGGAUUAUCGAAAAUUGCUUUCAAGACUCGUUAUGGAAAUUAUGAAUUCACUGUCAUGCCUUUUGGUUUGACCAAUGCUCCAGCUGUAUUUGUGUAUCUAAUGAACCGAGUGUUCCAUCAGUAUUUAGACCACUUCAUCAUAGUAAUUAUUGACGACAUACUGGUGUACUCCAAAAAUAAGAAGCAGCAUAAGGAAUAACUCCAAGUAGCACUUGAAACUUUGAAAAAUGAAAAAUUAUAUGCCAAAUUCAAGAAGUGUAAAUUUUGGCUUGAUGGCAUAGGUUUCCUUGGUCACGUGGUUACCGCCCAAGGAAUUGAUGUAGACCCUGCUAAAGUGAAAGCGGUAACAAAUUGGCCUAGACCGACUAGUAUAGGUGAAGUUCAUAGUUUCUUAGGAUUGACCGGUUAGUAUAGAAGAUUUAUGGAGGAUUUCUCAAAAAUAGUAAGACCAAUGACUCAAUUGACUAGAAAGGGUGUGAAGUUUCAAUGAUCAGAAAAUGUGAAAAAAGUUUUCAGGAACUCAAGCAGAGAUUAUUCUCGGCUUCUGUAUUGACGAUACUUGAAGGUUCGGAUGGGUUUGUAAUUUAUAGCGUCGCCUCCAAGCAGGGUUUAGGCUGUGUCCUAAUGCAAUAUGGAAAGGUGGUGGCUUAUGCCUCGAGACAGUUGAAGCAGUAUGAAUAAAACUAUCCGACACAUGACUUGGAGCUUGUAGCGGUAGUUCAUACCUUAAAGAUAUGGCGCCAUUAUCUCUAUGGUGGGAGGUGUGAUAUCUAUACAAACCACAAAAGUCUCAAGUACUUCUUCAUGCUGAAGGAAUUAAAUAUAAGACAGAGAAAAUGGUUGAAAUUAGUGAAAGAUUAUGACUAUACCAUUAUUUACCAUCUCGAUAAGACUAACGUAGUCGCAGUUGCCGUAAGCAGGAAGACAAGAUCAGAAUUAGUAGUUUUACCCAAGGUGUGGGUACACUUGAUAAAGGACUUUGAGAAAUUGAGAUUGGAAGUCAUCACACCCCAGACUCUCACUAUAGCAAGAAUAAAAGUAUUUAUGAUUCGACCUACUCUUCGGGAUCGAAUCAAUGAAGCACAAGAUAAGGAUCUAUUUCUACAGAAGAUAAAGGCCGAGUUUGGUACAAACAAACAUAUGGGAUUUGAAGUAACAGUAGAUAAUGCAUUGAUUUUUAAUGGAAGAUUGUGCAUACCUAAAGAGGAAAGUAUAAGAAAUGAGAUGUUGAAAGAGGCUCACUCUACCCCGUAUGCGACACAUCCAGGUGGUACGAAAAUGUAUCGAGAUCUUCGAGAUAUAUUUUGUUGGAAAAAAUAAAAAGAGGAAUGGGUCUGUUCGUGGAGAAAUGUAUUAUUGUCUGUCAGCAAGUCAAGGCAGAACAUCAAAAGUUGUCAAGACUAUUGAAAUAGUUGAAUAUUCCAAAAUGGAAAUGGGAACACAUAGCGAUGGACUUUAUAGUAGGCCUCCCUAGGUCAACAAGAGGGCAUAAUGCAAUUUGGGUAGUAGUUGAUUGUCUGACGAAGUCAGCUUAUUUUCUGCUAAUCAAAGUAAAUUUCAACAUAGAACUGCUCGCACAAUUAUACAUCAAAGAGAUAGUUCGAUUGCAUGGAGUUUCAGUCACUAUUAUUUCAGAUAGAGACCUUCAGGUUCACAUCUAAAUUUUUGGAAAAGUUUGCAAGUAGCCAUGGGGACGAAACUAAAAUUUAGUAAUGCUUAUCAUUCUCAGACGGAUGGACAAUAAAAAAGAACCAUUGAAACUUUUGAAGACGUGAUGAGGGCAUGUGUUUUAGAUCUUGGAGAUAGAUGGGAGACACACCUACCGUUAGUGGAGUUUCAUUACAACAAUAGUUUCUAGGCCACCAUAUGUAUGGCCCCAUAUGAAGCUCUUUAUGGUAAAAAGUGCAGAUUACCUAUCCAUUGGGAUGAGGUUGAAGAGAAUAGAAUUUUGGAUCUUGAAAUCAUUGAACGAACAGUUAAGACGGUUGACAAGAUUAGAGCUAGAAUAAAAAUAGCACAAGAUAGACAGAAAAAUUAUGUCGAUGGUAGAAAAAGGAUUUGGAAUUUGGUGUGAGCUACAAAAUUUUUCUAAAAGUAGCACCCAUGAAGAGUAUUAAGAUUUGGUAAGAAGGGAAAGUUAAAACCACAAUUUUAUUGGACCUUUCUUAAUUCUCGAAAGAAUUGGUGAUGUCGUUUGCUGACUUGCCUUACCGCCUGUACUUGUAGCAGGGCAUAACGUGUUCCAUGUUUCGAUACUCAGAAAAUAUGUUUAUGAUCCCAAUCAUGUGGUGGGUUAUAAGACAUGAAGGUACAAGAUGACUUAUAAUCUAAAGAAGCCCCUACGAUGAUUUUGGACAAAAAAAUGCAUCAACUCAGAAACAAGGAAAUUUCCCAAGUCAAGGUUCAAUGGCGAAAUCAUGGAUUUGACGAGUCAACUUGGAAGAAGGAAGAUGAGUUUAGAACCAAGUAUCCAGAACUCUUCGAUUAGUUAAGGUAAAUUUUCGAGAACGAAAAUAUUUUGAGGGGAGAUUAUAAUGUCCCAAAAAUUUUCAUAUAAUAGAAUUAAUUUUUUAUGCUAUAUUUUUAAUAUUUUGAAAAAUUAGGGACUAACAUGAUAUAUAGUGAAUUUCAAUUUUUUUUGGGUCAAAUAUUUAAAUAUUGACAAAGCAAUGAUAAGUGUAUGAAUAUUGAGCUCAUUGGAUAGAUUGUAAUGAAUUAUGCAUAUUAGAUUCGAGAAGAGUUAAUUUGGAUUAGUAGAGCCCAAGUUAUCGAGGUCGAAACAUUAUCUUAAAUUGUAUUUUAGUUGAGUUAUUUAAUGAAUUUAAAGUUUUAAAAGGUGACACGUGCAUAGAGCAAGUUUUUGGUAGGAUACUAAUUGAUUUUUAUUAAAUAAAAAUUUUAGUUAAACUGAGAUUUGAUUUAUCUUAAUUAUUAUUUAUCAUGUAACGACCAAGAAUUGAGUUUUUAUAUGCACUUGUUAUAUAUAUACUUUUUCUUAAAAGAAAGGAUUUGGAGAGUACUAUUCAUUUUUGUCAGACACAUUUUUCAAACUGAUUUUCUACUGUUCAUCCCAUUUAUUCCAAUAUCAUUUACACUAUUUUAUCAUAAAACAAAAAGAAACAAAAAGCAUUUUAAAUCAAACAAAAAACUUUAAAAAAAUAAUAAAAACAAAACAAAUUUUUAAAAAAAGUUACAAAAAUUAAAUGAAGAAUAUAAAAAUAUUAAUUAAUUAAUUAAAAUUGAAAAAAUUAAGUUUUAACGUGAAGAAAAAAGAUUUAAAAAGAAUUUUAAAUCAAAAAAAUUAUUUCGAACAAAAAAUUAUUUUAUGAAGAAAAAAAUUUUAAAACAUUUUUUAAAAAAAUGUAAUAAAAACAAAACAAAUUAAACAAAAGAAAAUUACGAAAGUCAAAUACAAAAUAUAUAAAUAUUAUUUAAUUAAAAUUCAAAAAAUCAAUUUUUAUCAUAAAUAAAAAAGAAUUUAAAAUCCAAAAAAUAUAUAUAUAACAAAAAAACAAAACAAAAAAAAAAAAAAACAAAACAAAAAAAUGGAGUGUUAUGAAGAGAAUUCUCUCCAUGCUAUGAAGACACUCUCCAUGUUAUGGAGAAAAACUCUUCAUGACACACAGAGAGUUCUCUCUAAAACACUUGUUAUGGAGAAAACUCUCCAUAACAUGGUUCUUUUUUUUUUCUUUUGUUUUUUUUUAAUUUGUUUUGCUCAUCAUUGAAGCACUUUUUUGGAGUUAAAAUUCCUUUUAAUUUUUUUCCUUAUGAUAAAAAUUUAUUUUAUAAAUUUUAAUUAAAUAAUAUUUAUUUAAAUUGCGUAGCUUUCUUUUGUUUAAUUUGUUUUGUUUUCAUUAUAUUUUUUAAGAUUGAUUUUUCUUCAUACUAUUAAUAAUUACGUUUUUCUUUUUAAAGUAACGUUUUAUCAUACUUUUAAAUAUAUUUUUCUUUAUAAAAUUACGUUUUAUCAUAAAACAAAAAGAAUUCAAAAAAAUUUAAAUAUAAAAAAUUAUUUAUAAUAUAAAGAAAAAGAAAUUUUAAAACAAUUUUUAAAAAAUAUAAUAAAAACAAAACAAAUUAAACAAAAGAAAAUUACGAAAACUAAAUAAAGAAUAUAUAAAUAUUAUUUAAUUAAAUUCUAAAAACUAAAUUUUAUCACAAUGAGAAAAGAAUUAAAAACAACCUAAAAUCGAAAAAAAAUUAUAUAACGAACAAAACAAAUUAAAAAAAAAAGGAGUUUUAUGGGGAGAAUUCUCUCCAUGUUAUGGAGAAAAUUUUUUCGUAACACAGAGAGAGUUCUCUCUGAAAGACUUGUUAUGGAGAGAACACUCCAUAACAUGGUACAUUUUUUAUUUCCUUUGUUCUUUUUUUAAUUUCUUUUGCUCAUCAUUUAAAUACUUUUUUUUAGUUAAAAUUCCUUUUAGUUUUUUUUUCUUAUGAUAAAAAUUUAUUAUCGAAUUUUAAUUAAAUAAUAUUUAUAUAUUAUUUAUUAAAAUUUCGUAGCUUUUUUUUGUUUAAUUUGUUUUGUUUUUAUUAUAUUUUUUUAAUUUCUUUUUCUUCAUAUUAUAAAUAUUUAUGUUUUUCUUUAAAGUUAUGUUUUAGCAUAAAAUUAUGUUUUAUCAUAUUUUUAAAUUUCUUUUCUUUAUAAAAUUAUAUUUUAUCAUAAAAAAAAGAAUUAAAAAGAAUUUUAAAUCAAAAUAAAUUUAUUUAUAACAUGAAGAAAAAGAAAUUUUCAAAAAAACUGAAAAAAAUAAUAAAAAUAAAACAAAAGAAAAUUACGAAAACUAAAUAAAGAAUAUAUAAAUAUUAUUUAAUUAAAAUUCAAAAAAUUAAAUUUAUUAUAAAGAGAAGAGAAUUUAAAAUUGAAAAAAAUAUUUAUAUAACGAACAAAAUAAAUUUAAAAAAAAUGUAGUGUUACGAGGAGAAUUCUAGAUUUUUCUCCAUAACAUGGAGAGAAUUCUCUCCAAAACACUUAAACAUGUUCCUUUUUUUUCUUUUGUUCUUUUUUAUUUUUAAUUUGUUUUGCUUAUCAUUAAAGUACUUUUUUUAAUUAAAUUUCCUUUUAAAUUUUUUCUUUAUGAUAAAAUUUUAUUUUUCAAAUUUUAAUUAAAUAAUAUUCAUAUAUUCUUUAUUUAAUUUUAGCAACUUUCUUUUGUUUUUAUUAUAUUUUUUUAAAAUUUCUUUUUCUUCAGACUAUAAAUAAUUAUGUUUUUUCUUUUUAAAGUCACGUUUUACCAUAAAAUUACGUUCUAUCAUAUUUUAAAAUUUCUUUUUCUUUGUAAAAUUACAUUUCAUCAUAAAACAAGAAGAAUUUUAAAUCGAAAAAAAUAUUUACAAUAUGAAGAAAAAGAAAUUUUAAAAAAAAUUGAAAAAAAUAUAAUAAAAACAAAACAAAUUAAACAAAAGUAAUUAGGAAAACUAAAAAAAGAAUAAUAAAUAUUAUUUAAUUAAAAUUCAAAAAUUUAAAUUUUAUAAUAAAGAGAAAAGAAUUGAAAAUUGAAAAAAAUAAUAUUUAUGUAACAAACAAAACAAAUUAAAAAAAAAAUGGAGUGUUAUAGAGAGAAUUCUCUCCAUGUUAUGGAGACGCUCUCCUUGUUGUGGAGAAAAAGUCUUCAUAACACGGAGAGAGUUCACUCCAAAAUUGUAGCGACCCAAUUUUUUUUACUUUACAAAAAUCAAAUAAUUUUUUUAAAACUUAAGUCACUACCAAAUGUUUCUUUAAAAAAAUAAAUGGGUUUAUAAUGAUGUUAUCCCUUGUCAAUAACCUAAAGAAAUCUUAACAUGUGAAAUAAAAAUAUCAUGUUUUGAUGAACUUUGAAGAAAAAUAUAUAAGGGGUUCCAUUUUAGCAAGAAAUAUGCGUAAAUGUUACUAAGCAAUUUUCCUUAUUGUUGUUAAAAUAAUGGUAAUAAGCAUACUUUAUUCUGUUUUCCUCCAAUAAGUGAAACAUGGCCUCAACUCCCCUAAUCUAACGUCAUUAUAGGGUCUUCAUUAAUUUUUCAUGCAUGGAUAUAUUCAUAAAUCAAUUUGAAAGGCAGCAGUAGCACCCUAAUCAUUAAAAUUAAUACAAAUCAAGGUGACAUUAUCAUAAGUGUUCAGAGAAAAUAACGGAUGGCUAGCAAGAUGAAUUGGACUAUUAUUAGUAGCUGGUGAAAAUGAGUAAUUUCCCCACAUUCUUGCUGAUUCGAGAUUUCGAACAUGCAUAUGUUACGUUCUAUCCAUAAUUAACUACAUGUAAAAAUUUGUUACCACUAAUGAAAAAUAGCAGUAAAGGGAAACCAAAUAAUUUAAUUCAAAUAUUUAAUUAAAAAUGUAAGUUUAAACAUGUCAAUGUAAAAAUAAACAUGCACAGUAAAUUUAACUGUAAAUAAAUUUCCAUGACAACUAAAUUAAAUAAAUGAGGUUACGUGCUAGAUUUUAGAUCUUUGUUCCUUAGACGAGACACGACCACACCAUCAAACCGCCGCACUCCAACACGACUCGUACUAACCUGUAAGGUAGGGAAAAAAGGGUGAGUAUGGGGAAUACUCAGUAGGAUACAAAUAUUCGCACAAUCCCGAAUAACAUUUAUCAUUCAUAUAUCAAAAUAAAUCGUACCGUCAUAUUAUAUCUUUAAUCGGUAAGAGCUCAAUCAUAUCAUAUCAUUUGUACCGGAUGACCAUAUAUAUCAUAUCAUAUCAUUUCAUAUCAUUAACGAAAAUAUUUAUCAAUAUGAAAUAACAAAAAUUAAACGGGAUAACCACUUGCACGUCGUAUCCUACUUUAACCUUCAAAUGCAUUUCAGCCCAAAGAAAAAUUUUGAGAUAUGAAGAAUGCUCUAUAAAUGUUACUGCAAAGUCUUUCUUGUUUGAGUGAAAUAAAAAUAUAGAAGAAAAUGAUUAAUAAAUAUAGGAUGGGGAAGUUAUUAAUUGUUGAAGUGAAGAAACCGUAUGAACGUGAGAUAAAUGAAGGAAUGUGGAGAAUCUUUCAUUUUAGUUGGGUAGUGGAGAAGAUGUAGUAGGUAUGUGGAAGUUUCUUAGAGAUGGCUAAUUUGAGUGGGAGAGAGAGAAACUCAAAGGAAAAGUAACAUGUGAAAAUAUAAAAUAUAUAUAUCUAUCCAUCUCUCUCUCUCUCUCUCUCUCUCUCUAUAUAUAUAUAUAUAUAUAUAUAACUUUUUUAUUAUUAUUAUUAUUAUUCAAUUAGUACCACGACACGUGCCCCCUUAAUUUAUAGAUUCAUUAAUUUAACUUAAUUAAAACCAUUUAGCACCAUAUCUUUUGACCUCGAUAAUUUGGGUUUCGUUUAACCAAAUCAACUUUUUCUCGAGUCUAAUAUGCGUCACUAAUUUUAAUCUAUCCAACGAGCUCAAUAUUUAUAUACUUAUCGUUGCUCGGUCAAAAUCUAGUUAUUUGACCCAAAUAAAAUUGAAAUUUGCUAUGUAUCAUCUUAGUCCCUAACUUUUCAAAAUAUUAAAAUAUAACAUAUAAAAAUUUAAUUCUAUUUCACGAAAAUUUGGGACUUUACAAAAACACUUGAAUAUUGUUCAUUUUUUUUCUUCUGUUCAUUUUUUUUCUUUAAUUUGCUCUGCUCAUCAUUUAGAUCCUUUUUUUUUAAAUUAAAAUUCCAUUUAAUUUUAUUUCUUGAUGAUAAAAUUUUAUUUUUCGAAUUAUAAUUUAAUUAUUGUUAAAUAUUCUUUAUUUAAUUUUAGUAACUUUCUUUUGUUUAAUUUGUUUUGUUUUUAUUAUAUAUUUUUUAAAUUUCUAUUUCUUCAAACUAUAAAUAAUUACGUUUUUUUUAAAAUUAAAUUUAUCAUAAAAUUACGCUUUAUCAUAUUUUUAAAUUUAUUUUUUUUUAUAAAAUUAUUUUCAUCAUAAAACAAAAAGAAUUAAAAAGAAUUUUAAAUCAAAAAAGUUGUUUAUAAUAUGAAGAAAAAUAAAUUUAAAAAUUGAAAAAAAUAUAAUAAAAACAAAAAAAUUAAACAAAAUAAAAUUAAGAAAACUAAAUAAAGAAUAAAUAAAUAUUAUUUAAUUAAAAUUCAAAAAAUUAAAUUUUAUCAUAAUGAGAAAAGAAUUAAAAACAACUUAAAAUAAAAAAAAGUAUUUAUAUAACGAACAAAAAAAUAAAAAAAUAAACAAAAAUAAACGAGUUUUAGGAGAGAACUCUCUCCAUGUUAUGGAAACACUCCAAAACACUUGUUAUGGAGACAACUCUCCAUAACAUGGUCCAUUUUUUAUUUCCUUUGUCCUUUUCUUUUUAAUUUGUUUUGCUCAUCAUUUAAAUACUUUUUUUUGAGUUAAAAUUCCUUUUAAUUUUUUUUUCAUAUGAUAAAAAUUUAUUUUUUUAAUUUUAAUUAAAUAAUAUUUAUAUAUUUUUUAUUUAGUUUUCAUAGCUUUCUUUUGUUUAAUUUGUUUUGUUUUUAUUAUAUUUUUUUAUAUUUCUUUUUCUUCAUACUAUAAAUAAUUACAUUUUUCUUUUUAAAUUGUGUUUUAGCAUAAAAUUACAUUUUAUCAUAUUUUUAAAUUUCUUUUUCUUUAUAAAAUUACAUUUUAUCAUAAAACAAAAAGCAUUAAAAAGAAUUUUAAAUCAAAAAAAAUUAUUUGUAACAUGAAGAAAAAGAAAUUUUAAUUUUUUUAAAAAUAUAUAAUAAAAACAAAAGAAAAUUAUAAAACUAAAUAAAGAAUAUAUAAAUAUUAUUUAAUUAAAAUUUAAAAAAUUAAAUUUUAUCAUAAAGAGAAAAGAAUUAAAAAGAAUUUAAAAUAGAAAAAAAUUAUAUAACGAACAAAACAAUUAAAAAAAAAAAAGGAAUGUUAUAGGAAGAAUUCUCUCCAUGUUAAGUUCUCUCCAAAACACUUGAAGACGGUCUAUUUUUUUAUUCUGUUCUUUUUUUUUUUUUUUUAAUUUGUUUCGCUCAUCACUUAGAUACUUCUUUUUAAUUAAAAUUCCUUUUAAUUUUUUUCUUUACGAUGAAAUUUUAUUUUUUAAAUUUUAAUUAAAUUAUAUUUAUAUAUUCUAUUUAUAAUAAAAAACUUUAUUUUUUAAUUUUAAUUAAAUAAUAUUUAUAUAUUUUUUAUUUAAUUUUCAUAACUUUCUUUUAUUUAAUUUGUUUUGUUUUUAUUAUAUAUUUUUUGAAAACUUUUAUCAACAUUUUUUCUUCAUAUUAUAAAUAAUUUUUUGUUCUAUUUAAAAUUAUUUUCAAUUCUUUUCUUUUUAUGAUAAAAAUUAAUUUUUUAAUUCUAAUUAAAUAAUAUAAUAUUUAUUUUAAAUUUUAAUUAUUUCAAUUUAAUUAAAAAACUCUAUAAAACUUUUUUUUUUUGUAUUUGCCUUCCCAAUGAAAUCAAUAUGAAAAAGUUGAAGCAUCUAAUUGUGUUUGCCUACCCAAUGAUGAUAUAAUAAUAUACACACACACAUUCAUUCAGCUCUAUUUAUAUUUCCAAUACAACCUAUUUAUUAUAUUUAUUACAUUGGAGAGGUUUCUCUCCAUCGCAUUAUUUUUUCCUUUUUUUAAUUUGUUUUUUUUUUAAUUUAAAGUUUUUUUUAUUCUUUUCUCUUUAUGAUAAAACUUACUUUUAUAAUUUUAAUUAAAUAUUAUUUAUAUAUUCUUUAUUUAAUUUUCAUAACUUUGCUUUGUUUAAUUUGUUUUGUUUUUAUUAUAUAUUUUUGAAAAUUGUUUUCAAAUUUCUUUUUUCUUUAUAUUAUAAAUAAUUUUUUGUUUGAUUUAAAAUUCUUUUUUCAAUUCUAAUUAAAUAAUAAUAUUAUUUUUAAUUUUAAUUAUUUCAAUUUAAUUAAAAAUCUCUAUAAUAACUUCUUCUUCUUUUUUUUUUUUUUGCCUAUUUUUGCCUGCAGAUCUCUUUUUUUUUUAUAUUUAAUUCAUUUUCACGCCUCUCCUCUACUAUAUAAAAGAGAAUAUCAAUACAUCAAUGUUCAUUUGUAGUUCAUCCAUUUCACACUUAUCUGGUUCCUAUCAUUUUUUUUUUUGCGCUUGUAAAUGGGUUGUAGAAGUGUUAUUGGGAAAACAAAUCUGUGUGUGUACUAUAGUAACUUUCCUAGGUGUGAGAACCAAAGUAUGUAUGAGAAGUGCAGCUACUCUAUGUGUGUACUCACUGUAGCAGUUUUGUCGUAAGAAAAAGUAAUAGCACACGUGUAAUUAUUUUAACAAUUCUUCUACGAUAAGAAGAGAGAUAGCAACAUCAGAUAUUUAAUUGCAUUCAAUUUUGUCAAGAUGUGGGGUCUCAUAAGUUGGCAAAUGGCACAUUUUAGCUUUUUAAAACUGAAAGUUGACUUUGGUUGCAGUAAGAGCAGAUUAUAUUUUUUUGAAUUCCCAUUUCAUCUUUAGCAUUAACAUUUAUGAAAAAUGAUAUGAGCUAUAAAGUUAAGGGUAAUUUUAGCAAAUUCAUUAUUAGAAGGUGGGCAAAAUCGUCUUCCAGCUUUGGAUGUAUAUGUAAAAGGAUUGCCCUCUGAAUGUAGACCGUAACGUGGUUCUGAAGAUUCAUUGUCCUCUUCAUUUUUUUUUUACCUUUUUCACCUCCAUUUCUUCUUAUUUGUACAAACGAAUUUGAAAGCUUUAUUGUUCUAAUAUUUUUUAUUCUCUUUUAUAUUCUUCACCUCCAUUGCUUCUAUUGUGCGAAAACGAAUAUACGGGAAAGUUAUAUAGAAAUUACCAAGAAAGGUGUGGAGAAACGGACGUUGAUAACCUAAAGUAUGUAUAUUUCAUAUUUCUUUCUUUUGGGUAACGUUAUUUUUUAAAUAAUUAAUUAAAAUUUGUUCAUUUUAGAUGAUUUUACCUCUAAAUGUUUUAUAUUUUGAACCCAUUUUGUAUCCUAUUGCUUAUGUGUAUAGGACUCCAUUACAUUAACUAACUUGUAGAAUCGAAGAUUUAGUGGAAAAAUCUCUGCUGGGUAAGGUUUUUGAGAUAUAUUCUUUAUUUUAGUUGAUUCUUUAUGUUUUUUCAAAAAAAUUUGAGAUUUUCAAUUAGUCUUCUUUCUUCUCUUAUACUGUCUCGACUAUUUUCAUUUUAUUGCAGUUGAAGAUUUUUCUUUUUGGUGGUUGAAUAUUUCUUUUUCUACAUUCUUAGGGGUUUUAAAUGUAGUUUAAUUUGUUUGCUCAUUAUGUAGUUUCUUUAAAUAUAGAUUUACAAGUUACUGUAUAAUAUCAUAUAUUAUUUGUCAAAUGGUGUUCUAAAGUUUCACUAAUGAACUCUCGUAAGGAAUUAUUGGUAUUUAUGCUUUGUCUAAUAAAAUGAGCAAGUUAAUUACAUAGAUGGUAGAAUCCAGUAAAAAGGCAAAAGAAAACAACUUUAGCUCAUUUCUUACAUGUUUCUUACGUCAAAUUGUUUGUUUAAUCGUUCCCAGAUGCUAUUGUUACUUACGUUGCUACUUUCAAUUGCUAAGAAAGAAAUAGAUAUGGAAGCAAAUAUUCGGCUUUCUUUAAAGAAUUGAUGGUUCAUCCUUUUAUAUUUCAACCAGAAUGUGUUAAACUAAUUCUUUUCAAUUCUGUCUUUUUUUCCCAGCAUCAUUUUUGAAUCAUAUUUUCAUGAUUAUUAUAGGUAACGCAAAUGCAAUAUCUUGCUUCAAAUAAAGGACUAAUGAUAAAAUGAAUAUAAGUUCCAUUGAUGUUUCAAUAGAUGCAAAUGAAAAUUCGCAUGAUACAAGUUAUAAUAACUAUUGCAAUAUUCUUCAAACAAUUUAAUUAUAGAAAAAAUAUGGAAGAUAACAUAUUUAUCCUUCAAGCGUAUUAUGUCAUAGUUAAUAUUUGCAUAUCUUAGAUUCUACUUUUGUAUAAAUUUAGGCUCCAAUUUCAAUUAAUGUCUAUUAUAUGUUUUUGGUUUCUUUUACGAAGUACUUUUCUUCUAAAAUCCGAAUACCUUAUAAAAUAAAAUUACAUAAUAUUUUAAAUUACUGGUUACAAAUAAAAUUAAAUGCAGUUGCUACCUUAGUGAAGAAGAAAUAAAUUUAAAAAAGAUUUGUUUUCAUUUGUGCUCAUCUUCUAUUUCAAUCAUAUUUAAUAAUUUAAUAAUUUCUUCUUCAUCUAUUUAAAGUUAUUAUUAGAUUUUUUUGGUCUCUUUCUUCCGUUCAUCUUCACUCUCAGGUUUAUUGUUAGCUUCAAUUACACUACAUCUAAAGUCCGAUUUCUUCUUUUCUUGUUACCAGGUAAUGUGCAGUCUUAUCUUUUAAAUUAUUUUCCUUUAAGGUUAGAUUUUUGUAAAUUAAAUUUUAUAGCUACAUCUGUUUUGCAGAAAACGGACUAUGUAAGUUACUUAUAUAAUUCUCGCUUUGUUAAUUCAUUUCUUAUUGUUCUUAGUUUUUUAAUUUAGUACAUUUACAAUUCCUUAUUAAUUUCUAUUCUUAAUUCAAUUUCUUAUUUGUUAUUUUCUUUUUACAAUAUAUUAACUUCUAUUCUUAACUUAAUUUCUUAAGGGUAAGCUGGUUGUUUUUCUUAUUAUGGAAAGACAUAAUAAUUUUGCAAAUUAGAGAAGUUUAGCUCCGUAAUAAUUUAGCUAAUUAGUAUAAUGGUUUAGUUCAAUUUCCUAAGGAGAUAAGGUGGUUAUUUUUCUUACUAUAAAAUACAUAAUAAGUUAGCAAAUUAGAGAUUAUUACCCAGCUGUCUCACUGUCAAAUUCGUAUUCCCUAGCUUUUCACACAAUCCCAGCUUCACGGUGACUUGGAAUUCAACAGAGAAUCUUGGGUACUCGGUUGGGGGUCACUGGAGGGAGUGUGAUUGUGUUUUCUGGUGCUUGACAAAUACUUACUCCAUUAAGCAUUACACUCAAGUCAAGUUGAAGAAAAGAGAUUCUAAUACAAAAUAAAUUGCCAUGGUAAUUGCCAUUGGUAUUGAAUGUCACAAAUAGCCUUUGUUCAAUCAACGCACAUAUCUCCCGUCAGUACUUAUACAUUGAACACACUAACAUUAUCUUCAAAAUGUCCCUGCCCGUGCAUUGCACGAGCAAAAACUAAUAUAUAUAUAAAGAGAAGGGGGGUGGGGUGUAGUUAUUGAUACAAAAUUGAUAACAUUUUCACACGAUUUUUUAUCUUGGAGUUUCUCUAUCCUCCACUCACAAAUCUAAAAAAAGAUUUCCUUCAUUUGUUAUUCCAUUUCCCCCACUUACCCAACUAAUAUGAAACCUUCCCUCAAGUCAUUUAUUUAUUCUCACACCACUUUACGCUUUCCUUCAUUUUUAGUAUUUCAUAACUUGUCUUCCCAUAUUUUUUUACUCAUUUUCCUUCCAUAUUUUGAUGUAUUAAAACAAGAAGGCAUUGUCCAGUAGCAUUUAUAGCACAUUUUCUAUCUCAGCAUUCUUCCUUUGGUUGAAACACAUUUGAAGUUUAUAAGGUAGGAUAACAACGUACAGGUGGUUCAUCCCGUUCAAUUUUUGUUAUUUCAUAUUGAUAAAUAUUUUGCUAAAGUUAACCUUUACUUUAAAAAAUAUUUUGAAUGUAAAGUACAACCUGCAGAUUAUACCAAGAAAAGUGGUACCAUUUUGGACCAAGUUCAACCAAAAUAACCAGAAAAUUUUCCUCCUAGACUCCUUUACAAGAAUUCUUCAAGAAUGACAUAUAAUUAACUAAAUAAGCGACUUAACAAACUAAGAUAAUGAAAAUAAAAUAAUGGUGGCUACAUGCAAGAUACUAUAUCCAAAAAGCAUAUCCACAGAAAAAAGACAGGUCCAAAAGACAAUGUCUUUGCAUCAUUGUAGAUAGGAAUCUCAGUGGGCACCAUUUGUCCCUCCAAUUGUAAAGCAUCCAAUACUGAUGAAACUUUCACAAUACAACCUUCACGUCACCACCAUCUAGUUGCUUAAUCUAGUAAUGAAUUCAACCGGGUACCGUAAACCAUUUGCGUACCCGACUGUAAAUUUAUUGAGAACAAAGGCUAGUUCGUAUUUGUUCAUAUUUUUUAAGUACUUGGGUGUGGAACUAAAUUCUUGAACAGCACAGUGAUAAACGAAUGAUUAAAUGUCAAUGAAAGACGUUAGAUUUCAAUAAAUACGACACUUAGAUAAUCAUUUGUAUGGCUUCAACAGAGAUCAUGAGUCCCUUCAAAUUACACUUGGAGCAUAAUGUCUGAACUUCAAAUUAUCUUGUGAACCGUCGGGGAAUCCUAGGUGUUGGUACUACCACAUCACGACCAGAUUUUAUCAAGUUGAGGCGAUCUGGUAUUGUUUCAUCAAAUAACCUAUUUUCUGGAUUCUCAGCAUAGCAAACAUGGUAACAACUCACACAGGCUUGAGGUAGCGUCAUGGCAAUCCUUGUCUGGCACAUUAUUGAUAAAAUUAAGUUAACCAAACAAUUGUGGAACAAAAAAUGAAAGGCUCAGCUUGAUUACAUUAUGUAAGUAAUGCAUUAUUAGAAUAAUGUUGGUUAGGUUGAGUUGACUAACCAUUAGGUAACCGAUGAAGGCAGCUAGGACUGAGAGGGUCGCAGUGUAAUCACGGUGCACAGUGGCUGUCCAAGCAGCUACAACAAUUACACAUAUCGAGCUACUGCAAACUCCAGUUAGAAAGCAAAUGGCGCUUGUUAUGUUAGAGUCGACAAUCGGUGGCAUCUCCCUCUUCUCAAAUAGCUCCCAAGUGUCUUGUGAUGGCUUCACAAAAUCUUUUCCAUAUACAGCAAUCUAUAGAAGUCACAGCCAAGCAAAUUCAACACUAUCUCAAAAAUUUGACACAAAUAAAGAAGGUAUUUGAUAAGUGUGUUUUUACACACUUAUUUGGUUCACAAACAUGACUUAAACAUGGAUAAAAUGGUUGAAUUGUGAAUUAAUUCAGUUAAAUUCAUGCAUUGUAGGUAAUUCAAUGGAAAUUGUGGAAUUCAAGAGAAAAGAGCCGAAGAAGGACCAAAACGCAACAAUUUGAUAGUUCGAGGACCAACAGUGCAAUUAUUGAGAAGUUGAGCUAAAUGCAGAACGAGAGUAAAAACAUGCCGAGUAUGAGCUCAAUGACAAAGCAAAACAAGUGGAGGAAGAAAGAAUGGAAGAUGGACUAAAAUGAAGAUAAUUGAAAGUUGGAGGACUAAAGUGCAAAUACUCAAAAGAUGUGCCGAAUGAGUGGCAUUAUAUUUGAAAGUGUCGAUCAUCAAUUGGAAGAUAAGAAUUGUUGAAAAGAUAAAGAAAUCGAAGAAAGAAGUCAAGAGAAGCAACAAAGAAGUUCAGGGACCAAAUUGCACAAACCACAUAGAUGGCUACUUCUAUGCGACCGCAUAGUGUAACCUUCUAUGCGGUCGCAUAGAAGGUUUCAGGGAAUUCAAUGAGCAAAAUAAAUGAUCUAUGCGACCGCAUAGAUCCCUUCUAUGCAGUCGUAUAGUGAUGUUUUGCAAUUUCGGGCGUAGUUUUUCGUUUUGGUUGAAACUCCUUUCCUACUUAAUUUGGACGCGAUAUAAAUACCCAAAUUCAUCAUAUUAAGAGAAGAACGACCAANNNNNNNNNNNNNNNNNNNNNNNNNNNNNNNNNNNNNNNNNNNNNNNNNNNNNNNNNNNNNNNNNNNNNNNNNNNNNNNNNNNNNNNNNNNNNNNNNNNNNNNNNNNNNNNNNNNNNNNNNNNNNNNNNNNNNNNNNNNNNNNNNNNNNNNNNNNNNNNNNNNNNNNNNNNNNNNNNNNNNNNNNNNNNNNNNNNNNNNNNNNNNNNNNNNNNNNNNNNNNNNNNNNNNNNNNNNNNNNNNNNNNNNNNNNNNNNNNNNNNNNNNNNNNNNNNNNNNNNNNNNNNNNNNNNNNNNNNNNNNNNNNNNNNNNNNNNNNNNNNNNNNNNNNNNNNAUGUUCAUAAAAAGUCAUGCAUUCUUGUACAUUGCAUCAUCCAUAGAAAUAUAGGCUGGUGGUGUGUAAGAGUAGAUUCAAUAUAUAUCGAGAGAGUGUAUUGGAUAAUUUAGGAACAUUGAAUUGGCAUUUUUUUUCCAUCGAUUCGUUGAAUUUGUGAAAUUAGGGUUUUUAAUAGUUAAUUGGGGAUUCGAGUUCUUAAUGAUUUCAUUUCGAUUCAUUUCAAUACAUUAGUUCUAAAAUUACAUAUUUACAUUUCAGUUGCGUGUUUAUUUCAUUCGAUUUGUGAAAUUUCGAAACUAGGGUUUCCAAUUUUAAAAUUAGGGUUUUCUUUGCAAUUAGGGUUUCAAAUUGGGGAUUUCUCCCAAAAUUAGGGUUUUUCAUAAUUAGACCCAAUUUUCAUUAAAUUAGAUUCAGUUAAGGUCACAUUGGUAUAAUUAGAGUUAAUUCAAUCCUCGUGGGAACGAUACUUGGACUCAUAGUCCAUUUUACUACUUGUUAACGAACCGUACACUUGCGGUGUGUUUUGAAAUCGAAAAGAAAUAUUUCGUGAACAAAUUUUUGGCGCCGUUGCCGGGGAUUAAAUUUUAGAUUUAAUUCUAUCUUUUGUGACACUAAUUCGAACUUAUUCAUUUUAGUACUUGUUAAUUUUAUUAGAUUUAUUUAAUUAUUGUUUAUAUUGAUUUUUUGUAUUAAUUUUGCCAUAUCAGGGCUUGCAUGCAAGGAGCACCUGAUCAAGACUUGGUCCCUAUAGAUCCAGAGAUUGAACGCACAUUCCGUCACAGGCAAAGGGAAGCAAGAGUGGUACAACAAAUGGCUAACGAGCAAAAUCGACCGGGAAUUCCACUCAACGAAGGUGUGGCAGUGGAAGAUGAUAGAAAUACGGUAUUUGGGGAUUUCAUGGCACCAUUGGUGGUGCAAAGUCAAUCUAGUAUUGUAUAUCCUCCAUUUGGGCAACUGAACUUCCAACUGAAGACAAACGUGAUUCAACUGUUUCAAAAUGGCAUCAAUACCAUGGGAUGGCUAGUGAGAAUCCGCAUACACACAUAUCUCGAUUUCUUGAUAUGUGUCAACACUUCAGAUAUCAAGGUAUCUUUGAUGAUGCUAUAAGACUGCGCUUGUUCCCGCACACCUGAAGGGAUAAAGCACUCGAAUGACUGGAUUCACUCCCUGUCGAAAGCAUCACCACUUGGAACGAGCUAGCUCAUAAAUUCUGCACCAAGUUCUUCUCGCUAGCUAAAGUAGCUAAAAUGCGGCAUGACAUCUCAAUAUUCAACCAGAUCAAGUCAGAGUCAUUUGAAGAGGCAUGGAACCGUUUCAAGAACAUGUUAAGGAAGUGCCCGCAACAUGGCUUUGACAAGAAGACCCAGAUCAGAUUUUUCUACACUGGAUUACUCCCAUCAUUCAAGAGUAUGGUGGAUGCAUCAUCUGACGGGUCUAUCUCUACAAGAACAAUUGACGGAGCCUGGGAGUUGUUUGAAAGGAUGGCUACAACUUCAGCUAUGUGGUCUACAGAUCGAGUAGUUCAGAAGAGAGCACCUGGGGUAUAUGAAGUAGAUAUUUACUCAGCACUGUCGGCGAAAAUAGAUUCCUUAUUCCAUAAGGUUGAAAGUAUUUCACAAAUUGCCACUGCUAAGCAAGUUAUGAAGCAGAGUUGUGAAGAAUGUGGAGCAGAUCACAGUACUGCUACUUGCCCAAUUCUGGCACAAGGAGUAGAACAUUCAGAAUUCGCACAAUGGGGUCAGCGCCAGCAAAAUAACCCACAUUCAGAAACCUUCAAUCAAGGCUGGAGAAAACACCCAAAUUUCUCUUGGAGCAACCAGAAUCAAAAUAGACCACAAGGGCAAUAUCAGCAGCAAGACAAAAAGCCAAAUUUGGAGGAUAUGUUCGAGAAAUUUAUGGCACACACCAAUCAGUACAUGGAAGCCAAUAACCAAUUUAUGCGAAGGACGGAAACAACGCUUCAAGAUCAAAGUGCAGCGAUCAAGAACUUGGAGACACAAGUGGGACAGAUAGCAAUUUCCAUGACGGGUAGAGCACCGGGAAACCUACCCAGCAAUACUGAAGUUAACCCUAAGGAACAUGCAAAGGAUAUAACAACCAGAAGUGGAGUACAACUGUCGGAACCACAUGUAACAAGUUCGGGAGCCAACAAGGAAUCAAUGCCAACCUUGGAGGAAGAAAGUGUAGAGCAAACUGACAAUGCAACGGGAGAUGAGGUUAAGAGGAAUUCCAAGACAUCACAGGGUAAAAAUACUAAUCCUGUCAACCCUCAUGAGCCUCCUAUUCCAUUUCCACAAAGGUUGAGAAAGCACAAAAUGGAUCAGCAAUACAGUAAGUUCCUUGAAGUCUUCAAGAAACUGCAUAUCAACAUCUCAUUUGCUGAAGCACUUGUCCAGAUGCCGAGCUAUGCAAAAUUCUUGAAGGAUAUCCUCUCCAACAAGCGAAAGAUAGAAGAACACGAAACAGUAAUGUUGACUGAGGAAUGCAGCGCCAGAAUCCAGAGAAAGCUACCCCCAAAACUGAAAGAUCCAGGGAGUUUUACUGUACCCUGCACUAUUGGAGACUGUCAUUUUGAUAAAGCUUUGUGUGAUUUGGGUGCAAGUAUUAAUCUAAUGCCUCUUUUUGUUUUCAGGAAACUCGGCUUGGGAGAAGCAAAAGCCACAACAGUGACAUUGCAGUUAGCAGAUCGAUCCCUUACACAUCCAAGAGGAAUCAUUGAAGACGUGCUGGUAAAAGUGGAGAAGUUCAUAUUUCCAGCUGAUUUUCUUAUCUUGGACAUGGAAAAAGAUAAAGAUGUUCCACUCAUUUUGGGGCGACCUUUCUUAGCCACUAGGAGAGCAAUUGUAGAUGUUCAGAAGGGGCAGCUGAUAUUAAGGCUUGGUGACGAGCAAAUCUCAUUCAACGUGUUCAAAGCAAUGAAAUUCCCUACUGAGGCAGACAGUUGUUUCCAGAUCGAUGUAGUCGACCGAAUAGUUCAAGACACAUUUCGGCUACAUCAUCCUUUCGAUGCAUAUGAGGCAUGCAUUGCACAUUCACAAUCCACCCAUUCUGAAUCAAGUGAGAUUGAGACAUGUGCUCGAUUUUUGGAGAGUAACCAGCCAUAUAUGCGCAGACGCUACUAUGAAGAGCUGGGAACUAGAACUGCAAAAUCAGUGCCAUCUAUUGUGAAACCGUCCAAAUUGGAAUUCAAACAACUGCCACCACAUCUUCGAUAUGCGUACCUGGGGGAAUCUUCUACACUACCUGUUAUUAUUUCAAGCACUGUCAGUGAGGUAGAGGAAGAGAAACUACUUCGGGUGUUAAGGGAGAAUAAAACAGCUAUUGGAUGGUCGAUUGCAGAUAUAAAGGGGAUCAACCCAUCUAUAUGCAUGCAUAAGAUACUCAUGGAGAAAAAAUUUAAACCAAGCAUUGAUGGGUAGCGGAGAUUGAAUCCACACAUGAAGGAAGGGGUUAGAGCUGAGGUAUUGAAGUUGCUCGAUGCAGGCAUUAUUUAUCCAAUAUCAGAUAGUACAUGGAUCAGUGCAGUGCAAGUUGUUCCCAAGAAAUGAGGAAUCACAGUGAUAGAAAAUGAGAGAAAUGAGUUGAUUCCCACACGGACAGUGACUGGAUGGAGAGUGUGCAUUGACUACCGUAAGCUUAACUCAGCUACUCGAAAGGAUCACUUUCCAUUACCGUUCAUUGAUCAGAUGUUGGAGAGAUUAGCAGGGCAUUGGCACUAUUGUUUCCUAGAUGGGUACUCCGGGUAUAAUCAGAUUCCAGUGGCACCAGACGAUCAGGAGAAGACCACUUUCACUUGCCCCUAUGGCACCUUUGCAUACAGAAGGAUGCCAUUUGGAUUAUGCAACGCUCCCGCUACCUUUCAGCGCUGCAUGAUGGCUAUUUUUUCAGACAUGAUUGAGAAAUACAUCGAGGUAUUCAUGGAUGAUUUCUCUGUGUUUGGAUCUUCAUUUGAUGAGUGCNNNNNNNNNNNNNNNNNNNNNNNNNNNNNNNNNNNNNNNNNNNNNNNNNNNNNNNNNNNNNNNNNNNNNNNNNNNNNNNNNNNNNNNNNNNNNNNNNNNNNNNNNNNNNNNNNNNNNNNNNNNNNNNNNNNNNNNNNNNNNNNNNNNNNNNNNNNNNNNNNNNNNNNNNNNNNNNNNNNNNNNNNNNNNNNNNNNNNNNNNNNNNNNNNNNNNNNNNNNNNNNNNNNNNNNNNNNNNNNNNNNNNNNNNNNNNNNNNNNNNNNNNNNNNNNNNNNNNNNNNNNNNNNNNNNNNNNNNNNNNNNNNNNNNNNNNNNNNNNNNNNNNNNNNNNNNNNNNNNNNNNNNNNNNNNNNNNNNNNNNNNNNNNNNNNNNNNNNNNNNNNNNNNNNNNNNNNNNNNNNNNNNNNNNNNNNNNNNNNNNNNNNNNNNNNNNNNNNNNNNNNNNNNNNNNNNNNNNNNNNNNNNNNNNNNNNNNNNNNNNNNNNNNNNNNNNNNNNNNNNNNNNNNNNNNNNNNNNNNNNNNNNNNNNNNNNNNNNNNNNNNNNNNNNNNNNNNNNNNNNNNNNNNNNNNNNNNNNNNNNNNNNNNAAAUCUUCCCAGACGAACAGAUUUUUGGUGUGAUGGAAACACCCUGGUAUGCAGAUAUAGUUAACUAUUUAGCCAGGUCUAUCAUACCGCCAGAUUAUUCAAGUCACCAGAAGAAGAAAUUCUUCGCUGAAUUGAAGUAUUAUUUUUGGGAAGAUCCCAUUCUCUACAGGCGAGGGGCUGAUCAAAUCAUUCGUCGCUGUGUACCAGAGGAAGAGGUGCCCUUGAUACUAGAAAACUGUCACUCAUCUAUAUAUGCAGGGCAUUUUGGUGCUUCGAAAACAGUUGCGAAGAUUCUUCAAUCAGGUUUUUACUGGCCUACACUCUUUAAAGAUGCUUUUGAGUUUGUGAAAAGGUGUGACCGAUGUCAGCGCACAGGUAACAUAUCUAGAAGAAAUGAGAUGCCUUUGAAUAGUAUCUUAGAGGUGGAAUUAUUCNNNNNNNNNNNNNNNNNNNNNNNNNNNNNNNNNNNNNNNNNNNNNNNNNNNNNNNNNNNNNNNNNNNNNNNNNNNNNNNNNNNNNNNNNNNNNNNNNNNNNNNNNNNNNNNNNNNNNNNNNNNNUAUUCUGGAAGUCACAGUUAACUCAUCACGAAAGGAUUGGUCAAAGAAACUGGAUGAUGCCUUGUGGGCCUACAGGACUGCAUUCAAGACUCCUAUAGGAAUGUCUCCAUAUCGACUGGUUUUUGGGAAAGCAUGCCAUCUACCUCUCGAGAUCGAACAUCAUGCUUACUGGGCAAUGAAGAAGUUGAACUUGGAUUUGAAGGCUGCAGGUGAAAAACGGCUGUUACAACUGAAUGAACUUGAUGAACUCAGAAUGGAAGCCUGUGAGAACUCAAAGAUCUACAAAGAGCGCACCAAGAAAUGGCAUGACAUGCAUAUCCAGAGGCGUGACUUUCAAGUGGGGCAAAAAGUGUUACUGUAUAACUCCAGGCUUAAGCUGUUUCCAGGAAAAUUGAGAUCGAGAUGGUCUGGUCCAUAUACCAUUACACAAGUAUUUCCACAUGGGGCAAUUGAGAUCACUCACGACAGCAAGGGGACAUUCAAAGUCAAUGGAUAGCGAUUGAAGCACUACUGGGGCGGUGAUUUCUCAAAGGACAAGUCUACCGUCCAACUUGGAUCACCAGAAUGACGCAUUACGAUAAAGUCGAGCUAUCGACUAUAACAUAGCGCUGAGUGGGAGGCAACCCACUGUAUCCUUUAUUUUAUUUUAUUGCAUUGCAUUAGUUUAGGAAUUUGUUUGAUUUUAGUUUGUUUCGUAGGUCAUCGAUCAUAUUUUGCAUGAUAGCUUAGGCAUUUCACGUUUAAUGUUGCAUGAAUCGGGGCGUUAUGAAGUGUGUCGGGUGUUCGAGUGUAUGUCACGCAUUCCGAUGUGCGAAGAUGUUCGUUUUGGUUAAGAUUUCAGAAUGCGGGUCAAUAUUUUUGAAAAAUCGAUUUUGGUGCUAAGUUUUCGAUAAGCAUACUCCUUUUUCAAGUCAAAAAUUUCAAUUUUUUUUCGGAAUAUAGCGGAGUAAGUCCAAAUUUUUAAGUGAAAAAUCGAUUUUGGGGGAGUUUAAAUUCUAACUAUGCGGUCGCAUAGUGCUGUGGCCACGGGUUUUAACCCGUGGCCACCCCCAUUUUUCCCCACAUCCCCCCCCUCACGCCACACUCCUUGCACUCUCACUCACACACGAAAUCACUCCACACGACCACCCUUCUUCUUCACUUGCACUCAUUAUCACCAUCACACUUGCACCUAAUUCACUGCACACACUUAAUUGCAUACACCCCAAAAUUGCACUACACACACUCCUCACACUAGUGCUUGGAUAUUGACACACAUCAAGCUUCCAACUUGCCAAGCAAGGUAUGAAUUCUAACUCCGACAAAAUUUCGGGCUUCAUUCUUACAUUCUCUUUCAAUGUGUGGAUUUAGUUAGAAUGUAUUGUGGUAGAUUGGUGUACUAUUGUGAAUUUGGGGAACUUUCAUGGUAGUGUAUGUAAGAAAUAGGAAGUAAUUCACAUUGCACACCAAGUGUUCGACAAAAUGCCACAUUAACGCAUGUUUUGAUUUUUUGGGCUUUUCACUUAUGUAAUAGUUUACAUCGUUAUUGUGUAGCGUUUUUGUUGAAAAAUCAUGUGAUAUUUCAAUUGAAAACAUUACCUUAACAUUUGAAUUCACAAAGGCAUUUCAUGGUUCAACAUAUUCACUCACGUCACUACCUUCGUCCCUAUGUUUUCUAAUGCAAACGACCUCCGAUUAGGGUGAAAUUUGGAUAUAUUCUAGAUAUCAUUAUGUAUUUUCACAUGUCCAAAACUUGCUCGGGAAAAUUUCGAUAUUUCUCGGUGAUGCCCGGGGCUGAAUUUGGUCACUUGGUCAUGGGUAAAAAUUUUUAGAAAUGCAUGUUCGAGCCAAAAUUUUGAGUUUUCCAUACUUAUGCAAUGCUAGAGUUAUAUUGAUGAUUCAUGUUAUGAAACAUUGCAUAAACACACGUAAAUGUGCAUAUUGAAGAAAGUUUGGGGGAUUAUGAAUUCAAAGUUUAUUCAUGCCCAUUUUUUCUACACUAAGUGAGUGAUAUUGUGUAUUUCCUUUUGCAGGAUGCCUCCUAAACGAAGUUCAAAGGGAAAAGAGAAAGUCGGCUCAUCAUCUGGAACAGCCCGAACAAGGGAACCCGAAGGGGGUGUCAGACGAUUUCUAUCAUCAGAUACGGCAGCCCGAUACGUCAAUGUUGUGCGUGAUUGGGCAAUCAUUCCCGAGAGGCCAGUAAAGUUAGAAGACUUUCCCAACUUUGAAUUGACAUAGCUUAUUCACAAUUGUGGUUGGGAAAAGGUUAUAGAAAGACCUCACCCGGUGUAUGAGAAUCUGACAAAGGAAUUUUACGCAAAUUUCAACACGGAAAUCGAUACCCCCGGAUCAGAGCAUUUACAUCAGACAUGGGUUAGGGGCAAAUGGAUUAUGUUCUCACCGGAGGUAAUCCAUGACUACUAUCAGUUAUCUUGGAACAAUGUGGUCCCUAUCCCAGAGGACUUCAACUGGAAUGAGGUUGCAGAGGUAUUGUUGGGACGUGAAAACGCUUGGCCUCUACCUACAGCAGACUGGCAUCAGAUAGAUCUCACCCCAUCCAUAGCAAUUUUAUGGUUAUUCAUGUACCAUAACAUCGAGCCUAUAUCCCACAGAACAACAUUUACAAAUCCAAGGGCCGGAUUCAUAUACCAUUUGGUUAGAGGGAACAAGAUUGAUCUAGCCACGUACAUCUACAACCAAAUUCAUGGUACAGGCACUUGGGGUGAUAGGCACUACUCACUAAUUUUUCCCAGUCUGAUAAGUGGAAUAUGUAGAGCAGUGGGGAUACAAAUCCAACCUGGGGAAGCACCAGAAAAGCCAAGCCCUUUUAUCAAGCAAUCCACACUAGAGGUCUAAGACCGAGUAAGAGUGAAGCACCAACAGAAAUUAGAAAAUGCACGACGACGACAGCAAUUGAAUGAGGAAGGUCAAGCAGAUGCGGACCUUGACAUGCCUCAAAUACCUCCACCACCACCCCAGGUUGAUAUGGACAAUCAGGUUUUGAGGCAGAUAUUUGCCACUACCACUGGAACUAGCCGAGACAUACAACAUCUCCAGCAGAGUUUCGAGACCAUGACUACCACUAUUGACAAAGUGCAGAGAGACCUCUACUCUUCCUGAAGAUUCCACAAGGGGUGCUUUAAAUGAAGCCACAACGGCACGACGGGAGGUGGAGACCAUGAAUGGUAGGUUCAACAUGUAUGCUGGGAGAAUGGAUGGCAUAUAGUGGCGAGUGAACGAAACCUGGGAUCGAUUGGGAAGUAUGGAGAAUAGGCUUCAAUCCAUUUAGGCAGAGCAAGCACAGUAGACAGAAUUGAUGAGACAAAUCCUAUCUCGCCUUCCAUCUCCUCCUGAAGAUCAUGCUGCGGGUCCCAGCUACACACCGCGACCACCACUUUGAUCAGGGGAGUGUUGUUUACCUCUAUUUGCCAAGUUGUGUAUAUAUUUUUAAAUUAUGCUUUUCUAACUUUACAUUUACAUUGAGGACAAUGUACUGUAUAAGUUUGGGGGAUGGUAGCAUAAUUUUCAAACAAAUAUUCGGCAUGUAGUUAAUAUGCAUUUUCACAAUCAAUCAUUAAAUUGACUACAUUCUUGCAUGAUGCAUGCGUGAUGAAUGAGUGUUGAUUUUACUUUUGUAUGCUUGUGUGGGUUUGGUAGCCUUGCCGGCUAUGAUGUGAUUAUUGGACAGGUGUAAAUUAGAACUGUGGAUAUAGUACAGGAUUUUAUUAGCUAAUACUUGUUGAUGCAAUGCUUGACAUCCUUUUGCACGCACUCAUGUUUUCAUGUUAAGUUAUUGAAUGAGAUUGUUGGAGUAAAAUAUGAGAAACCUAGGUUAACCCUCUAUAUCAUUAACCCGUUAAAUCACCAUAAGAUAGUUUGGAGAUGGUUGAGCCACUAUAGGGAAACAUAGAAGUAAGUAGGGGUUCAGUGCAUGAAAAUAUACUGUGUGGAUUGUCUAAACCGGAAGGUGAGAAAUAGGUAAAAACUUUAAGUUGAGGACAGUUUUUGAGAUCAAAUGUCUAGAAAAACAAAGAAAGGGUAGAAAAUAAAAAUUGGAAAAUUAUCACUUCUCUCUAAAGCCUUUAUGACUCAAGCAAUUAAGUCUGUUAGGGCUUAAAACCUGAUAUCCUAAAGCCAACUGGUUUGUGAAUUAUCGGCCUAAAGCUCGUUACAGUGGUUAUAUAGAAAGCAAGAAAAAGGAGAAGUUGACAAAAAUUCAUCUUAUCGAGCCUUUAUAACUCGGGUGAAUAAGGCUGCAAGGGUUUAAAACCUGGUGCCCUAAGACCAAUUGGUUUGGGAGUCAUCGCCUAAAACUCGUUAUAUAGAAAGCAAAUGAGAAGAUGGAGAGAGAAAAAAACCUGAAAAAAAAAAGCCCUUGUUGGACAUUUGGUUGAUAUAAAUUUAACCUUGAUGCGAGGUAAGUAGCUUAGUUUGAGCCUAAAGGUUGAAACAAUCAAAUUAAAGAGAGUCUCUACUUGUUGAUAUGUGUACUUGUAAGGGUAAGAUCUAUCCAAACUAAGAGAGGGUAAGGAUUAUAGUUGUUAAACUCCUAACCUUAGAACACGCCCCAAGAUAAUUGAGUGAAAAGAAUAAGUUUGGAGGAUUUGUGUAUCUCUCGAGUGAUGUAAGGAUAAAUUUGACCAUUAUGGGUCGGGAACAAACCAUUCAUAAGCUUGAUAUGUUGGCAUGAGUUCACACACACACGUUGAGUAUUGCAUUUGAUAAGUAAAGGUUAAUUUUAUUCUUGCAAUAUUGAUAUUGUUCUAUUGUAUUGCUAAGUUCCAAUCCUGAGACACGGCAAGCUACUAAGCCAUGUUUGUUUAACUUUGAGUCACUACAUUGUUUGAGGACAAACAAUAAUUUAAGUUUGGGGGAUUUGAUAAGCGUGUUUUUACACACUUAUUUGGUUCACAAACAUGACUUAAACAUGGAUAAAAUGGUUGAAUUGUGACUUAAUCCAAAAACUUGUUCACGAAAUAUUUCUUUUCGAUUUUAAAACCCACCGCAAGUGUACGGUUCGUUAACAAGUAGUAAAAUGGACUAUGAGUCCAAGCAUCGUUCCCACGAGGAUUGAAUUAACUCUAAUUAUACCAAUGUGACCUUAAAACUGAAAUGUAAAUAUGCAAUUUUAGAACUAAUGUAUUGAAAUGAAUCGAAAUGAAAUCAUUAAGAACUCGAAUCCCCAAUUAACUAUUAAAAACCCUAAUUUCACAAAUUCAACGAAUCGAUGGAAAAAAAAAUGACAAUUCAAUGUUCCUAAAUUAUCCAAUACACUCUCUCGAUAUAUAUUGAAUCUACUCUUACACACCACCAGCCUAUAUUUCUAUGGAUGAUGCAAUGUACAAGAAUGCAUNNNNNNNNNNNNNNNNNNNNNNNNNNNNNNNNNNNNNNNNNNNNNNNNNNNNNNNNNNNNNNNNNNNNNNNNNNNNNNNNNNNNNNNNNNNNNNNNNNNNNNNNNNNNNNNNNNNNNNNNNNNNNNNNNNNNNNNNNNNNNNNNNNNNNNNNNNNNNNNNNNNNNNNNNNNNNNNNNNNNNNNNNNNNNNNNNNNNNNNNNNNNAGCAUUCAAAUCAUAUAAAUCAAACAUUUGUCCAAUCGAAACUAUUGUUGAAUUAAUGAAAUAAUGGAAAUUUAAAUCAUCAAAAUGUUCAUCAAAUUCCUAAUGAACAAAAACCCUAGCCUAUAAUCAUCAUUACAAAAUCAAGAAAUUGAAAAACGAAAUUAAAAGAUAAUAAAAAUACACCCGUAUGGAAUUUCUUCAAUCCAUGUGUAUAAUCUUCAAUCCCGUCUCGAACCCGUGCGAAAUUGAAUCCAAAAUCAAGUUUCUUGCCUCCAAUUUUGGUCUCUCCCUUCUCCCUGGUCUUUCUUCUCUUAAUAUGAUGAAUUUGGGUAUUUAUAUCGCGUCCAAAUUAAGUAGGAAAGGAGUUUCAACAAAAACGAAAAACUACGCCCGAAGUUGCAAAACAUCACUAUGCGACCGCAUAGAAGGGAUCUAUGCGGUCGCAUAGAUCAUUUAUUUUGCUCAUUGAAUUCCCUGAAACCUUCUAUGCGACCGCAUAGAAGGUUACACUAUGCGGUCGCAUAGAAGUAGCCAUCUAUGUGGUUUGUGUAAUUUGGUCCCUGAACUUCUUUGUUGCUUCUCUCGACUUCUUUCUUCGAUUUCUUCAUCUUUUCAACAACUCUUAUCUUCCAAUUGAUGAUCGACACUUUCAAAUAUUAUGCCACUCAUUCGGCACAUCUUUUGAGUAUUUGCACUUUAGUCCUCCAACUUUCAAUUAUCUUCAUUUUAGUCCAUCUUCCAUUCUUUCUUCCUCCACUUGUUUUGCUUUGUCAUUGAGCUCAUACUCGGCAUGUUUUUACUCUCGUUCUGCAUUUAGCUCAACUUCUCAAUAAUUGCACUGUUGGUCCUCGAACUAUCAAAUUGUUGUGUUUUGGUCCUUCUUCGGCUCUUUUCUCCUGAAUUCCACAAUUUUCAUUGAAUUACCUACAAUGCAUGAAUUUAAUUGGAUUAAGUCACAAUUCAACCAUUUUAUCCAUGUUUAAGUCAUAUUUGUAAACCAAAUAAGUGUGUAAAAACACACUUAUCAGUAUUCUGUUUCAAGAUUACUUUGAUCAUAAGUUACUUUAUAUUUAGACUUAGAGAUUUAAUAUCUAAUUGAGAUGAAGGCAGAUUCAGGUUGACGCCACCAUAAAUGCCAUCUAGCACACUGUCCAAGGUAUCCAAGUCACCAGCACUAGCCCCAGAAGACAAUUUCCAGAGUGCCUUUUUCUUUAAGACUUUUAAUCCAGAAGAUCUACAUGUAAAUGGAAAGAAUUUUUUAACUUAGAUAAGCAAGAAUGCAAGAUUACUUGAACGUAAGCCCAGCCAUUUCCUCGUCGAAAGAUUGAUUCCAUGACCCUGAGACAGCAAUGCGCACAAGAAAACAUGAACUCAUCUUCGCCCUCAAGCAAAUUCAACCCACGUGCCAAGAUUCUCAAAGCUUCAAUUGCAGGCACAAAAAGGGAACCAAGACAAGCACUCCCCAGAUUCUUUGACAAGGCCCUUCGGAAGCAAAACUGGGUAUUAGAUUGCAUACCUCUGAGAUAAUAAAGAGAAAUUACUCUGCUAACUGUUAAAUUAGCCACAUUCCUCAUAACCUCAGCAGUCCAAGCCAAGCUCAAUAUCAAUGCAAUUAUAAUCAAUGGUGGUACGUAGAAAUUCAGUGAUCCAAUCACAGCUAAUACCCAAAAUGACAUCCAACAAAAUCCAGCACCGAGCAUCCAAUAAGUAGGAAGAUUUAGAUCAGGAAAUUUGGAUACGGGUUCAAGUGCCUUCAUAAAAAUCUUGGAGCAAAAACCAGUUCUUUGUGUAACCCAACACGCAUAUAAUCCAUUACCAAUGGCAAACACAAUAAAAAGAGCUCCAACUCCAUCUGUUGCUGGCCUUUGGAACCAAAUUAAAAGAAUCCCGGCCGAUAAAGUCAAGAUGAAAGAACUCCAAAUUAUGAAAAGCACCAUAAUAUUAGGCCAUAAUCUAACUGCCUUUUGCCAUACAAAUGCCAGUGUCAUGCUAAGAAAAGAGGCAGCCUCAACUUGUGGCAAAAAAUACUUCAACACCCUCUUCUCUUCUCUUUGGGACUUACCUUCUUCUACUAGGCCUUGCACUCCUUUAACUAUCAUAAAACACACCAAUCCAAAAGCCAGAACCAUAUGCACAAGGAACAAAAACAGGGAAAACUUGUUUGUGUACGAUCUUGAAUUCAGAGUUAUCACUGAUUCCUGUUCAAAAAAAAAAGAAAAAAAAAAAGCAAAAGUUUCCAAGAAAAUAUCUCCAACUAAAAUUCAAGAAAAACUAUGUAAGAAAUGCAGAGGCAGCUCAAGUUCUAGGCUUAAUGUGGAUUAAAGGUCCCGUAUUUAGAUAUAAUUUCUUUUGACUAAUGCCCCAAAUUUACUAUAACCGCUUCUGUGUAAGUGUGCGAUAUAAAAUCUUACUUGUGGGGGUAGGCGUAGAGCGAGGCUGCUGCAGAGGAGGAGGAGGAGAAGGCUGAGGCGGCUGAGAAGGUGGCUGAGAAGAGCGAGGGGGCUGAUGCGAAGGAGAAGCAAAUCUUGUUGCAUUAUUCAUUACAAGUCUUAAAGGAUUUGAAUUGCUCAAUCUUUGCAUUCUCGACAUGUGAACUUCUUCUGGAGCCUGAUUUUGAACUUCUGAUUUAUGAAUACUCAUCUCACCUUUCUCCAAAUCCUUCAAUUCAUCUUCCUUUUUCCCUUUUUCCUCCAUUUCUUCUUCACGCACUGAUUCUUCUUCAUUUUCUAUGUGCACCACCUAUACAAGAAAACAACAUAAAUAAGCAAAAGUCCAAGAAUAACUAAUUAUGAAAAAAUUAAGCAGGUGGGGUGAAAGUGGUUUACUUACAGGUUCUGCAGCACCCAUUAUCUGCGGCGGUUGCGGUGGCGCGUAAGUGCGACGAGGGCGAUGGUGCUGGUGGUCGGGGACGUUAGAUUUUGUAUCUAUAGUGUUCUUGGGUUAUGCAAUGGGCUCCUACCACCCCAGUGCUUCCACCUACAUUUUACCUCACCUCAGGGAAUCCGACAUUUGUACACUGCACUUAAUGGCGUGUCGUCACACCCUCCAAUAGAAUAUGUUCAUUUUGUCAGUUUUUUUUUUUUUUUUACUGAAUUAAUUUCACCUAUUUUGACUGAAUUUUAUAAUGAGUCCCUACAUUGCGGGAUUAAAAUCACUUUUAUAUUUUAAUAUAUUUCCCUUAUUAUAAUUAUAAUUAUUAUUUUGACGUAUUCCAUCUGUAGGCCAGACUGCUGAGAAGUAGAGUUCCAUGGAUGGUUGCACACGUGGGAAUUAUGGUCAGAUUUCGAGAUUGGAAGAAUCAUACUUUAAAGGGGAAUUUGCUGUAAAGGUGGAUAGAAUGCAAAAGGAGCAGAAUUUUAUGAUGUUAGAAAUUCUAUUGCAGAUUUGAUACAUAUAUAUAUAUAUAUAUAUAUAUAUAUAUAUAUAUCUUUGUGUGUGUGUGUGUGAGAUUUAGAUAAAAAUUAGAGUUCUAGUAUAUCUUGAUAAAAAUUGAUGGAGUAUGCUGUUGAAAGAUGAAACGUAAUGAAAACUUAUAAGAACGAAUAAAAUUUUAAAUGAAAAUUCAAAAUUAUUGAUUUGCUAACAAGAAAAAGAUGAUAUUGAUAUAAAAUUUCCAAAAUUUUUAUUAUUAUCAAAUUCAACUAUCACAACUCAUAUUUAAAAUAAAAACUAAAAUCUGGAUAAAAACUAAGUACUAGAUAAUGAUGAAAAUUAAAGUACCUAAUAUUUAGCAUUGAAUUAAAAAUCGCCAUUAUCAAAUUAUCCAUAAAAACGAAAAAUACUUUUUUGGAGCUCUAAAUGAUAAAAUUUGGCCGAAAAAGUCAAAAAAUUGGGUUGAGUUUUGCUUAUUUGUCUUUUUCCACUCAAAGUAGACACAAACUUCUCUAAAAAUAGACAAUUUUAGAAAUUAUUUUUUUUGACAUCGAUCACACUUUUUUCACGAAAAUCUUCUUCCUUAUUAGGGAUGGCAACGGAACAAGUCGAAACUUGCGCAACCUCCCCCAUCCCCCGCCCUAUUGAGUAAUUUGCCGUCCCAUUACCCAUUUAAAGUAGGGCGGAACGGGGCCCUUGCCCCCAUUUAGUACCUGUUUAAUUUUUUUUUUUAGUUUUUAUUUUUGAUAAUCCAUUUUAUUGUCCUCAUUCAUUAAAUUCAGACAAUAAUAUAUUUAUUAAAAUUUUUAUUUAAUUUGUUUAUUUUUAAAAAUUAAAUUAUUCAAAUAUAUUUAGUAAAAUUAAAUUUUUAUUGUUUGUCAUAUUCCUUCAAUAGCCUUAGUUGCCAUAUUCUAUUAAAACUAAUGAAAUUUCGUGAAAUUUUCCAUUUAAAAUAUUGAAUUCUUAAAAAAAAAAAAAAAAGUUAAACGACGUAGGACGGAGGAUCUUUGUUAUCCUGACCCAAAUACCCAAUUAAGCGGGUAAUUUUCGCUCCUUUUAGGGUGAGGCCACGAGUAUUGGGUUUGACAAAAAUUUUUUGUCAUCCUUAUUUAUUAUAUACCAUAUCAUUAAAUUACUAUAAAAUAUGUACUCUCUUUUUGAUUUUUUUGGACAAGUUCAAUUAGAAGUGGAAAUCAAUCAAAUAGUUUGAAAUGUGAUCUUAUUUUAAAAUAACAGCAAGGAACGACAUCAUUUUAUUGGUGGGGUUAACUAGGCUAUUUUAUUUAUCAUUACUCUUUUCUCCAUGCAAUACAAAAAUUAUGUUAUUUUUAAAGUAAUGUUAGCAUGCUGAAUGUUAAGAAUUGACAGAAGAUAUGUUCGUUGAAUGAGGUAAGCAAAAUUAACUUAAUUUGAAGACUCAAAUUUUCAUAUGAUUUCAACCAUAAAAUAUAGUUAUGAAACAUCUCAAGAGUACGAAGAAAUAAAGAAAACUUCAAACACGUUCCAGACAAAACUUACUUUCGAACUGUUCUUCAAAAAAUAAAACAGAAGGCAAAGAUAUGUUGAGAGAAGUUAGAGAGAAUAAUAAUUAUUAGUGCAAUCAUAAUCUACUUGUCUAAUGCGUUCAAAUCUUUGUCUUAUAGAAAAUUUGAAUGGAUUAAUCGUAAAUACAGCAUAAUAACAUUUCACGUCAAAAUAUUCGAGAAAUCUUCCUACAAGAUUUACUUUGAUUUGUCACUGUCUUCAUCAAAAUUAUGGUACGUAAAAAUUUCACCAGAAAUCUGAUCAGGUAAAAUUUUGUUAAUAUGACUAACACAUUCUUUUCUAGGCAUAAGAAUGACUCGACUUUAUAUGGCAUGUAAAUUAUUAGCAUAUGCUUUCAUUUCUGUAAAAACAUGAUGUAUCAAUUAUUUUAAAGAUGUGAUUUCAUCAUCAAAUGGCAAGAUUAUACUAUUUGAAAAUUUAAUGCACUUGCAAAGUAUGCUCUUGCUCCAUUCUAUUUUCAAUUCUGAGCAAGUAAUUGCACAACAUCGGAUCCAACUUUGCCCCCAUAUCUCAACCAAUGGUAGUUGUAAAUACUAAGGCUAUGGGUUUGAGAACACCAAGGCAUCGUUUGAGUAUUUCCUUAAUUGCACGGGUUGUAAAAUGGACAAAUUUGCUAUUUAUCUAAUAAUGAUAAAGAGAUUAUCAUGAGUAAAGACAGCAAUUUAAUUUACUAGGACUAAUUGGAUCAUUUAAUUUUUCAAUUUUCUUGCAAUUUCAAAGAUUAACAGAUGCAUCAUUCUCAACAUAUUUAAGCAUCACGUCCCCAGAACAGUCCAACAAUUUAACAUGUUUAUUACAGCAGGGGGGAAAAAAAAAAAAGGGAAAAACCCUAAACUCAUGGCUUCUUCAGUAGUUCUUUAGUAACUUUAUAAGAAUGUUAGCUCCAUGGCAAUCACUUGCUUGGAUAAUAUUGUUUUGCCUUUUGAAUUUUUAUUUUCCUUCCAGCCUUCAAACUGGAUUUCCACCCGAGGUUAGAUUUGUGCUCCUAGGUGCCGCACUUAAAGCAACUGUGGGUAAUUCCCCUCUAAGAUACUUUGAGCCACUUCUCAGAAGCUUCUCUUGGUACACGAUAUAAGAUGUAAAAAUGAGUAUUAAGGUGAUUUCCCAUUUCUUUUCUAACAAUUCACAUCUAAAAUUCCAAUUGUACAUAGAAGAGCAUCCAAAAUAAAAAAAGGAAGAAAACAUAAUAAACAUGUGCACUAUUCUGAACAAAAUACUCCUUAAAUUAAUAAGAUUUCAUCUCCACCAAAAACAUUUUAUUAGGUUCAAUUCAGCUAUCAAAAAUAUUUACCUUAAAUAAUAGGAUUAAUUUUAUUGAGAAGCAGUCCCGCUUUCAUGACCAUUUUUUAUGUCAACA
rnacentral:lncRNA from 1 species